rnacentral:lncRNA from 1 species
GGUUGACAUUUUUAAUUGUGAGAAGCUCGAAGCCCUGCCCAAUGACAUGCACAAACUCAACUCUCUUCGAGAUUUAAGCAUAUUGGGGUGUCGAAAUCUUGUAUCCUUUCCAGAAGAAGGUUUUCCUACCAGUCUAACAUCACUUAGAAUUGGAGAUUUCAAAAUGUAUAAGACACUCAUCCAGUGGGGGUUGCACAGGCUUACCUCUCUUAGACGCCUCUAUAUCGUUGAUUGUGAUGACGAAGCAGAGUGUUUUCCAGACGAGGAGAUAGGAACGAUGCUGCCUACCUCCCUAACUCAUCUAUCCUUUCGGGGAUUCCGAAAUUUGAUAUCUCUGUCUUCGACGGGUUUUCAGAGCCUCAACUCUCUUCAAUACUUGUGGAUCAGGGAUUGCCCGAAUCUCACAUCAUUCCCAGAGGUGGGCCUUCCAUCCUCACUUUUGGCAUUAUGCAUUAUCGAUUGUCCAAAGCUUAAAAAAGCGUGCAAAAGAGAUCAAGGAAAAGAGUGGUCCAAAAUUGCUCACAUCCCUCGCAUUGACAUAGACAGGAAAUUCAUAUACGAUCCAGAAUCAGAGGAGUAGAUUCUACUAUUAAGGUCAGUUGAUUUGUAUUAUCCGCCAUAACAAGCUCCUCCUUUUUUUUUAAAUAAUAAUAAUAAUUCUUACCAAUUAAUGAUGGUAAGAUGUGUACUUAUUCUUUCUUCCGGACAACCUUGCCUUCUUUCUUCGGUAGCAUAUCUAAUGAAUAUUUCUCUGUUUAGUUAAGGAUGAAUGCUUGGAGUGGAGUAUUUGGUAACAUUUCUGCCGUAGAUGAAACCUUGAAGAAAUGCCUGCACUUCCUGAGACCAAAUACAGGUCUGAUUCACAACAACACCUGUCCCAGAAAAUAUGAUACAAGCCAAAGCCAUGUUCUGAAGCAGAAAUAACGCAUUUCAAUUUUUAUCUGGUAAAAAUACACAGCCCUCGCCUACAAAAUUCUUAUCUUGGCUUUCACGGAUAUUUUUAUCACGUAACCACGUGAGGAAGCAUGUGCUGGAGCCUGAAUUCAGUUAGUUAAAGUUUGUUAACCACGUGUCAACAAACUGUAUAAUCUGGAAAAUACGCUAGCUAUUGAAACAGGGUAUAAAGGCUGGUUUUUCAGGGACUAUCGAGAGCUGAUUCUAGAGUCUUGUAGAAAGAGGUUUGUGAGAGAGAAAGUGUCAUCUUGUUCUCUGUAAAAUCCGAUAUAGGGCUCUGUAACGAUCUCCAUUGUUGAAUCAAUAAAACUCAUCUAGAAGCUUCUCCCGUGGACGUAUUCUGAGCAUUCAAUGCACAGCUGAACCACGUAAUAUCUUGGUUUCAGUGGGUUCUUGUUUUGGUUCUUGAUAAAUUCUUGUUGUUGUAUUGAGGUGUGAUUUGAUGUGUCUAAACUUGCAUCUGUGCAACUUGAAUUGAUUUGAUGAUAAUAAUCUUGGGCAGUGAUCAGAUUCGUUUAGUUUAAAGAACAAGCUGAUUACUACCGUACCUAUGCAUGGACCUGUAACCUGUGCUGACAAAACUGAAACUAUGAGUUUGAGGUAAAAAGGUCCUGGACCCUCACAGUUUAACUUGGACUUGUAGCUUUCUGGAUAAACACAUUUUAGAAGUUUGCAAUUUGUUGUUAAUUACGGUAUGUGAUUUUCUUUUUUGUUUUCGCUUUUGUAGAAUCUACCGUAUUACAUAUUGGCAGUUGUAUCUGAGGUACCAUUUUUGCAUUUAACUUGCCUUUAUCUGUUUUGCCUGUUACUUAACAACACAUCAUUUCCCAAAGAUUUGGAGAAGCAUCUCAAGAUGCUUAACAAACUUGACAAACUUCAAGAUGCUCCCAAGCCUUGAUUCUUCACAAAGGAAGACCUGUGAGUACACUUAUGCCCGCAAUUAUUGUGAAGUGAUUGCAACUUUGAUGCAGCGAAACGGUUUGCUGGUGCAAAGCUUUAAAACUGUUAAGAAUUACCCUGCAGGCUUGUUGGAUGUUGUAUACUCCGAAAGCCACCAACACCAAGAACUAUAACAGCAAGACUAGGUUUGCAUUAAUUCAAUUAGCUGAAAUAAUGAUGCAAAUGGCACUAUCCAGCUCGACUUAGAGACUAGUCAGGUCAAUCAUCCAUUUCAUCAACAGUUAAUGUCAGGAUGGUGGCUAGCAGAGGAAACAAAGGAUAUGUUGGAAUCAAUAAGAACAGUGAGAAGCAUGAGAGGAGCUUUGAUUAUAAGUAGGCUCAAUGAACUAGUGUUGGUAAGUGGUAAUUAGAGCAAUUUGUGAGCUUAGUAGAGUUUCAAUAUUUUCUGUUUGGGAUAUAGUUGAUAAGUUGAUACUCUGAUAAAGAAGGCUGAUUAUAGUAGCUGACUAUAUUAACCGGGUUCUCUUUUUUGGUUUGCUGUUGUUUUUUCUUUCAAUAUCUUUUUCAACAUUAGGUUUAAGAACAAGCUUGGGUUUGAUUAUCAGGUAAGAACAAAUGAAUGCUUUAACCAUGUUUCUCACUUAUCACAAUGCACGGAUUGAAGGCGUCUGAGUUGAUCCUGAAACGUGCCUCAGCAAGUAUUAUGAUUAUUAUUUUAAAAAACUCAACCUAAGCAACGUGCCUCAGCAUACAAUAUUUAUUGACAACUAAAAAGUAAUAGUGGGUGGGGGUUGCCCUGGGUUUUGUUUAAAAAUUGAAGUAAAAAAUUUUCAAAUUUCAAAUUUCUAGUACAAAGAAAAUUGAUGACUAAAUUAAAUUCUGCAAAUUAAUUUCUAAUAUUACAUGAAAAUAUUAUCAAGUUAACUGGUAACAUCGUUAAUCACUUAAUUCUCAGUCUAAUACGUUAUGUAUUUGUUACUCUGUCUUAAAUCAAAAGUGGCGGUGAUUUAUUUUUAUUUUCACUAAUCAGAAAGGCAUGUUAGAGCUUUUAUUUUGUCGAAAAUGAACCAAAAAAACUCCGAUUGGGAGAUUAUAAAUGUAAUUAACAAUAAUUUAACUUCCAUUUUGAAAGUCAUUAUAUUGUUUAUUCAGGAGAAGCGUUCUUUUAUAUUUUAUAGAUAUAAUGUUUGCUAAUCCUAAUUUAAGCUAAAGCAUAUGCAUUUCCUAAUUAAUUCUAAUUUAAGCUUAUUCAACUGCAUUCAAUUAAUGUUCGAUAAUACAAAUUCUAAAUACUAUAUACUCUAAGAAUUUUAAUCGUAAUGACAAGGUGAUCAUUUAAUUAUUACCGUUAAAUUAUAUAUGUAUGGUGGAGACGAGUCCACACGGUUUUGACGAGAAAUUAAAGACAAUAUUUAGUUAAGCUAGUAGUAUUUGUUCUGUUUAGUACGUCGUUUUACCAGCAAGCAUCCCGGCAAUGCACGCAUUAAUAAAAACAUUUAUCUGUUUGGACUGACUGGUAGUGAAAAAUUCCACAUACUUUAAAUCAAGAAAAUGCUAAGCAUCUUAAAGAAAACAAUUAAAAUAUUGUCACUUGAUGCUUGAAUCAUUAUUGUUAAAUAUCUCCGUUGAGUUGUAUUCCCCAGUUGUGAGUAUCAUUAUUGUUGUUUGUGCGAUAUGUUUCGACGAAGACCAGCAGUGAUGAGCAGGCGUCUGGUAGCAGGGUUCCUCGAACAGGUAUAUCUUGCAAGAGUCUGGUAGCAGGGGGAGCAAGAGCAGGAGUAUCCUGCUCGUCCACGAGUACGUCAUCCACGAGGCCGGUCUCCUGUUGGGAGCGUAAAGCCAUUCCUGCUAUAUUCCUGCUAGCGGUUGAGUCGAGGAGACCCGGUCAACGACAGUUGACGAGACAUGCUCUCCAGUCCGAGAAUCAAGGCGCGAAGGCCACGCAACCACCCACGACUACGGAAAUGGAGCAUCCACUUUCGAGAAGUGGGAGGAUGACAAGCGCAAAGGGAGGAAAUGCAUGGGCUCAGAAGUGGCCUAUAAAAAGGUAACCAACGAAGGUAAAAGGGUUAGCAAUUUUGAGAUUAUAACAGAGACUAAGGAAAUUCUAAAGAAGAGAAAACUAUUAAAAAGCCAUAAGAUCUGUGGCAAGCGUUCCCAGAGCCUUCAUAUCUGACUUGAGCGUCGGAGGGUUUACGCCGGGAAAACAACCGGCGUGCUCUGACUUGUUUCUGUGGACGCAGGAAUACUUGGAGAAGAAAGCAUACAAGGAGAGAUCCUGGUCGAGGUGAGGUUGAUUGAGCAGAUAUCCUGGUCGUAGGAAGAGCGUAACCAGAAUCUCGCAUCAAUAUUUUGGCGCCGUCUGUGGGGAGCUGAGCAAAAAGUUUCUGUUGAUAGCAAAGAAGAGGAGUGAAGCAAGUGAAAAGCAAUGGAGACAGGAGGAAGUAGUGCACAAGGGGGUGAUAUGAGGCUUAACGAUUCCGUGACGCUGAGGGAGAUAGCCAGUGAAGCACGGGAAAAAGCCAUGUUCGACCGGAUGGAACGGAUGGAAAAGCAGAUGGAGACCUUGACAACCAUCCUACAUGAGCUGCGGAGCGAACGAAGGGUAACCCAGGAGGAAAGGGUGAGAGGUGGUGGAGUGGCACCAGGUCCCGAUAGUGCGAGGAGAAGUCAAACCACCGGGAGAUUUGGUGGUGAGAGAGGUAACAUACCUCUGCAGGGAAAUUGCAUAGAGAGGAAGAGCAGUCCCCGGCAAGACAGAUUUUUGACGAGGACGACGGGGUGGCGAAUGCAGAGGAAGCAGAGUUGAGGCAAUACUUGCAUGAUGUAGUGCAAGAGCGGGAUCAAGUCGCAGCACGUGACCCUGGUCGUGCAGAGCAGCUGGAGGAGGAAGUGUGCAGGCUAGCGCAGAUAAUUGACGACAUACAAGGAAGGAGCAGAGCUCCUGGUUGGAGGAUAAUGCUGGACGGAGAAUCACCGCUCGCAGCAGAGAUCAUGAGGGCAGUUAUUCCAAGAGAUUUCCGCCUCCCAGACCUUAGAUAUUCGGGAUGAACUGAUCCGCUGGUGCACAUAGAGCGCUUCAACGACAUAACUGGGGUACAAGGAUUAUCUCAAUCCUAAAGGUGCAGGGUGUUCCCACUAUCCCUUGAGGGACGCGCACGAGAGUGGUACAGGAAACUUCCUCGGGGGAGCAUUAAAACCUUCGAGCAGAUGUGCCAGGAAUUUGCAGAACAGUUCCGUGGGGCAAUGGCACCAGAAGAUGACAUGAUGGAGUUGAAAAACAUGAAGCAGGGGGAACAAGAAACACUUCGGGAAUUCAUCAAGAGGUUUCACCGUGCUGUCCUCGACUUGGGAGCCUUCAACCACCCUCAAACGUUAAGGGGAUUGAAAGAAGGGGUGAAGAUAGGAAGGCUGUGGUACAACUUGAGAAGCCCAGUUAUUCAGACGUAUGCGGCCGCAUACGAGCAGGCUAAGAGAGACAUUGAGAUUGAAGAGGAGAAGGCAGCACAGAUUAAGACAGACCAGUUAGAAGGGUGGGGGAGGAAAGAGAAGAAAGCAUUACCGGGGAAUGGGCCGAUCAGGAGGAGGAACCACCAGGCCUCGAGUAGUGGAGCAGAAGGUCGGGUAACUGCUUACCAGCCUCAUCAGAGGCCACUACAGUAUCAGCACAGCAGGGCGCAACCUCCUCGUUCCCCAGCUGGGGAGCCUUGGAGAAGGCAUGACUCGGCGUAUGGUGGUCUUCAUCAACACUCCCACGGUAGUAGAAGGGGCAGACCAGAAGCGCUGCCACCGCCUCCAACUCAGAACGGAGCAAAUAGAGAAAGGGCAGUGCACCUGAUCGACCAGAACCAGGACUAUGGGCGAUAUACUUCCUUGAAGAUGUCCCUGGCCGAGGUGUACGAGGCCAUAAAGGAUCGAGGGUCGUUAUACCUCCCUGCCCCAAUAACAAAGCUACCCAGCAGGAGGGAUAGGGGACGCUAUUGUAAGUUCCAUGGCACUCAUGGCCACACCACAGCAGAUUACAGGGAUCUCAAGACCCAGGUUGAAGAUUUGGUGAGAAAUCGGUAUCUGGACGAGUUUAUAGAUGGGACCUUCCCAAUGGUAGCCUCGACCAGCGAAUGGGAGCAGAGUGACAGGAACUUGAGGCGCGAGCAGCCUGCAGUAAGGGUGAUAGCUGGGGGCCCAACAUUGGCCGGAGAUUCCAACAGGUUGAGGAAGAAUUACGCUAGAUACGCCAUGACCAGCAAAGAUGUAUUCUUCACCACCCCAGCAGCCAAACGUGCAAGAGUCAGGCAAGUGCCAAUUAUGUGGACAGAUGAGGAUGAAGAAGGGAUUCUAUACCCCCACGAGGAUGCUUUGGUCAUCAAGGCCACUGUUGCCAGCAAGAAGUUUGACAGGAUACUGGUUGACACAGGGAGCUCAGUUGAUGUGUUGUUUAAGUCAACCCUGGAGGAGAUGGGAAUAGCAGACCUGAAGUUGGAUUACACCAAUACCUCCUUGAAGGGGUUUGGAGGAGGAAAGUUGGUCCCUCUGGGCGUGGUCGAGCUGCCUAUCACGAUUGGGAGCUCCCCGACAGAAGGGACAAUGAUACUGGACUUUGUGGUAGUGGAUGAGGAAGGUCCUUAUCAGAUGAUCCUAGGCCGGCCAUUUCUGACGAUGAGCAAAGCGGUGCUGUCCAGCCAUUAUCUGGCUCUCAAGUACCGGGUGAAUGGGGUAGUUGGAGUGGUACGAGGAGACCAGAGGAUCGCAAGAAGCUGCUACUCCUCGGCAGCAAAGGAAGCAAUGCAGAUAACAUCCCUUGAUACCCGAGUGGAAGCCAGGAAUGGCAGCUAGUUGGACCCGGAGUUUACAAGCUGGUUCGCACGGAUGGCCACAAGGUGAAACGCCCAUGGAGCGCGACACACCUCAGGAAAUAUUUCUAGUAAGACUUACUCAUCUUUUAAAGUUAUUUCUGUUCGUGCCCGUUGUUUUCUAUUUUUCAUUUCUUAUUUCAAAGCAAUCUCAUGUAAGCCGAAUUCAAUAAUAAAUGAAUCAAUGAGGAGUUUCAGUCAACUACACUGUUCAAGAAAUUAUCAAAGGCAUGCAAAGGCUAGUCAAGUCUCAAAGCCUGUUUAUGGCGAGACCAGAAGCCAAGCGUGCCAGGAUCUGCUCGACCACGAGAAGGCGAGCAGAGUCCCAAGCUUUCAAGAAAUUAUCAAUGGCAUGCAAAGGCUCACCAAGUCUCAAAGCCUGUUUAUGGCGAGACCAGAAGCCAAGCGUACCAGGAUCUGCUUGACCACGAGAAGGCGAGCAGAGUCCCAAGCUUUCAAGAAAUUAUCAAAGGCAUGCAAAGGCUCACCAAGUCUCAAAGCCGGUUUAUGACGAGACCAGAAGCCAAGCGUUCCAGGAUCUGCUCGACCACGAGAAGGCGAGCAGAGUCCCAAGCUUUCAAGAAAUUAUCAAAGGCAUGCAAAGGCUCACCAAGUUUCAAAGCCUGUUUAUGACGAGACCAGAAGCCAAGCGUGCCAGGAUCUGCUCGACCACGAGAAGGCGAGCAGAGUCCCAAGCUUUCAAGAAAUUAUCAAAGGCAUGCAAAGGCUCACCAAGUCUCAAAGCCUGUUUAUGGCGAGACCAGAAGCCAAACGUGCCAGGAUCUGCUUGACCACGAGAAGGCGAGCAGAGUCCCAAGCUUUCAAGAAAUUAUCUAAGGCAUGCAAAGGCUCGCCAAGUCUCAAAGCCUGUUUUAUGGCGAGAUAGAAGCCAAGCGUACCAGGAUCUGCUCGACCACGUGAAGGUGAGCAGAAUCCCCAAGCAUCGGAAUAUUUUCCAAGGCAUGCAAAGGCUCGCCAAGUCUCAAAGCCUGUUUUAUGGCGAGACAGAAGCCAAGCAUGCCAGGAUCUGCUCGACCGCGCGAAGGCGAGCAGAAUCUCAAGCAUUGAAGAAUUUUCCAAGGCAUGUGGCAAAACCAUAUGCCGAGCCAGAACCUGCUAAACUAGACGAAGACGAGCAGAUUCUCAGACGAAAAAUAACUCAUGAUUACAACACAAGAAAGUAAUCAAAAACAUUUUUAUUAAUUUGUUAAUAAUUAACAGAGGAGAUAAUCUUCACAAACAUUGUUCAUUACAAUACAAGAAAUAUAUUAAGAGGACGGUGGAUCCGUAAGCCGAGCAGCCUCAGUCGGUUGGUCCACCUCAGGUGCUGGGGGAGUAUCACCGGUCGCGUCCGGGGGGGUGCUUGCCUCACCCACAUCAACAGGAACGGCACGAGGAGGAGAGUUUUCCUCAACUACGAUUGGUUCCACCGUUUCGGCAUCUUCCUUUGCAGCCUCCUCGUCCAUAUGUUGGGCGACACCAGUUGCAAGGUCGUCCAUCUUCAGAUCAGGAUGCUGCUUCCCGAGGACGACCAUGAUGCAACGAUAGGAAUGCCGAAGCCCCUAGUCGUACUGGUUGUCGGCCUCCCUCUCCAAGUUCUCGACCUGAGCUCGGUGGGAAUCGCGGAGAGAUUCGAGCUGAGCCUCAUAUAUAGCCUUCUGCCUUUGCAGAUCCUCCUCGACCUUGGUCAGCUCCUCCUCGAGGGUAAUGGCUUUUGCUUGAGCAAGAGAUUCUUGCUCUAUCAGCUUGAGGUUCUCAACAUUCAGCUCCCCUGCUUUCUUCUCGGCAGCGUCAGCUCUGGUCGUCGCCGAUUGAAUGUCCUCCUUAAUCUUGCGGUCGUAGCGGCCAACCUUCGCCUUGUAAUAGGUGGUCAUGCAGCUGAGGUAGAAAGCGCUAUACUGCAUGGCCCCCACCAGCUCACCCAAGGUGCAGCCGUCAAAGUCCUCCAGGUCCUUCUUGCUCACGAGUUUAGAUAACUCAUUGAGGUAGGGGACCAAGUGUUCUGCUUGGCUGUCAGGUAAGCGAGAUCGAGGCCCGACAGGAGGAGAAGAGGAAGCAGGAUCCGUGGCUGCUCCACUAGUUUCCCCAACUUUGGCAGGAGCAGGAGGUAAAGUCUUCAAGGGAGAGACUUGCUGUACGAUGUUGGCCUGCUUUGCAGAAGGGGCGUCCUUGUUCUGGUCCCUCUUCGUGGCUUGAGGUUGAGAACGUUUCCUGUUCAGAGCCCCAAUCACAGCGUCCUCCAUCUUAUGGCCAGGGAGUACCAAGCGAGACUCGAGCAAGUUGUAAACAGUUAUCAAUUCUCGGCUCGGGCAAGAGUUGGCUAGUAUAGCCUCGACCCGUUUGAGCUGAUCAGGUUGGAGCGAGAAGUGAACACCCCAAGAACCUGCAACACAAACAAACAUUUGAUUAGAGACAAACCAGUAAAGUGCAAACAACAAGGGAGACAAGACAUCUAAUACGAGCAGGCAACCUGGGACCAUGAAACGGGGUGGGACGCGACAAUCCUUCCCGUCUAUUUGUGCAACUUGACCCCAAGGACCCCCAGCAAAAAAGAAUUUCCUCUUCCAAGUCCCACCACCACCAGUUGGAAGAUCAGUUAUGGGUUUCUUGCUCUUGGUACUAGAUUGGAAGUAGUACCAGCCGGCAUCUUUGGGGCUGCUCUUUAGCUGGUACAGGUGCUUCACCUCAUCAACCGUGGGCUCGCUUUGGCAACAUCUGUCCCACAAUAUGAACAGACCAGAGAGCACCCUCCACCCAUUGGGGUUCAGUUGACCAGGAGCUAGAUUGAGCCCGUGGAGUAUGCGAGCAAAAUAGGGUUGCAAGGGGCACCUUAACCCGUACUUAAAACUCUCCUGGAACAAGGUGACAUAUCCCCUAGGAGGCCUGCUAGGACUAUCUUUUUUUCCUGGGAUCCUAAGGAGUACUUCACCAGGAAUAUGAUACCUGAGCCAGAGGUCAUCCAGCUCGUUGAAUGUGGUCGUGCAGGUCAUGUAAUCAAUAGCAUAAUCCCGCAACAAGGCUCUACCUCCUACUGUACUACGCCCUUCUGGUCGCAGUGUUCCCGGUGAAGAUCCCUCACCAGAGUCACCUCCUUGAUCCUCACUUAGGGUGUCUUCCGAGCCAGAAGGUCCUUCCUCGCCACUACUUCCGCUCGUGGAGGUUGUUUGGGGGGACAUCCUCCUAGCGCUAGUCCCGACACUAGACCUAGUGGGCUCUAAGGGGAUCCCGGGGUCAAAAGCAGAAUCAGUGAGCAGACUAGGCAAGAAACCUAGUUCGUCGUCAUCAGUCUCAAUGACUUUCUCCUUACCCUUCGACAUUCCCUAAGUUCUAACCAAAACACCACCACCGACUACAACCCCAAGUAAAGCAAAGAGAAAAGAAAUUAUCUACAACUAUCCGAGACCGAGGAGAUAGAAGUAAUACCUGAAGUAAUGGUUCAGUUAGAGAAAGGCAGGGGAGGAGACUUUUAUGCCGAGACUUCUUUGCCGGAGAGACAGAGACAGAGAUGGAGUAAAUGACGAAUUUUCCCUUUGAGAGGUUUUGGGUUUUCCUAAUGGAGAAUGAACUUUUGGAUUGCCAGCAUUUAAUAGCAUCGAAUCCCAAGGGUCUCGUAACCGUCGGUUUAAAAUUCAAAUAGAUGGGUAGAUUUCUGCCACAUCACCUGGUCCACAAUUAAAUGCGACACGACUCUUGGCAGCCUUUUCCUAUCCCGCGCGAGCAAGAACUGUCGAGUUUCUACUGUUGGCUCACUACGCUACCCAACACAAGAAACUGGGGGACUGGUGUUUGUGCGAUAUGUUUCGACGAAGACUAGCAGUGAUGAGCAGGCGUCUGGUAGCAGGGUUCCUCGAACAGGUAUAUCUUGCAAGAGUCUGGUAGCCGGGGGAGCAAGAGCAGGAGUAUCCUGCUCGUCCACGAGUACGUCAUCCACGAGGCCGGUCUCCUGUUGGGAGCGUAAAGCCAUUCCUGCUAUAUUUCUGCUAGCGGUUGAGUCGAGGAGACCCGGUCAACGACAGUUGAUGAGACAUGCUCUUCAGUUCGAGAAUCAAGGCGCGAAGGCCACGCAACCACCCACGACUACGGAAAUGGAGCAUCCACUUUCGAGAAGUGGGAGGAUGACAAGCGCAAAGGGAGGAAAUGCAUGGGCUCAGAAGUGGCCUAUAAAAAGGUAACCAACGAAGGUAAAAGGGUUAGCAAUUUUGAGAUUAUAACAGAGACUAAGGAAAUUCUAAAGAAGAGAAAACUAUUAAAAAGCCAUAAGAUCUGUGGCAAGCGUUCCCAGAGCCUUCAUAUCUGACUUGAGCGUCGGAGGGUUUACGCCGGGAAAACAACCGGCGUGCUCUGACUUGUUUCUGUGGACGCAGGAAUACUUGGAGAAGAAAGCAUACGAGGAGAGAUCCUGGUCGAGGUGAGGUUGAUCGAGCAGAUAUCCUGGUCGUAGGAAGAGCGUAACCAGAAUCUCGCAUCAACAAUUGUCUUUGCUCUCUAAUCUAUUCAAUUUUCUUUCUGGAGACAAGAUUUUGAUUCCUUUCAUCGUUACAAAAACGGAACCAUGGUUGAUGUGGGAGAGAUCUUACUCAACGCCUUCUUUUAGGUGAUGUUCGACAGGUUGGCUUCCCGUGAUUUGCUCAGCUUUGUCCGUCAACUUGGAGGGGGGGUCGAUUCCGAGCUCAAGAAGUGGGAAAGAAAGCUGAAGAUGAUUCAGGCGGUGCUCAACGAUGCAGAGGAGAAGCAACUGACGGACGAGGCUGUGAAGAUGUGGCUGGACGAUCUCCAAGACUUGGCUUAUGACGCUGAGGACAUUCUUGAUGAGUUUGCUACUCAAGCUUUGGAAAGCAAGUUGAUGGCGCAAAAUCAGGAUAGCUCUGGCCAACUUCUCAGUUUCAUCCAGGCUAGUUUGAAUCCGAAUGCUAUUAUGUUCAAUUAUAGCAUGGGGUCCAAGAUUAAAGAUAUCACUAGCCGGCUGGAGCAACUCUGCCAAGAAAGAAUUGAACUUGGACUGCAACGGAUUACUGGAGGGGCAUCAUCAACUACUGCUGCUGCACACCAGAGGCUACCCGGUUCAAUUGUCCCAACAGAACGUGAAGUAUUUGGAAGAGAAGAAGAUAAGGCCAAAAUUCUUGAUAUGGUAUUGGCCGAUACCCUAAGUGAUCAUGCCAACUUUGCUGUAAUACCCGUUGUUGGCAUGGGCGGGAUAGGAAAAACAACUCUCGCUCGGGAGGUUUACAAUGACAAGGCCGUUGGCGGUUCCAAGUUUGAUGUAAAAGCAUGGGUUUGCGUAUCUGAUGUCUUUGAUGUUUUGGGCAUCUCAAAGGCACUUCUCGAGUCAAUCACCCGCAGGCCUUGUCUUCUAAACAGUUUAAAUGAAGUGCAGGUUGAAUUGAAAGUAGCUGUGGAUAAAAAAAGAUUCUUGCUGGUCUUAGAUGAUGUUUGGAACGAGGACUACAGCUUGUGGGUAGACUUAAAAGCUCCGUUCCUGGCUGCUGCACCAAACAGUAAGAUGAUCGUCACCACACGCAAUUCAAAUGUUGCAUCAACAAUGGGACCAAUUGAACAUUACAAUCUCAAGAGUUUGUCAGAUGAUGAUUGUUGGUCCAUUUUCAUAAAGCAUGCAUUUGAAUAUAGAGAUCUUAACGCACAUCAAAUUUCAGAAUCGUUCCGCGGGAAAGUUGUUGCCAAGUGUGGAGGCUUGGCCCUGGCAGCAAAAACACUCGGAGGCCUUCUGCAUACGACGAGGCAUGAUGCGUGGGAUGAUACGUUAGAGAGCAAAAUAUGGGAUUUACCUCAACAAAGUGGGGUUCUCCCCGUAUUAAGAUUGAGUUACCAUCAUCUUCCUUCUCAUUUGAAAAGAUGUUUUGCUUACUGUGCAAUCUUUCCAAAAGAUUAUGAAUUCAAUCAGAAGGAGCUGACUUUCUUAUGGAUGGCUGGAGGAAUUAUUCGACAGUCACGAAACAGUGAGCAGCUGGAAGAUUUGGGCAGCAAGUGCUUUCAAGAUCUAGUGUCAAGGUCUAUUUUUCAACAAACCAGCUCUGGUAGUUCUAAAUUUGUAAUGCCCUAUCUUAUCCAUGAUCUUGCUGAAUUGGUUUCUAGAGGGACCAUUUUCAAGUUAGAGGAGUCCACCAACUUGUCGUCGAGGAGAUUUGAAAGAGUUCGCCAUUCUUCCUAUGCCCGCGGUUGGCAUGACGGUAAAAAUAAGUUUGAGGUUUUCUAUGAAAUUGAACAUCUACUAACAUUCUUGCCAUCACGCAUAAGAGGUGGCACUAAUACGAGUUACAUAACUCGAACGGUUCUAUCUGAUUUGUUGCUGAAUUUCAAAAGUUUGAGGAUGUUAUCUUUACAAGGAUACUGUAUUGGUGAGUUACCAAUUUCAUUUGAAGAUUUGAGACUUUUAAGGUUUCUCAACCUUGCUUACACUGACAUAAGAAGUUAUCUGAGUCAACAUGCAAAUUGCUGAACUUGGAAAUUUUGAUAUUAAGAAAUUGUUCUCGUUUGAUAAAGCUUCCACCCAAAAUGAGGAAUUUGAUCAAUUUACGCCAUCUCGAUAUAAGAGGUGCGAAGUUGCUGAAGGAGAUGCCAUUCGGAAUGAAAGAGUUGAAGAAGCUUCAAACAUUGUCCAAUUUUAUUGUGGGCAAGGGUGAAACUGCAUCUUGUUUGGAAGAUUUAAAAUGUUUAAACUUUCUUUGUGAUAAACUUUGCAUUGCUGGAUUAGAGAAUGUUAAUAAUCCACAGAAUGCAAGAGAAGCCGCAUUAUGUGAGAAACACAAUCUUGAAGCAUUGACUCUGGAUUAGGGGUUUCAAUUUGACAAUUCCUGAGGAGUAGUAGAAGAGCAUGUACUGGAAAAUCUACAGCCUCAUAAAUGUAUAAAAAAGGUGGCGAUCCGGAACUAUGGUGGUGCAAGAUUUCCCCUUUGGAUAGGAGAUCCUUUGUUCUCCAGGAUAGAGCUCCUAAAAUUGGAGAACUGUGACAAUUGUGUAUCUUUGCCAUCGCUUGGCCUAUUGAGUUCACUUAGACGGCUUGCUGUUAAAGGGCUGAAUAAACUAAAAAGCAUAGGGUCUGAGGUUUAUGGGGAGGGUUUCUCAAUGCCUUUUCCAUCAUUGGAGAUUCUAAGUUUCGAGAAUUUGCCAGAAUGGGAGCAUUGGGACACCGAUGUCAAAGGAAAUGUGCUUGUUGAAAUAUUUCCUCGUCUCCAUCAACUUUCCAUUGUGGAAUGUCCCAAACUCUCGGGAGAACUGCCUGAGCUCCUGCCCUCCUUGGAGACACUUUUUGUUAGUAAAUGUGAAAAGUUGGUAGUUCCAUUGUCUUGCUAUCCGAUGCUCUGCAGAUUAGAAGUUGAUGAGUGCAAGGAACUAGCAUGCGGGACUCCAAUUGAUUUUAAGUUGAUAACGUCUGUGACUAUUUCAAAUAGUUCCUUAGACAUGAAUGGAUGCAAGGGGAUGCUAUACGAUGGUCCAGCUGGCUCUUCACUACCAAAGCCUAUGAUUACUACAAAUGUUUCGGAGUUUGGAAAAUUAUUGAAGCCUGGAUUUCAGAUAUUAGAAACUUUGGUAAUUGCCAAUUCUGAACAGCUCAAGUCAUGGAGGCAGAAUGGGGAUUUUCCGGAAAAAUACACGGCCCCUGAACAUAGGUUUAAGAAACCAGUACGAGGGCUGAAUAUGCUCGCUUCCCCUGAAGAGGUAACAAUUGAAGAAAGUUGCGUACGUCUUGUUUUGUUUCCAGAGAUCAAUUUCUUUCCCAGAAAUCUGCGCUCUCUUCUAAUUAACAACAACACUGCUUUCAAAUCCUUACCCGAGGAAAUGAUGGAAAACAAUUCACAACUCGAAAGGUUGUAUAUCAGAGAUUGCGACUCUCUAACAUUCAUCGCAAGACGGAGGCUACCAGCAUCUCUUAAAAGGCUUGAGAUAGAAAAUUGUGAGAAAUUGCAACGUCUGUUCGAUGAUGAAGAGGAUGCUUCUUCUUCUUCACCUUCACCCUCGUCUUCCCCAGUGAUGCUGCAACACCUGAGUAUAGAGAACUGCCCAGAGCUCACCAGUUUAUCAUCGGGUGUCCAAUUCCUUGAGGCGCUUGAAGACCUCGACAUACAGGGUUGUCCAAAGCUGGAGUCAUUACCGGAUGGCCUGCCCAAUCUUAAAUGUUUACAGAGCAUUUAUAUACGGGGAUGUCCAAGUCUUGUUUCCUUCCCAGAAAGAGGGCUUCCCAACACGAUUUCAAGGGUUGACAUUUGCAGUUGUGACAAGCUCAAAGCCUUGCCCAAUGAUUUGCACAAACUCAACUCUCUUCGAGAUUUAAGAAUACGGCUGUGUCGAAAUCUUGUAUCGUUUCCAGAAGAAGGUUUUCCUACCAAUCUAACAUCACUUACAAUUGGAAAUUUCAAAAUGUAUAAGACACUCGUCCAGUGGGGGUUGCACGGGCUUACCUCUCUUAAACGCCUCUCGAUCAGUGGAUGUCAUGAAGCAGAGUGUUUUCCAGACGAGGAGAUAGGAAUGACGCUGCCCACCUCUCUCACUCAACUGCUCCUUUAGGGAUUCGAAAAACUGAUAUCUCUGUCUUCGACGGGUUUUCAAAGCCUCAACUCUCUUCAAUACUUAUUGAUCUGGGGUUGCCCAAAUCUCACAUCAUUCCCAGAGGCGGGUCUUCCAUCCUCACUUUUGGAUUUAGGCAUUUACAAUUGUCCAAAGCUUAAAAGAGCGUGCAAAAGAGAUCAAGGAAAAGAGUGGCCCAAAAUUGCUCACAUCCCUCGCAUUGAGAUAGACAGAAAAUUCAUAUACGAUCCAGAAUCAGAGGAGUAGAUUCUAUUACAAAGGUCAGUUGAUUUCUAUUAUCCUCUAUAACAAGCUCCUCUUAAUUUUUUUUUUCUAAGUAAUAAUUUUGCAGUUCUGUAUAAUUAUUAAUCGUCUGCUCUUAAUUGAAAAUGUCACUCACUUGAUUCCGUUUUCACUAGUCAAAUUGUAUGUUGAGGCUAUUUGCUUUUUAAUUAUAACACUUAUCUUAAAAUUUAAUACCAAAUUUUUUUGAUUCACUUCAAUUAGCAUUUUGUUUUCCCCAAAUUAGGCAAGCCGAGAGCUUCAUUAACUAGAGUUUUUUAUUUUUCGGACCUUGCAUCUGAAAGGUUCAGUGUAUUUUUUUUUUUUUCAAAUUUAUUGUUCAGAUCUCAGACGAGUAUACGGUUUAGAUUACAAAACACCUAUGAUUAAUUUCUUUUUUUUUUUUUUAAUUUCAGGGAGAAGAAGUGGUCAGUUUCAAUCCGGAAUUGGAAUAUGGCAAUUUGGUUCAAGCACACACACCUGGUCACUUGGUCAGUGAACCUGAACUUUACGCAGUUUUUUCAACUCAGUGAUUUUUGGAACGCAUAUUGGUGUAAGGAAAUCAAUAGAAAUUUAUGCAUAGUCAAAUUCUGAUAUUUGCUAUAAUAUUAUACAUUCUAAAGUUUCUCCAGUUUGUUCUCAGAUUACCAUCAUUUUUUGCCUUCACCAAAAAAAAAUCGAGUGGCUUUCCAGUGGAUAUUUAAUCGGAGGUAUGACUGGAUUUUUUUCACUUCUGUAAAUCUUGCAUUUUAAACUGGCAAAUUUAACUUUAAUUUUAAUACGACUUGUUUGAGGGAAAUACUCCGACGAGACCAGACGUGAUGAGCAGAUGUUUGGUGGCAGAAGUCUGCGAGCAGGUGUGUCCUGUAAGAGCCAGGUAGCAGGGAAACAGGGGCAGAAAUAUCCUGCUCAUCCACGAGCAUGUCAUCCGCGAGGCCAAUUUCCUGUAAGAAACAUAAAGCCAUUCCUGCUGUAUUCUUGCUAAGGGUUGAUUCGAGGAGACCCGGUCAACGACAGUUGGCGAGGCAUGCUCUCCAGCCCGAGAAUCUAGGCACGAAGGCCACGCAACCACCCACGACUACGGAAAUGGGGAAUCCACGUUCGAGAGGUGGGAGGAUAACAGACGUAGACUGCGGAAAACUGGGAUUCAGAGGAAGCCUAUAAAAAGGUAGCCAACGAAGGUAAAAGGGUUAGCAAUUUUGAUUCUAAAAGAGAGAAAACAACCUAACAACCAUAAGAUUUUUGGCAAGCGUUCCCCGAACCUUCAUAUCUGACUUGAGCGUCGGAGGGUUUGCGCCGGGAAAACAACCGGCGUACUCUGACCUGUCUGUGUGCGCAGGAACCUCUGGAGAAGAAGCUUUACGAGGAGAGAUCCUGGUCGUGGUGAAGUUGAUCGAGCAGAGACCCUGGUCGUAGAACGAGGAGAACCAGAAUCUCGCAUCAACACGACUUUGUUGGUGCCUUGUGUUCCAGAAACUAGAAUGAUGUGUAGUUUUCAGAUUAAGGGGCUUGUAAAUUCUCUAGUAAGAAUCCAAUAAUUUGCUUUUGCACAUUCAUUUUAUUUGUGGAUCCUUGCAUCUGAAUUUGAUCAAUCCAAAAGGAAUUGCUUUUAGACAGAAGAAGAAUUGCAGUACCUAGCCUACGACAUAGUAAAUGGACCUGCAAACCUGUAACUAUUAGUUUGAGGUAAAAAAUUCAUGACCCUCACAUGUUAACUUCUUCUAGUUACUUUCAUCAAAAACACAUUUAAGAAAUUUGCAAUUUUUUGUUAGUUUUGUAUACCGAUGUUGUUUUCUGUUUUAGCAUUUGUAUAAUCUACUGUAUUAUAUUUUGGCGGUUGCAGUAUCUGAGGUAUCUUUUGCAUUUAACUUGCUUUAUUUGUUUUGCUUGUGACUUAAGAACACCAAUAUUUGCCAGAGAUUUAGAGAAGCAUAUCAAGAUGCUUGGCAAACUUGACAAACUUCAAGAUCCUUCAUUCUUCACGACCCAAAACUUGUGAGUACACUUAUGCCCGCAAUUAUUGUGAAACGCUUGCAAUUUUGAUGCAGCGAAAUGGUUUGUUGAUGCAAAGGUUUAAACUUUUAAGAUUUACACUGCAGGGUAGUUGGAUGCUGUAUAGUCGAACGGCCACCAACAUCAAGAACUAUAACUCCAAGACCGGGUUUGCAUUAAUUCAAUCAGCUGAAAUAAUGAUGCAAAUGACACUAUCAGCUGGACUUAGAGACCAGUCAGAUCAAUCAUCCUUUUAUCAACAGUUAAUGUCAUGAUGGUGUCUAUCGGAGGAAACAAAGGAUGUGUCGGAAUCAAUAUGAACAGUGAGAAGAAUGAGAGGAGCUUUGAUUAUAAGUAGGCUCAAUGAACUCAUGCUGGUAAGUGGUAAUUAAAGAAAUUUGUGCGCUUAGUAGCAUUCAAUAUUUUCUGUUUGGGAUAUAGUUGAUGAGUUGAUACUCUGAUUAAGAAGCCUGAUUAUAGUAGCUGACUUUUUUUUUGUGGUUUGCUGUUGUUUAUUCUUUCGAUUAAUUUCAACAUUAGGUUGAUCUGUUGAAGAACAAACUUGGGUUUGAUUAUGCUUUAACUACAAGGAAGAGCCAGACUUGGAUGCAGGCGUUCAGCUUUUAAUGGGUAAGAACAAAUGUAUGCUUUAACCAUGUUUCUCACUUAUUACAAUGCACACAUUGAAGGCAUCUGAGCUGAUCCUGAAAAUGUGAUGGAAAUACUUCUCUGUUUACAUAAAACAGACAAAUAGAGAUCUCUGAUCAUGCCUGAGAAUUCGUUGCAUUUAAAAUUUCUACCAUUGCCAAAAAUAGAAUAAACUACGGAUACAUUAGCUUAAGACUCAAUUUUGAGAAGGAAGUUUGCACAUGCAGCCUAAAAAAUCACGUCCGUGUUGUAUACUUGUAUGUUUCUUUGGGAAAUGAAAGAUUCUGUGUUCUUUUAUUUCAAGUUUGCUGAAAUCACAUUUGUUUUCUUAGAUGCUUUUGGGAAGGUAACAACAUCAAUUUCAUAAAUGCUGGGGUAAGAUGCAUCACGCAGUGCUACUCAACAUGAGAAUUCCCGGCCGCAUUACCUGUAUGUUGAGUGAUCGCACAGUACAACCUUUAGAAGCUUGUAAGGAGUAGACAACUAGAUGCGAAUAGUUUCAAUAUGGAUUCGCAUCAAAUGAUCUCUUGCCAGUGAUUACUAUAACCUCUAUCCCAAAAUUCUUGGAACUGGUCAUACCAAUAAUGAAGUAUUGUGUACGUUGAAGACGUAGCUCAAGGCCUUGCGAAAGCUCCGUCAGCCUUUGUAUUGGAAAACAGUUGGUUGUAGUUGCUUCUGAAUGAUAUUAUUAAUAGAUACUGUAAAAAUGAAGUGUGCCACUCAUUUUCAGAGCCCUGUUAAGAUGUGUUGGUAAUGUGUUUGAAGGUUGUUUGAUUUGUGUUGUAUUCAGCUAUAAAUCAAAGAUUCAGAACAUGGUUAUGUUACUGGUUUCCAAAUAAAAAAAUUGCCUUGUGAUGUUAGUGUUCAUUGUUUUCACAGGAGAUCAGGUUCCCUGUUGAUGAAUCAAGAAGGCAAACGCAUCCAUGCCUUAAGUUCAAAUGUGUCUCUUCUAUUUUCUAUUACUGACUCCUUUAUUUUGAUUUCUUCAUUGUAAUGGAAUUGGUUUUCAUUCCAAAUUAGUCAAAACCUCCUAGAGUCAUUAAGUUCUGUUAGCAUUUGAAGAUAGAACUAGAACUAAAUGAUUGACUGGAUUAAAUUCCGAUAAAGAAUUAAGUUAUGUAUUUAGAGAUAUUUUGUUUUUUUUUUCAUUUGUUCAAUUUGGUUAGUGGUGAUUUCUUAAAGACUCAAUCCAUGUGCGUUUAUGCAUUUUUCUUUUGCCUUAAUUUCUGUUUCUUGGGGAGUUUAUACAGAUUCUUAUUUUAUGCUUCACAUGCCACAUGAAAGAUCGAAGCAUUUUGUGUGAUUAGAACUGACUUGCAUCACAGUAACUUUAAACCACUGCCACAUUUUUAUAAUAACAGUCUGAGAUCUCCCUGAAGGAUUCAAAGCAUUUUAUUUUAUAUUAACCUCCUUUAAGUGGGUUUCGACACUACCACAAGUUCUUUAAAUACUAAAACGAUUUUGAGUCUUUUGUAUCAUCUGAUUGAAAUACCUGAAAGCACUCGUGGCUGCAAAAAUAUAUCGAUUUUGAGUAUGGCGUGCAUGUAAAUUAUAUCGAUUUUUUCUAUAUGACAAGUAAGACUCUCUUUUACAAUGGCACGGAUGCGUCAUUGAGUAAUCAUGAUUCUUGCUGGUAGUGCUUUGUUGUAUCAAUCUGCUAGCUAUUCAGCUUUCUUUCUUUCUUUCUUCUUUUUUUUUUUUUUUUUUUGUUUUCAAAUAGCUUGUGGUUGUAGAAAUAUUUCAAUUAAACUAUACUUAAGUACUUAUUUAGUAUAACUUCUUUACUAGCCAAAAUAAUUUUUUUUUGGUUUUUUAUAAUUUAAUUAUACUUUAACUAGAGUUUUUGGGAUUAAACAAGUGAUAAUUUCUCUCUAUUAAGAAAAACUCAAAAUUUUUUAAUUACUAGAAUGCGUCUAAAUUAAAUUACAAUUAUAGACACUAAAAUAUAGUAAAUUUUUUUUUUUACUCUUUAAAACUGUCUUUACAUUCGAUAUCAUAUUUUUUUCUUAAAAUCUAAAUUGAUAUUUUUAUUUUAUUUUUGAUUAAUCUUAGAACACAUAUAAAGUGAUUCAUAUUGAUUUUAUACUAACAAACUAUCAUAGCACAUUCGAAAAUAAUUAACUCGUUCUUAUUUGCAUAGUGAAAAAGGCAAAUAGCUCACCCAAAUGUUAAGGAACUGGAGAGCUGCUGCUGGAGACGAAAGGAUGUGAAAAGCAUGGUAAAGAAAAAUUGCAUAAUUCUCACUUAGAAGAGGAAGAAAAAAAAAAUACAAUUAGAAUGAGAGGUAGCCAGUAGCCAGUAGCCGCCACCACCACCAGUCAAACUAUUUCGACACACUAAUACUGUAAUACAUAUCAAAAUGCAAUAUCGGUCCUAACAAAAUGAAAAUAAAAAUUCAUUACGAAUAUGUGUUAAAGAUAUCCCAAGUAUUGAUGUGAUUGAAAUAUUUGAGAUUGAAGUAGAAAUAAGACUCAAAAUCAAUUGAGAGGAAUAAAUGAGAAACUCUAAUACUAAUAAAAUAUAUUCACAAAUCCUAAUGCUAAUUAAAAUCACGGAUUAAAAAAAAUAAUAUGAAUGAAUUACAGGCGCAACUGUUUCAUUAAAAAAUUAAUAAAAUCGUGUAUUAAUAUUUUGUACACAUACAUUUUUCCAUAUAUAACUUUUGGUAAUUUAGUUUUCCACUUAUCAUUUUUACUCCAAAAAAAUAAUUGAGAAUAUUAUUUAUGUUUUGGUGCAAAAUAUUUAAACAACAUAAAAAUUUUCAGUUUAAUAAAUCUAAACAAUUCUCAAGUUAUAAAUGAAUUUAAUGGGUUUAAUUAGUAAAAAUACUAUUAUUUUAUAAAUUGGGUUUAGUAAUGGUAUAUUGGGUAUUUAAAUGGGUUUGUUGAGUAAAUUUUAAAAUUUUAAAGUUCAAGGGUAGGUUUAUUUAGUAAAUGGGUUAAUGCAGCAAUUUUCAAACUAAAUUUUUGGAAAAAGAGGCUAUUGAGUUUUUUUUAAGAAAAAGAAUUAAAAUGUUGAGAAUACCUUUAUUUAAUUUUAUAAUCUAAUUUUAAAAAAUUUACCCAAUAAAUUUUAUAAUUUUUUAUAAAAAUUAUCAUUAACAUCCAAACAGCUGAAGAUUAAAAAAAAAAAAAGAAGGGAACUGUACUAGCAAAAGUUAGAUUAACAAUAAAUUUAGUCCAAAGAAUAAAGUUAUAGCUAAAAAGUGCUCCUAUCCUAUUUUUCUCUAUUUUAACAAUAAUCUUCCAAUCCAUUUUACAAUGGACUUAACAAAUGGGCUCAAUCUCUAAACUUCAUUUUCUUUUGCUAACCCAUGGCCAUUAGCCAGAAAGCCUAAAACAAUUUUAGGAUCACAUGUGUAAAUGGAACCCCAAGAUUGAUCAAGAAUUAACAAGACAAGAUGAAGAGAUGAUCUUGUAACUAAGAAUGAAGAAAUUGAAUCAAGACAGUACUCUAGUAAAACCCAGAAAACAGAGCUUGAAGAAUCACGCACAAAGCAGUAAAUUUGUAAAACCAGAAUUGGAGCUUCACUUCUCAAGAUAGACGAAACAGGAUACAAUCUAGCUUUGGUCAACUUCGUUUGGCCACGUCAUAAAGUCUUCCCCCACAGUCUUUCCCGCCAAAACAGAAAAGCUUUAAAAGCCAUUUACCCUCCUGAGUUACUUGCUCCUAUUACAUCAAGGCCCUGUAAGUCUAUAUUUAUUAUUACAAAAGCACCCUUAAACCGAGAUUUGAGAUAUUUUUUCAAAGAUCGAAGCGCAUGAUUUCACGGCUAUGUUGCAUAGUGAAUUUUAGUGCUUUACAGUUAAGGGAUAGUUUAAAUUCAUUACAAAGCAUUCGCAAAGAAAUUGUUUUUAAAUGAAACUCCUCGUCUUGACCAGAUUAUUUAUUAUUAUUAAAAAAAAAAUGUUCAAAACUUAGCCAAAGUGAUAAACUCGUAAUUAUUCUACAAAGGGAACAAUUUUGAACGGUGGGAAAUUCCAUAAUUAUGCUUUUCUGUGAAUUAUUUUAAAUAAAAUUAUAAAAAUUAAUAUAAAAUUAUAAUAAUGAUAGAGCCACAAACUCUUGUACAAAUUUAUUUUAUACAAACUCAUGUGGCAUGAUAAGAUUGGUUGAAUUAAAUAUUACUUGGCCCACAUGAUUUGUUUUUAUUAUUUUAUAUUUUUAUUCAACCAAUAAAUUAAUACCACGUCAGUUUGUACAAAAUAAAUUUAUACAAAAAUUUGUGACUCGAUCAUCACUCAUAAAAUUAAUACCCGGUAAAGACUGUAGAGAGACAAGUGCCCCCAACAGAAUCAAGUGAAUAUGCCCCACAAAGAUCACAUGAUCAUUUCUGUUCUUUUUCUUUUUGAUAAUUUUAUCUGUGGUUUCAACUUUUAUGCUUUAUUGUCGUAUCCCGUUGAGGGCUCCGCUGCACCCAUUACAACUUACCCCUAAAUUGCCUCUUACUAACUAAACCGUUAGAUUUUAUGGAAGCACGUUCAAUGUUGAAUUUUAAUUAUGUCAUCGAAUUUCGUUUAGCUCCUUAAACUCCAUUUUAUUUGUAAUUUCUUCAUAAAAUAUUCAAAGCUUCAUCAAGCUCCUGAUGGACCAUCAUGGCUAGGGGUGCAUUAGAGCCGAACUGAAAUAUGUUAGUUCAGUUCAGUUUGGUCAGUUUAAAUCGAAUGGUUUAGAAUAUAUAAACUGAUCAAUUUUAAUUUUGAAUUGAACCGAACCGAAAAUCAAUUGGUUCACUAUUAGUAUUUUUGUAUAAACAAGAAUGAUUAGUGAUUAUAAUUAAAUUGGACUAAAAAAAAUUCAAACUAAGGUGAAAAAUAUCAAAUCUUAGACAAUAUAAAAAAAAAUAUUAAAUUUUUUUAACCGAAACGAACCGAAUUAUUUUGACUCAGUUUGGUUCAUAAUUUUUUAAACCAAACUGAUUUAUUCCCACCCCCUAAUCGUGGCUCUCUAUCUUUAGUCAUUCACCCUUGAGUUUGAUGCCAAUUGUUGGGUUUCAAAUGAUUAUACACUCAAAUGGAACCCUCAUAACAAAAAACUAACAGAAACAAUAAGAACACGAUGUUAAAAUCUUAAAUCAAUCGCAAAAAAGCACCCAAAACAGAUCGAUUAGGAACAGUUAAGAACAAAAGAUUUGAUGGUUCAAAAUCAUAAUGUGACCUACGUACUUUCAUCCAAGAAUCAUACUAAUUGCUUUACUAGUUGUCAAACUCAAGAUCACAAGAUUGUUUAUCACUCUACAUAAAAAUUUUUUUUAGAAGAAAUACUCCCCAAUUUUUCUCUUAAUAGUUAUGAAUCAACACCCCUAGGAAGCCUGUUGAUUUACUUUUCCUUAUUUCCUAUGAUCGGUUGCUGCAACUUAAUCCUUGCCAAGCUCCAACAUAGUCCAAACACUUUUAACGGUACAGGCAUAGUGCACCUUCAGAAACUUUACAGCUCCUCUUAAAACCUCAGGCAUCGUAAGCACAUUAAGCAGCCGACAACACUCUUCUUCAUUUCUUCAUUGUCAAUUUCCUUCUUGGAACAUUGCUCCAUUGAGAGUCUGCUAGAAUUGCUCCAAUUAUUAUUAUUAUUUAAAAAAAAAAGAAAACCCUGCAAUAAGAGUAUAAGACUAAGCAACGGUCCUUUUUUUUUCCCCAUUCUUGAACCUAAAGUAUUUGAGUAUGCAAAUUAAUAAAUAAAUUCAUUUAUUUUUAUUAAAAUUUUGUAAAAUUAUAAUUUUUAAUAAAAAUAAUUAUUAAAAUUUUGUAAAAUCUAAAUUUAGAAAAAUUCAGUUGGGCACCUCUAUUUGAGAUUUAUUUUUUAUUAAAUUUAGGGAUAUUUUUAUAAUUAUAAUUUUUAAUUUUAAAAGUUUUUAUAAGAUAAAAUAGUCUUUUAAUUUAUUUAGGGGGUAAAAUUGGUGUUUUAUUAAAAUUAUUUAAUUGUGUUAAUGCAAAAGUGGCUAUUUGAUACAAAUGUGAAAAGAAAGGUGGUGCAAAAUAUAUGUUAAAAUUUUAUAUUGGUUGGAUGAACAUAAGCUAAAAUAAAGGUGGUGCAAUGAUAAUUUCCCUAUCCUAAAACUUAAUUGACUUAAUUCUUACGGUGCAAGGAAGAGGUUUCCAAGUUUAAAUCUAAAGGCUUGUAUUUAAUUUGGGGUUGGGAAAGCACUGAGAAAUAAAUGUAACUAAGGAAAAAAAAAAAGUCACGCAGUCCAAAUAAGUAGAUAUAUUUAAUAUGAGGUGGGGAUGGGUGAACUGUAAUUCAGAAAAAAAUAAAAUAAAAUUUUAUAUAAAGUUGAGGGUGUGUUUUAAUGGUUUCUUAUGCUGCGUUUAUUUUUUGGACUAGAGUGAGAAUUCUAAAAAGUGAGAAUCCUAUGAUUAGGUGUGUGGAGUGGGAGUGGGAGUAUGGUAUUUACUUAGACUAAAUAAAAGUAUGGAUUGUCAAUCAGAAUCUCAAUUAUUUGUUACUUUGUCUUGGAUUGAGAGUAAAUUAUUUUAAAUUACAAUUUUAUCCUUAUGUAAAGAAUUAUAAUUUGUAAUUAAAAAAUUAAUAAAAAUAUAUUGGAAAAUAAAAUAAAUAUUUUAUUAUAUUUAUAAAAUAAUAAUAAUUAAUAAAAUUCUUAAUUAUGUAAAUCAUAAUUUUUUAUUAAUUUAAAUUUAAAUUAUGUGAAUAAAAUUAUUAAUAAUAGCAACACAAAUGAAACAUUAUUAUUAAUAAUAUAGUAUAAAAUUAAUAUUUUUUUAGAAUAAAAUAUUUAUUAUUAUUAAAUAAAUAAAUAAUAUUUAUUAAAAUUAAUGUUUAAUAUUAUUAAUUUAAAUAUAAUAUUUAUUUAUUUUUAUUUUAUUUUAUUAAAUUUAAUAAAAUAAAUAUGUUAUAAUUAUUAUUUUUAAUAAAUAUGAUAUUAUUUAUUUUAUUAAAUAUUAUUUAUUUAUUUUAAUUAUGAGGGUAAAAAUGGAAGAGGGGGAGUGGAUUCCCACUCCCACCUCCCCCCAUGGGAGUGGGAAUCCCACUCUCCCCUUAAAAAUGGUAAGUAAAUAUUAGAAUGGGAAGAAUCUACACUCUACACUUUCUAGAAAAUAAACACUACCUUUAUUUAAAUCGAUUUGUUGGAUAUUUAGCUAAAAUGAGAGUAGCUCUCUAAUAAUUAUUGCAUUAUUACAAACAUAUCCAACGGUUAUAAUAGCGCGCUGAAUCAAUGCUUCAGAAGGAUGACAGUCUGAGUGAAAAGGAAAUAAACGCUUUCAAUUGAAUUACUACCACUACACUCCAAUACUCUAUUAUUGUUUGUGUGCUUGCUUGUGGACCUUUUUACUUCUUACUAUCAUUAUUGAAUUCCAUUUCCAAAUUUUCAGCAUACUUUUGCUUUCUUUCAGUAUCUUCAGUUUCUCUUUUGCUUGCUAUCAAUUCAGUUUUCUUCUUGUGAAGAUCGAACGGAACCAUGGUUGCUGUGGGAGAGAUCUUACUCAACGCCUUCUUUCAGGUGUUGUUUGACAGGUUGGCUUCCCGUGAUUUGCUCAGCUUUGUCCGUCAACUUGGAGGCGGGGACGAUUCCGAGCUCAAGAAGUGGGAAAGAAAGCUGAAGAUGAUUCAGGCGGUGCUCAACGAUGCAGAGGAGAAGCAACUGACCGACGAGGCCGUGAAGAUGUGGCUGGACGAUCUCCAAGACUUGGCUUAUGACGCUGAGGACAUUCUUGAGGAGUUUGCUACUCAAGCUUUGGAAAGCAAGUUGAUGGCGAAAAAUCAGGAUCGCAUUGGCCAGGUUCUUAGUUUCAUACCGGCUAGUUUGAAUCCGAAUGCUAUUAUGUCCAAUUAUAGCAUGGGAUCCAAGAUUAAAGAUAUUACUAGCCGGUUGGAGCAACUCUGCCAAGAUAGAAUUGAACUUGGGCUGCAACGGAUUGCUGGAGGGGCAUCAUCAACUACUUCUGCUGCACAUCAGAGGCGAGACAGUUCGAGUGUCCCAACAGAACGUGAAGUAUUUGGAAGAGAAGAAGAUAAGGCCAAAAUUCUUGAUAUGGUAUUGACCGAUACCCCAAGUGAUCGUGCCAACUUUGUUGUAAUACCCAUUGUUGGCAUGGGCGGGAUAGGAAAAACAACUCUUGCCCGGGAGGUCUACAAUGACAAGGCCGUUGAAGAUUCCAAGUUUGAUGUAAAAGCAUGGGUUUGUGUCUCUGAUGUCUUUGAUAUUUUGGGCAUCUCAAAGGCACUUCUCCAGUCAAUCACCUCCGCAGCUAGUGAUCUCAAGACUUUAAAUGAGGUGCAGGUUCAACUGAAAAAAGCAGUUGACGGAAAAAGAUUCUUGCUGGUCUUAGAUGAUGUUUGGAACGAGAACUACAACUUGUGGGAAGACUUAAAAGCUCCGUUCCUGGAUGCUGCACCAAACAGCAAGAUGAUCGUCACCACACGCAAUUCAAGUGUUGCAUCAACAAUGAGACCCAUUGAACAUUUCAAUCUCAAGAGUCUGUUGGAUGACGAUUGCUGGUCCAUUUUUAUAAAGCAUGCAGUUGAAGGUGGAGAUCUUAACGAGGAUCAAAUUUCAGAAUCAUUCCGCAAGAAAGUUGUUGGCAAGUGUGGAGGCUUGCCUCUGGCAGCAAAAACUCUCGGGGGCCUUCUGCGUACGACGAGGCAUGAUGGGUGGGAUGGUAUAUUGGAUAGCAAAAUAUGGGAAUUACAUCAACAUAGCAGCAUUCUCCCUGUGUUAAGAUUGAGUUACCAUCAUCUUCCGUCUCAUUUGAAAAGAUGUUUUGCUUUUUGUGCCAUCUUUCCAAAAGAUUAUGAAUUCACUGAGAAGGAGCUGACUUUCUUAUGGAUGGCUGGAGGUAUUAUUCGACAGUCAAGAAACAAUGAGCAGCUGGAAGAUUUGGGCAGCAAGUGCUUUGGUGAUCUAGUGUCAAGGUCAAUUUUUCAACAAACAGCAAUCUCUGAUAGUUCUAAAUUUGUAAUGCACGACCUUAUCCAUGAUCUUGCUGAAUUGGUCUCUGGAGGAACCAUAUUUAGGUCAGAGGAGGCCAAUACUCUAUCAAGAAGAUUUGAAAGGGUUCGCCAUUCUUCCUAUACCCGUGAUUGGUAUGAUGGUAAAAAUAAGUUCGAGGUUUUCAAUGAAAUUGAACAUCUACGAACAUUCUUGCCGUUAAGAGGUAACUAUUGUACUAGUUACAUAACUCGACCGAUUCUAUCUGAUAUGCUGCCAAAGUUCAAAAGGUUGAGAACGCUAUCUUUACAAGGAUACUGUAUUGGUGAGUUACCAAUUCCAUUUGAAGAUUUGAGACUUUUAAGGUUCCUCAACCUUGCUGACACUGACAUAAGAAGUUUACCUGACUCAACAUGCAAAUUGCUGAACUUGGAAAUUCUGAUAUUAAGAAAUUGUUCCCGUUUGAUAAAGCUUCCGCAGAAAAUGAGGAAUUUGAUCAAUUUAUGCCAUCUGGAUAUAAGAGGUGCGAAGUUGCUGAAGGAGAUGCCAGUCGGAAUGAAAGAGCUGAAGAAGCUUCAAACAUUGUCCAAUUUUAUUGUAGGCAAGGGUGAAUCCGCAUCUGGUUUGGAAGAUUUAAAAAGUUUAAACCUUCUUUGUGAUGAACUUUGCAUUGCUGGAUUAGAGAAUGUGAAUAAUCCACAGAAUGCAAGAGAAGCCGCAUUAUGUGAGAAGCACAAUCUUGAAGCAUUGACUCUAACAUGGUGGCCUCAAUUUGACAGUCCUCGAGGUGUAGUAGUGGAAGAGAAUGUACUUGACGUUUUGCAGCCUCAUAAAUGUAUAAAAAAGGUGGCAAUCAGGAACUAUGGUGGUGCAAGAUUUCCACCUUGGAUAGGAGAUACUUUAUUCUCCAAGAUAGAGCUCCUUGAAUUGAAGAACUGUGACAAUUGUGUGUCUUUGCCAUCGCUUGGCCUAUUGAGUUCACUUAAACACCUUGCUGUUAAAGGGCUGAAGAAACUAAAAAGCAUAGAGUCUGAGGUUUAUGGGGAGGGUUUGUCAAUGCCUUUUCCAUCGUUGGAGGUUCUAAGUUUUGAGAAUUUGCCUGAAUGGGAGUAUUGGGACACCAAUAUCAGAGGAAAUGUGCUCGUUGAAAUGUUUCCUCGUCUCCAUAAACUUUCCAUUGUGGAAUGUCCAAAACUCUCUGGGGAACUGCCUGAGCUCCUGCCCUCCUUGGAGACACUUGUUGUUAUUAAAUGUGAAAAUUUGGUAGUUCCAUUGUCUCGCUAUCCGAUGCUCUGCAGAUUAGAAGUUGAUGAGUGCAAGGAACUAGCGUGCGGGACUCCAAUUGAUUUCAAGUUGAUAAAGUCUGUGACUAUUUCAAAUAGUUCCUUAGACAUGGAUGGAUGCAAGGGGAUGCUAUACGAUGGUCCAGCUAGCUCUUCACUGCCAAAGCCCACGAUUACUACAAAUGUUUUGGAGUUUGGAAAAUUAUUGAAGCCUGGAUUUCAGAUAUUAGAAACGUUGGUAAUUGGCAAUUCUGAACAGCUCAAGUCAUGGAGGCAGCAUGGGGAUUUUCUAGAAGAAUAUAUGGUCGCUCGCCAAAGGUUUAAGAAACCAGUACAAGGGCUGAAUAUGCUCGCUUCCCCUGAAGAGGUAACAAUUGAAGAAAGUUGCGUACGUCUUGUUUUGUUUCCAGAGAUCAAUUUCUUUCCCAGAAAUCUGCGCUCUCUUCUAAUUAACAACAACACUGCUUUCAAAUCCUUACCCGAGGAAAUGAUGGAAAACAAUUCACAACUCGAAAGGUUGUAUAUCAGAGAUUGCGACUCUCUAACAUUCAUCGCAAGACGGAGGCUACCAGCAUCUCUUAAAAGGCUUGAGAUAGAAAAUUGUGAGAAAUUGCAACGUCUGUUCGAUGAUGAAGAGGAUGCUUCUUCUUCUUCUUCUCCUUCAUCCUCGUCUUCCCCAGUGAUGCUGCAACGCCUGAAUAUAAAGAACUGCCCAGAGCUCACCAGUUUAUCAUCGGGUGUCCAAUUCCUUGAGGCGCUUGAAGGCCUCGAGAUAUGGGAUUGUCCAAAGCUGGAGUCAAUACCGGAUGGCCUGCACAAUCUUAAAUGUUUACAGAGCAUUCAUAUAGAUGGAUGUCCAAGUCUUGUUUCCUUGCCCAAUGACAUGCACAAACUGAACUCUCUUCGAGAUUUAAACAUACGGGCGUGUCCAAUAUCGUUUCCAGAAGAAGGUUGUCCUACCAAUCUAACAUCACUUACACUUGGAUAUGUCGAAAUGUAUAAGACACUCGUCCAGUGGGGGUUGCACAGGCUUACCUCUCUUAGAAGCCUCGACAUUUUUGGAUGUGAUGAUGAAGCAGAGUGUUUUCCAGACGAGGAGAUAGGAAUGACGCUGCCCACCUCUCUCACUCAUCUGCACCUUUUUGAUUUCGAAAAAUUGAGAUCUCUGUCUUCGACGGGUUUUCAGAGCCUCACCUCUCUUCAAUCUUUGGAUAUCUGGUUUUGCCCAAAUCUCACAUCAUUCCCAAAGGUGGGCUUUCCAUCCUCACUUGUGGAAUUACGCAUUAGAGAUUGUCCAAAGCUUAAAAAAGCGUGCAAAAGAGAUCAAGGAAAAGAGUGGCCCAAAAUUGCUCACAUCCCUUGCGUUGAGAUAGACGAUAAAUUCAUAUACCAUCCAAAAUCAGAGGUGUAGAGUGUAUUAUUAAGGUCAGUUGAUUUAUGUUAUCCACCAUAACAAGCUCCUCCUUUUUUUUUAAAUAAUAAUUUUGCAGUCACUCGCGUGAUUCCGUUUUCACAAGUCAGAUUGUAUGUUGAGGCUAUUUGCCUUUUAAUCGCAGAUUAAAUUAUAACACUUAUCUUAAAAUUUAAUACCAUAGACAGAUAGACGAUUUUUUAAUCCAAAGUUUUUUUAUUCACUUCAGUUAGCAUUUUUUUUUUCCCCAAAUCAUGCAAGCCGAGAGUUUCAAUCAACAGAAUUUUAUUCACUCAUUGACUUUUCAACUGCUGUGGUUAUUUAUGGGUGAAAGAUAAAUUUCUUAGAUGGUAGAUAUAUCGACAUUUUAGAUUUCAGAUAUUUGUCACCAAUUUCAUUCCUUUUUUUAAAAUUUUUUUUAAGCAAGUUUGACUAAUUUUAACCAGAAUUGGAGUAUAAUAUUUUGGAGCAAGCAUACUUGAAAUUUCUGUCUUCAAUUUUUUUGAUGCUUUUUUAAUUUUGAUCUAGUAAAAAUACAUAGCCUUCACCGGCAGGAUUCUAGUCUUGGCUUUCACCUCUCUAACUCAUCUGUCCCUAUUGGGAUUCCAGAAAUUUAAAUUUCUGUCUUCAAUGGGUUUUCAAAGCCUCACCUCUCUUCGAUUUUUGUGGAUUGGGAAUUGCACAAAUCUCACAUCAUUUCCCGAGGUCGAGGAAAAGAGCGGCCCAAACUAUCAGCGGUGUUGAUUCUCUUAUUAAGGUCAGCUGAUUUCUAUUAUCCACUCUGACAAUCUCCUAUUAGUGUUUUUUUUUUAAAAAAUUUGCAGUUCUGUAUAAUUGAAAUGCCACUCACUUGUUUCCUUCUUCACAGGUCAGAUAGUAUGUUAAAGCUAUUAGUGCUGCCUCAUAGGUUGAUUACUCACAGAUGAAAUCAUAACUUUUAUCUUAAAAUUUAAUAGCAUACACAGAUAGACGAUUUUUAGUCCAAAGUUUUUUUUAUUCACUUCAAUCAAAAUUUUAGAUUGCAGAUUUUUGUCGAGUAUUUUCAUUCCAAUUUUUUCAUUUUUUAUUUUAAACCAGAAUUGGAGUAUAAAAUUUUGGAGCGCGCAUACUCUGAUGCAUGCAAUUAACUGUUUUUAAUCGUUGGAUUUUGAAAUUAAUGAUGGUAAGAUGUGUACUUAUUCUUUCUUCCAACAACCUUGCCUUCUUUCUUCGGUCGCAUAUCUAAUGAAUAUUUCUCUGUUUAGUUAAGGAUGAAUGCUUGGAGUGGGGUACUUGGUAACAUUUCUGCCUUAGAUGAAUCCUUGAAGAAAUGCCCGCAGUUCCUGAGACCAAAUACAGGUCUGAUUCAAAACAGCACCUUUCCCAGAAAAUAUGAUCCAAGGCAAAGUCAUGUUCUGAUAAUGUUUCCUUAAGUACUAAGUUGCAAGGAAACUUGAUUCAUUAACUACAGUUUUUUAUUUUUAGGACCUUGUAUCUGAAAGGUUCAGUGUUUUUUUUUUUCAAAUUUAUUGUUCAGAUCUCAGAGGAGUAUAUGGUUUAGAUUACAAAACACCCAUGAUUAAUUUCAUUUUUUUUUUAAUUUCAGGGAGAAGAAGUGGUCAGUUUCAAUCCGGAAUUGGAAUAUGGCAAUUUGGUUCAAGCAAACACACCUGGUCACUUGGUCAGUGGUCACUUGGUCAGCGAACCUGAACUUUACGCAGUUUUUUCAACUCAGUGAUUUUUGGAACGCAUAUUGGUGUAAGGAAAUCAAAAGAAAUUUAUGCAUUGUCAAAUUCUGAUAUUUGCUAUAUAUUAUACAUUCUAAAGUUUCUCCAGUUUGUUCUCAGAUUACCAUCAUUUUUUGCUUUCACCAACCAAACAAAAACAAAAUGAGUGGCUUUCCGGUGGAUAUUUAAUCGGAGGUAUGACUGGAUUUUUUUCACUUCUGUAAAUCUUGCAUUUUAAACUGGCAAAUUUAACUUUAAUUUUAAUAGGACUUUGUUGGUACCUUGUGUUCCAGAAACUAGAAAGAUGUGUAGUUUUCAGAUAAAGGGGCUUGUAAAUUCUCUAGUAAGAAUCCAAUAAUUUGCUUUUGCACGUUCAUUUUAUUUGUGGAUCCUUGCAUCUGAAUUUGAUCAAUCCAAAAGGAAUUGCUUUUAGACAGAAGAAGAAUAGCAGUACCUAGCCUAUGACAUAGUAUAUGGACCUGCAAACCUGAAACUAUUAGUUUGAGGUAAAAAAUUCAUGACCCUCACAUGUUAACUUCUUCUAGUUACUUUCAUGAAAAACACAUUUAAGAAAUUUGCAAUUUUUUGUUAGUUUCGUAUCCGAUGUUGUUUUCUGUUUUAGCAUUUGUAGAAUCUACUGUAUUAUAUUUUGGCAGUUGCAGUAUCUGAGGUAUGUUUUGCAUUUAACUUGCUUUGUUUGUUUUGCUUGUGACUUAAGAACACCAAUAUUUGCCAGAGAUUUAGAGAAGCAUAUCAAGAUGCUUGGCAAACUUGACAAACUUCAAGAUCCUCCAUUCUUCACAACGCAAAACUUGUGAGUACACCUAUGCCCGCAAUUAUUGUGAAAUGCUUGCAAUUUUGAUGCACUGAAAUGGUUUGUUGAUGCAAAGGUUUAAACUUUUAAGAUUCACCCUGCAGGGUAGUUGGAUGCUGUAUAAUCGAAAAGCGACCAACAUCAAGAAUUAUGACUCCAAGACCGGGUUUGCAUUAAUUCAAUCAGCUGAAAUCAUGAUGCAAAUGACACUAUCAGCUGGACUUAGAGACCAGUCAGAUCAAUCAUCCUUUUAUCAACAGUUAAUGUCAUGAUGGUGGCUAUCGGAGGAAACAAAGGAUGUGUCGGAAUCAAUAUGAACAGUGAGAAGAAUGAGAGGAGCUUUGAUUACAAGUAGGCUCAAUGAACUCAUGCUGGUAAGUGGUAAUUAAAGAAAUUUGUACGCUUAGUAGAGUUUCAAUAUUUUCUGUUUGGGAUAUAGUUGAUAAUUUGAUACUCUGAUUAAGAAGCCUGAUUAUAGUAGCUGACUUUUUUUUUGUGGUUUGCUGUUGUUUAUUCUUUCGAUUAAUUUCAACAUUAGGUUGAUCUGUUGAAGAACAAACUUGGGUUUGAUUAUGCUUUAACUACAAGGAAGAGCCAGGCUUGGAUGCAGGCGUUCAGCUUUUAAUGGGUAAGAACAUAUGUAUGCUUUAACCAUGUUUCUCACUUAUUACAAUGCAUGCAUUGAAGGCAUCUGAGCUGAUCCUGAAAAUGUGAUGGAAAUACUUCUCUGUUUACAUAAAACAGGACAAGAGAUCUCUGAUCAUGCCUGAGAAUUCGUUGCAUUUAAAAUUUCUACCAUUGCCAAAAAUAGAAUAAACUAGGGAUAGAUUAGCUUAAGACUCAAUUUUGAGAAGGAAGUUUGCACAUGCAGCCUAAAAAAUCAUGUCCGUGUUGUAUACUUGUAUGUUUCUUUGGGAAAUGAAAGAUUCUGUGUGUUCUUUUGUUUCAAGUUUGCUGAAAUCACAUUUGUUUUCUUAGAUGCUUUUGGGAAGGUAACAACAUCAAUUUCAUAAAUGCUGGGGUAAGAUGCAUCACGCAGUGCUACUCAACAUGAGAAUUCCCGGCCGCAUUACCUGUAUGUUGAGUGAUCGCACAGUACAACCUUUAGAAGCUUGUAAGGAGUAGACAACUAGAUGCGAAUAGUUUCAAUAUGGAUUCGCAUCAAAUGAUCUCUUGCCAGUGAUUACUAUAACCCCUAUCCCAAAAUUCUUGGCAUUGGUCAUACCAAUAAUGAAGUAUUGUGUACGUUGAAGACAUAGCUCAAGGCCUUGCGAAAGCUCCGUCAGCCUUUGUAUUGGAAAACAGUUGGUUGUAGUUGCUUCUGAGUGAUAUUAUUAAUAGAUACUGUAAAAAUGAACUGUGCCACUCAUUUUCAGAGCCCUGUUAAGAUGUGUUGGUAAUGUGUUUGAAGGUUGUUUGAUUUAUGUUGUAUUCAGCUACAAAUCAAAGAUUCAGAACAUGGUUAUGUUACUGGUUUCCAAAUCAAAAAAAUGCCUUGUGAUGUUAGUGUUCAUUUUUUUCACAGGAGAUCAGGUUCCCUGUUGAUGAAUCAAGAAGGCAAACGCAUCCAUGUCUUAAGUUCAAAUGUGUCUCUUCUAUUUUCUAUUACUGACUCCUUUAUUUUGAUUUCUUCAUUGUAAUGGAAUUGGUUUUUUAUUCCAAAUUAGUCAAAACCUCCUAGAGUCAUUAAGUUCUGUUAGCAUUUGAAGAUAGAACUAGAACUAAAUGAUUGACUGGAUUAAAUUCCGAUAAAGAAUUAAGUUAUAUAUUUAGAGAUAUUAUGUUUUUUUUUUUUUCAUUUGUUCAAUUUGGUUAGUGGUGAUUUCUUAAAGACUCAAUCCAUGUGCGUUUAUGCAUUUUUCUUUUGCCUUAAUUUCUGUUUCUUGGGGAGUUUAUACAGAUUCUUAUUUUAUGCUUCACAUGCCACAUGAAAGAUCGAAGCCUUUUGUGUGAUUAGAACUGACUUGCAUCACAGUAACUUUAAAUCACUGCGACAUUUUUAUAAUAACAGUCUGAGAUCUCCCUGCAGGAUUCAAAGCAUUUUAUUUUAUAUUAAACUCCUUUACGUGGGUUUGGACACUACCACAAGUUCUUUAAAUACUAAAACGAUUUUAAGUCUUUUGUAUCAUCUGAUUUAAAUACAUGAAAGCACUCGUGGCUGCAAAAAUACAGUUGGGGCUAUUUCUAAAGUCUUCAACAGCAUUUUCUUUUUAACCUUUAUCCUCAUGGUUGUUUUUGCAGUUGUUCUUUAAGAAAACAUUUAAAAGGUUCUCUUUAUGGAUUUUUGAAAAUAAUUUUAACAUGAGCAAUUUUCAGAAGCACUUUAGAUGUCUGGCAUUUAGGAAAUUUUAUUUCGGUGUCACAUAAAAUACUUAGGAAGUUAAAUUUAUUUAUUUAUGAGCAUGUGCCAGUGCCCAGUGGCAUCCUCUUCACUUGUGAUAGUCAAAUGUAUUAUACGAUACAAUAUUAGCUUGACUGUAGCACAGAGGAGAAUAGGGUUGGUGUUGGUCUGAACCAGCUUAUGUAACAGCUGCCAAAGGAUAAUUUAAUUGUACUUUGAGUAAAGCUUUUGCGAAUUAAACAAGUGAUAAUUUGUUUUUAUUAAGAAAAACUUAAGGAAUUAGGCUAUUUUAACUGACCAAAUUACACAUUAAAAAUUCAUUUACAAAAAUAGUUUUUAGUUAUUAAAAUAUUCCUAAAUUAAAUUAUAAUUAUGGACACUAAAAUAUUUUUUUUAUAUUUUACUCUUUGAAACUGUCUUUAUAUUCGAUAUUAUAUUUUUUUCUUAAACUCUAAAUUGAUUUUUUUUUUUGAUUAAUUUUAAAACACCUAUAAAGUGAUUCAUAUUGAUUUUAUACUAACAAACUAUUAUAGCACAUUCGAAAAAUAAUUAAAUCGUUCUUAUUUACAUAGUGAAAAUGCAAAUAGCUCGUUCAAAUGUUAAGGAAUUGGAGAGCUGCUGCUGGAGAUGAAAGAUGUGAAUUAAACAUCAGAAAAAAAAUUAUGUUUACUAUCUUGCCAGACCAAGCACCGAAAAGCAUCGUAAAGAAAAAUUAGAUAAUUUAGAAGAUAAAGCACGUGGAAUGGAGGCAGAAAGCAAGUAAUGAUAACUCUUUCGACAAACUAAUAUAUACCAAAAUGCAAUAUCAAAAAUGAAAAUAAAAAUUCAUUACGAAUACGUGUUAAAGAUAUCCCAAGUAUAGAUGUGACUGAAAUAUUUGAGAUUGAAGAAGAAUUAAGACUCAAAAUCAAUUGGGAGGAAUAAAUGAGAAACCUCAAUACCAAAAAAUACACGCGCAAAUCCUAAUACUAAUUGUAAUUGCAGAUAAAUAGCAUAAUACGAAUAAAUUCCAUGGGCAACUAUUUCAUUGAGAAAUUAAUUAAAUCGUGUAUUAAUAUUUUGUAUACAUAUAUUUUUCUAUAUAUGACUUUCGGUAAUUUAAUUUUCCACUUAUCAUUUUUACUCCAAAAAAAUAAUUGAGAAUAUUAUUUAUGUUUUGGUGCAAAAUAUUUGAACAAUAUACAAAUUUUCAGUUUAAUAAAUCUAAACAUCUAUUAAGUUAUAAAUGAAUUUAAUGGGUUUAAUUAAUAAAAUUACUAUUAUUAUAUAAAUUGGAUUUAGUAAUGGUACAUUGGGUGGGUUUGUUGAGUAAAUUUUAAAAUUUUGAAAUUUAAGGAUGGGUUUAUUUAGUAAAUGAGUUAAGGGAGUAGUUUGUUGGGAUUCACAUAACGCCACCAAAUUCAAAUGUAAAAUUUAUGGAAAAAGAAGCUAUUGAGUUAUUCUUUUUAAAAAAAGAAUUAAAAUGUCAAGAAUACCUUUAUUUAAUUUUAUAAUCUUAUUUUAUAGUCAUAUUUUAUUUCCACCUUAACAUAAUUUUAAAAAACCUUAACUAAUAAAUUCUAUAUUUUUUUUAUAAAAGUUAUCAUUAAUAUCCAAACGGCUAAAGAUUUUUUUUUUUAAAAAAAAAGAAACUAUGCUUACAAAAGUUGUAUACAUUAACAAUAAAUUUAGUCCAAAGAAUAAAGUUAUUCCAAACAAGCACUCCUAUUCAUCUUGCUAAUGAAUCAAGAUGACUGAAUCCAUUCUCUAAGCCAAAUCUAUUUUCACUUCUAGGUCAGAAAUUGUCAUUAAAAAAGUGUUUGAUAAAAUAUGCUCUGGGAACACUAAUUCGUCAGAUGGUUACUCCAAGUUUAUGAAAUCAAUGGGGUUUCAUCAUAUUCAUAACAUUCUUCUUUAAUGUCUAUUCUAACAAAGAAAUUACUAGAAAACUUUUACUAGAAAAACUAACCACAAUUCAUCAUUCAUUUAUAUCUUAAGUAAGCGUAAGAUUUUAUCAUUAAAAUCUCAUCAUGAAAAAACUCAUGGGAGAAAAACUAUAAAAAUUGAAGAAAAAAGAGUAUGGCGUGCAUGUAAAUUAUAUCGAUUUUAUCUAUAUGACAAAUAAGACUCUCUUUUACAAUGGCACGGAUGCUUCAUUGAGUAAUCAUGAUUCUUGCUGGUAGUGCUUUGUUGUAUCAAUCUGCUAGCUAUUCAGCUUUCUUUCUUUCUUUCUUCUUUUUAUUUUUUUUGUUUUCAAAUAGCUUGUGGUUGUAGAAAUAUUUCAAUUAAACUAUACUUAAGUACUUAUUUGGUAUAACUUCUUUACUAGCCAAAAGAUUUUUUUUUUGGUUUUUUAUAAUUUAAUUAUACUUUAACUAGAGUUUUUGGGAUUAAACAAGUGAUAAUUUCUCUCUGUUAAGAAAAACUCAAACGGUAGGGUUAUCUCAAUCCACCAAACUAUUUAUUAAAAAUCCACUUAUGAAAAUAAUUUUUAAUUAUUAGAAUGCCUCUAAAUUAAAUUACAAUUAUAGACACUAAAAUAUAGUAAAAAAAAUUUUUUUUUACUCUUUAAAACUGUCUUUACAUUCGAUAUCAUAUCUUUUUCUUAAAAUCUAAAUUGAUUUUUUUUUUAUUAAUCUCAGAACACAUAUGAAGUGAUUCAUAUUGGUUUUAUACUAACAAACUAUCAUAGCACAUUCGAAAAUAAUUAACUCGUUCUUAUUUGCAUAGUGAAAAGGCAAAUAGUUCAUCCAAAUGUUAAAGAAUUGGAGAGCUGCUGCUGGAGAUGAAAGAUGUGAAAAGCAUGGUAAAGAAAAAUUACAUAAUUCUCACUUAGAUGAGGAAGAAAAAAAAAAGAAUACAAUUAGAAUGAGAGGUAGCCAAUAGCCACUAGCCGCCGCCACCGCCACCAGUGAAACUAUUUCACAUAAUAGAAGAUAAAGCACGCGUAAUGGAGGCAAAAAGCAAUUAAUGAUAACUCUUUUCGACACACUAAUACAUAUCAAAAUGCAAUAUCGGUCCUAACAAAAUGAAAAUAAAAAUUCAUUACGAAUAUGCGUUAAACAUAUCCCAAGUAUUGAUGAUGUGAUUGAAAUAUUUGAGAUUGAAGUAUAAAUAAGACUCAAAAUUAAUUGAGAGGAAUAAAUGAGAAACUCUAAUACUAAUAAAAUACAUUCACAAAUCCUAAUGCUAAUUAAAAUCACGGAUUAAAAAAAAUAAUAUGAAUGAAUUACAGGCGCAACUGUUUCAUUAAGAAAUUAAUUAAAUCGUGUAUUAAUAUUUUGUACACAUACAUUUUUCCAUAUAUAACUUUUGGUAAUUUAGUUUUCCACUUAUCAUUUUACUCCAAAAAAAUAAUUGAGAAUAUUAUUUAUGUUUUGGUGCAAAAUAUUUAAACAACGUAUAAAUUUUCAGUUUAAUAAAUCUAAACAUUUCUCAAGUUGUAAAUGAAUUUAAUGGGUUUAGUUAGUAAAAAUGCUAUUAUUAUAUAAAUUGGGUUUAGUAAUGGUAUAUUGGGCAUUUAAAUGGGUUUGUUGAGUAAAUUUUAAAAUUUUAAAAUUUAAGGGUGGGUUUAUUUUAGUAAAUGGGUUAAGGCAGCAAUUUCCCAAACUAAAAUUUUUAGAAAAAGAGGCUAUUUAGUUUUUUUUUUUAAAAAGAAUUAAGAUGUUGAGAAUACCUUUAUUUACUUUUAUAAUCUUAUUUUAAAAAAUUUACCCAAUAAAUUUUAUAAUUUUUUACAAAAAUUAUCAUUAACAUCCAAACAGCUAAAGAUUAAAAAAAAAAAAAAAGAAGGGAACUGUACUAGCAAAAGUUAGAUUAACAAUAAAUUUAGUCCAAAGAAUAAAGUUAUAGCUAAAAAGUGCUCCUAUCCUAUUUUUCUCUAUUUUAACAAUAAUCUUCCAAUCCAUUUUACAAUGGACUUAACAAAUGGGCUCAAUCUCUAAACUUCAUUUUCUUUUGCUAACCCAUGGCCAUUAGCCAGAAAGCCUAAAACAAUUUUAGGAUCACAUGUGUAAAUGGAACUCCAAGAUUGAUCAAGAAUUAACAAGACAAGAUGAAGAGAUGAUCUUGUAACUAAGAAUGAAGAAAUUGAAUCAAGACAGUACUCUAGUAAAACCCAGAAAACAGAGCUUGAAGAAUCACGCACAAAGCAGUAAAUUUGUAAAACCAGAAUUGGAGCUUCACUUCUCAAGAUAGACGAAACAGGAUACAAUCUAGCUUUGGUCAACUUCGUUUGGCCACGUCAUAAAGUCUUCCCCCACAGUCUUUCCCGCCAAAACAGAAAAGCUUUAAAAGCCAUUUACCCUCCUGAGUUACUUGCUCCUAUUACAUCAAGGCCCUGUAAGUCUAUAUUUAUUAUUACAAAAGCACCCUUAAACCGAGAUUUGAGAUAUUUUUUCAAAGAUCGAAGCGCAUGAUUUCACGGCUAUGUUGCAUAGUGAAUUUUAGUGCUUUACAGUUAAGGGAUAGUUUAAAUUCAUUACAAAGCAUUCGCAAAGAAAUUGUUUUUAAAUGAAACUCCUCGUCUUGACCAGAUUAUUUAUUAUUAUUAAAAAAAAAUGUUCAAAACUUAGCCAAAGUGAUAAACUCGUAAUUAUUCUACAAAGGGAACAAUUUUGAACGGUGGGAAAUUCCAUAAUUAUGCUUUUCUGUGAAUUAUUUUAAAUAAAAUUAUAAAAAUUAAUAUAAAAUUAUAAUAAUGAUAGAGCCACAAAUUCUUGUACAAAUUUAUUUUAUACAAACUCAUGUGGCAUGAUAAGAUUGGUUGAAUUAAAUAUUACUUGGCCCACAUGAUUUGUUUUUAUUAUUUUAUAUUUUUAUUCAACCAAUAAAUUAAUACCACGUCAGUUUGUACAAAAUAAAUUUAUACAAAAAUUUGUGACUCGAUCAUCACUCAUAAAAUUAAUACCCGGUAAAGACUGUAGAGAGACAAGUGCCCCCAACAGAAUCAAGUGAAUAUGCCCCACAAAGAUCACAUGAUCAUUUCUGUUCUUUUUCUUUUUGAUAAUUUUAUCUGUGGUUUCAACUUUUAUGCUUUAUUGUCGUAUCCCGUUGAGGGCUCCGCUGCACCCAUUACAACUUACCCCUAAAUUGCCUCUUACUAACUAAACCGUUAGAUUUUAUGGAAGCACGUUCAAUGUUGAAUUUUAAUUAUGUCAUCGAAUUUCGUUUAGCUCCUUAAACUCCAUUUUAUUUGUAAUUUCUUCAUAAAAUAUUCAAAGCUUCAUCAAGCUCCUGAUGGACCAUCAUGGCUAGGGGUGCAUUAGAGCCGAACUGAAAUAUGUUAGUUCAGUUCAGUUUGGUCAGUUUAAAUCGAAUGGUUUAGAAUAUAUAAACUGAUCAAUUUUAAUUUUGAAUUGAACCGAACCGAAAAUCAAUUGGUUCACUAUUAGUAUUUUUGUAUAAACAAGAAUGAUUAGUGAUUAUAAUUAAAUUGGACUAAAAAAAAUUCAAACUAAGGUGAAAAAUAUCAAAUCUUAGACAAUAUAAAAAAAAAUAUUAAAUUUUUUUAACCGAAACGAACCGAAUUAUUUUGACUCAGUUUGGUUCAUAAUUUUUUAAACCAAACUGAUUUAUUCCCACCCCCUAAUCGUGGCUCUCUAUCUUUAGUCAUUCACCCUUGAGUUUGAUGCCAAUUGUUGGGUUUCAAAUGAUUAUACACUCAAAUGGAACCCUCAUAACAAAAAACUAACAGAAACAAUAAGAACACGAUGUUAAAAUCUUAAAUCAAUCGCAACGGUCCUUUUUUUUCCCCAUUCUUGAACCUAAAGUAUUUGAGUAUGCAAAUUAAUAAAUAAAUUCAUUUAUUUUUAUUAAAAUUUUGUAAAAUUAUAAUUUUUAAUAAAAAUAAUUAUUAAAAUUUUGUAAAAUCUAAAUUUAGAAAAAUUCAGUUGGGCACCUCUAUUUGAGAUUUAUUUUUUAUUAAAUUUAGGGAUAUUUUUAUAAUUAUAAUUUUUAAUUUUAAAAGUUUUUAUAAGAUAAAAUAGUCUUUUAAUUUAUUUAGGGGUAAAAUUGAUGUUUUAUUAAAAUUAUUUAAUUGUGUUAAUGCAAAAGUGACUAUUUGAUACAAAUGUGAAAAGAAAGGUGGUGCAAAAUAUAUGUUAAAAUUUUAUAUUGGUUGGAUGAACAUAAGCUAAAAUAAAGGUGGUGCAAUGAUAAUUUCCCUAUCCUAAAACUUAAUUGACUUAAUUCUUAUGGUGCAAGGAAGAGGUUUCCAAGUUUAAAUCUAAAGGCUUGUAUUUAAUUUGGGGUUGGGAAAGCACUGAGAAAUAAAUGUAACUAAGGAAAAAAAAAAAGUCAUGCAGUCCAAAUAAGUAGACAUAUUUAAUAUGAGGUGGGGAUGGGUGAACUGUAAUUCAGAAAAAAUAAAAUAAAAUUUCAUAUAAAGUUGAGGGUGUGUUUUAAUGGUUUCUUAUGCUGCGUUUACUUUUUGGACUAGAGUGAGAAUUCUGAGAAGUGGGAAUCCUGUGAUUAGGUGUGUGGAGUGGGAAUGAGAGUAGGGUAUUUACUUAGACUAAAUAAAAAUAUGGAUUGUCAAUCAGAAUCUCAAUUAUUUGUUACUUUGUCUUGGAUUGAGAGUAAAUUAUUUUAAAUUACAAUUUUAUCCUUAUGUAAAGAAUUAUAAUUUGUAAUUAAAAAAUUAAUAAAAAUAUAUUGGAAAAUAAAAUAAAUAUUUUAUUAUAUUUAUAAAAUAAUAAUAAUUAAUAAAAUUCUUAAUUAUGUAAAUCAUAAUUUUUUAUUAAUUUAAAUUUAAAUUAUGUGAAUAAAAAUUAUUAAUAAUAGCAACACAAAUGAAACAUUAUUAUUGAUAAUAUAGUAUAAAAUUAAUAUUUUUUUAGAAUAAAAUAUUUAUUAUUAUUAAAUAAAUAAAUAAUAUUUAUUAAAAUUAAUGUUUAAUAUUAUUAAUUUAAAUAUAAUAUUUAUUUAUUUUUAUUUUAUUUUAUUAAAUUUAAUAAAAUAAAUAUGUUAUAAUUAUUAUUUUUAAUAAAUAUGACAUUAUUUAUUUUAUUAAAUAUUAUUUAUUUAUUUUAAUUAUGAGGGUAAAAAUAAAAGAGGGGGAGUGGAUUCCCACUCCCACCUCCCCCCAUGGGAGUGGGAAUCCCACUCUCCCCUUAAAAAUGAUAAGUAAACACUAGAAUGGGAAGAAUCCACACUCUACACUUUCUAAAAAAUAAACACUACCUUAAUUUAAAUUGAUUUGUUGGAUAUUUAGCUAAAAUGAGAGUAGCUCUCUAAUAAUUAUUGCAUUAUUACAAACAUAUCCAACGGUUAUAUAUGCUUGCCUGUGGAAAUAAAAGUCCCAAGUUUCUUUGAAAGGUAAGCUAGUGUGAAUGUUUUCAUCCGUGCAACUUACUUGAUGAAUGAAGUUUUCAUCCCUGACCUUGAUGUUUCUGGUGGCUACAAUCAUUUCAGCUGAUCUAUUCCAUUUUGUUAAGGUGAGAAUUUAGAGUGGCUUUAACUGUUAGCAAAUAGCCUAAUGUAAGACUUGAUCAACUUCCUGCCCUGUUGUAUGCUUAUGAAUUUUGAUAGAGUUAUGAGUUUGCAGAAGCUACUGUAUUAUAUGUUGUUAGAGGCUGUAAAAAUGAGGCAGAUCAAACACACAUUUAAAUUUCAAUGACAAUUUACUAGAAGUAAAUUUCCUAUGACCCUCCAGGUGACUAAUCAAUGAGAACUUGACAAUAACAAAAGAAAGUGUAUGAGCUUUGCAGGCGGGCACGCCAAUCUUGACUGCAUGGCACCAUCCGCCAUUUGCAAGUGAAUAUCAUUAUUGUUUAAUCAACAUGGUGGAGUCCACUGGGACCACACCACAUGGUCAGUCUUAUCUCUAUUCCUCAAUUUUCAGUAUUCCAUACAUCAAAACAAUUUCAGUUUUGUUAUCAAUUAUAAUUUCAUUGUUGGAGACGAUUCUGAUUCCUUUCUUUCUGACAAAACGGAACCAUGGUUGCUGUGGGAGAGAUCUUACUCAACGCCUUCUUUCAGGUGUUGUUUGACAGGUUGGCUUCCCGUGAUUUGCUCAGCUUUGUCCGUCAACUUGGAGGCGGGGUCGAUUCCGAGCUCAAGAAGUGGGAAAGAAAGCUGAAGAUGAUUCAGGCGGUGCUCAACGAUGCAGAGGAGAAGCAACAGACUGACGAGGCUGUGAAGAUGUGGCUGGACGAUCUCCAAGACUUGGCUUAUGACACUGAGGACAUUCUUGAUGAGUUUGCUACUCAAGCCUUGGAAAGCAAGUUGAUGGCGCAAAAUCACGAUAGUUCUGGCCAGGUUCUCAGUUUCAUCCCGGCUGGUUUGAAUCCGAAUGCUAUUAUGUUCAAUUAUAGCAUGGGGUCCAAGAUUAAAGAUAUCACUAGCCGGCUGGAGCAACUCUGCCAAGAAAGAAUUGAACUUGGACUGCAACGGAUUACCGGAGAGGCAUCAUCAACUGCUGCUGCUGCUGCACACCAGAGGCCACCCAGUUCGAGUGUCCCAACAGAACGUGAAGUAUUUGGAAGAGAAGAAGAUAAGGCCAAAAUUCUUGAUAUGGUAUUGGCCGAUACCCCAAGUGAUCAUGCAAACUUUGUUGUAAUACCCAUUGUUGGCAUGGGCGGGAUAGGAAAAACAACUCUUGCCCGGGAAGUCUACAAUGACAAGGCCGUUGAAGAUUCCAAGUUUGAUGUAAAAGCAUGGGUUUGCGUAUCUGACGUCUUUGAUGUUUUGGGCAUCUCAAAGGCACUUCUCGAGUCAAUCACCCGCAGGCCUUGUCUUCUAAACAGUUUAAAUGACGUGCAGGUUGAGCUGAAAGCAGCUGUGGAUAAAAAAAGGUUCCUGCUGGUCUUAGAUGAUGUUUGGAACGAGGACUACAGCUUAUGGGUAGACUUAAAAGCUCCGUUACUGGUUGCUGCACCAAACAGCAAGAUGAUCGUCACCACACGCAAUUCAAGUGUUGCAUCAACAAUGAGACCCAUCGAUCGUCACCACACGCAAUUCAAGUAUUACGAUCUCAAGAGUCUGUUAGAUGAUGAUUGCUGGUCCAUUUUCAUAAACCAUGCAUUUGAAUCUACAGACCUUAGCGCACAUCGAAUUUCAGAAUCAUUCCGCGAGAAAGUUGUUGGCAAGUGUGGGGGCUUGCCUCUAGCAGCAAAAACACUCGGGGGCCUUCUUCGUACUAAAACGCAUGCUGAGUGGGACGGUAUAUUGGAUAGCAAAAUAUGGGAUUUACCUCGGCAAAGCAGCAUUCUCCCCGUGUUAAGAUUGAGUUACCAUCAUCUUCCUUCUCAUUUGAAAAGAUGUUUUGCUUUUUGUGCCAUCUUUCCAAAAGAUUAUGCAUUCACUGAGAGGGAGCUGACUUUCUUAUGGAUGGCUGGAGGUAUUAUUCGACAGUCAAGAAACAAUGAGCAGCUGGAAGAUUUGGGCAGCAAGUGCUUUGGUGAUCUAGUGUCGAGGUCAAUUUUUCAACAAACAGCAAUCUCUGAUAGUUCUAAAUUUGUAAUGCACGACCUUAUCCAUGAUCUUGCUCAAUUGGUCUCUGGAGAAACCAUAUUUAGGUUAGAGGAGGCCAAUACUCUGUCAAGAAGAUUUGAAAGGGUUCGCCAUUCCUCCUAUGCCCGUGAUUGGUGUGAUGGUAGAAAUAAGUUGGAGGUUUUCAAUGAAAUUGAACAUCUACGAACAUUCUUGCCAUUUUGCAUAAGAGGUGGCGUUACUUCUGGUUGGAUAACUAGCACGGUUCACUACGAUUUGUUGCCGAAGUUCAAAAGGUUGAGGAUGCUGUCUUUAGAAGGAUACCAUAUUGGUGAGUUACCAAUUCCAUUUGAAGAUUUGAGACUUUUAAGGUUCCUCAACCUUGCUGACACUGACAUAAGAAGUUUACCUGAGUCAACAUGCAAAUUGUUGAACUUGGAAAUUCUGAUAUUAAGAAAUUGUUCCCGUUUGACAAAGCUUCCCCAGAAAAUGAGGAAUUUGAUCAAUUUACGUCAUCUGGAUAUAAGAGGUGCAAAGCAGCUGAAGGAGAUGCCAUUUGGAAUGAAAGAGUUGAAGAAGCUUCAAACGUUGUCCAAUUUUAUUGUAGGCAAGGGUGAAUCUGCAUCUGGUUUGGAAGAUUUAAAAAGUUUAGACCUUCUAUGUGAUGAACUCUGCAUUGCUGGAUUAGAGAAUGUGAAUAGUCCACAGAAUGCAAGAGAAGCCACAUUAUGUGAGAAGCACAAUCUUGAAGCAUUGACCCUAGAAUGGGGGUCUCAAUCUGACAGUCCUCGGGAUGCAGUACUAGAAGAGAAGGUACUUGACACUCUACAGCCUCAUGAACGUAUAAAAGAGCUGGCAAUCAGGAACUAUGGUGGUGCAAGAUUUCCACCUUGGAUCAGAGAUCCUUCGUUUCCCGAGAUGAAGGUCCUUAAAUUGGAGAACUGUGACGAUUGUGAAUAUCUGCCAUCACUUGGCCUGUUGAGUUCACUUAAGCACCUUGCUGUUAAAGGGCUGAAGAAACUAAAAAGCAUAGGGUCUGAGGUUUAUGGGGAGGGUUUGUCAAUGCCUUUUCCAUCAUUGGAGGUUCUAAGUUUUGAGAAUUUGCCUGAAUGGGAGUAUUGGGACACCAAUAUCAGAGGAAAUGUGCUCGUUGAAAUGUUUCCUCGUCUCCAUAAACUUUCCAUUGUGGAAUGUCCCAAACUCUCUGGGGAACUGCCUGAGCUCCUGCCCUCCUUGGAGACACUUGUUGUUAGUAAAUGUGAAAAGUUGGUAGUUCCAUUGUCUCGCUAUCCGAUGCUCUGCAGAUUAGAAGUUGAUGAGUGCAAGGAACUAGCAUGCGGGACUCCAAUUGAUUUUAAGUUGAUAGAGUCUGUGACUAUUUCAAAUAGUUCCUUAGACAUGAAUGGAUGCAAGGGGAUGCUAUACGAUGGUCCAGCUGGCUCUUCACUGCCAAAGCCUAUGAUUACUACAAAUGUUUCGGAGUUUGGAAAAUUAUUGAAGCCUGGAUGUCAAAUAUUAGAAACUUUAGUAAUUGGCAAUUCUGGACGGCUCAAGUCAUGGAGGCAGCAUGGGGAUUUUCUAGAAGAAUAUAUGGUCGCUCACCAAAGGUUUAAGAAACCAGUACAAGGGCUAAAUAUGCUCGCUUCCCCUGAAGAGGUAACAAUUGAAGAAAGUUGUGUGAGUUUUGUUUUGUUUCCAGAGAUCAAUUUCUUUCCCAGAAAUCUGCGCUCUCUUCUAAUUUGCAACAGCACUGCUUUGAAAUCCUUACCCGAGGAAAUGAUGGAAAACAAUUCACAACUGGAAAGGUUGUAUAUCAGAGAUUGCGACUCUCUAACAUUCAUCGCAAGACAGAGGCUACCAGCAUCUGUUAAAAGGCUUGAGAUAGAAAAUUGUGAGAAAUUGCAACGUCUGUUCGAUGAUGAAGAGGAUGCUUCUUCUUCUUCUUCUUCUCCUUCAUCCUCGUCUUCCCCAGUGAUGCUGCAACACCUGAUAAUAGGGAAAUGCCCAAAGCUCACCAGUUUAUUAUCGGGUGUCCAAUUCCUUGAGGCGCUUGAAUUCCUCAAGAUAGAGCAUUGUCCAAAGCUGGAGUCAAUACCGGAUGGCCUGCCCAAUCUUAAAUGUUUACAGAGCAUUUAUUUACUCAAUUGUCCAAGUCUUGUUUCCUUCCCAGAAAGAGGGCUUCCCCACACCAUUUCAUUUGUUUGCAUUUGCGGAUGUGACAAGCUUGAAGCCCUGCCCAAUGACAUGCACAAACUCAACUCUCUUCGACAUUUAAGCAUACAGCUCUGUCCAAAUCUUGUAUCGUUUCCAGAAGAAGGUUUUCCUACCAAUCUAACAUCACUUACAAUUGGAGAUUUCAAAAUGUAUAAGAUACUCGUCCAGUGGGGGUUGCACAGGUUUACCUCUCUUAGACGCCUCUAUAUCGUUGAUUGUGAUGACGAAGCAGAGUAUUUUCCAGACGAGGAUAUAGGAAUGACGCUGCCCACCUCUCUCACUCAACUGGAACUUUCGGGAUUCAAAAAAUUGAUAUCUCUGUCUUCGACGGGUUUUCAGAGCCUCACCUCUCUUCAAAGAUUGCGGAUCUGGGAUUGCCCAAAUCUCACAUCAUUUCCAGAGGUGGGCCUUCCAUCCUCACUUUUGGAAUUACACAUUUACAAAUGUCCAAAGCUUAAAAAAGCGUGCAAAAGAGAUCAAGGAAAAGAGUGGCCCAAAAUUGCUGACAUCCCUUGCGUUGAGAUAGACAAUAAAUUCAUAUACGAUCCAGAAUAAGAGGAGUAGAUUCUACUAUUAAGGUCAGUUGAUUUGUAUUAUCCGCUAUAACAAGCUCCUCCUUUUUUUUUUUUAAAUAAUAAUUUUGCAGUCACUCACGUGAUUCCGUUUUCACAAGUCAGAUUGUAUGUUGAGGCUAUUUGCCUUUUAGUCGCAGAUUAAAUUAUAACACUUAUCUUAAAAUUUAAUACCAUAGACAGAUAGACGAUUUUUUAAUCCAAAGUUUUUUUUAUUCACUUCAGUUAGCAUUUUUUUUUUUCCCCAAAUCAUGCAAGCCGAGAGUUUCAAUCAAGAAUUGGAGCAUGGGAAUGGAAUUUUUGUGAAAACAUAAUGGAUGAACGAACAUUUCAUCUGUGAUCUCAAAGUCAACAGAAUUUUAUUCACUCAAUGACUUUUCAACUGCUGUGGUUAUUUAUGGGUGAAAGAAAGAUAAGGGCAAUUACAAAAAAUUUGCAAAAUUUGUCAAUUUCUUAGAUGGUAGAUAUAUCGACAUUUUAGAUUUCAGAUAUUUGUCACCAAUUUCAUUCCUUUUUUUUUAUUUUUUCAAGCAAGUUUGACUAAUUUUAACCAGAAUUGGAGUAUAAUAUUUUGGAGCAAGCAUACUUGAAAUUUCUGUCUUCAAUAUUUUGAUGCUUUUUUAAUUUUGGAUCUAGUAAAAAUACAUAGCCUUCACCGGCAGGAUUCUAGUCUUGGCUUUCACCUCUCUAACUCAUCCGGCCCCAUUGGGAUUCCAGAAAUUGAAAUUUCUGUCUUCAAGGGGUUUUCAAAGCCUCGCCUCCCUUCGAUUUUUGUGGAUCGGGAAUUGCACAAAUCUUACAUCAUUUCCCGAGGUCGAGGAAAAGAGCGGCCCAAACUUGCUCGCAUCCCUUGGGUUAUGAUAGAUGGAAAAUUCAUAUACGAUCCAGAGUCAGAGGUGUUGAUUCUCUUAUUAAGGUCAGCUGAUUUCUAUUAUCCACUCUGACAAUCUCCUAUUAGUGUUUUUCCCUUUUUUUUUUUCAAAAUUUUGCAGUUCCGUAUAAUUGAAAAUGCCACUCACUUGUUUCCUAUUAGUAUGUUGAGGCUAUUUGCUUUCUAUCGGUGUUUGUUAAGGUAAUUACUCACAGAUGAAAUUAUAACUUUUAUCUUAAAAUUUAUUGCCAUUGACAGAUGGACGAUUUUUAGUCCAAAGUUUUGUUAUUAACUUCAAUCAAAAUUUUAGAUUGCAGAUUUUUGUCAAUUAUUUCAUUUUUUAUUUUUAUUUUAAAGCAGAAUUGGAGUAUAACAUUUGGAGCGCGCAUACUCUGAUGCAUGCAAUUAACUGUUUUUAAUCGUUGGAUUUUGAAAUUAAUGAUGGUAAGAUGUGUACUUAUUUUUUCUUCCGGACAACCUUGCCUUCUUUCUUCGGUAGCAUAUCUAAUGAAUAUUUCUCUGUUUAGUUAAGGAUGAAUGCUUGGAGUGGUCUGAUUCACAACAACACCUCUUCCAGAAAAUAUGAUACAAGGCAAAGCCAUGUUCUGAAGCAGAAAUGAUACAGCAGUUGCGGUACCCGAGGUACCUUUUGCAUUUAACUUGCCUUUAUUUGUUUUGCUUGUGACUUAAGAACACAUCAUUUCCCAGAGAUUUGGAGAAGCAUCUCAAGAUGCUUAACAAACUUGACAAGCUUCAAGAUGCACUUGCUCCCAAGCAUUGAUUCUUCACAAUGGAAAACCUGUGAGUACACUUAUGCCCGCAAUUAUUGUUAAGUGUUUGCAAUUUUGAUGCAGCGAAAUGGUUUGUGGAUGCAAAGCUUUAAAACUGUUAAGAACUACCCUGCAGGCUUGUUGGAUGUUGUAUACUUCAAAAGCCACCAACACCAAGAACUACAACAGCAAGACUAGGUUUGCGUUGCUUCAAUCAGCUGAAAUAAUGAUGCAAAUGACACUAUCAAGCUGGACUUAGAGACUUGUCAGGUCAAUCAUCCAUUUCAUCAACAGUUAAUGUCAUGAUGGUGGCUAUCAGAGGAAACAAAAGAUCUGUUGGAAUCAAUUCAAACAGUGAGAAGCAUGAGAGGAGCAUUGAUUAUAAAUAGGCUCAAUGAGCUCAUGCUGGUAAGUGGUAAUUAAGAAAUUUGUGAGCUUAGUAUAGUUUCAAUUUUUUUCUGUUUGGGAUAUAGUUGAUAAGUUGAUACUCUGAUUAAGAAGCCUGAUUAUAGUAGCUGACUGUGCUAACUGCGUUCUUUUAUUUUUUAUUUUUUUGGUUUGCCGUCGUUUUUUCUUUUGAUUAUUUGUUCAACAUUAGAUUGAUCUGUUGAAGACUACGAGGAAGAUCCAGACUUGGAUGCAGGCGUGCAGCUCGUAAUAGGUGAGAACAAAUGAAUGCUUUAACCAUGUUUCUCACUUAUGACAAUGCACGGAUCAAAGGCAUCUGAGUUGAUCCUGAAAAUGUGAUGGAAAUAGGUCUCUGUUUUCAUAAAACAGAACAAAUAGAGAUCUCUGAUCACGCCUGAGAAUUCAUUGCAUUGAAAUUUCUACCAUUGGCAAACAUAGAAUAAACUGGGGAUACAUUAGCUUUAGACUCUAUUUUGAGGAGGAAGUUUGUACUUGCAGCCUAUAAAAUCAUAUCCCUGUUGUAUGUUUCUUUGGGAAAUGAAAGAUUCUGUGUGUUCUUUUAUUUCAAGUUUGCUGAAAUCACAUUUGUUUUCUAAGAUGCUUUACAGAAGGUACCAACAUCAUUUUCAAAAAUGCUGGGGUAAGAUACAUCGUGCAGUGCUCCUCAACAUGAGAAUUCCUGGCCGCAUUACCCAUAUGUGGAAUGAUCUGAGAGUACAACCGUGAGAAUGUUGUAAGGAGUACACAACCAGAUGUGAGUAGUUUGAAAAUGAAUUCGCAUGGAAUGAUUUCUUGCCAGUGCAGAAAUGGCUUGGUUCAAAAUAUGCUCAGCUUCAUUGACACUCUUCGGUAGGCCUCUCCGUCCUUCCAUUCUUAACUACAAUACUACUCUUGUCUGUCUAGUUAUGGAAUCUCUCUUUUAAUCCUCAAAGUUUGAAUUAUAUUAUAUUGCCUCUGUGUUACCGCAGAAACUGAGUCAGUUGGUGAUCCUUCAAAACAAGAAAAACCAAAAACAGAUACAGCGCGCGAUAAGAUAAUGAGACAGAUGGCUCCCGUUGCUGCAUGCCACUUGCUUGUGUGCGUAUUGGGACCAUCAUCAACAACAUUGACGUAAACCCAGCUCAAGGUGGGAAGCUAGUUCGAGCUGCAGGGACGUUAACCAAGAUUUUGAGAAAGAACCCACUUCAAGGUGUUGCUUAGUUAGGCUACGUUGUGGAAAUGAGAAAGUGAUUGACCCUAGAUGUCGCGCCACCAUUGGUACAGUGUCUAACCCCAGCCAUGGAGCUAAAAAGCUUAGUAAGGCAGGUCAGAGAAGUUGGUUGGGUCGAAGAGCUGUGGUUAGAGGAGUAGCCAUGAUUCCAGUUGAUCACCCUCAUGUUGAACAAAGCAAAAGUAGCGGUAACAAUGGAAGGUGUUCACUCACACCUUGGGGCAAGCCUUGUAAGUCUGGGAAUUAAACUGCAUCUCCUAAGAAGAAAGAGAAAUCAGCUGUCUGAUAAUAUUGUCCUUUUCUGCUAUUUGGUCUUUUUAACAUUGUUACACUGUUUUUACAUCUUUGAGGUUAGUUUUAGACCAAUUUUUAACUGAUCCAUAAUGAAACUGAAGUUUAAUUUUUGAUUAAACUUUCACUGGUUUUACUCUUCUGUCACUUCAAUUUAGCAUUGAUUUAAGAUACUGAAUUCUGUGCUUGGAGCUUGUAAAUUGGAAAGAGAUAUUUUGGGAUAGAAUGUAGAUUUUGUGUUUUGCUUUCUCAAGCUAGUUGUGACUUCUUAAAAGAGUCAAUCCAUGUCUUUAUAUAUUUUUCUUUUGUCUUGAUUCUGUUUCUUCAUACAGAUUCUUAUUUUAUGCUUCACAUACCACAUGAAAGAUGAAAGCCUUUUCUGUGAUUAGAAUUGACUUGCAUUAUAGUAACUUUAAACCACUUGGAUAUUUUUAUAAUAGCAGUCUGAGAUCUCCUUAAAGGAUUCAAAAGCAUCCACUGGCAUCCACUUUACUCGUAUCGGUCAAAAGUUUUGUGCAAUACAAUAUUAGCUUGACUGUAGCGCAGAGGAGAACAGGUUGGUGUUGGUCUGAAUUCUGAUAUUUGAAUAAAUAUAACAGCUCAUGUGACUCCACCACUUUUUACUUGUUCUGUAGUCUGUACCUACCUCCAUUGUCGGCACUGCCCAUACAAGGUCUUUUAGCUUUUUAAAAAGUUUCAUGAUAUUCCAUAGUUCACAUGGAUUUCUACAGUUUGUAGAAAACCUAAUUAGGGCACAUUUAAUUACUAUGCAGAAGAUUCUUUUAUCUUGCUCACCAAUAAUUCUUUGUACUUAUUUGAAAGAUGUGUUUCAAAAAAAUAAAAAAAAACUAUUUGAAAGAUGAGAAAUCCCUUAGCCGAACGACAAACUCAUCUAUCAGUCCUAUCAAAAAAAAAAAAACUCAUGUUUUAGUGGUUUUUUUUUUUCACUUGUAUUCAGUCGCACAAGUGAAGAUUGUGGGCAAUUUUUUCCUUGAGUAAAAUUGGAAUAGAUGUUUUUAUUGACACAAAUUUUUGAGCUAUGUUUGGGAAACCCUUAGACUUAAGACUUUGUUACGAUGAUAUGUAUCUAAGCUUUCAACAGACCGUUGAGGUCUUAUUAUCAAAAUACUAGAAAUUUACAAUUCAAUUUUGGUAAGGACCAAUUUAAUAAUGCUGUAAUUUUUAAAAUAAUUACCGUUAACUGUGUUGUAAAAAUAAUCAAUUAUGAAGAAAAUUAAUUAAACAUUUAGUAAACUUUAUUUUUACAAGUGCUUUGAAUUUUAAAAAUAGUCAUAUGUGUUCAGAAAAUCUCACUUCUAAAAUAGUAUAAGAAUGGAAAAAACUUAAAAAGACAAAUGUAUAAUAUUUAUUUACACAUGCAUUUAUAAAUAUGUGUAUAUAAUAACAUUUUAUGUGUACAUAUAAUAAUUGAUAACUAAAAUAAAUAUUUUUAUUUAUUAAUUAUUUUUUUGUCUCAAUGUAAUUGGUAAUACUUUUUUUUAAUCUUCUCAUCCUAAGUUUUUUUAUUGUUUUGUACAAAAUUCAAGGUUUGGACUUUUAUAAAAUGUCCACUCAAAAAUAAAUUGUUUUCUAACUAAGAUUUGUUGCUAAUGUAUAACUCAAAGUAAUACUAGCUAUUUGUAAUUUUAUUUCAAAAUUUUUAUUCAAAUGAUAUGGUAACUAAUGUACAUUAGUUGAUAGCAAUUUUUUUUUUUUUACAAUAUUCAAAUCAAUCAAUUGCAUCAUCUCAACAUUUUUAUGAUGUCGUGUUAUUUUAAACGAAUUUUUUAUUUUUAUAUAAAAUUUAUUAUGUUUAACAUCAUUUGCAUAACUUGACCUUUUUUUUUUCCUACAAAUAUUAAGUCAAAUUUACUCACCCUAUAUUUCUAUCUAAAAUCUACCUAAAACUCAUGCAUCACUGUAAAACAAAUCCAAAGAUUGCGGUACGUUUUUCUUGGUAACAAAUCAAUAAUUAGGUCAAGUACUACUACUAAGCGUGCUCAAUUAAUUCUAAAAUACUACGGUGAUCAAAAUCAUACUUGACGCAAGAGGAUAAGGGCUAAACCUCAAUUAGGCAUUAUUCAUCCAAAAUUCGUUGACCCGGCAUUCUUUGCAAGUUGUAGCACGGGACAGCUAAGAUUAGCAAAUGCUGUGGACCAUAUGCCCCCAUACAUUUGUGACAUGUGAAACUUGGCAUUAAAGGAAAGGCAACGUGUUAAAAUUUAAUAGCGCCCAAUUCUUCAUUGAAUGAUUAUCAGAUCCAAUGAGCAUCCUUUGAUUGGAUUAUUUUAAGUCAAUUAUUGGUGGAUUGGGGCCCACUUGACUCUACCAAAUCGGGCUCCACCAUAUCACCUAUUAACGACCACCUGUCCUUAUCAUAAAUAGCAAAUGUCACUUGUUUUAUUUUGUAUUUUACCAAAAGCAAAGUCACUAUGAACCCAAAUGAAAGUGACCCCAAUUUUGGGGGUCAUGAGCUUUGGAUUAUUAUGGACACAAGAGACAAGCGCAAAGUUUCUCAUUUAUCACCGGAUAAGAUUUAAGUUAUCAACCCAACAUUAAUAAAUUCUGCUUAAAGUAAAGUUUGAAGCUUCAUUUUGCGAAUAUUCAAUGGUUAACAUUUAAGUAAUUAACCUGAUAUUAAUCCAAUUAAACUUUUUAUGUAAUCCAAGUCAAAAAUAUGUUGAUAAACCUAAAUUAAUCUAAUUGGACAUAUUAUUUCAACUUGAAAAGGCGAAUCUAUCAUUUUUCAAUUAAUUUUGAAUCAAGCUAUGUAAAAUAUAAGCUUAUUAAAGACAUAUUUUUAUCAUGUUAAAAUAUCGAAAUACUUCUUACUCGUUUCGUAAUAACAUUAACAAACCUUUUGGUAAAUUUGACAGUCCAAUCAAUUCAGUUGGUUUUUUGUUAUUGAAACUCCAACAAAAUUCAUCACGAUUAUUAAAAACCCAUUAAAAAAAAAUGAAGGUAACUAUUUAAAAAAUUCUAAUUGAAUUAUUUAACAACUACAUUUCAACUAAAUUGUGUUGCUAAUUAACUUCCUCAACUUAAACUAUAUUUUUCUCAAUUAAUUCAUAACAAAUAAUGUUAGAUAUUUUAUUCGAAUAAUAACAUUCAACAUCCUUAUUCUUUAUGAUUAUUGCAUAAAAACAUAUUUUAUCCAUUUACAUCACAUAUGUUCCUAAAUUGUAUAAGAAAAUCACCAAAUUUACUCUUGUAAGUUACUAUAUCAAUGAACAUGAAAUUCACUAAUCAUUAAAGUCUCGGAAUGACAUCAUGAGAGGGAUUCAGUUACAUUUAUUGAUAGGAUUAGAUAUAUGUCUUCUCAAAUAUUAGUAGGAGCAAUUUAACAGAUGCAGCUACUAAAAAUAUAGAAUUACUUAUCUCGUCAAUAACUAACGAUAUUUUUUAUCUAUGCUCAAUAAAUUGUAAUAUUUGUAGAUUGUAACAAUUGUUAAAAAAAAAGAGCUCCCUGAGACUAAAUGACAAAAGGACUGUUUUGAAAUAGAUAGAUAAAAUAUGCCCUUAUUUGAGAAAAUGUAAAACACUAGGGAUCUAAAUGUUAUUAUAAUCCCAUGCACAAAAAUACCAAAAAUAACUAAUAACAACUAACCGAAAAUCCCAGGCGUCAUAUUCCUUUUUUCCGCGUUUUAAAAUGCCCUCUGAUUCAUUCACAGUCAGACGCUGUCGGCAUUUCUCUUCUCUCCCUCUCUCUCCACGUAUUAAAACAUGUAAAGUACGGAAAAAUUUAAAAAAAAUUUUAAAAUUACAUAAUUUAAAAGAUAUAAAAUUAUAAAUUUUUAAAAUUAUACGGUUUUAAAAUUUUUUUAAAUUUUUUCGUAUUUUAAAAUUUCAGACUAAAAAAUUAUUAUACGAAUACUUCGUAUAACCGCUUUGCGCUUAAAAUCUGUGCCUAACAAACUCACGAAAUCACUCCUCAUUUUCCUCUCUCCCUCUCCUCCUCUCAUUCCCUUUCAAAUCCUUCCACCACCUUCCCCGCCUCUCUCUCUUUCUCUCUCCCCUCACCGCCACAGCUCAACUUUUCCAUGUAAACCACCACGGGCGCCGUCGUUUCAACCUCCCACUCAUCCGACGUCGUUUUGUGUGAAUAAGAUAACGAUUUAAAUUAAAAUACGAAAAUGGAGAACUUAACGGCGCAGUUGAAGCGAGGGAUAUCGCGGCAGUUCUCGACGGGAUCGCUGCGGCGGAGCCUGACGAGGCAGAUGUCGAGGCAGUCGUCGUUCGAUCCGAGGAGGAAUAACAUGAGGUUUAGCUUCGGGAGGCAGUCGUCGUUGGAUCCGAUACGCAGGAGUCCGGUUCAGGACGAGUUGACGGUGCCGGAGAACCUUGACUCGACGAUGCAGCUGUUGUUUAUGGCAUGCAGAGGUGACGUCAAGGGAGUCGAGGAUUUGCUGAACGAAGGCAGUGAUGUCAACAGCAUUGAUCUUGACGGACGGUUUUGGCGAGAAAUCAAAGAAUUAAGAGACAAUAUUUAGUUAAGCUAAUAGUAUUUGUUCUGUUUAGUACGUCGUUUUACCAACAAGCAUCCCGGCAUUGCACGCAUUAAUAAAUUUUUUUUAUCUGUUUGGACUGAUGGUGGUAAAAAAUUCCACAUACUUUAUAUUAAAAAGGAAAAAGGACAAACACACCCCUAACGUCAACUUGGAGGGGGGUCGAUUCCGAGCUCAAGAAGUGGGAAAGAAGAAAGCUGAAGAUGAUUCAGGCGGUGCUCAAUGGUGGGUAUGACGGCAAAAAUAAGUUGGAGGUUUUCUAUGAAUUUGAACAUCUAAGAACAUUCUUCCCAUUACACAUAAGAGGUGGCUCCAAAACUGGUUACAUAACUCGUAUGGUUCUAACUGAUUUGUUGCCGAAGUUUAAAAGGUUGAGGGUGCUAUCUUUACAAGGAUACCAUAUUGGACCAAUUCCAUUUGAAGAUUUGAGACUUCAAAGUAUAAUUACCCAAAGUGUAUACAAUAAAAGCCAAAUUUAAGAAAUUCCUGAACCUUGCUGACACUGACAUAAGAAGUUUACCAGAGUCAACAUGCUCAAUGUUGAACUUGGAAAUUUUGAUAUUAAGAAAUUGUUUCCGUUUGAUGAUACUCCCACCCAAAAUGAGGAACUUGGUUAAUUUACACCCAGACUCUUUUCUUUUGACAUGGGGUUAACGAUCAAAGUUGGUUUCGUGCGGUAUAUAUUUACAAAUUGAUAGGUAUGCCUGGUGUUGAUGCAGGAUUCCGGUUCUUCUCGUUCUACGACCAGGAUCUCUGCUCGAUCAACUUCGUCACGACCAGGAGGUCUCCUCGCAAGACUUUUUCUCCAGAGAUUCCUGCGCACACAGACAAGUCAGAGUACGCCGGUUGUUUUCCCGGCGCAAACCCUCCGACGCUCAAGUCAGAUAUGAAGGUUCGGGGAACGCUUGCCACCGAUCUUAUGGCUUUUUCGUGGUUUUCUCUUCUUUUUAAUUCCUUUUCUAAUGAGAAAAAUGCCAACCCUUUUACCUCGUCGGCUACCUUUUUAUAGGCUUCCUCUGAAUCCCAGUUUUCCGCUCUUUUCGAGACGGUAUGGGACUCUGACUGCUGUGUUAUGGGCAAACGUGGGAUCUUGCGUGUUACGCCACCGUUCUGGGAAAAGCGCGGCAGUCGUGGUUCUGUGAGAUCUUGCGUGUUACGCCACGGUUCUGGGGAAAGCGUGGCUGUCGUGCUUAGGUUCUCGGGCUGGAGAGCAUGUCUCGUCAACUGCCGUCGACCGGGUCUCCUCGCCUCUCGACCUCUAGCCGGAAUGACCUUAUGCCUCUUACAGGAAAUUGGCCUCGCGGAUGACCUGCUCGUGGACGAGCAGGAUAUUUCUGCUCCUGUUCCCCCGCGUACCAGGCUUUUACGGGACACACCGGUUCGCAGAACUCUGCCAUCAGAUAUCUGCUCACCGUGCCUGGUCUCGUCGACGUAUUUCUCCCAAACACCGGUCCCCCAGUUUCUGGUGUUGGGUAAUGUAGUGGACCAGCAGUAGAAACUCGUUAGUACUCGCCCGCGUGGGAUUGGAAAAGGCUGCCAAGAGUCAUGUCGCAUUUAAUUGCGGACGAGGUGACGUGGCAGAAAUCCCCCCCUCCAUUUGAAUUUCAAACCGACGGUUAUGAGAUCCUCGGGAUUCAGCGCCGUUAAAUGCUGGCAACCCAAGAGUCCGUCCUCAUUAGGAAAACCAAAUCCUCUCGAACGGCAUAUUCGUCAUUCACUCCGUCUCCGUCUCUGUCUCCCCGGCAAAGAGGUUCCGGCAUAAAAGCCCUCCAUCUCUGAUUUUCACCGACUGAACCGUUACUUCAGGUAUUUCUUCUAUCUCCUUGGUCUCGGAUAGUUGUAGAUAAUUUCUCUUCUCUUCUGUUGGGUAGUAGUUGGUGGUGUUGUGGUUAGAGCUUAGGGAAUGUCGAAAGGCAAAGAGAAGGUCAUUGAGGUUGGUGACGACGAGUUGGACUUCCUGCCUAGUCUGCUCACCGAUCCUGCUUUUGACCCCGGGAUCCCCUUAGAGCCCAUUAGGUCUAGUGUCGGGACUAGUGCUAGGAGGAUGUCUCCCCAAACAACCUCUACGAGCGGAAGUAAUGGUGAGGAGAGAUCUUCUGGCUCCGAGGAUACUUUGAGUGAGAAUGGCGAAGGUGACUCUGGUGAGGUGUCUCCAUCUGGAACAUCACGACCAGAAGAACGGGGUAUAGUAGGAGGCAGAGCCUUGUCGCGCGAUUAUGCCAUUGAUUACAUGACGUGCACGACCUCGUUUGACGAGCUCAAUGACCUCCGGCUUAGGUAUAGCAUUCCUGGUGAGAUACCUCUCAAGGUCCCAGGAAAGAAGGAUGCUCCCAGCCGGCCUCCUAGGGGAUAUGUUACCCUGUAUCUGGACAGCUUUAAGUACGGGCUGAGGUGUCCCUUGCAACCUUACUUUGCCCGGAUACUUAACGGGCUAAAUCUAGCUCCUGGUCAGCUGAAUCCCAAUGGGUGGAGAGUGCUCUCUGGUCUGUUCAUAUUGUGGGACAGAUGUUGCCAAAGCGAGCCCACGGUUGAUGAGGUGAAGCACCUGUACCAGCUAAAGAGCAGCCCCAAAGAUGCCGUCUGGUACUACUUCCAAUCUAGCACCAAGAGCAGGAAACCUAUAACCGACCUCCCUACUGGUGGUGGUGGGAAUUGGAAGAGAAAAUUCUUUUUUGCUGGGGGUCCUUGGGGUCAGGUUGCACAAAUGGACGGGAAGGAUUAUCGGGUCCCACCCCGUUUCACGGUCCCAGGUUGCCUGCUCGCUUUAGAUGUCUUGUAUCCACAAUUGUUAUUGCUUUAUUGGCUUGUCUCUAACCAAGUGUCUGUUUGCGUUGUAGUUUCUUGGGGUGUUCACUUCCCGCUCCCACCUGACCAGCUCAAACGGGUCAAGGCUGUGCUCGCCAAUUCCUGCUCGAGUCGAGAACUGCUAACUACAUACAACUUGCUCGAAUCUCGCUUGAUACUUCCUGGCCAUAGGAUGGAGGACGCCGUGAUUGGGGCUCUGACCCGAAAACGUUCUCGACCUCCAACCACGAAGAGGGACCAGGGUAAGGAUGCCCCUGCUGCAAAGCGGGCCAGCAUCGUGCAGCAGGUCCCACCCUUGGAGAUUUUACCUCCUGCUCCUGAAAAAGUCGGGGAAGCUAGUGGAGCAGCCACAGAUCCUGCUUCCUCAUCUGUUCCUGUCGGGCCUCGAUCUCGCUUACCUGACAGCCGAGCAGAACACCUGGUCCCCUACCUCAAUGAGUUGUCUAAACUCGUGAGCAAGAAGGACCUGGAGGACUUCGACGGCUGCACCUUGGGUGAGCUGGUGGGGGCCAUGCAGCAUAGCGCUUUCCACCUCAGCUGCAUGACCACCUAUUACAAGGCUAAGGUUGGUCGAUACGAUCGGAAAAUGAAGGGGGAUAUUCAAUCGGCGACGACCAGAGCUGACAUUGCCGAGAAGAAAGCAGGGGAGCUGAACCUCGAGAAUCUGAAGCUGAUAGAGCAAGAAUCACUUGCUCAAGCAAAGACCAUUACCCUCGAGGAGGAGCUUACCAAGGUCAAGGAGGAUCUGCAAAGGCAGAAGGCUAUGUAUGAGGCCCAGCUCGAAUCUCUCCGGGACUCCAACCGAGCUCAGGUCGAGAACUUGGAGAGGGAGGCAGAGAAUCAGUACGACCAGGGACUUCGGCAUUCCUAUCGUUGCAUCAUGGCCGUCCUCGGGAAGCAACACCCUGAUCUGAAGAUGGAUGACCUUGCGGCUGGUGUUGCCCAACAUAUGGACGAGGAGGCGGCCAAGGAAGAUGCUGAAGGGGUAGAGCCGAUCGUGAUCGAGGAGGAAAGCUCUCCUCCUCGUGCAGUCCCUGCUGAUGUUGGCGAGGCGAGCACCCCUCCGGACGCAACUGGCGAUACCCCUCCCGCACCUGAGGAGGUCCAGUCAACCGAUGCUGCUCGGCUCACUGAUCUACCAUCUUUUUGAUAUAUUUCUUUUUGUAUUGUAAUAAACAACGUUUAUGAAAUUUAUCCCCUCUGUUAGCCAUUAACACAUUAAUAAAGAUGUUUUUUGAUUACUUUCUCGUCUUGUAAUCAUCACUUAUUUUCCGUUUGGGAAUCUGCUCGUCUCGUCUGGUCGAGCAGGUUCUGGUUUGGCAUAUGGUUUUGCAACAUGCCUUAGAAAAAUUUCUUUUUUUUUUUUUUUUUUUUUUUUUUUUUUUUUUUUUGCUUGGGGAUUCUGCUUGCCUUCGCGUGGUCGAGCAGGUCCUGGCAUGCUUGGCUUCAGUCUCGCCAUAAAAAGGCUUUGAGACUUGGUGAGGCCUUUGCAUGCCUUAGAAAACUUUUUCGAUGCUUGGGGAUUCUGCUCGACUUCGCUCGGUCGAGCAGACCCUAGCAUGCUUGGCUUCCGUCUCGCCAUAAAAAGGCUUUGAGACUUAGUGAGCCUUUGCAUGCCUUAGGUGGCUUCUUCAAAGCUUGGGAUUCUGCUGCCUUCUCGUGGCCGAGCAGAUCCGGGCAUGCUUGGCUUCUGUCUCGCCAUAAGACAGGCUUUGAGACUCGACGAGCCUUUGCAUGCCUUAGAUGGCUUCUUCGAAGCUUGGGAUUCUGCUGCCUUCUCGUGGCCGAGCAGAUCCGGGCAUGCUUGGCUUCUGUCUCGCCAUAAGACAGGCUUUGAGACUUGACGAGCCUUUGCAUGCCUUAGAAAUUUUCUUGGUUUCAAGCGAAAGGAAUUCCUCGACGUUCCAUUAAUGGCAGGAUUCGGCUUACAUGAACUUGUUUGGACAUAAAGCGUGAAAGAUAAACGAUAAUGAUCAUGAGCAAAAAUAGCUUUCAGAUGUGAACAAAUCUUACUGGAAGUAUUUUCGGAGGUGUGCUGCGUUCCAUGGGCGUUUCAGCUCGUGGCCGUCCGUGCGAACCAGCUUGUAAGCUCCGGGUCCCGCUAUCUGCUUGACUCUAUAUGGCCCUUCCCAAUUCGGUCCCAGCACUCCUUGAGUCGAAUCUUUGGUGCUCUGAUUCACUCUUCUCAGUACCCAGUCUCCGACCUUGAAUUGCCGUAUGUUCACCUUCUGGUUAUAAUACCGAGCAACCCUCUGUUGGUAAAGGGCUGAUCGCUCGGCUGCUUGCUCCCUCCUUUCCGUUAGCAGAUCAAGAUUCAAACAUAUCUGCUCGUCGUUCUCCUGCUCGUUGAAAUGACCUGUCCGGUGUGUGGUCGUUCCUAUCUCAGCCGGCACGACCGCUUCAUGUCCGAAAGCCAAAGCGAACGGUGUCUCCCCAGUUGCGGUUUUGUGGGUUGUUCUGUAUGCCCAUAGCACACCUGACAGCUCGUCAACCCACGCACCCUUUUUUGCUCCAAGCCUGGUUUUCAAAAGCCUCUUGAUGGUCUUGUUGGCUGCUUCUACUUGUCCAUUCGAUUGAGGGUGAGCAGGCGAGCAAUACUUCAGCUCUAUCCCGAGGUUCUGGCAGAAAUCCCUGAAGCUGUGAUUAUCGAACUGCCUGCCAUUAUCCGUUACCAAGGCAUAAGGGAUCCCGUAUCGACAGACCAGGUUUCUCCACACGAAGUCUGUUGUUUUCUUCUUUGUGAUCCUGCUAAGGGCUUCUACCUCUAUCCACUUCGUGAAGUAAUCUAUAGCAACUAUUGCAUGUGUUGCUGCUCCUUGUGCCUUUGGCAAUGGGCCGAUCAGAUCAAUUCCCCAUUGAGCAAAUGGCCAAGGGGAGGCCAUGGAGGUGAGCUUCUCUGGGGGUUGGUUAGAGAAAUUUGCAAAACUCUGGCAGCUUACACAACUCCUGGUCUUCUCUUGCGCAUCCUGGUGCAUUGUCGGCCAGAAAUAUCCCUGCCUAAGAACCUUGUGGGCCAGGGACCUCCCGCCAGAAUGAUUUCCGCAAAUUCCUUCAUGUACUUCUCUCAGUACGUAAUCCGCGUCGUCCUCAUCCAAACACCGAAGGAACGGUAGUGUAUAUCCUCGCCGAUACAGCGCCCCAUCAAUCAUCGUGUAUCUCGAGGCCUGGGCUCUAAUCUUGCGAGCUCGCAGCUUAUCUGGUGGUAAUACUCCGUCUCUAAGGUAUGAAACUAUCGGGUCCCUCCACGAGCAUUUUUGUUCUAUCCGCAACACCCCCGAAUUCUGAUCGAUACUUGGGCUGGACUUCACCUCCAGAGGGACCGACUUUGGCAUUUUUGGGUCGGCUACUGCUGCCAUCCUCGCCAAAAUGUCUGCUCGACUAUUCUGCUCCCUGGGGAUCUGUACCACCUCCACUGCUUCGAACUUCCCCAUCAUCUGCCUGACUAUCUUCAGGUACUGCUCCAUCUUCUCCUCUCUUGGUUGGAAUCUUUCACUGACGUGAUUCGCAACCAGCUGGGAAUCAGUUCUGAUCUUAACUCUGUCUUCUUUCACGGCCUUAGCCAAUUCCAGACCUGCUAUCAAGGCUUCAUACUCUGCCUGGUUAUUUGUGGCUGCAAAUUCCAACUUUACAGCAUAAGAGAUCUCCUCCCCCUCAAGGCCUUCCAGGACAAUCCCUGCUCCUGAACCCCGCUCCCCUGAUGACCCGUCCACAGACAUCUGCCAUACUUGAUUUUCGUCAUUGCCUAUAACUGCAUCCUGUUGAUCUGAGCAUACUUCGGGCUCUGUGAAUUCAGCUACGAAAUCGGCCAUUGCCUGGGCUUUUAUCGCUGCGCGGGGUUUAUAGUCUAUGUCGAACUCGCUCAGCUCUACAGCCCACUUGACGAGCCGACCAGAGGCAUCUGGCUUGUGCAGAGUUUGACGCAAUGGCUGGUUUGUUAUUACCGAGACCGGGAAUGCUUGAAAAUAUGGCCUCAACUUCCGAGCAGCAACCACAAGGGCAAGUGCCCAUUUCUCCAACAGUGGGUAUCUAGUCUCAGCGUCGAGUAGGGCCUUGCUGGUGUAGUAUAUCGGAUACUGAACUCCUUCUUCCUCUCUCACCAGAACAGAACUGGCGGCCCGAUCCGACACCGCCAAAUACAGAUACAACUUGUCCCCAUCCCUUGGUGUGGACAGCAGCGGAGCUUGCUGCAAGUAUUGCUUCAAGUUCUGGAAGGCUUCCUCGCACUCUGGGGUCCAUUCUGUUUUCUUUCCCCUCCUUAUCACUUGAAAGAAUGGCUGACACUUAUCUGUAGCCUUGGAGAUGAAUCUGCUCAACGCCGCCAACCUCCCUGUGAGGCUCUGCAUCUCCUUCAGGUUACGAGGAGACGUCAUUUGCACAAUCGCCUGGAUUUUCUCGGGAUUUGCUUCAAUCCCCCUAUGGCUCACCAUGAAUCCAAGGAAUUUCCCUGACUCGACCCCAAAAGCACACUUUUCCGGGUUGAGCUUCAUCUUAUACUUCCUCAAAAGCUCGAAUGUCUCCUCGAGGUGUCUGACAUGUUCCUUCGGGAUUUUGGACUUGGUGAUCAUGUCAUCCACGUACACCUCCAUGGUUUUCCCAAUCAACGGCUUAAAGACUUUGUUCACCAGCCUUUGAUAGGUGGCCCCAGCAUUUUUGAGACCGAACGGCAUUACCCUGUAACAGAACAAACCUUGGUUAGUGACGAAAGCCGUGCUCUCCUCAUCCUGCUCGUACAUGGGGAUCUGGUUGUAUCCCGAGAACGCGUCCAUGAAGCUGAGCAGACCAUGUCCAGCCGUUGAAUCUACUAGCUGAUCGAUCUUUGGUAGAGGGAAGCUGUCUUUUGGGCACGCCUUAUUGAGGUCUGUGAAAUCCACACACAUCCUCCACUUGCCGUUUGCCUUCUUUACCAACACCACAUUCGAUAUCCACUCAGGGUAACUGACUUCCCGAAUGAACCCUGCUCUCAAGAACUUCUCCACCUCGCUAUUUAUUGCCUCAUACAUCUCCUGGUUGAAGCACCUCCUCUUCUGCCUUACUGCCCGAGCACCUUUCUUUAUUGCCAGCUUAUGACAUGCUACCUCAGGGUCAAUCCCUGGCAUGUCUUCAUGUGUCCAAGCAAACACAUCAGAAUGAGCCUGUAAGCAUUUCACCAACUCCUGCUUUUGCUCUCCCUCAAGCCUCGACCCGAUUCUGAUCAUCUUUCCCGGAUUCUCUGGUCCCAGGCUUACUGUUUCCAGAUCUUCUACAGGUUCUUGUCUGCCCUUCUUGUUUUCCACUCGGGUAUCGAGGGAUGUUAUCUGCAUUGCUUCCCUUGCUGCCGAGGAGUAGCAGCUUCUUGCGAUCCUCUGGUCUCCUCGUACCACUCCUACUACCCCAUUCACCCGGUACUUCAGAGCGAGAUAGUGGUUGGACAACACCGCUUUGCUCAUCCUUAAAAAUGGCCGACCUAGGAUCAUCUGGUAAGGACCUUCCUCGUCCACUACGACAAAGUCCAGUAUCAUUGUUCUUUCUGUCAGGGAGCUCCCAAUUGUGAUAGGCAGCUCGACCACGCCCAGAGGGACCAGCUUCCCUCCUCCGAACCCCUUCAAGGAGGUAUUGGUGUAUUCCAACUUUCGGUCGGCUAUUCCCAUCUCUUCCAGGGUUGACUUAAAUAACACAUCAACUGAGCUCCCUGUAUCAAUCAGUAUCCGGUCAAACUUCUUGCUAGCGACAGUAGCCUUGAUGACUAAAGCAUCAUCGUGGGGGUAUAGAAUCCCUUCCUCAUCCUCAUCCGUCCACAUGAUUGGCACUUGCCUGACCCUUGCUCGUUUGGCUGCUGGGGUGUUGAAGAGUACCUCUUUACUGGUCAUGGCGUACCUAGCAUAAUUUUUUCUCGAUCUGUUGGAAUCUCCGGCCAAUGUUGGGCCCCCAGCUAUCACCCUUACUGCGGGCUGCUCGCGCCUCAAGUUUCUACCACUCUGCUCCCCUUCACCUGUUGUGGCCACCAUCGGGAAAGUCCCAUCCAUAAACUCGUCCAGGUACCGAUUUCUCACCAAAUCUUCGACCUGGAUCUUGAGAUCUCUACACUCUGCCGUGGUAUGGCCAUGGGUGCCAUGGAACUUACAAUAACGUCUUCUAUCCCUCCUGUUGGGUAGCUUUGUUAUUGGUGUAGGGAGGUGCAGCAGACCUCGAUCCUUUAUGGCCUCGUACACCUCAUCCAGGGACAUCUUCAAGGAAGUGUACCGCCCAUAGUCCGGGUCCUGGUCGAUCAGGUGCACUGCUCUUUCUCUGUUUGCCCCGCUUUGAGUUGGGGGCGGUGGAAGUAAUUCUGGUCUGCUCGCUCUGCUACCAUGUUGGUGAAGACCACCAGAUGCCGACUCAUGCCUUCUCCAAGGCUCCCUAGCUGGGGAACGAGGAGGUUGCGCCCCGCUGCGCUGAUACUGUGGUGGCCUCUGAUGAGGCUGGUAAGCAGUUACCCGACCUCCUGCUCUACUACCGGAGGCCUGGUGGUCUCUCCUCCUGAUCGGCCCAUUCCCCGGUAAUGCUUUCUUCUCUUUCCUCCCCAACCCUUCCAACUGGUCUGUCUUAAUCCGUGCAGCCUUCUCCUCUUCAAUCUCGAUGUCUCUCUUAGCCUGUUCGUAUGCGGCUGCAUACGUUUGAAUAGCUGGGCUUCUCAAAUUGUACCACAACCUUCCUAUCUUCACCCCUUCUUUCAAUCCCCUUAACGCCUGAGGGUGGUUGAAGGCUCCCAAGUCGAGGACAGCCCGAUGAAACCUCUUGAUGAAUUCCCGAAGGGUUUCUUGCUCCCCCUGUUUCAUGCUUUUCAGCUCCAUCAUGUCGUCUUCCGGUGCCAUUGCCCCACUAAACUGCUCCGCGAAUUCCUGGCACAUCUGCUCGAAGGUUUUAAUGCUGCCCCGAGGAAGUUUCCUGUACCAUUCUCGUGCACGUCCCUCAAGGGAUAGUGGGAACACCCUGCACCUUUGGGAUUGAGAUAAUCCUUGUACCCCAGUUAUGUCGUUGAAGCGCUCUAUAUGCACCAGCGGAUCAGUUCUUCCCGAGUAUCUGAGGUCUGGGAGGCGGAAAUCUCUCGGAAUAACUGCCCUCAUGAUUUCUGUUGCGAGCGGCGAUUCUCCGUCCAGCAUUAUCCUCCAACCAGGGGCUCUGUUCCUUCCUUGCAUGUCGUCAAUUAUCUGCGCUAGUCUGCGCACUUCCCCCUCCAGCUGCAACGCACGACCAGGGUCACGUGCUGCAACUUGAUCCCACUCUUGCUCUACAUCAUGCAAGUGUUGCCUCAACUCUGUUUCCUCUGCAUUCACCACCCCGUCGCCCUCGUCACCAGUCUGUCUUGCUGGGGACUGCUCUCUUUCUCUAUGAAAUUCUCCCUGCAGAGGUACGUUACCUCUCUCACCACCAAAUCUCCCGGGGGUUUGACUUCUCCCCGCACUAUCGGGACCUGGUGCCACUCCACCGCCUCUCACCCUUCCCUCUUGGGUUACCCUUCGCUCGCUCCGCAGCUCAUGCAGGAUGGUUGUCAAGGUCUCCAUCUGCUUUUCCAUCCGUUCCAUCUGGUCGAACAUGACUUUUUCCCGUGCUUCGCUGACUAUCUCCCUCAGCGUCACGGAAUCGUUAAGCCUCCUAUCACCCCCUUGUGCACUACUUCUUCCUGUCUCCAUUGCUUUUCACUUGCUUCACCCCUCUUCUUGCUAUCAACAGAAGCUUUUUGCUCUGGUCCCCACAGACGGCGCCAAAAUGUUGAUGCAGGAUUCCGGUUCUUCUCGUUCUACGACCAGGAUCUCUGCUCGAUCAACUUCGUCACGACCAGGAGGUCUCCUCGCAAGACUUUUUCUCUAGAGAUUCCUGCGCACACAGACAAGUCAGAGUACGCCGGUUGUUUUCCCGGCGCAAACCCUCCGACGCUCAAGUCAGAUAUGAAGGUUCGGGGAACGCUUGCCACCGAUCUUAUGGCUUUUUCGUGGUUUUCUCUUCUUUUUAAUUCCUUUUCUAAUGAGAAAAAUGCCAACCCUUUUACCUCGUCGGCUACCUUUUUAUAGGCUUCCUCUGAAUCCCAGUUUUCCGCUCUUUUCGAGACGGUAUGGGACUCUGACUGCUGCGUUAUGGGCAAACGUGGGAUCUUGCGUGUUACGCCACCGUUCUGGGAAAAGCGCGGCAGUCGUGGUUCUGUGAGAUCUUGCGUGUUACGCCACGGUUCUGGGGAAAGCGUGGCUGUCGUGCCUAGGUUCUCGGGCUGGAGAGCAUGUCUCGUCAACUGCCGUCGACCGGGUCUCCUCGCCUCUCGACCUCUAGCCGGAAUGACCUUAUGCCUCUUACAGGAAAUUGGCCUCGCGGAUGACCUGCUCGUGGACGAGCAGGAUAUUUCUGCUCCUGUUCCCCCGCGUACCAGGCUUUUACGGGACACACCGGUUCGCAGAACUCUGCCAUCAGAUAUCUGCUCACCGUGCCUGGUCUCGUCGACGUAUUUCUCCCAAACACCUGGUAUGACUGCUUAUGCUGGAUUUUAUGAGGUGUGCUCUCCUAAGCAAGGAGAGUGGGUCUUAAUAUGGGCAAGGGUGCAGUUGGUCAGCUUAUGGGGCAGUUUGCAAAGUUACUGGGCUGCUAUGUUGUCGGAAGUGCUGGAAGCAAAGACCAGGUAUACAAACAAACAAUCCGUAUCAGUUGCUUGAUUGUUCCCAUUUUGCUUUCAAAAUAUCUAACUUACAUAAGGAAAAUUUUCACCAUCUCGUCUUUUCUUUGAUUUUGAACGCUAAGAUUGAUCUACUGAAGAAUAGGUUUGGGUUCGAUGAGGCGUUCAACUAUAAAGAAGAUCCUGAUUUGAAUGCAGCCUUGAUAAGGUUAGUAUAUCAGCAAACUACAAAUUAGAAGACAUUUUUUCCUGAAAAUCAAAUAAUGUUUCUAAUUUGACAGGUGGUUUCCUGAAGGCAUUGACAUAUACUUUGAAAACGUUGGUGGGAAAAUGCUCGAUGCGGUGCUGAUCAACAUGAAAAUCGGUGGUCGAAUUGCUGUGUGUGGGAUGAUCUCGCAGUACAACCUUGACGAACCCAAAGGCGUACACAACUUGACGCGUCUUAUUUCGAAACGGGUUCGGAUGGAAGGAUUCCUCGUAUCGGAUUACAAUAAACUCUAUCCGAAAUUUCUGGAAAUGAUCAUUCCUCACAUCAAGGGGGGAAAGAUUGUAUACAUUGAAGACACGGCUGAAGGUCUUGAGAGUGCUCGGGCAGCUCUCGUCGGUCUGUUCUCUGGCCGGAAUCUCGGGAAACAGGUGGUUGCAGUUGCUUCUGAAUGAAUGAAGGAUUUGGUUGUUUACAUCAUGCUUCUACUCGUCCAUUUAUUUAAUAAAAUGGUUACGCUCAAUGAGUGUAAUUUUUAUGAUGCUAAAUUAAAUGUGGAAUGUGGCUGCUGGUUUGAUAAUGUUAAAAGUGCUAAAAAAUUUCAUGUUAGGCGCGGUGUGCGUCUGUAUAUCAUUUUUAGGUACGGGCAUUCUAUCUUUUUUUUUUAAUUAAUACAGACACAUUCUUAAACUGUAUGGUUUAAGAGAGAGUUAAAAAAAACUUUUACCACAUGGUUUAAAAGCGUAUCCGUAUGGAAAAAAAAUGAAAGUCCAUUGGAGAAGAAUUUUAUAUAUAGUCCAGGAUAUUAAAGUGCGGGAAAACUAUAGAGUUUUAAAAACUUAAAAUUUAAAACGUUUAAACUGCACGAUUUAUGUGUUUUUCGAUGUGAUCCCACAUUUUAAAAUUGUGGAUUGGAACAUUUGUCUUUGAGGGAAAAAAAACAAUAACAACAACUUCUUUUGGAGACCGUGGGGCUCAUAUGCAGAUUCAACCCCGAGCUAUACACUGGAUCUGGUGGGCUAGGUUUGAACCCAAAACAAGCUCUAUUCAUUACACGGUUCAGCGGGUUGGUCCAUUUGACGCUUCUAACUUAACAAUUUAAUCAUAAUAAAUUGAAAAAAUAAAAUAAAACCCACGUAUCUAAAUUAUUGUAUUGAGCUAUUGGUGCAGAGAAUAAGUAUAUAUGAGAACAAAAACAACACGAUGUAGUCGCUCGUUUUGUCACUUCUAAAAUCAGGAUUUAGAGCAUCACCAAAAGGCUCUUCAAAUAAGAUUUUAUUACUCAUUUGAAGAGCCACAUCAAUAUUUAAAGCUCCAAAAGACACUCUAAUUAAGAUUCUUCAAAUAAGAAUUGAUUCUCUCUCUUCAAAUUUGGAGAGUUAAUUUCUCCCUCUUCAAUUUAUAUUUUAUUACUUUUCAUUAAAAAAAGAGAGAGAAGUGCUUUAAUUGCUAUUGACUUUUCCUUUUAAAAACUAAUUAUAUGAUUAAAAUAAUAUUAACUUAUUUCUAUUUGAAGAGUCUUUUGGAAAAUAUCAUAUUUUUUCACCCUUCUAUUUGCCACAUAGGUAAGCAAAUAGAUAUUUGAAGAGUAAAAUUUAUAGAGGCUUUUGGAGAUGCUCUUAUGAUAGAGUCAUAGUGUUAACAGUACAUCGGUGUAUAAUUAUUUGUAAUGAAAUUAAUUAAUAUGGGUUUUAUGUUGUCUUUGUCAAUAAUCAAUUAAAUUUUUCGUUUUCAUUUAAAUGUUACUGAUCGAUGAAACAUUUGACUGCGUUCAAGUUAUCUUUUAAUUUUGUGAGAUCCACAUUGUUUUUAUUUCAAAAACAUAAUUUUUCAUAUUAUUAAAAAGCUGUUGCUUGGGCCUAGAGAAAUUGGAUUAAUGAAAUACCUUAAGGGUGUGUUUGACACAUUAUAUUGUAUUAUGUUGCAUUGCAUUAUUUUAUUUGGUGUUGCACUAUACUUUACUAAUUUUUUUGCAAUUAAUUUAAAUUACAUAGUUAGCAAAUAAUAUUUAUUAGUGCUUAGAAAAAUACUAAAUAUAGAAGUCUUAAAUUUUAGAAAUUUAACAAUUUUUUUACUAUAAAUGUUAAAAAAUAUAAUAAUUCUUCAUAAAGAUGGAAGCUUACAGCCUUAAGUUUUUGGAAGCAGAGCAUUUAUUUUUUAGUAUCUUCUAAAUAUAUAAUUUUUGAAAUAAAGAUAUAAGCACAUAAUUUAAUCACAUAGUCUUUAAAUAAUAUAACAACAUAAAUAAAUAGUUAAAAUGUGCAAGAUUAGUUCAAAACUCAUCUUAGGAUGAUAUAAUAAAAGUUUAUACACACCACAAGAUAAUCACAAAAUAAUAAAGUGAUAAAAUUAUUAUAACAUAUUCACUACCAAAAUAAAUUAUAUUAAAUAAUCCAAGUGAGAGUUCUGUAGUUUAUAUAAUAAUAUUAUUUAUGUUAUUAUUAUUAAUUUUAAAUUAAUAUUAUCCAAAUUUAUUCAUACUUAAAUAUGUAUUAUUAGUUAUAUUACAUUAUUUUUACAUAUUAAUUAUUGUAAUAUAAUUAAAUAAUGUAAAAUUAUAUUAUAUUUUUAUAUACUAUUUAAGUAUUUAUUAUUAAUUAUAUUCAAUUAUAAAUUUAUUAAUAAAUUAUAGUGCAAAAAAAAAUAGAAAUAAAAAUUAAUAUUGUAUAAUAAAUAACAUUCUGCUCCCAAUUUCUGGAUUUUAAAUUCCAAAAAUAGUAUUCACGUUCGCCACAUUCAAAAAUCCAACCUGGGCUUGGAGAUUCGAUUCAUCUCAUAGAUUAAUUUUAUAAACUAAUGUUUAGUGAAAAAUUAACCUUAAUGGGUCCUCCUCUCCAGGCCUAAUUCUUAAUUUUUUUUUUAAUUUGGUCCUACUUAAGUGGCUUCUAACGUUACCGUGUCUUUAUUUUGUGUACAGUUGUUUUACUAAUUUGUCAUUUAGUGCAAAUAACAGCACUCAACUUGUAAUAUCCAGUAUCCACAAAUCAGCCACUUCGGCCAAGGCCGAAGUGGUGGGCUGCUGCCCUCACAAUGCUUGUGAGGGCAGCGGUUCUAGCCCCCACAAAAGCAUUGUGGGGGUUAAAUGUUCUUUAUAUUUCCAAAAAAAUCCUUCUCUCUUGCAAAAUGUAAGUGGAGUAUGGACAUCCCUCUCCUGUGAGGGGUUAUUUGUCUGGGCAUGUACUUCAUAGAAUUCAUUGUAAUAAUGUAAGUCCCAAUCAUGUAUAUCUGAUUGUAAAUAUCAGUGUAAUAUCUCUGCUACAAUAAGCAGUUGUUGUAAAUAUCUGUCUGAUGAUUAAUCAGUAUUCAAAAAAAAAAAAGUAUCCACAAAUCAUGAACUCAUUUUUUAGUUCUUUCAUGUGUACUAACAUUCGUACAAAUAUACAAUAAGUUCAUAAUUUAGUCCAAGUUGACGAGAAAUUCUUGACCCACCCCUAAAUAUCUGUCCGCCAAUAGCGUGAAGUGGCCGGCAUAAAUUUAAAGCAGCUGGGACAUUGUAACUCAUCCAAAGAUUGUAUAACAUCUCUUUUUUGCUUUAUCGUUUUUCUCCAGUUGCAUAGUUUCUUAUCCUACCGCUUUAAAAACAAUUAUUCCUAGAAAUUUUCAUUUAUCUAAUGAAUUUUAAGAAUUUUUUCAGCAAACAAUUUUUACUUUUUUUUUUUUUUAUCAUUGAUGGGUAAAGAAAAUAUUAAUGAAAAAUGAGGAGUUAUUGGCUGGUUCAACGGAUUAAUUGCAAUGAUAAAUACAGGGAGGAUUGGAUUAUAUGGCAAAUUUUUAUAGUAAAUGUAAUAUAUAUGCUAACACUUUUUAUUUAUGGCAAAAUAUCUUCCUCUUUUGAGACUUUUCCCUCUAAGAAAAUUGGAGGAUACGACAAUAUAUAUAUAUAUAUAUAUACUAAUAUUUAUCAUUUAUAGAAAAGUAUCUAUCCCACUUAAGAUUUGCCCCACUAGAAAAGGAAAAAAAAAUCCCUCAAAAUAAAAGAGCGAAAUGGAAACAGAACAAAAUUUGAUUUUGUGGAUCUUGUAUUGUGUGAUAAGUCCGGCAUGCAAUUUUGGGCCAGCUUACCGUGCGCAUGGGAGCAUUCACAAAGUAUCUCUCGUCACUAUCGAAAACUUUUAACAGUCAAUACAAAUGCUUCCGUUUCAUCCCAUAAACAAAUAAAAUUCACAUCUGUACACAUCUACUUUGCUUUGCUAGAUAGAGUUCCUCUGCAUUUCCCAAUUGCCUAAAGAGAAGGGGAAAAGAAAAAGAGGGCCAAAAAAUGCCUGAAAUGGUAAGGAACAAGCAAGUGAUAUUGAAGGACUAUGUGUCUGGUUUCCCAAAAGAAACAGACAUGUACAUGACCGAAAGUUCCAUAGAAUUGAAGGUGCCAAAAGGUUCAAAUGGGGUUCUUUUAAAGAACUUGUACUUGUCCUGUGAUCCGUACAUGCGACCAAGAAUGACCUACAUCGAAGGAUCUUAUGUUGAAUCCUUUAAACCUGGCUUGGUUAGUGCACUCGCUCAUGGCCACGCUUUUCAUUUCCAUGGCUUCUUGCUCUUUUGUUAUAGAAAAUUUAUUUUUGGUUGCAGUUUGGUUCGACUGCUAAAAUCUCGUGCGAUAAUUGUAUAAGAUAUCUAGAGUUUGAACUUCUUUCACAUUAGGGUUCAAGGAAGUUAACUUAAAUGAUUUUCAAAAUUUUAAAUGUGUACCAAUGAAUUUAAUUUCAUAGCUUAAACUUAUUGUUUGAUCAUACUCUAACUUUGGACAGGAAAAUUAUAUUUUUCCUUUUGUUCUUUGACUUCGUGUAUGUUGUGUGAAGUACUUGUGCUUGAAAAUGAAUUGCUGACACAGAAAUUUCUAUGAAUGCAUGCAGCCCAUAAGUGGAUAUGGGGUGGCUAAAGUUUUGGAUUCAGAGAAUCCAGAGUUCAACAAAGGUGACUUGGUUUGGGGAAUGACUGGAUGGGAAGAGUAUAGUCUCAUUACGGCUCCACACUUGUUUAAAAUUCAGCACACAGAUGUGCCUCUUUCUUACUAUACUGGAAUCCUCGGUAAACUUUUUGUUUGCGCAAUUUAUGUGAGCAAAUUGUGUCUUCUUUUUCAUAUGUAAAUGUUUUUGAUAUCUUGAUGUGAAGGUAGAAAAUUGCAUGUUUUGAGUUUUUGCAUAUUUGAUGGAAACACAGAACCGUACCUGAAUAUUUCAGAACCCCCUUUUCUUUGAAGUUUGAACACUUUUCUUGAAUGUAUCAACUUUAUUUAUGGGAUAUGUUGCCAAAUUGGCAAAUCUAUUCGUUAUAAAACUUUCCUUUGACAGUUUAAUCUAAGCAGAUGUUAAUUCUGCAAAUAGAGUGUGCCUUAGUUUAGAUUGAUAGAUUUGUCUCCUUCUGUACAGUAAAAACUUUGAGCAUUUUCGCCAUAUUCUGAUCAAUACACUCCAACUAGUUAGUUCUUGAGGCGUUUCCUGGUUUCGUGGAGUGAGCCAAGAUGUAUACGUUUGCAAAUUGGCAAUGUCUUUUGCUUGAUGUGUUGUGAGUUGUGAGUGUCAAUAGGAAAGUUUCAAAGUGCGCAGUGCUCACUUGAGCACCCAUAUUACUUGGUGACCUGUUGCCUCAGCAAACAAGACCUCUGUUUUAUGAACUCCAAAAAGUUAUUCUGUUAAAAAGAUCGAGACAGAGGCCAUACUAUAUUUAUUAUUGCUAUAAAAGUGUCAAACAAUAUUCUUUAUUUAAUAUUCUAAACGAUUGAGCCAUUUAGUUAUGAUACUCUGCUGUACUGGGGCUAAUAAUCUAAGUCGGUUCAAAGUGGUAAAUUUAUAAAUUGAUAGGUAUGCCUGGUAUGACCGCUUACGUUGGAUUUUAUGAGGUCUGCUCUCCUAAGCAUGGAGAGUGCGUCUUCAUAUCAGCAGCAUCUGGUGCAGUUGGUCAGCUUGUGGGGCAGUUUGCAAAGUUAUUGGGUUGCUAUGUCGUCGGAAGUGCUGGAAGCAAAGACAAGGUAUGUAAUCUGUGUGAACUACUUGAUUGUUUCCAUGUUACUUUCAAACAUUUAAAUUAAAAAGGAAAUUUUCAUAAUCUUGCCUUUUCUAUGAUUUUCAACACCAAGGUUGAUCUACUGAAGAACAAGUUUGGGUUCGACGAGGCAUUUAACUAUAAAGAAGAAGCUGAUUUGAAUGCAGCAUUGAAAAGGUUAGCAUCAAUAAAUGCCUUAGCUUGAUGCAGCUUGAUGAAGUAUGAUACACAUUUCUGACCAAUAUACUGCGUUCCCUGAUCUCUUACUUGAAAUAUCUUGGUUUGAGAAUCUCAUGCCAAUGCCUUUAACAUUUUGGCAGGUACUUUCCUGAAGGAAUUGAUAUAUAUUUUGAAAACGUUGGUGGAAAAUUGCUUGACGCAGUGCUACCCAACAUGAAAAUCCGUGGUCGAAUUGCUGCAUGCGGUAUGAUCUCACAGUACAAUCUUGACAAGCCUGAAGGUGUGCACAACUUGAUGUAUCUUGUUUCGAAACGGCUUCGAAUGGAAGGAUUCAUUGUUCUGGAUCACUAUCACCUCUAUCCAAAGUUUCUGGAAAUGAUCAUUCCUCACAUCAAAGAAGGGAAGCUUGUAUACGUCGAAGACAUGGCUGAAGGUCUGGAGAGUGCUCCGGCAGCUCUCAUCGGUCUAUUCUCUGGCCAGAAUGUUGGGAAACAGGUGGUUGCUGUUGCUCCUGAAUGAAGAACAAGUUAGUGUUGUGUGUUCUUUUACCCUUUGACACAAAACUUCAAUGUUAAAGAGAGAAUGCUGCUCAUACUGCUUUAUAAAAUAAUCAAAUGAGUGCAAGUUUCAUGAUAUGUGCUGAAUAAAAAUAUUGGAAAUUAAGCAGCUAGCCUAGCUCCUUCUUGUAGUUGCAGUUUGAAUGAUGCUGCUGCACAACUGCUGCCGAAAAAAUCCUUAAUAGAUGAUUAGCAAGGUUUCAAAAAUAAAAAUAAAUGUUUGUGCAAUGUGCCGAAUAUGACAGCCACAAAGAAAGAGCAUACAAAUUGACUGGUUUUAUGUCUUCUCUAGGAGAAAGCUACAAUACAAGAAAUUGUAUUGAUGCCAUGGACCAAAUUUCUUAUUUAAACUUUUAAUUUUUUUUUAUUAAAAUUACUUAUGUUAUUAUGGUUUAUAUUUUUAGAAAUUCUUUAGAAAUUAAUACAGAACUAGUAGCAAGUUGAGAAAUCUAAUGAAUGGUCGAGAUAUGAUCAUGUUUAUUGAAUUAAAUUGACAAUCAUCAUUUUGAUAAAUUAUUGUUAGGAUAUUUGAUUCAUCACAGGUGUAAGUAACUAAAUGUGCUAAAAAAAAAGUUAAUGAGUUGUGAGUGUUUGAUAUUCGUUUGUUGUAAUUCUUUUAAUAAUUGUUGUGGGAAAAAAAUUAUGGUAAAAAAAUUAUAAUUAUAAAAUAAAAAUUAAUAAUAUAUUAUAAAUAAAAUUUUUAAAUAAUAAUUUUAAUAAAAUAAUAAAUAUAUUAUGAAUUUUUCAUUAUAAAUUUUUAAGUUAAAAUAAUAAAUAUUUAUUAAAUAUUUUAAUAGCACAACUUUUAAAUUAUAACAGUACAAUGUAAAUACCAGAGGUCUUAAAAAAUAAAAUUACAGUCAAGUUUUAAAACUGUUAAUAAUGCUAUUCAUAAAGGCGCUCGUCGUGUAAACAACACAUGGGACCCAACCAAUAAAUGUUUAUGAUCCUCAACUUUCCUCCUCACCGUCCCUGCAAACAAUUCUGAUUUUCUUGUCUGAGAAAAAAACUGAGAAACAAUGGCGGCCGAACAAGAAGCUGUGAGCAAUAAGCGGGUGAUUCUAAGCAACUAUGUGACAGGUUUUCCAAAAGAAUCGGACAUGAAGAUAACAUGUGGAUCAAUAAAACUGGAGGUAGCAGACGGUUUAAAAGACACGGUGCUUUUGAAGAAUCUUUAUAUUUCUUGUGAUCCUUACAUGCGAGAGCGUAUGAGCAAGCUUGAUAGACCUUCUUUUGUUGAUUCAUUCCAUCCUGGUGAGGUUAGUUCAUCACGACCCAUCUCUUGAUUUUUUUUUUUUUUCAUUUGCUUCAAGUUUUGAUGAGUUUCUGAGGUCAUUUGUACGGUUUUGGAAUGUGAACACUAUUAGUGAUUUUGGGGCUGUAACUGUCAUUAAUGAUAUGUAGUAAUUCAAUCAGAAUUUGGAUUUAGUGCUGAUAUGAUCUCUGCUCAUUUUUUAAAAUCUUGUGUCCAGAUGCAUUUUUAUAAUCUUGUACGGUUGAGAUUGUAAGUAGAUUAAUCUACGUGCAGUAUUCUUGUCUAAUGACUACUAACCACAACCUUAUGAGACGAUCGAAACCAAGCUCAGAUCAAUAAUCCAAUUGAGAGAGGGUCCUAACUCAAGCUUAUCGUGUGUAGGAAUAUUUCGGUUAAAUUGUAAUUCUUUUAAUAAUUGUUGUGAAAAAAAAAAAGUUAUGAUAAAAAAAUUAAUAAUUAUAAAAUAAAAAUUAAUAAUAUAUAAUAAAUAAGAUUUUUAAAUAAUAAUUUUAAUAAAAAAUAAUAAAUACAUUAUCAGUUUUUCAUCGUUAAUUUUUAAGUCACAACCACAAAUAUUUACUAAACACUUUAACACCAUAAUUAACACCACAACUAUUGAAUUAUAACUGUACAAUCUAGACGCCAAGAGGCCUUAGUAUGAAAAAAAAAAAUUACAGUUAAGUUAAAAUUCAUCAUACAGAUGUGCCACUUUCAUACUAUACCGGGAUCCUCGGUAAUGAUUUUUGUUACACAAUAAGAUUUGCUUAUAGUAAUAUCAAUACAUAUGCUGCUUAAAUGCUUUCUGAUUUUUUGCCGGCCAUUGUCCAUUUUGCCAGGGAGUCUAUAAUUGAAGGAAUUUACUGAAGGAAUGCUGAUUGUUGGGAAUUUGAUUAUUCUAGGUAUGCCUGGUGUAACUGCAUACGCUGGUUUAUACGAAGUUUGCUUUCCGAAGAAAGGAGAGUAUGUCUAUGUAUCUGCAGCAUCUGGAGCUGUUGGUCAGCUUGUUGGACAGUUUGCAAAAUUAGCUCGUUGCUAUGUUGUUGGAAGUGCAGGAAGCAAAGAAAAUAUAGCACCGUGCCUUCUAGCAGAAUUUUACUUGCUUUAUGUUCCAACUAAGCAUCCAUAUUUGAUCAUGAUAAUUAGCAAGGUCAAUAAUUUUUUUUUGACUAUUUUUUCAACGUAAGGUCGAUUUGUUGAAGAACAAGUUUGAACGAUGCUUUUAACUACAAGGAAGAGCCUGAUUUGGAUGCAGCACUCAAAAGGUCAGCUGCAACAAACGUUUCAACUCUAAUAUUUCAUUUUAAUAUUACAGAGCUUUGGUUGAAGUGUGUGAGUUGAUCCCAGAAACGUAACUUCAUCAGUGUCUCUGUUUUCAAAAAACAGGACAAAUAGAAAUCUGAUUUUGCUUUAAAAUUUCCCAGAUGCUUCCCUCAAGGAAUCGACAUAUAUUUCGAAAAUGUUGGGGGAAAGAUGCUGGACGCAGUGCUACUCAACAUGAGGCUCCGGGCCGCAUUGCAGUAAGCAGUAUGAUCUCACAGUAUAACCUGGAAAAACCCGAAGGCGUUCACAACUUAGAGCAACUGAUCGGGAAACGGAUUCGCCUGGAAGGAUUUCUAGCUGGUGAUUACUAUCACCUCUAUCUGAAAUUCUUGGAACUGGUCAUUCCUCCAAUCAGAGAAGGAAAGAUGCUGUAUGUGGAAGACAUGGCCGAAGGACUCGAGAAAAUUUCUCGUAACUGCUACACAUUAAACGCGUUUCACAUUUCCACUCUCUUUCUAUAAAUAAAUACGCACAUAAAAUUUCUCACCAUCCAAAAACAAAAUCUACAUAAAAAAUGGCGGGUGAAGAAGCAGUGAGCAACAAGCAGGUGAUUCUGAGCAACUACGUGACAGGGUUUCCCAAGGAAUCAGACAUGAAGAUAAUAACAGGCUCAAUAAACCUUAAGGUGCCAGAGGGUUCAAAAGACACAAUGCUUUUGAAGAAUCUUUAUCUUUCUUGUGAUCCUUACAUGAGAGGACGUAUGAGCGAGCUUGAUAAGCCUUCGUUUGUUGCCUCAUUCGAGUCUGGCGAGGUCAGUUACUUCAAUUCCCAUCUCUUGGUUUCAUAAUCUUUUAUGGUUUUAGAAGGUGUUUUAGGGAAACAUUGUGGUUUUGGUUAGUGGGCAUGAGUCUUUGAAGAGAUUAUAAUGUGUAGGACUAUGCAUGCAAUAAUAAGCAUAGGGGAUCUUGUUAGGAGAAGAUUCUCUUAGCAAAAUAAAAACUUUUAUCUUAUCAAAACAUAUGCAGGGAACUUAGUUAUGAUGUCAUGUUAGCAUUAUCUCUGAGGAUUUGAUUUCUUGAUGGGGAAAGGGGAAUUUAAGGUUACAUUAUUCAGCAAUGUUUUUUUUUUAAAAAAUUAUGUUCAAAUUAUGCAGCCUUUAAGCGGAUAUGGAGUGUCCAAAGUGUUGGAUUCCACGCCUCCAAAUUAUAAGAAAGAUGACUUGGGUGGCGUUUGUUUUUUAACUUAAUGACUUAAAGUGACUUAACUUAAUUAAUUAAGUUAAUUAGAGAUGUUUGUUUUUAUAACUUAAUGUGACUUUUUAAAUAAUUUUGACUUAAUAAAAUAAGCCAAUUUUAUUUACUUUUUACUUAAUAGAGACAUCUGAAUUAAGUCAAGUACUUUCUAAUGUCAAAAAUAUACAUGCUUUAUAAUUUAUUUUUCAUGUCUAUCCCAAAACUCACCCAUAGACAUUUACCCCACAUAAUAAUCUCAUCAUUAUUUUUUUAGCCGUCAUGAAAUCCCUCCUCACUUUGGUAUCAACUCCUCAACUAUUGAAGAUCAAAAUUACAUGCGACAACUUCGAGAUGAAUGGCAAAUCAACUGUUUCAAGCAUCUUAUUCGUUUUUUUUCUUUUUUAUAUUAUAUACGAUAAAAUUUGAAAUUUAUGGUAUUUUAUAUAUUAAAAUUCCAAAAUCAUUAUAUAUUCACUUGAAUAUAGUUUUACUUAUAAAUGUUAAAAUAUUGUGAUAUUUAAUAUAUUAUUUAUUUGACAUUCAAAUUUAAUAAGGAUACAAAUGUAAAAGUACAUAUUUUUCAGUUUUUUAAGUUGAAAAAAGCAAACAACUUAAUAAUUAUUUUUCGAGAUUCAGACGAAAAAACAAACAUAUUAUUCAGAUUCAGACAUUCAGAUCUAUUCAGAAUUUAGACUAAUUCAGGUCUAUUCAGAUUUCAGAUAAAAAAACAAACGCCACCUUGGUCCGGGGCUUAACCAGUUGGGAGGAGUUCAGUCUCAUCCAAUCACCACAACUUCUGAUUAAAAUUCUGGAUACAAGUGUGCCUCUGCCAUAAUUAAUUGACAGGUUGCUAUGUUGUUGGAAGUGCCGGAAGCAAAGAAAAGGUGAGUUUGCACCCUUAACCCUUACGCUCUAAAUAAAAACAUAACACCUUCUGAAAGAAUUGUGCAUAGAGAAUUUUGCAUGUCACAUUAUUUGUGUUCUAACUAAUCAUGGAUAUUUGAUCAUUAGUCUAACUAAAACUGACAUAUUACCACCUAGUUGACUGGUCUUUGAGAAAUGUUAGUUGAUAUAUGCUUGAAAUCAUACUUGUUUUAUUAGAUGAUUAUAUUAACCUGCUUCUUUUUCUUUGUGCUGUUUCUCGUUUGAUUACAUUUUCAACAUUAGGUCGAUCUAUUGAAGCACAAGUUUGGGUUUGAUGAUGCCUUUAACUAUAAGGAAGAGCCUGACUUGGAUGCAGCUCUUAAUAGGUUAGCACGAAUGAAUGCUUUAACCAUUUUUCUCACUUCAUUAUUACAAUGCGCUGAUUGAAGUAAUCAGUGUUGGCUCUGAAAAUGUAACGUAUACUUCUCUGUUUUCAUAAAACAGGACAAACAGUGAUCAGUGAUCUCAUUCGUUACAUUGAUAUUUUCUACCAUUGCCAUACAUAGUAUAAACUAGGAAUUCAGUUGCUUAAUAGAUAUUCAUUUCAGAGGGAAAUUUUCACUUGCAGCUAACAGAAUCAUGUUUGUGAUGUAUGUUUAUUUGGGAAAUGAAAGGAUUUGUUGCAUUAUUUUAUUCCAAGUUUGCUGAAAUCAUAUUUGUUUUCCCAGGUGCUUUCCUGAAGUUAUCGACAUCUAUUUCGAAAAUUUUGGAGGUAAGAUGCUUGAUGCAGUGCUACUCAACAUGAGAAUUUGUGGCCGCAUCGCUGUAUGCGGAAUGAUCUCACAGUACAACUUUGAGAAGCCUGAAGGUGUACACAACUUGAUGCAAGUAGUUGGAAAACGAAUUCGCAUGGAAGGAUUUCUUGCCAGUGAUUUCUACCACCAAUAUCCAAAAUUCUUGGAACUGGUUAUGCCGGCAAUCAAAGAAGGAAAGUUAGUAUAUGUCGAGGACAUAGCUGAAGGCCUCGAGAAAGCUCCAUCAGCCCUAGUUGGGAUAUUCACAGGUCAAAAUGUUAAAAAACAACUGGUUGUAGUUGCUCGGGAAUGAUAUGAUUACUAUAUGCUUUAAAAAGUGGACUUUGCCAUGCACUUUAAAAGCUUAGUGAAGAUGCCUUUGUCUUAUUUUUGAUACAUGUUAUGUUUGUUUGAUCAAGUUGUACUCAGCUAUAAAUCAAAGAUUCAGAACAUGUGUAUGAUACUGGUUUCUAAAUCAAUGAACGCGUUGAAAUGUUAGUGUUUUCACAGGAGAAUGCAAUUUAAUUCAUCAACAAUGUCCCAACAAGACCCUCAGAGCUGUAGCUUGUAAAGUUAAUUACGAUAUUUUUUUGUAAAGUAAAUUACCAUAUUUUUUUCUUUCCAAUAUAUUGCUUAUUUCAUAGAAAGUUUACAUUAAAGUCUCAUGUUUCUUUGAAAGGUAAGCAAGUGUGAACGUUUCAAUCUAGAGCUGGAAAAUGCAUUUCCGGGCAACUUACUUGAUACAUGAAGUUUUCAUCUCUGACCUUGAUGUUUCCCAUAGUUGCAUUCAUUUCAGCUGAUCUAUUUAAUUUUGUUUUCGAAGGAGUGACACAAAAUCUCCUUUGUUAAGGGGAGAAUUUAGAGUGGCUUUGACUGUUAGCAAAUAGCCUAAUGUAAGACUUAACCAACUUCCUGCCCUGUUGUAUGCUUAUGAAUUUUGAUAGAGCUAAGAGUUUGCAGAAGCUACUGUAUUAUUUGUCGUUAGAGGCUGUAAAAAUCAAACACAUUUAAAUUUCAAUGAAAAUUUACUGGAAGUAAAUUUCCUAUGAUCCCACAGGUGACUAAUUAAUGAGAACUUGACAAUGACAAAAGAAAGUCUAUGAACUUUGCAGGCUGGCAUGCCAAUAUUGACUGGGUGGCACCAUCCACCAUCUGCAAGUGAAUAUCAUUGUUGUUUAAUCAACAAGGUGGAGUCCACUGGGACCACACCACAUCGUCAGCCUUAUCUCUAUUCCUCAAUUUUCAGUAUUCCAUACAUCAAACCAAUUUCAGUUUUGUUAUCAAUUAUAAUUUUAUUGUUGGUGACGAUUCUGAUUCCUUUCUGACAAAAGGGAACCAUGGCUGCUGCUGGAGAGAUCUUACUCAACGCCUUCUUUCAGGUACUGUUCGACAGGUUGGCUUCUCGUAAUUUGCUCAGCUUUGUGCGUCAACUCCAAGGCGGGGUUGAUUCGGAGCUCAAAAAGUGGGAGAAAAAGCUGAAGAUGAUUCGGGCUGUGCUCUGCGAUGCAGAGGAGAAGCAACUGACUGACGAGGCUGUGAAGAUGUGGCUGGACGAACUCCAAGACUUGGCUUAUGACGCUGAGGACACUCUUGAUGAGUUUGCUACUCAAGCUUUGGAAAGCAAGUUGAUGGCGCAAAAUCACGAUAGUUCUGGCCAGGUUCUCAGUUUCAUCCCGGCUGGUUUGAAUCCGAAUGCUAUUAUGUUCAAUUAUAGCAUGGGGUCCAAGAUGAAAGAUAUUACUAGCCGGCUGGAGCAACUCUGCCAAGAAAGAAUUGAACUUGGACUGCAACGGAUUACCGGAGAGGCAUCAUCAACUGCUGCUGCUGCACACCAGAGGCCACCCAGUUCGAGUGUCCCAACAGAACGUGAAGUAUUUGGAAGAGAAAAAGAUAAGGCCAAAAUUCUUGAUAUGUUAUUAGCCGAUACCAUAAGUGAUCAUGCUAACUUUGUUGUAAUACCCAUUGUUGGCAUGGGUGGGAUAGGAAAAACAACUCUCGCUCGGGAGGUUUACAAUGACAAAGCCGUUGGAGGUUCCAAGUUUGAUGUAAAAGCAUGGGUUUGUGUAUCUGAUGUCUUUGAUGUUUUGGGCAUCUCAAAGGCACUUCUCGAGUCAAUCACCCGCAGGCCUUGUCUUCUAAACAGUUUAAAUGAAGUGCAGGUUGAAUUGAAAGUAGCUGUGGAUAAGAAAAGAUUCUUGCUGGUCUUAGAUGAUGUUUGGAACGAGGACUACAGCUUGUGGGUAGACUUAAAAGCUCCGUUCCUGGGUGCUGCACCAAACAGUAAGAUGAUCGUCACCACACGCAAUUCAAAUGUUGCAUCAACAAUGGGACCAAUUGAACAUUACAAUCUCAAGAGUCUGUCAGAUGAUGAUUGCUGGUCCAUUUUCAUAAAGCAUGCAUUUGAAUCUAGAGAUCUUAACGCACAUCAAAUUUCAGAAUCAUUCCGCAAGAAAGUUGUUGCCAAGUGUGGAGGCUUGGCCCUGGCAGCAAAAACACUCGGAGGCCUUCUGCGUACGACGAGGCAUGAUGCGUGGGAUGAUAUAUUAGAGAGCAAAAUAUGGGAUUUACCUCGACAAAGUGGGGUUCUCCCAGUAUUAAGAUUGAGUUACCAUCAUCUUCCUUCUCAUUUGAAAAGAUGUUUUGCUUUUUGUGCCAUCUUUCCAAAAGAUUAUGAAUUCACUGAGAAGGAGCUGACUUUCUUAUGGAUGGCUGGAGGUAUUAUUCGACAGUCAAGAAACAAUGAGCAGCUGGAAGAUUUGGGCAGCAAGUGCUUUGGUGAUCUAGUGUCGAGGUCAAUUUUUCAGCAAACAGCAAGCUCUGAUAGUUCUAAAUUUGUAAUGCAUGACCUUAUUCAUGAUCUUGCUGAAUUGGUCUCUGGAGAAACCAUAUUCAGGUUAGAGGAGGCCAAUACUCUGUCAAGAAGAUUUGAAAGGGUUCGCCAUUCUUCCUAUGCUUGUGGUGGAUGUGAUGGUAAAAAUAUGUUCGUGGUUUUCAAUGAAAUUGAACAUCUACGAACAUUCUUGCCAUUACGCUUACGCAUAAGAGGUGGCUCUAAUACUAGUUACAUAACUCGUACGGUUCUAUCUGAUUUGCUGCCGAAGUUCAAAAUGUUGAGAAUGCUAUCUUUACAAGGAUACCGUAUUGGUGAGUUACCAAUUCCAUUUGAAGAUUUGAGACUACUAAGGUUCCUCAACCUUGCUGACACUGACAUAAGAAGUUUACCUGAGUCAACAUGCAAAUUGCUGAACUUGGAAAUUUUGAUAUUAAGAAAUUGUUCCUAUUUGAUAAAGCUUCCGCAGAAAAUGAGGAAUUUGAUCAAUUUACAUCACCUCGAUAUAAGAGGUGCGAAGUUGCUGAAGGAGAUGCCAUUCGGAAUGAAAGAGUUGAAGAAGCUUCAAACAUUGUCCAAUUUCAUCGUGGGCAAGGGCGAAACUGCAUCUGGUUUGGAAGAUUUAAAAUGUUUAAACUUUCUUGGUAAUGAACUUUGCAUUGCUGGAUUAGAGAAUGUGAAUAAUCCACAGAAUGCAAGAAGAGCCGCAUUAUGCGAGAAGCUCAAUCUUGAAGCAUUGACUCUAGAAUGGGGGUCUCAAUCUGACAGUCCUCGAGAUGCAGUACCAGAAGAGAAUGUACUUGACACUCUACAGCCGCAUAAACGUAUAAAAGAGCUGGCAAUCAGACACUAUGGUGGUGCAAGAUUUCCACUUUGGAUCGGAGAUCCUUCAUUCUACGAGAUGAAGGUCCUUAAAUUGGAGAACUGUGACAAUUGUGUAUCUUUGCCGUCGCUUGGCCUGAUGAGUUCACUUAAGCACCUUGCUGUUAAAGGGCUGAAGAAACUAAAAAGCAUAGAGUCUGAGGUUUAUGGGGAGGGUUUCUCAAUGCCUUUUCCGUCACUGGAGAUUCUAAGUUUCGAGAAUUUGCCAGAAUGGGAGCAUUGGGACACCGAGAUCAAAGGAAAUGCGCCUGUUGAUUUAUUUCCUCGUCUCCAAGAACUUUCCAUUGCAGAAUGUCCCAAACUCUCUGGACAACUGCCUGAGCUCCUGCCUUCCUUGAAGACACUUGUUGUUAGUAAAUGUGAAAAGUUGGUAGUUCCAUUGUCUUGCUAUCCAAUGCUUUGCAGAUUAGAAGUUGAUGAGUGCAAAGAACUAGUCUGCCGGACUCCGAUUGAUUUUAAGUUGAUAAAGUCCAUGACUAUUUCAAAUAGUUCAUUAGACAUGAAUGGACGCAAGGGGAUGUUAUACGAUGGUCCAGCUGGCUCUUCACUGCCAAACCCCAUGACUACUACAAAUGUUUUAGAGUUUGGAAAAUUAUUGAAGCCUGGAUUUCAGAUAUUCGAAACUUUGGUAAUUGGCAAUUCUGAACAGCUCAAGUUAUGGAGGCAGCAUGGGGAUUUUCCGAAAAAAUACAUGGUCACUGACCAUGGGUUCAAGAAACCAGUACGAGGGCUGAAUAUGCUCGCUUCCCCUGAAGAGGUAACAAUUGAAGAAAGUUGCGUACGUCUUGUUUUGAUUCCAGAGAUCAAUUUCCUUCUCAGAAAUCUGCGCUCUCUUAUAAUUAACAACAGCACUGCUUUCAAAUCCUUACCCGAGGAAAUGAUGGAAAACAAUUCACAACUCGAAAGAUUGUAUAUCAGAGAUUGCGACUCUCUAAUAUUCAUCGCAAGACGGAGGCUACCAGCAUCUCUUAAAAGGUUUGAGAUAGGAAAUUGUGAGAAAUUGCAACGUCUGUUCGAUGAUGAAGAGGAUGCUUCUUCUUCUUCUUCUCCUUCAUCCUCGUCUUCCCCAGUGAUGCUGCAACACCUGAGUAUAGAGAACUGCCCAGAGCUCACCAGUUUAUCAUCGGGUGUCCAAUUCCUUGAGGCGCUUGAAGACCUCGUGAUACAGCAGUGUCGAAAGCUGGAGUCAAUACCGGAUGGCCUGCCCAAUCUUAAAUGUUUACAGAGCAUUAAUAUACGGGAAUGUCCAAGUCUUGUUUCCUUAACAGAAAGAGGGCUUCCCAACACCAUUUCAUUUGUUUACAUUUGCAGAUGUGACAAGCUCGAAGCCUUGCCCAAUGAUUUGCACAAACUCAGCUCUCUUCGAGAAUUAUUCAUACAGCUCUGUCCAAAUCUUGUAUCGUUUCCAGAAGAAGGUUUUCCUACCAAUCUAACAACACUUGUAAUUGGAGAUUUCAAAAUGUAUAAGACACUCGUCCAGUGGGGGUUGCACAGGCUUACCUCUCUUAAACGCCUCUGGAUUGCUGUACGUGAUGAUGAAGCAGAGUGUUUUCCAGACGAGGAGAUAGGAAUGACGCUGCCCACCUCUCUCACUGAUCUGCACCUUUUUGAUUUCGAAAAAUUGAUAUCUCUGUCUGCGACGGGUUUUCAGAGUCUCACCUCUCUUCAGAGUUUGUGGAUCGGGAAUUGCCCGAAUCUCACAUCAUUUCCAGAGGUGGGCCUUCCAUCCUCACUUUUGGGCUUAGACAUUAGAUAUUGUCCAAAGCUUAAAACAGCGUGCAAAAGAGAUGAAGGAAAAGAGUGGUCCAAAAUUGCUCACAUCCCUCACGUUGAGAUAGACGGUAAAUUCAUAUACGAUCCAGAAGCAGAGGAGUAGGUUCUACUAUUAAGGUCAGUUGAUUUGUAUUAUCCGCUAUAACAAGCUCCUCCUUUUUUAUUUUUUUUAAAAAUAAUAAUUUUGCAGUCACUCACGUGAUUCCGUUUUCACAAGUCAGAUUGUAUGUUGAGGCUAUUUGCCUUUUAAUCGCAGAUUAAAUUAUAACACUUAUCUUAAAAUUUAAUACCAUACACAGAUAGACGAUUUUUUAAUCCAAAGUUUUUUUUAUUCACUUCAGUUAGCAUUUUUUUUUUCCCCAAAUCAUGCAAGCCGAGAGUUUCAAUCAAGAAUUGGAGGAUGUGAAUGGGAUUUUUGUGAAAGAGUAACAUAAUGGAUGAACGAACAUUUCAUAUGUGAUCUCAAAGUCAACAGAAUUUUAUUCACUCGUUGACUUUUCAACUGCUGUGGUUAUUUAUGGGUGAAAGAUAAGGGCAAUUACAAAAAAUUUGCAAAAUUUGUCAAUUUCUUAGAUGGUAGAAAUUGGAGUAUAAUAUUUUGGAGCAAGCAUACUUGAAAUUUCUGUCUUCAAUAUUUUGAUGCUUUCUUAUCCCAUGCACAAAAGUACUAGAAAAAACUAAUAACAACUAACCGAAAAUCCCAGGCGUCAUAUUCCUUUUUACCGCGUUUUAAAAUGCACAACAAUGAUAUUCUUACAAAUUUGCAAAAUUUGUCAAUUUCUUAGAUUUCAGAUAUUUUAAUGCUUUUUUUAAUUUUUGAUCUAGUAAAAAUACAUAGCCUUCACCGGCAGGAUUCUAGUCUUGGCUUUCACCUCUCUAACUCAUCUGUUCCCAUUGGGAUUCCAGAAGCUAGAAAAAUGUGUAGUUUUCAGAUAAGGAGGCUUGUCAGUUCUCUAGUAAGAAUCCAAUGAUUUGCUUUUGAACGUCCAUCUAAUUUGUGGAUCCUUGCAUCAGAAUUUGAUCAAUCCAAAAGGAAUUGCUUUUAGACAGAAGAAGAAUAGCAGCACCUAGCCUACCCGCAAACCUGAAACUAUUAGAUUGAGGUAAAAAAAUCAUUGACCCUCACAUGUUAACUUCUUCUAGUUACUUUCGUUGGGAAAAAAAAAAACAUUUAAGGAAUUUGCAAUUUGUUGUUAGUUAUGGUAUCUGAUGUUCUUUUCUGCUUUAGCAUUUGUAGAAUCUACUGUAUUAUGUGUUGGCAGUUGCCGUAUCUGAGGUAACUUGCCUUUAUUUGUUUGCUUCUGACUUAAGGACACCAACAUUUGCCAGAGAUUUAGAGAAUCAUCUCAAAACACUUAGCAAACUUGACAAACUUCAAGAUGCACUUGCCCCCACGCCUUAUUCUCAACAACGCAAAACUUGUGAGUACACCUAUGCCUGCAAUUAUUGUGAAGUGUUCGCAAUUCUGAUGCAGAGAAAUGGUUUCUUGAUGCAAAGUAUUAAACUGUUAAGAUUUAUCCUGCAGGCUUGUUAGAUGCUGGAUACGCGAAAAGCCAACAACAUCAAGAACUGCAACUCCAAGACCAGCUUUGCGUUAAUUCAGUCAGCUGUAAUAAUGAUGCAAAUGACACUAUAUCAAGCUGGACUUAGAGACUAGUCAGAUAAAUCAUCCAUUUCAUCAACGGUUAAUGUCAUGAUGGUGGCUAUCAGAGGAAACAAAAGAUGUGUCGGAAUCUAUACAAACAUUGAGAAGCAUGAGAGGAGCUUUGAUUUUGAGUAGGGUCAAUGAACUCAUAUUGGUAAGUGGUAAUUAAAGAAACUUUGUAAGCUUAGUAGAGUUUCAGUAUUUUCUGUUUGGAGUAUAGUUGAUAAGUUGACUCUGUUUAAGAAGCCCGAUUAUAGUAGCUGACUGUAUUAACCUUUUUUUUUUUUUUUUUGGGUCUGCUGUUGUUUUUGGUUUCGAUUAUUUUUUCAACAUUGGGUUGAUCUGUUGAAGAACAAGCUUGGGUUUGAUUAUGCUUUAACUACAAGGAAGAGCCAGACUUGGAUGCAGGCGUUAAGCUUUUAAUGGGUAAGAACAAAUGAAUGCUUUAACUAUGUUUCUCACUUAUUAAAAUGCACGGAUUGAAGGCAUCUGGGUUGAUCCUGACAAUGUGAUGGAAAUACUUCUCUGUUUUCAUAUAACAGGACAAAUAGAGAUCUCUGAUCAUGCCUGAAUUUUUGUUGCAUUGAAAUUUCUACCAUUAUCAAACAUAGAAUGAACUAGGGAUACAUUAGCUUAAGACUAAAUUUUGAGAAGGAAGUUUGUACUUGCAGCCUAUAAAAUCAUGUCCAUGUUGUACGUUUCUUUGGGAAAUGAAAGAUUCUGUGUGUUCUUUUAUUUCAAGUUCACUGAAAUCACAUUUGUUUUCUCAGCUGCUUUCCAGAAGGUAACAACAUCAAUUUCAAAAAUGCUGGGGCAAGAUGUAUCAUGCAGUGCGACUCAACUUGAGAAUUCCUGGCCACAUUACCCGUAUGUCUAAUGAUCGCACAGUACAACCUUGAGAAGCUUGUAAUGAGUACACAACUGGGUGCAAGUAGUUUUGAAAUGAAUUUGCCUCAAAUGAUUUCUUGCCGGUGAUUAAUAUAACCUCUAUUCCAAAAUUCUUGGAACUGGUCAUACUAGCAAUGAAGGAUUGCAUACAUUGAAGACAUAGCUGAAGGCCUUGCGAGAGCUCUGUCAGCCCUUGUACCGGAAAACAGCUGGUCGUAGUCGCUUGUGAAUGAUAUGAUUAAUAGAUACUGCAAAAAUGAAUUGUGCCAUACAUUUUCAGCGCUCUGUGAAGAUGUCUUGGUCAUUUGUUUGAUGCUUGUUUGAUUUAUGUUGUAUUCAGCCAUAAAUCAGAGAUUCAGAACUUGGGUAUGUUUCUGGUUUCCAAAUCAAAAAAUUGCCUUGUGAUGUUAGUGUUCACUGUUUUCACAGGAGAUCAGGUUCCUUGUUAAUGAAUCAAGAAGAAGGCAAGCGCAUCCAUGUCCAAGUUCAAAUGUGUCUCCUCUAUUUUCUAUUACCCACUCAUUUAUUUUGAUUUCUUCAUUGUAAUUGAAUUAGUUUUUUAUUCCAAAUUAGUCAAAACCUCGUAGAGUCAUUAAGUUCUUUUAGCAUUUAAAGACAGAACUACGAACCAAAUGAUUUAAGUUCUUCGUUGUAAUUGAAUUUGCUUUCCCAUCUUUAAAGAUAUUAUGUUCUUUUUCACUUUUUCGAUUUGGUUAGUGGUGAUUUCUUAAAGACUCAAUCCAUUUGCGUUAAUACAUUUUUCUUUUGCCUUGAUUUCUGUUUCUUGGGGAGUUUAUACAUAUUCUUAUUUUAUGCUACACAUGCCAUAUACAGAUUCUUAUUUUAUGCUUCACAUGCCACAUGAAAGGUCAAAGCCUUGUGUGUGAUUAGAAUUUACUGGCAUCAUAGUAACUUUAAACCAUUGUGACGUUUUAGUAAUAACAGUCUGAGCUCUCCCUGAAGGAUUCAAAGCAUUUUAUUUUAUAUUAUACUCCUUUAUAUGGUUUGGCUGGUCUCUUUUAAGGCAAUUCCUGUUUAAAGUAAUCAAAAUUUUGAUUUCGAAGUGUCUUUCAACACUACCGCUAGUUCUUUAAGAAAAGUAAAUCGAUUUUGAGUCUUCUGUAUCAUCUGAUUGAAAUACAUGAAAGCACUCUUAGCUGCAAAAGUACACUUGGAGUUAUAAUAGCAUUCUGAAAUCUCCUUGAAGGAUUCAAAAGCUCUUUAUUUGCUAGUCUUUGCUUGCAAUAAACUCCUUUAAUAUACAUUGGUUGAUCUUCUUUAAAGCAAUUACCAUAAGUUCUUUAAAUAAUAAAACGAUUUUGAGUCUUCUGUAUCAUCUUGUUGAAAUACAUGAAAGCACUCUUGGCUGCAAAAAUGCACUUGGGGUUAUAUAUAAAGUCUUCAACAGAAUUUUAUUUCCCCCUUUAUCCUCAUGGUGGUUUUUUUAGUUGUUUUUUAAGAAAUCGCUUGAAGGUUCUCUUUAAAAAUAAUUUUAACAUAAGCAUUCUUUAGAAGCACUUUAGAUGUCUGGCAUUUAGAAAAUUUUGUUCCUGUGUUCACAUAAUAUAAUAUAUAUAUAGAAAGCUGACUGUAGAAUAGAGGAGAACGAGUUGGUGUUGGUCUGAACUCUGAUCUUUGAACCUCAUGUGACUCCACUACUUUUUACUUGUUCUGUACAAGGUCUUUUAGCUUUUCAAAAAGUUUUAGCUUUAUGGAUAAAAUACUGUUAAUUGUAAUCUAUAAAUAAUGAAAGGAAUUAAUAAAAUAUUAGGUAAAUUUUAUUUUCUAAAGUGUUAUGAGUUCUAAAACGGCUGUAUGUAUAUAAAUUUAUUUACACAUAUAUUUAUAAAUAUGAUUAUAUAAUAAUAUUUUAUGUGUACAUAUCAUAAUUGAUAACUAAAAUAAAUAUUUUUAUUUUAUUAAUGGUUUUUUCGUCUCAAUGUAGUUGGUAAUAAUAAUCUCUUUAGAUGUAACGAUUUUAUUUCCUAACUGAAUAAGGAAAAUUUUAGAUUUUUAUAAUAAAUGUUAAAUAUAUUUAGAAUUACAUUAAGUAUGAAAUAAUCCUCAAAAUUAGAUUUUGAAAAGUUAUUCUUUUCUUGCUUUUAAAAAUAUGUCAUAUGAUGAGAUGAUUUUACUAAAAGUGAUUUUUUUAAAAAAAAUUACUAAACAUCAAAAUUAACUCUUAACUUUUUAAAAUCAUUUCUAAUCUUCUCAUCCUAAGUUCUUUAUUGUUUUGUACAAAAUCCAAGGUUUUGACUUUUAUAAAAUGCCCACUCAAAAAUAAAUUAUUUUCUAAUUAAGAUUUGUUGUUAAUGUAUAACUCGAAGUAAUAUUAGAUAUUUGUAAUUUUAUUUCAAAAAUUUUAUUCAAAUGAUAUGGCAAGCAAUGAACAAUAGUUGAUAGCAAUUUGUUUUUUUUUUUAACAAUGUUCAAAUCAAUCAGUUGCAUUAUCUCACCAUUUUUAUGAUGUCAUGUUAUUUUAAAUGAUUUUUUUAAUUUUUAUAUAAAGCAUACGACGUGUUAACAUCAUUUGCAUAACUUGACCUUUUUUUUUUCCUACAAAUAGUAAGUCAAAUUUACUCACCCUAUUUGUACCUAAAAUCUACCUAAAACUCAUGCAUCACUGUAAAGCAAAUCCAAAGAUUGCGGUACGUUUUUCUUGGUAAGAAAUCAAUAAUUAGGUCAAGUACCGCUACUAAGCGUGCUCAAUUAAUUCUAAAAUACGGUGAUCAAACUCAUACUUCACGCAAGAGGAUAAGGGCUAAACCUCAAUUAGGCAUUAUUCAUCCAAAAUUCAUUGACUGGGCAUUCUUUGCAAGUGGUAGCAUGGGACAGCUAAGAUAAUUAGCAAAUGAUAUGGACCAUACGCACCCGUAUGUUUGUGACAUGUGAAUCUUGGCAUUAAAGGAAAGGUAAUGUGUUAAAAUUUAAUAGAGCCCAACUCUUCAUUGAAUGAUUAUCAGAUCCAACGAGCAUCCUUUGAUGGGAUUAUUUUAAGUCAAUUAUUGGUGGAUUGGGGCCCACUUGACUCUACCAAAUCGGGCUCCACCAUAUCACCUAUUAACGACCACCUGUCCUUAUCAUAAAUAGCAAAUGUCACUUGUUUUAUUUUGUAUUUUACCAAAAGCAAAGUCACUACGAGCACUAAUGAAAGUGACCCCAAUUUUGGGGGUCAUGAACUUGGGAUUAUUAUGGACACAAGAGACAAGCGCAAUGUUUCUCAUUUCUCACUAGAUAAGAUUUAAGUUAUCAACCCAAUAUUAAUAAAUUCUGCUUGAAAAGUAAAGUUUGAAGCUUCAUUUUGCGAAUAUUCAAUGGUUAACAUUUAAGGGUGCGUUUGGGAUUGAGGUUGGGCAGCUGUAGCUUAAAAGCUACAGUACUAAAGUGUUUGGUAAACACUAGCUACUGUAGCUUUUAAGCUAUGUUGAUAUAAUUUUUCACUUGUAUAAUAUAAAAUUUAUUAUAUCUUUAAUAAUUUUGAUAAAAUUAUUAUUUAAAAUUUAUAUUUACUAUAUAUUAUUAACUUUUAUUUCAUAAUUACAGCUUUUUUUUCACAGCAGCUGUAGCUUAAAAGCUACAGCACCUCAAUCCCAAACACACCCUAAGUAAUUAACCUGAUAUUAAUCCAAUUAAACUUUUUAUGUAAUCCAAGUCAAACAUAUAUUGAUAAACCUAAAUUAAUCUAAUUGGACAUAUUAUUUCAACUUGAAAAGGUGAAUCUAUCAUUUUUCAAUUAAUUUUGAAUCAAGCUAUGUAAAAUAUAAGCUUAUUAAGGACAUAUUUGAAAAAUUCAAAUUGAAUUAUUUGACAAUUACAUUUCAACUAAGUUGUACUGCUAAUUAACUUCCUCAACUUAAAAUGUAUUUUUCUCAAUUAAUUCGUAACAAAGAAUGUUAGAUGUUUUGUUCGAAUAAUAACAUUCAACAUCCUUAUUCUUUAUGAUUAUUGCAUAAAAAAUAUAUUUUAUCCAUUUACGUCACAUAUGUUCCUAAAUUGUAUAAGAAAAUCACUAAAUUUACUCUUGUAAGUUACUAUAUCAAUGAACAUGAAAUUAACUAAUCAUUAAAGUCUCGGAAUGACAUCAUGAGGGGGAUUCAGUUACAUUUAUUGAUAGGAUUAUAUAUAUACCUUCUCAAAUAUUAGUAAGAGCAAUUAAACAGAUGCAGCAAUUAAAAAUAUGGAAUUACUUAUCUCGUCAAUAACUAACGAUAUUUUUUAUCUAUGCUCGAUAGGCGUCUGAGCUAUAUUAUAAAUUGUAAUAUUUGUAGAUUGUAACAAUUAUUAAAAAAAAAAAAAAAAGCUCCCUAAGACUAAAUGACAAAAGGACUGUUUUGAAAUAGAUAGAUAAAAUAUGCCCUUAUUUGAGAAAAGGUAAAACACUAGGGAUCUAAAUGUUAUUAUAAUCCCAUGCACAAAAAUACCAGAAAAAACUAAUAACAACUAACCGAAAAUCCCAGGCGUCAUAUUCCUUUUUACCGCGUUUUAAAAUGCAACAAUGAUAUCACUACUACAAAAAUGACAUUUACUGACACUUUGUUUCUGACACUUAGUAAAAAGUGUCAGAAAUGGUGUACAUUUGGACCAUUUUCCUCCUUUAACAAGUAUGUAUCAUAAAUCAUUGAUACUAAGGUGUCAGUAGCUUAAAACUCAGUGAUUAUUGAUACUAAAGCAUCAGUGAUAAAAAAAUAAUAGUAUUAAUUUUGUUUUAAUUUGAACUCGAACUCAAGAUCUCUAAACUUAAAAUUUGUAAGUUUAGAGUGCAAACCAUUGAUGCAAGUGUUUUUAAAUUUUCAAUUUGAUUAAUUUUUUUAUUUAAUUAAAUUUUAUACAAUUACUUUGUGGACAAUAAUAAUAAUAAUAAUAGUUUUGAGAAUAAUAUUUUUUAUUUUGCCACAUGUCAGCUUGUAAUUCGUUGUUAAUAAUAAUAAUUUUACUUGACCACGUGUCGACUUAUAGUUUGUUGUUUUAUUAAAUUACAAUGCGAACAACUACACUAUAUAAUUUUUCAAAGUAUAAAAUGAAAAUAAGAAACCCUAAAUCUAACCUAAUCAAACACACCACUUCUUAAGUUGCUGCCGCCGCUCCCCUGCUCCUUGACUUUCACUGCUGCCGGCCGCUGCUCCUCGACUUUCACUGCUGUCGGCUGUCGUUCCUUGACGUCACUGCCGCCUUUGCUCUGCUGUUGCCAAGCUUCAGCCACCGACGACUAGCUAGCCACCUUUCAGUACGUCGCUGCUACCACUUUUAUGCCGUCACAUCAACUUCAGCUCAGCCAGCCACCGUUCCUUUACCGCCGAGAUCAAGAACCAUUUCUUUCUCUUCUCUCUUUUGGUACAGGUAUGAAAAUAUUGCAGAGGAGUUAAUCUGUUAAUUACCUUUCUGUACGUCGCUGCUGUCAUUCGUGUACGUCAUUGCUGCUACUCAUCUUGGUCACUGCUGCCGCUCCUCUGCCGCCACGACAAGCUUCAGCCUUUUUGACAAAACAUUUCACUUGGAAUUAUAAGCAAACCCUUUUGAGACCAUAAAAAACUAAGCCAAUUUCUUUGGUUUCAAGGCCUUGUUUUUUCACUUUGAAAUCGGAUCAUACAAUGACAAGCCAAUUGAAAACUUCUGUUCAAGAUUUCAUUGUUAAAUUCAGCUUUAUUUUUAUUAUUUGUGUUCCUUUCAUUUUCUUUCCCUUUUUUUGAUUUUUAAUUCAAUUUGGGAUUUGACAGAUAUAUUUUUUAAUUUUUAUAAAAAUUUAUCUUAUUUGCAGGAUGCUAAGGGACAGGAUGUUGAUCUUAGCAUCUACAAGGGAAAGGUUCUUUUGAUUGUCAAUCUUGCAUCACAAUGGUGUGCCUCAGCUCCUUUCAUUUUUAAUUUUUUUUCCAUAAUGAUUUAUUGAUUAUUGUUGAUGCUUCCAUUUAAUUAAUGCUAAUACGUGUUAUCUAUCUAUCGGGAGUCUAAAUUUUAUAGAAUUAUAUCAUACUCGGAAGUAUGCAUGCUCCCAAUACAAAUAAGUGUUUAUAAGAGAGGAUUUCACCCAAAAUCUUUAAUUCUUGCAAAAUGCUAGUGGCUCCGUUUGCACAAGUUUAGUUUUCAUCCAUGUUCGUUCCUUUACCAUAGCGGUUCCUUUACCACUGAGGUCAGACACCAUUUCUUUCUCUUCUCUGUUUUGGCACAGGUAUGAAAAUACUACAGAGAAGUUUCUCUAUUAAUUACCUUUUAUGAAAAUAAUAUAUAUAUAUUAUUCACAUGUUUAAUUGAGAACAUCUAAUAAUAUAGUAAUAAUAUAGUGGGCAAACUAUAGGAAGGUUGUUAGUAGACAAUUCUAAUUUUAGCUUUACUUUGCAAAUGAAAGAUUAGAAAUAUUCCGUCGAACCCAUUUUACUAUAUUGGAGGUUUGGGCUAAUCUUGUAUAGAUUUUUGCUCAGAAGAAGGAUGGUUCUCCAAGGGCGGUGGGUUGGUUUUUCUAUAGACUAUUCCCCUAUUUUCCCAUUUUGCUUUUCUUUGAGGAAACCUGGUCCAUUUUUUUUGUGUUUUCUUUCUUCAAUCAAAUAUGUAUUUCUCAAUCUCCUCUCAAAAAAUACCUAUCUCAUUUUAUUAUAUGUUUAUGAAUUACUAAUUGUAUUUUGUUAGUAUUCCAUGUUCGAAGAAGAAUAUUAGAUUGAAGAAAGAAGAAUAUUAGAUUGAAGAAAGAAGAAGUUGUUCCUUUGCUAAUCGUUUGAAACCCAGGUUUGCACUGAAUCUGAUUUUUAUCUUUAACUUUUUUACUUGACCCAUACUUGAAUCAAAUUUUUGCUCCACUUUCCUUUCUUUCGUCAAUUUAAUUAUCAAUCCACUUCAAACCUAAAAAGAUUUAGUAAUUGGGAAACCCUUUUUUUUUUAAAGAAUUGCAAAGUACUGUAAUUGGAAACUGGGUUCAUGUCUUAAAAAGUAACCUGAUUUGUAAUGUUUGGCUUAUAGUGGCCUUCUAUUUCUGUUUUUCAUCUCGGCUUGGUUAAUUUCUUUACUAGUCGUUUAAAUUUUGUUAAUUUUUAUUUUUCCUCUUUAAGCUCAUUAAAUAUCUUUUUUUUUUCAAUUUAUGGCUUUCGGUCCAACUGAUCAUCGUUGAAUGUGGGCACUAUAAAUGUUAUAGUGCUUGUUAACUUAAUGUAUUUGAUCAUAUAUUAUAGUAUUGUUUACUUUAAAUUUAGACAAUGAAAUAGAUUACAAAAAAAAUAACUUAUGCUUGUCAAGUUGUAGACACCAUCGUUCAUGUCAUCAUUACUGAAUAUUGAUGUACUUAUUAAGUGUUCUCUUUAAUACUUGAUAGAAUACUUUUGGUGAAGCAAUUUUGGUAUCAUGAUUGCAGGCUGUAAUUAACUUGGGAACGUGUAGAUUCUACAAUUUCUUUUUCUGAUUCCUUAACUUGCUUCUUUUAAUCCUACUCUUCUAUGUUGAAGUAAUUUAUGAAUAUUUUUGCUUCAAAAUAACUAAGAUAUAUUUUUCACAGUAUACUAAUUGAUUUUAUGCAUUUGUAGGUGGGAAAAAAAUGAAGCCGUGGAUGGAUAUUGAGUGACCUUGUGCUUUUUUUUUUUUUUUUUUGGGUUGGAAACUUAAUUGAGUAGUAGUUAGCACUUGUUGUUUAGAGAUUGUUGAAAAUUUAAUUUGAUACUUAUGUUAAGUCUUUUACAUAUAGUGAUGUAGUUGAAUUGUGUGAAUUUAUGUGAUGUAUUUGAGAUGUUUAUUAUAUGAAUUGUGUUGCAAGAUAUUUAAUAAUAAAUAUAUUUCGUGUUUUCUUUUGGUUGUACAACAAACACGAAAAAUAUAAUUAAAAUAAAAAUAUACUAUUAACCAAAAGCAGUAUAACAUUACUAAAUACUGACACUACAUAUUUAAAAUAACAAUAAGAAUUUUUUAUAUUAUCGAGUCAGUUUCUGAUACUAUAGUCACAUAAAUUACUGACAUGUAAAUAGUAUCAUUAAAUACCAACAUCAUCGUGUCAUUAUUUUAGUGAUACUAUAGUGAAACAAAUUACUGACACAAAAAUUACUGACACCAAAAAUUAGUGUCAGUGUGUUCUGGCUUGAGCAACACUGACACAAUUAACAAGUGUCAAUAAAAGUAAUUACUGACGCUAAAUUAGUGUCAGUAAAACUCAUUUUUCUAGUAGUGUAUUCUCACAAAAGUUGGUACAAAGGUUUGUACAACCAGGGCCUCUUUGUAAAUUAUUUCAAAGUUUUGUGUUAUUUUUUAAAUUUAUGAAUUUUGUUAAUUUUGAUUGAUUGGAGCAUUUCUCCUUCCAUCUCUUCUACAUCUAUCUUUAAAUUUCUUUAAAAUUUUGACUAUAUCUUUAUAGAGUUCUAAAUGAUUAUCUUUUUCAUAAAAAUCUAUACUUAAAUUAAUCCCUGAAUUUAUAAUCAUUUGUCUUCUUUGAGUCAUAGACCAAAUUUUUUCUUCUAACAUAUCUAUAUAUACUCCUAAGCUAUCUUUGCAGCUUAGAUACAUUCUAUCAAAGCUUUCGCAUAUAAAUUGUAAUUUGAGAUCUGCAUCUUGAAUCAACAUGUCUAUAUUAUCCAUUGUUUUACGCUCGAUUUUGAGUUCUAUUAUUAGUCUUGCACAUGUCUUGGAUUAUUUCGAGGGUAGUUAAAAUUGAUUCUAUUAAUGCUAUCCUGUUUUCUUCUUCAAAAGAAUCAAAUAUUUCUGAAUCAUUAAUUUCUUUUAUUUCUUCAUACAAGCGUUUGUUUGUCGCUAAUCUUGUUUUAAUCAAGGAAACUGUAUAAGCAGCUUGAUAUUCUUGACAAAAGUCUAAAUGAUCUAUUGCAUCUAGAAAUUUAUUAAUAGAUCUUUCCAUUUUUAAGAAAUUGAGUUACUCUUAUCACUUCCAAUCUUUUAACAUCUCAGAAAACAAACAAGGCCCAACAUGCUUCCGUUUGUAGCUAAAAUAAAAGAAGAGUUCAUAUCACUAACCAGUGUAAUAUCUCUCGGAAUUCUGAGAUAGACUCACUAAUUGCCUCUAACCAUAGAGAGGUCCAUGGUUAGCACCACUAUAGCUCCACAUAUCAUACAAAAUCACUUCAACGACUGUUCCAUAUGGCCCAAAGCAACACACAGCAGACUGGCCUAAUAGGAUAUGUUUAAGUGAUUUUCUUGCAGUUGUCUCUGGAAGAGUGCUUAGUAAUAGAAAAUCUUCUUCGUUUAGUACAAGUAUUGGCAUGUAAGGUUCUUGGUUAAUUUUUAAAAGAUGUAUAAGAUAUCUAGAAGAUGAUAAUUUCACUCAAAAGAGUUUUAUUUAUUCCAUCAUUGAAAUUGUUUACAGAGGAAGGUUACAGAGAAUACAGAGGUAAUUGAAGGUUAGACAUCUGAUAUAUUUCCUUUCUUACAUGCUUUCAUUUAUAUAUCUCUCUAGAGAUAAGAUUAUUUCUUUUACAUAACACAUGUUCGAUCCUUGUGGUGGAAUCUCAAUUUCCUUUUGAUAAGGUGACCCCUUCUUUAUCAUUGAAGCUAGUAGUUGUCUUCUUUUCAUGUUGGCAGACAUGAAAUAUCUGGUUCUGGUGAGCUUUUUCUUUUUUGGAAUCUGUCUUUUUGAAUUAUUGAUACUUUUUGGAUAGCACCUUUUAUCUUUUUCAGUGGUCCUCGUCACGUGCCAAUUAUCAGAUCUUCAUCUAUAGACAUGUCUUCCCCACUAGAAUCUCUUUUUUUGAUCCUUCGUAGUAGUAGCCACAUGAUGAUUGAUGCUUUAGCACCUUAUAUAUCUCGUGGUGUGUUAGCAAGGUGGAUUCCACGAGAUUUUCGAAUAUGCCCUUUUUCUUUUCUAAUAUGUUAUCCUCAUCUUUAUCAAAUUCACAUUUACAAUAUAAUUCUUUGAAGCUACAUGUAUAUUCUUCUAAAUAACAUAUAUUACAUAUUUCAAGCCUUGUUAGCUUCAUUAAAUUUUCUAUCUGUUUUCUUUUUAUUUCUUGUUGAAAAUCAAUUUCCUAAUCUUCUCCCAAGAAUUUUUUUCUUAUUUCAUUUUUGAAUCUAUUUAAAACCUGAUCAACACUUUCGUUUCGAUUAUUAUUUUCUCCAUACAAUAUUCUAUUUUUAUGGUUAUCAUUUAAUCCCAUAAACCAAUGAGAAACAAUUCCUAUAAACGAAAUUUUAAGGAAUUCUAUACUAUUAUCCCUAUCAAUUUUGUGAAAUGCAAAAGCCAUUUUCAUAGAUUUAACCCAAGCGGUAAUCGUUUUAUCUCUAUCUUUGAUACAGUCUAAAUCUAACCAUACACCAUCAUGGUUGAUUGGUCUUUCUCUAUAUUCUCCUGGAGUUUUAUAAUCUUUUUUAGGCUUGUUAAUCCUAAAAUAUUGACCUUGUAAUCUUUCCUGAGUUGGUAUUUCUUCCCUAACAUAGGAAGCUCCAUUACUAGUUUCUCCUUGUUAAAAACCAUUUGGCUUUGAUUCAUUCAUUUUUAGAUGUUCUAUUCUAUUUUCAAUAUCCUGCAAAUUAAUGACUAUAUCACCUUCUUCUUCGGAUUCAGAUUCUUUAUUAGAUAUCUCUUGAUUAGGUAAUUCUAUGUUUUCACUUAGCAUUCUUAGACUUAUUAAUUUUUUGUCUUUGUUUAUUUUGUUAAAUAUCGGUUUAGAUAUUGUUAUCAUUUCUUUAUCUUUAAGUUCAUUAUAGUAAAUUAUGGUAUCUUGUAAAAUUUUGUUUUGUUUAUUGAUCUUCUGUACUUCAAUCCUUUUGUAAUUUUCCAUUUAUGCUUAUAGCGAAUUUAUUACCAAGUUGUUCAACAAUUUUUUCAAAUUUUUGUAGUUGGAUUUCAAUCUUGUUUGAAUUUAUUUUCAAUUGAACUUUUGUUCAUAAUAUUAAAGAUUUCUUGUUUUAAUCUAUCUUGAUCUUCAAUAUUAAAGUCUUUUAUUAAUAGCUUAACAAAAUCAAAUUCUUCACUCAUUCGCUCUCCUAUCAUUUUGACUUGUCUUAUAUUUUCAGCAUCAAAGCUUUUAAUCUCAAGUAUCUCAUUUAUACUUUCUAUAUCAUCUAUGGUUAAAUUAGGGUUUCCUAAUUUAUUUAAUAAAUAUAAUGAAAUCCAAUUUAAUUGAUUAUUUCCCCACAUAUCGGAAUCAUUUACUAAAUCAAAUGGUUGAAAUCUUCCAUAAGUAAAUCCUCUAUGCCUAUAGCUAGAAGGUGGUAAUAUGUUGGUUUCAAUAUUUUGAGAAAUUAACAAUGGUUUUGGUAAUUUAUUCAUAGUACCAUCUGCAUAAUAUCUCAUUAUAUUCUAAUAAGUAUUUAUGACAUAUAAUAUUUCUUAUAUCCUUAGGGAUAUUGUUUUAUGUUAAUCCUUUAUGUAUAUAGCAAAGUUUAUACAUAAUUAAAUCUUUAUAUCCUAUUAGCAUGUUGCUAGAAGGAUAAUAUUUACUUCUGAUUCUUUUAUUUUUCCAAUUGUAUUCACCUCGUUGUUUAACAUUUAAAAAUCCGUUGUAAUCUAUUAUAAGAUCAUCUACAUAAUCUUCAAUAGAGUUAAUAUUCCAUUGUUUCCAUGAAAAAUUAUUUCUAUAUACUUCUCUCCUGAUCCUAAAGAGAAGAAUAGGAUCAAUAUUUAAAUUUCUAAUUUUUAUUAUGAUGAGUUCUCCAAUUUUAAAUUCAUGAACUCUAACUAAAUAAAACUGUAUUAAUUGUUUAUCAUCCAAUAUAUUAACUUCUGAAUAAUAAUAUUGUUUAUGUUUUGUUAUAUUAUCUUUAAUUGUAUUUCUAUCUAUCAUUAAAUUAUAUCUUCCAUUAUUAAUGGAAUAAAUAACUGUUUCGUCUAUUUUUAUAUUUUAAACCAAAAACUUGGCUCUAAUACCGUUUUGCAGAAAUCAACUAAACCCAAAAUCCAAAUGAAUUCAAAUAGGGAUGUAUAUGAUUAAUUGUUAAGAUUUUAUCUAAAUUUUGUAAUUAUAAUUUUUCAAAACUCACAGUUUUGUGCAAUCAUUUGUGUAAUCCGUUGUGAGAAUGUCUUUUUCCUUGCAUCUAAGGCAACAAAGUGGAAAACGCGUACCAACGACUCACAUAACAAUAUAACAUCUGUCCCGGAUGGAGCCGGUUGUUCAUGUCAGCAACCUACUUUGAAACGACACGUGGACCGCAAUUUGUUCUUGUUCUCAACGUUGCUAUGAAAGAAAGCAUUUUUUUCCCCUUUUCUUCUUCAUUUUUUAAAGAAAUAUUUUACUAUAUAUUUAAAAAAAAAAAUCGUUGCAAUCUGAAGAUAUUAAAUUGUGGAUCUUGUAUUGUGUGAUAAGUCCGGCAUGCAAUUUUGGGCCAGCAUACCGCGCGCAUGGGAGCAUUCACAAAGAAUCUCUCGUCACUAUCGAAAACUUUUAAUAGUCAAUACAAAUGCUUCCGUUUCAUCCCAUAAACAGAUAAAAUUCACAUCUGUACACAUCUACUUUUCUUUGCUAGAUAGAGUUCCUCUGCAUUUCCCAAUUGCCUAAAGAGAAGGGGAAAAGAAAAAGAGGGCCAAAAAAUGCCUGAAAUGGUAAGGAACAAGCAAGUGAUAUUGAAGGACUAUGUGUCUGGUUUCCCAAAAGAAACAGACAUGUACAUGACCGAAAGUUCCAUAGAAUUGAAGGUGCCAAAAGGUUCAAAUGGGGUUCUUUUAAAGAACUUGUUUGGGAGAAAUACGUCGACGAGACCAGGCAUGGUGAGCAUAUAUCUGAUGGCAGAGUUCUGCGAACCGGUGUGUUCCGUAAAAGCCUGGUGCACGGGGGAACAGGAGCAGAAGUAUCCUGCUCGUCCACGAGCACGUCAUCCGCGAGGCCAAUUUCCUGUAAGAGGCAUAAGGUCAUUCCGGCUAGAGGUCGAGAGGCGAGGAGACCCGGUCGACGGCAGUUGGCAAGACAUGCUCCCCAGCCCGAGAAUCUAGGCACGACAGCCACGCUUUCCCCAGAACCGUGGCGUAACACGCAAGAUCUCACAGAACCACGACAGCCACGCUUUCCCCAGAACCGUGGCGUAACACGCAAGAUCUCACAGAACCACGACAGCCACGCUUUCCCCAGAACCGUGGCGUAACACGCAAGAUCUCACAGAACCACGACAGCCACGCUUUCCCCAGAACCGUGGCGUAACACGCAAGAUCUCACAGAACCACGACAACCACGCUUUCCCCAGAACCGUGGCGUAACACGCAAGAUCUCACAGAACCACGACAGCCACGCUUUCCCCAGAACCGUGGCGUAACACGCAAGAUCCCACGUUUGCCCAUAACGCAGCAGUCAGAGUCCCAUACCGUCUCGGAAAAAGCGGAAAACUGGGAUUCAGGGGAAGCCUAUAAAAAGGUAGCCAACGAAGGUAAAAGGGUUGGCAUUUUUGAGAUUAUAAAAGAAAUGAAAAAAGAAGAGAAAACGACGAGAAAGCCAUAAGAUCUGUGGCAAGUGUCCCCCGAACCUUCAUAUCUGACUUGAGCGUCGGAGGGUUUGCGCCGGGAAAACAACCGGCGUACUCUGACUUGUCUGUGUGCGCAGGAACCUCUGGAGAAGAAGCCUCACGUGGAGACCUCCUGGUCGUGAAGAAGUUGAUCGGACAGAGAUCCUGGUCGUAGAACGAGGAGAACCAGAAUCCCGCAUCAACAUUUUGGCGCCGUCUGUGGGGAGUGGAGCAAAAAGCUUCUGUUGAUAGCAAGAAGAGGGGUGAAGCAAGUGAAAAGCAAUGGAGACAGGAGGAAGUAGUGCACAAGGGGGUGAUAGGAUUAACGAUUCCGUGACGCUGAGGGAGAUAGUCAGUGAAGCACGGGAAAAAGUCAUGUUCGACCGGAUGGAACGGAUAGAAAAGCAGAUGGAGACCUUGACAACCAUCCUGCAUGAGCUGCGGAGCGAGCGAAGUAUAAUCCAAGAGGGAAGGGUGAGAGGCGGUGGAGUGGCACCAGGUCCCGAUAGUGCGGGGAGAAGUCAAACCACCGGGAGAUUUGGUGGUGAGAGAGGUAACGUACCUCUGCGGGGAGAAUUUCAUAGAGAAAGAGAGCAGUCCCCGGCAAGACAGACUGGCGACGAGGACGACGGGGUGGUGAAUGCAGAGGAAACAGAGUUGAGGCAACACUUGCAUGAUGUAGAGCAAGAGCGGGAUUAAGUCGCAGCACGUGACCCUGGUCGUGCAGUGCAGCUGGAGGAGGAAGUGCGCAGACUAGCGCAGAUAAUCGACGACAUGCAAGGAAGGAACAGAGCCCCUGGUUGGAGGAUAAUGCUGGAUGGAGAAUCACCGCUCGCAGCAGAGAUCAUGAGGGCAGUUAUUCCGAGAGAUUUCCGCCUCCCAGACCUCAGAUACUCGGGAAGAACUGAUCCGUUGGUGCACAUAGAGCGCUUCAACGACAUAACUAGGGUACAAGGAUUAUCUCAAUCCCAAAGGUGCAGAGUGUUCCCACUAUCCCUUGAGGGACGUGCACGAGAAUGGUACAGGAAACUUCCUCGGGGCAGCAUUAAAACCUUCGAGCAGAUGUGCUAGGAAUUCGCGGAGCAGUUUAGUGGGGCAAUGGCGCCGGAAGAUGACAUGAUGGAGCUGAAAAGCAUGAAACAGGGGGAGCAAGAAACCCUUCGGGAAUUCAUCAAGAGGUUUCAUCGGGCUGUCCUCGACUUGGGAGCCUUCAACCACCCUCAGGCGUUAAGGGGAUUGAAAGAAGGGGUGAAGAUAGGAAGGCUGUGGUACAAUUUGAGAAGCCCAGCUAUUCAAACGUAUGCAGCCGCAUACGAACAGGCUAAGAGAGACAUCGAGAUUGAAGAGGAGAAGGCUGCACGGAUUAAGACAGACCAGUUAGAAGGGCUGGGGAGGAAAGAGAAGAAAGCAUUACCGGGGAAUGGGCCGAUCAGGAGGAGGGACCACCAGGCCUCCGGUAGUGGAGCAGGAGGUCGGGUAGCCGCUUACCAGCCUCAUCAAAGGCCACCACAGUAUCAGCGCAGCAGGGCGCAACCUCCUCGUUCCCCAGCUAGGGAGCCUUGGAAAAGGCAUGAGUCGGCAUCUGGUGGUCUCCAACAACACCCCCACGGUAUCAGAGCGAGCAGACCAGAAGUACUUCCACCGCCCCCAACUCAGAGCGGGGCAAACAGGGAAAGAGCAGUGCACCUGAUCGACCAGAACCCGGACUAUGGGCGGUACACUUCCUUGAAGAUGUCCCUGGAUGAGGUGUACGAGGCCAUAAAGGAUCGAGGGCUGCUACACCUCCCUACACCAAUAACAAAGCUACCUAACAGGAGGGAUAGAGGACGUUAUUGUAAGUUCCAUGGCACCCAUGGCCAUACCACAGCAGAGUGUAGAGAUCUCAAGACCCAGGUCGAAGAUUUGGUGAGAAAUCGGUACCUGGACGAGUUUAUGGAUGGGACUUUCCCGAUGGGGGCCACAACAGGUGAAGGGGAGCAGAGUGGCGGAAACGUGAGGCGCGAGCAGCCCGCAGUAAGGGUGAUAGCUGGGGGCCCGACAUUGGCCGGAGAUUCCAACAGAUCGAGAAAAAAUUAUGCUAGGUACGCCAUGACCAGUAAAGAGGUACUCCUCAACACCCCAGCAGCCAAACGAGCAAGGGUCAGGCAAGUGCCAAUCAUGUGGACGGAUGAGGAUGAGGAAGGGAUUCUAUACCCCCAUGAGGAUGCUUUAGUCAUCAAGGCUACUGUCGCUAGCAAGAAGUUUGACCGGAUACUGAUUGAUACAGGGAGCUCAGUUGAUGUGUUAUUUAAGUCAACCCUGGAAGAGAUGGGAAUAGCCGACCGGAAGUUGGAAUAUACCAAUACCUCCUUGAAGGGGUUCGGAGGAGGGAAGCUGGUCCCUCUGGGCGUGGUCGAGCUGCCUAUCACAAUUGGGAGCUCCCCGACAGAAAGAACAAUGAUACUGGACUUUGUCGUAGUGGAUGAGGAAGGUCCUUACCAGAUGAUCCUAGGUCGGCCAUUUUUAAGGAUGAGCAAAGCGGUGUUGUCCAAUCAUUAUCUGGCUCUGAAGUACCGGGUGAACGGGGUAGUAGGAGUGGUACGAGGAGACCAGAGGAUCGCAAGAAGCUGCUACUCCUCGGCAGCAAGGGAAGCAAUGCAGAUAACAUCCCUCGAUACCCGAGUGGAAAACAAGAAGGGCAGACAAGAACCUGUAGAGGAUCUGGAAACAGUAAGCCUGGGACCAGAGAACCCGGGAAAGAUGAUCAGAAUCGGGUCGAGACUUAAGGGAGAGCAAAAGCAGGAGUUGGUGAAAUGCUUACAGGCUCAUGCUGAUGUGUUUGCUUGGACACAUGAAGACAUGCCAGGGAUUGACCCUGAGGUAGCAUGUCAUAAGCUGGCAAUAAAGAAAGGUGCUCGGGCAGUAAGGCAGAAGAGGAGGUGUUUCAACCAGGAGAGGUAUGAGGCUAUAAAUGGCGAGGUGGAGAAGCUCUUGAGAGCAGGGUUCAUUCGGGAAGUCAGUUACCCUGAGUGGAUAUCGAAUGUGGUGUUGGUAAAGAAGGCAAACGGCAAGUGGAGGAUGUGUGUGGAUUUCACAGACCUCAAUAAGGCGUGCCCAAAAGACAGCUUCCCUUUACCAAAGAUCGAUCAGCUAGUAGAUUCAACGGCUGGACAUGGUCUGCUUAGCUUCAUGGACGCGUUCUCGGGAUACAACCAGAUCCCCAUGUACGAGCAGGAUGAGGAGAGCACGGCUUUCAUCACUAACCAAGGUUUGUUCUGUUACAGGGUAAUGCCAUUCGGUCUCAAAAAUGCCGGGGCCACCUAUCAAAGGCUGGUGAACAAAGUCUUUAAGCCGUUGAUUGGGAAAACCAUGGAGGUGUACGUGGAUGACAUGAUCACCAAGUCCAAAAUCCCGGAGGAACAUGUCAGACACCUCGAGGAGACAUUCGAGCUUUUGAGGAAGUAUAAGAUGAAGCUCAACCCGGAGAAGUGUGCUUUUGGGGUCGAGUCGGGGAAAUUCCUUGGAUUCAUGGUGAGCCAUAGGGGGAUUGAAGCAAAUCCCGAGAAAAUCCAGGCGAUUGUGCAAAUGACGUCUCCCCGUAACCUGAAGGAGAUGCAGAGCCUCACGGGGAGGUUGGCGGCGUUGAGCAGAUUCAUAGCCAAGGCUACAGAUAAGUGUCAGCCGUUCUUUCAAGUGAUGAGGAGGGGAAAGAAAACAGAAUGGACCUCAGAAUGCGAGGAAGCCUUCCGGAACUUGAAGCAAUACUUGCAGCAAGCUCCGCUGCUGUCCACACCGAGGGAUGGGGACAAGUUAUAUCUGUAUUUAGCGGUAUCGGCUCGGGCCGUCAGUUCUGUUCUGGUGAGAGAGGAAGAAGGAGUUCAGUAUCCGAUAUAUUACACCAGCAAGGCCCUGCUCGACGCUGAGACCAGAUACCCACCGUUGGAGAAAUGGGCACUUGCCCUUGUGGUUGCUGCUCGGAAGUUGAGGCCAUAUUUUCAAGCAUUCCCGGUCUUGGUAAUAACAAACCAGCCAUUGCGUCAAACUCUGCACAAGCCAGAUGCCUCUGGUCGGCUCGUCAAGUGGGCUGUAGAGCUGAGCGAGUUCGACAUAGACUAUAAGCCCCGCGCAGCGAUAAAAGCCCAGGCAAUGGCCGAUUUCGUAGCUGAAUUCACAGAGCCCGAAGUAUGCUUAGAUCAACAAGAGGCAGAUAUAGGCAAUGACGAAACUCAAGUAUGGCAGAUGUCUGUGGAUGGGUCAUCAGGGGAGCGGGGUUCAGGAGUAGGGAUUGUCUUGGAAGGCCCAGAGGGGGAGGAGAUCUCUUAUGCUGUAAAAUUGGAAUUUGCAGCCACGAAUAACCAGGCAGAGUAUGAAGCCUUGAUAGCAGGUCUGGAAUUGGCUAAGGCCGUGAAAGCAAACAAAGUUAAGAUCAGAACUGAUUCCCAGCUGGUAGCGAAUCAUGUCAGUGAAAGAUUCCAACCAAGAGAGGAGAAGAUGGGGCAGUACCUGAAGAUAGUCAAGCAGAUGAUGGGGAAGUUCGAAGCAGUGGAGGUGAUACAGAUCCCCAGGGAGCAGAAUAGUCGAGCAGACAUUUUGGCUAGGAUGGCAGCAGUAGCCGACCCAAAAAUGCCAAAGUCGGUCCCUCUGGAGGUGAAGUCCGGCCCAAGUAUCGAUCAGAAUUUGGGGGUGAUGCGGAUAGAACAAAAAUGCUCGUGGAGGGACCCGAUAGUUUCAUACCUUAGAGACGGGGUAUUACCACCAGAUAAGAUGCGAGCUCGCAAGCUUAGAGCCCAGGCCUCGAGAUACACGAUGAUUGAUGGGGUACUGUAUCGGCGAGGAUAUACACUACCGUUCCUUCGGUGUUUGGAUGAGGACGACGCGGAUUACGUACUAAGAGAAGUACACGAAGGAAUUUGCGGAAAUCAUUCUGGCGGGAGGUCCCUGGCCCAUAAGGUUCUAAGGCAGGGAUAUUUCUGGCCGACAAUGCACCAGGAUGCGCAAGAGAAGACCAGGAGUUGUGUAAGUUGCCAGAGUUUUGCAAAUUUCUCUAACCAACCACCAGAGAAGCUUACCUCCAUGACCUCCCCCUGGCCAUUUGCUCAAUGGGGAAUUGAUCUGAUCGGCCCAUUGCCAAAGGCACGGGGAGCAGCAACACAUGCAAUAGUUGCUAUAGAUUACUUCACGAAGUGGAUAGAGGUAGAAGCCCUUAGCAGGAUCACAGAGAAGAAAACAACAGACUUCGUGUGGAGAAACCUGGUCUGUCGAUACGGGAUCCCUUAUGCCUUGGUAACGGAUAAUGGCAGGCAGUUCGAUAACCACAGCUUCAGGGAUUUCUGCCAGAACCUCGGGAUAGAGCUGAAGUAUUGCUCGCCUGCUCACCCUCAAUUGAAUGGACAAGUAGAAGCAGCCAACAAGACCAUCAAGAGGCUUUUAAAAACCAGGCUUGGAGCAAAAAAGGGUGCGUGGGUUGACGAGCUGUCAGGUGUGCUAUGGGCAUACAGAACAACCCACAAAACCGCAACUGGGGAGACACCGUUCGCUUUGGCUUUCGGACAUGAAGCGGUCGUGCCGGCUGAGAUAGGAACGACCACACACCGGACAAAUCAUUUCAAUGAGCAGGAGAACGACGAGCAGAUAUGUUUGAAUCUUGAUCUGCUAACGGAAAGGUGGGAGCAAGCAGCCGAGCGAUCAGUCAUUUACCAACAGAGGGUUGCUCGGUAUUAUAACCAGAAGGUGAACAUACGGCAAUUCAGGGUCGGAGACUGGGUACUGAGAAGAGUGAAUCAGAGCACCAAAGAUUCGACUCAAGGAGUGCUGGGACCGAAUUGGGAAGGGCCAUAUAGAGUCAAGCAGAUAGCGGGACCCGGAGCUUACAGGCUGGUUCGCACGGACGGCCACGAGGUGAAACGCCCAUGGAACGCAGCACACCUCCGAAAAUACUUCCAGUAAGACUUGUUCACAUGUGAAAACUAUUUUUGCUCAUGUUCAUUACCGUUUAUCUUUCACGCUUAUUGUCCAAACAAUUUCAUGUAAGUCGAAUCCUGCCAUUAAUGGAACGUCGAGGAAUUUCUUUCGCUUGAAACCGAGAAAAUUUUCCAAGGCAUGCAAAGGCUCACCAAGUCUCAAAGCCUGUCUUAUGGCGAGACAGAAGCCAAGCAUGCCAGGAUCUGCUCGGCCACGAGAAGGCAAGCAGAAUCCCAAUCCUCGAAGAAUCCAAGGCAUGCAAAGGCUCACCAAGUCUCAAAGCCUGUCUUAUGGCGAGACAGAAGCCAAGCAUGCCAGGAUCUGCUCGGCCACGAGAAGGCAAGCAGAAUCCCAAUCCUCGAAGAAUCCAAGGCAUGCAAAGGCUCACCAAGUCUCAAAGCCUGUUUUAUGGCGAGACAGAAGCCAAGCAUGCCAGGAUCUGCUCGGCCACUAGAAGGCGAGCAGACUCCAAAGCAUUCGAAGAAAUGCCCAAGGCAUGCAAAGGCUCGACAAAGUCUCAAAGCCUGUUUUAUGGCGAGACAGAAGCCAAGCAUGCCAGGAUCUGCUCGGCCACUAGAAGGCGAGCAGACUCCAAAGCAUUCGAAGAAAUGCCCAAGGCAUGCAAAGGCUCGACAAAGUCUCAAAGCCUGUUUUAUGGCGAGACAGAAGCCAAGCAUGCCAGGAUCUGCUCGACUACUAGAAGGCGAGCAGACUCCAAAGCAUUCGAAGAAAUGCCCAAGGCAUGCAAAGGCUCGACAAAGUCUCAAAGCCUGUUUUAUGGCGAGACAGAAGCCAAGCAUGCCAGGAUCUGCUCGGCCACUAGAAGGCGAGCAGACUCCAAAGCAUUCGAAGAAAUGCCCAAGGCAUGCAAAGGCUCGACAAAGUCUCAAAGCCUGUUUUAUGGCGAGACAGAAGCCAAGCAUGCCAGGAUCUGCUCGGCCACUAGAAGGCGAGCAGACUCCAAAGCAUUCGAAGAAAUGCCCAAGGCAUGCAAAGGCUCGACAAAGUCUCAAAGCCUGUUUUAUGGCGAGACAGAAGCCAAGCAUGCCAGGAUCUGCUCGACUACUAGAAGACGAGCAGACUCCAAAGCAUUCGAAGAAAUGCCCAAGGCAUGCAAAGGCUCGACAAAGUCUCAAAGCCUGUUUUAUGGCGAGACAGAAGCCAAGCAUGCCAGGAUCUGCUCGACUACUAGAAGGCGAGCAGACUCCAAAGCAUUCGAAGAAAUGCCCAAGGCAUGCAAAGGCUCGACAAAGUCUCAAAGCCUGUUUUAUGGCGAGACAGAAGCCAAGCAUGCCAGGAUCUGCUCGACUACUAGAAGGCGAGCAGACUCCAAAGCAUUCGAAGUAAUGCCCAAGGCAUGCAAAGGCUCGACAAAGUCUCAAAGCCUGUUUUAUGGCGAGACAGAAGCCAAGCAUGCCAGGAUCUGCUCGACUACUAGAAGGCGAGCAGACUCCAAAGCAUUCGAAGUAAUGCCCAAGGCAUGCAAAGGCUCGACAAAGUCUCAAAGCCUGUUUUAUGGCGAGACAGAAGCCAAGCAUGCCAGGAUCUGCUCGACUACUAGAAGGCGAGCAGACUCCAAAGCAUUCGAAGUAAUGCCCAAGGCAUGCAAAGACUCACCAAGUCUCAAAGCCUGUUUUAUGGCGAGGCAGAAGCCAAACGUGCCAGGAUCUGCUCGACCACUAGAAGGCGAGCAGUCUCCAAAGCAUUCGAAGAAUCUCCAAAGGCAUGUGGCAAAACCAUGAGCCAAGCCGGAACCUGCUCGUCUAGACAGAGACAAGCAGAUUCUCAACCGAAAAUUAAUUCAUAAUUACAUCACAAGAAAGUAAUCAAAAACCAUUUUUAUUAAUUUGUUAAUAAUUAACAGAGGGGAUAAUCUUCAUGAACAUUGUUCAUUACAAUACAAGAAAUAUAUCAGGAAGAUGGUGGACCAGUAAGCCCGGCAGCAUCGGUUGGCUGGACCUCCUCAGGUGCAGGAGGGGUAUCACCAGUUGCGUCCGGGGGGUGCUCGCCUCGCCAACAUCAGCAGGGACUGCACGAGCAGGAGAGUCUUCCUCCUCAAUCACGAUCGGCUCUACCCCAUCGGCAUCUUCCUUGGCCGCCUCCUCAUCCAUAUGUUGAGCAACACCAGCUGCAAGGUCAUCCAUCUUCAGAUCAGGGUGUUGCUUCCCGAGGACGGCCAUGAUGCAACGAUAGGAAUGCCGAAGUCCCUGGUCGUACUGGUUGUCAGCCUCCCUCUCCAAGUUCUCGACCUGAGCUCGGUGGGAGUCGCGGAGAGAUUCGAGCUGAGCCUCAUACAUAGCCUUCUGCCUUUGCAGAUCCUCCUUGACCGUGGUAAGCUCCUCCUCGAGGGAAAUGGCUUUUGCUUGAGCAAGUGAUUCUUGCUCUAUUAACUUCAGAUUCUCGAGAUUCAGCUCCCCUGCUUUCUUCUCGGCAACGUCAGCUCUGGUCGUCGCCGAUUGAAUAUCCUCCUUCAUCUUCCGGUCGUAGCGGCCAACCUUAGCCUUGUAAUAGGUGGUCAUGCAGCUGAGGUGGAAAGCGCUAUGCUGCAUGGCCCCCACCAGCUCACCCAAGGUGCGGCCGUCAAAGUCCUCCAAGUCCUUCUUGCUCAUGAGUUUAGUUAACUCAUUGAGGUAGGGGACCAGGUGUUCUGCUCGGCUGUCAGGUAAGCGAGAUCGAGGCCCGACAGGAGGAAAAGAGGAAGCAGGAUCUGUAGCUGCUCCACUAGCUUCCCCGACUUUUACAGGAGCAGGAGGUAAAAUCUUCAAGGGUGGGACCUGCUGCAUGAUGUUGGCCCGCUUUGCAGCAGGGGCAUUCUUAUUCUGGUCCCUCUUCGUGGUGGGAGGUCGGGAACGUUUUCGGGUCAGAGCCCCAAUCACAGCGUCCUCCAUCCUAUGGCCAGGAAGUAUCAAGCGAGACUCGAGCAAGUUGUAUGUAGUUAGCAGUUCUCGGCUCGAGCAGGAAUUGGCUAGUACAGCCUCGACCCGUUUGAGCUGGUCAGGUUCAAGCGGGAAGUGGACACCCCAAGAAACUACAACACAAACAGACACUUGGUUAGAGACAAGCCAAUAAAGCAAGAACAAUUAUGGAUGCAAGACAUCUAGAGCGAGCAGGCAACCUGGGACCGUGAAACGGGGUGGGACGCGACAAUCCUUCCCGCCUAUUUGUGCAACUUGACCCCAAGGACCCCCAGCAAAAAAGAAUUUCCUCUUCCAAGCCCCACCACCACCGGUUGGAAGAUCGGUUAUGGAUUUCCGGCUCUUGGUGCUAGAUUGGAAGUAGUACCAGCCGGCAUCUUUGGGGCUGCUCUUUAGCUGGUACAAGUGCUUCACCUCGUCAACCGUGGGCUCGCUUUGGCAACAUCUGUCCCACAAUAUGAACAGACCAGAGAGCACUCUCCACCCAUUGGGAUUCAGCUGACCAGGAGCUAGAUUUAGCCCGUUAAGUAUCCGGGCAAAGUAGGGUUGCAAGGGACACCUCAGCCCGUACUUAAAGCUCUCUAGAAACAGGGUAACGUAUCCCCUAGGAGGCCGGCUGGGAGCAUCCUUCUUUCCUGGGACCUUGAGAGGUAUCUCACCAGGAAUGCUAUACCUAAGCUGGAGGUCAUUGAGCUCGUCAAACAAGGUCGUGCACGUCAUGUAAUCAAUGGCAUAAUCGCGCGACAAGGCUCUGCCUCCUACUGUACCCCGUUCCUCUAGUCGUGAUGUUCCAGAUGGAGACACCUCACCAGAGUCACCUUCCCCAUUCUCACUUAAGGUGUCCUCAGAGCCAGAAGGUCCCCCCUCACCAUUGCUUCCGCUCGUGGAGGUUGUUUGGGGGGACAUCCUCCUAGCACUAGUCCCGACACUAAACCUAAUGGGUUCUAAGGGGAUCCCGGGGUCAAAAGCCGGAUCAGUGAGCAGACUAGGCAGGAAACUUAGUUCGUCGUCAUCAAUCUCAACGACUUUCUCCUUACCUUUCGACAUUCCCUAAGCCCUAACCACAACACCACCAACUACUACCUAAACAGAAGAGAAGAGAAAUUAUCUACAACUAUCCGAGACCAAGGAGAUAGAAGAAAUACCUGAAGUAAUGGUUCAGUCGGUGAAAGUCAGAGAUGGAGGCCUUUUAUGCCGGAACUUCUUUGCCGGAGAAACAGAGACGGAGACGGAGUGAAUGAUGAAUAUGCCGUUCGAGAGGAUUUGGUUUUCCUAAUGAAGACGGACUCUUGGGUUGCCAGCAUUUAACGGCGCCGAAUCCCGAGGGUCUCAUAACCGUCGGUUUGAAAUUCAAAUGAAGGGGGGGAUUUCUGCCACGUCACCUCGUCCGCAAUUAAAUGCGACAUGACUCUUGGCAGCCUUUUCCAAUCCCACGCGGGCGAGUACUAACGAGUUUCUACUGCUGGUCCACUACAUUACCCAACACCAGAAACUGGGGGACCGGUGUUUGGGAGAAAUACGUCGAUGAGACCAGGCAUGGUGAGCAGAUAUCUGAUGGCAGAGUUCUGCGAACCGGUGUGUUCCGUAAAAGCCUGGUGCACGGGGGAACAUGAGCAGAAGUAUCCUGCUCGUCCACGAGCACGUCAUCCGCGAGGCAAAUUUCCUGUAAGAGGCAUAAGGUCAUUCCGGCUAGAGGUCGAGAGGCGAGGAGACCCGGUCGACGGCAGUUGGCAAGACAUGCUCCCCAGCCCGAGAAUCUAGGCACGACAGCCACGCUUUCCCCAGAACUGUGGCGUAACACGCAAGAUCUCACAGAACCACGACAGCCACGCUUUCCCCAGAACCGUGGCGUAACACGCAAGAUCUCACAGAACCACGACAGCCACGCUUUCCCCAGAACCGUGGCAUAACACGCAAGAUCUCACAGAACCACGACAGCCACGCUUUCCCCAGAACCGUGGCGUAACACGCAAGAUCUCACAGAACCACGACAGCCACGCUUUCCCCAGAACCGUGGCGUAACACGCAAGAUCCCACGUUUGCCCAUAACGCAGCAGUCAGAGUCCCAUACCGUCUCAGAAAAAGCGGAAAACUGGGAUUCAGGGGAAGCCUAUAAAAAGGUAGCCAACGAAGGUAAAAGGGUUGGCAUUUUUGAGAUUAUAAAAGAAAUGAAAAAAGAAGAGAAAACGACGAAAAAGCCAUAAGAUCUGUGGCAAGUGUCCCCCGAACCUUCAUAUCUGACUUGAGCGUCGGAGGGUUUGCGCCGGGAAAACAACCGGCGUACUCUGACUUGUCUGUGUGCGCAGGAACCUCUGGAGAAGAAGCCUCACGUGGAGACCUCCUGGUCGUGAAGAAGUUGAUCGGGCAGAGAUCCUGGUCGUAGAACGAGGAGAACCGGAAUCCCGCAUCAACAGAACUUGUACUUGUCCUGUGAUCCGUACAUGCGACCACGAAUGACCUACAUCGAAGGAUCUUACGUUGAAUCCUUUAAACCUGGCUUGGUUAGUGCACUCGCUCAUGGCCACGCUUUUCAUUUCCAUGGCUUCUUGCUCUUUUGUUAUAGAAAAUUUAUUUUUGGUUGCAGUUUGAUUCGACUGCUAAAAUCUCGUGCGAUAAUUGUAUAAGAUAUCUAGAGUUUGAACUUCUUUCACAUUAGGGUUCAAGGAAGUUAACUUAAAUGAUUUUCAAAAUUUUAAAUGUGUACCAAAGAAUUUAAUUUCAUAGCUUAAACUUAUAUUUUGAUCAUACUCUAACUUUGGACAGGAAAAAUUAUAUUUUUCCUUUAGUUCUUUGCCUUGGUGUAUGUUGUGUGAAGUACUUGUGCUUGAAAAUGAAUUGCUGACACAGAAAUUUCUAUGAAUGCAUGCAGCCCAUAAGUGGAUAUGGGGUGGGUAAAGUUUUGGAUUCAGAGAAUCCAGAGUUCAACAAAGGUGACUUGGUUUGGGGAAUGACUGGAUGGGAAGAGUAUAGUCUCAUUACGGCUCCACACUUGUUUAAAAUUCAACACACAGAUGUGCCUCUUUCUUACUAUACUGGAAUCCUCGGUAAACUUUUUGUUUGCACAAUUUAUGUGAGCAAAUUGUGUCUUCUUUUUCAUAUGUAAAUGUUUUUGAUAUCUUGAUGUGAAGGUAGAAAAUUGCAUGUUUUGAGUUUUUGCAUAUUUGAUGGAAACACAGAACUGUACCUGAAUCUUUCAGAACCCCCUUCUCUUUGAAGUUUGAACACUUUUCUUGAAUGUAUCAACUUUAUUUAUGGGAUAUGUUGCCAAAUUGGAAAAUCUAUUCGUUAUAAAACUUUCCUUUGACAGUUUAAUCUAAGCAGAUGUUAAUUCUGCAAAUAGAGUGUGCCUUAGAUUAGUUUCAUAGAUUUGUCUCCUUCUGUACAGUAAAAACUUUGAGCAUUUUCGCCAUAUUCUGAUCAAUACACUCCAACUAGUUAGUUCUUGAGGCGUUUUAUGGUUUCGUGGAGUGAGGCAAGAUGUAUACGUUUGCAAAUUGGCAAUGUCUUUCUCUUGAUGGGUUGAGAGUUGUGAGUGUCAACAGGAAACAAGACCUCUGUUUUAUGAACUCCAAAAAGUUAUUCUGUUAAAAAGAUCGAGACAGAGGCCAUACUAUAUUUAUUAUUGCUAUAAAAGUGUGAAAAAAUAUUCUUUAUUUAAUAUUCUAAACGAUUGAGCCAUUUAGUUAUGAUACUCUGCUGUAUUGGGGCUAAUAAUCUAAGUCGGUUCAAAGUGGUAAAUUUAUAAAUUGAUAGGUAUGCCUGGUAUGACCGCUUACGUUGGAUUUUAUGAGGUCUGCUCUCUUAAGCAAGGAGAGUGUGUCUUCAUAUCCGCAGCAUCUGGUGCAGUUGGACAGCUUGUGGGGCAGUUUGCAAAGUUAUUGGGUUGCUAUGUCGUCGGAAGUGCUGGAAGCAAAGACAAGGUAUGUAAAAUUAGAAUUUGAUCAACAGAUUUGGAGUGUUUGUUUACAGAGAAAAUCUAAGAGAAAAUGUAAGAAACUUUAGCUGAGAAUAUUCAUUUUGUUCAACUUAAUAACAGAAUGAGAUUACAAAGCUUAUAUACUGCUAUCAAGAAUCAUCUUAACACAUACAUCAUUUUCACGUGUAUUUAUCUUUGAAAGAAGCUAAAUAACCAGCUUAACAAACUCACAACUACUUUGCUGACUGGACUGCCACGUCACCAUAACUAACUUAACUAAUCCAAUCAGUUAAUCACAGUUAACACAUAUUCUUAUCAUCCCCCCUCAAGCUUAAGUUCGGGGAAGGACAUUAAGCUUGGUACGAAGAUAAGCAAACUGAUCAAAAGAGAGGGGCUUGGUGAGAAUGUCUGCAAGUUGUUCUGAACUGGAAACAUGACUGAUCGUGAGUUGCUUCUGGGCAAUAUGCUCUCGAAUAAAAUGAAGAUCCAACUCAAUGUGCUUUGUUCGAGAGUGAUACUUAGGAUUGCUAGCUAAUGCCUCAGCACUCUGAUUAUCACAUUAUAGAACAGGACUUUGAGUUGGCUGAAUUUGCAGUUCUUGAAGCAAAUAAGUGAGCCAAAGAAUUUCAGAGGUUGCCGAAGCAAGAGCUCUAUAUUCAGACUCUGCUGAGGAACGAGAAACAAUGGUUUGUUUCUUGGAGGACCAAGAAAUAAUAUUGUUUCCUAAGAAUACACAAUACCCUCCAGUAGACUUUCGAUCAUCAGGAUCAGCUGCCCAAUCAGCAUCAGAAAAUGCUGUUAAAGUCACAGAGCCUGAAUUGAAGAAUUGAAUCCCAAAGUGUGAAGUAGCUUGAAGAUAUCGAAGAACCCUUUUACAAGCUUGCCAGUGUGCAAUGGUUGGAUGAGCUAGGAACUGACUAAGCUUGUUAACAGGAUAAGCUAUAUCAGGUCUUGUUAGCAACACAUACUGAAGAGAGCCCACAAUACUUCUGUAUAAUGAGGGAUUAUCAAAAACUUCACCACUGUCCUUUGUAAGCUUAUCACCUGGACUCAUAGGAGUAUUAAAACCUUUGCUGUCAAGCAUAUUUACUUUUCUAAGGAUAUCACCAAUGUAUUUGGUCUGAGAUAAAUGCAGUCCCUGAACAGAGGGUGUUACUUCAGUACCAAGAAAGUAGUUAAACUCUCCUAGAUCUUUGAGUGCAAACUCUGAAUGAAGAUAUUGAAUAACAGCCUCAAUAUGUUGAGAAUUAGAACCAGUAACUAAAAUAUCAUCAACAUAUAUAAGAAUGAGCACAAUAUCAUGGUCAAUAUGCUGAAUAAACAUGGAUGUAUCAGAUUUUGAGGAUUGAAAACCUUUAUGGAGUAAGGACCCUUUCAACCUCUCAUACCAAGCUCUAGGAGCUUGCUUGAGACCAUAUAAGGCUUUGUUUAACUUGCAAACAUAUGAUGGAUUUGCAAAGUCUAUAAAACCUUGUGGCUGAUGCAUGAACACAUCCUCUUCAAGCAUACCAUUGAGAAACGCAUUAUUAACAUCCAGCUGUCUAAUCUGCCAAUGAUGCAACACUGCUAGACUGAGGACAACUCUGACUGUGCAAGGUUUCACAACUGGGCUGAAGGUCUCAAAGAAAUCCACCCCUUGAGUUUGAUGAUAACCCUUGGCAACCAACCUAGCUUUGUAUUUGGAAAUGCUGCCAUCAGGGUUAUACUUCACCCUAAAUACCCACUUAUUACCAACUAUUUUAGCAGCACUUUCAGAGGGCACUAGAGUCCAGGUUUGAUUUCUUUGCAGAGCAUCAAAUUCCUCUUUCAUAGCACAAAACCACUUGGAGUCAUGCAAGGCACUUUUGACACUAGUUGGCUCAAGAUUUUCAGUAGCUGCUAGAUAUGACUUGGGUUUGAAGAUACCAGCUUUAGCUCUAGUAAUCAUUGGGUGAGAUGGUAAUGAAGAUGAGUGAGUUGGUUCAGCUGAAGGAUGAGAAUAAGAAGGUUGUGCUGAACUGGAACUUGAUGGAGGAGACAUUGCUGAAUGAAAAUUAGGAGAUGAUGACUCUACAUUGCUACUGUCAACCUGAGCAGAAGUUUGAAGAAAAGAAAGUUGUACUGGUGAAGAAGGGACAUCAACAUUGGAGACUUGUGAGGUAGAGUGUUUUAGAAACAAUUCUGUGUUAGGAAACUCAGUUUCAUUAAAAACAACAUGUCGAGCAACAAACACUUUACCAGAUGAAUUUAAACACUUAUAACCUUUAUGAAGUGGACUGUAACCAAUGAAAAUACAUUUUUGAGUAUGAAAGUCAAGUUUAUGCUGGUUAUAAGGUCUGAGGAAUGGAAAACAGGAGCAACCAAAAACCUUUGGAAACUGAUAGUCAGGCAGAUGAUUAUGUAAUUUCUGAAAUGGGGAUAGAUUGUUUAGAACUGAUGUGGGCAUUCUGUUGAUAAGGAAAGAAGCAGUGUGGAAUGCUUCCCACCAAAAGGAGAGAGGUAACUGUGAUUGAGCUAGAAGUGUCAGACCUGUUUCAACAAUAUGCCUGUGUUUCCUCUCAACAACACCAUUUUGAUGGUGUGUAUAUGGACAACUAUACCUAAAACAUAUACCCUCUUGCUGAAGAAAGGUUUUAAAAGCUAUAAAUUCACCCCCCAUAUCUGACUGUAGUGUUUUGAUAGACAAGGAGAACUGUUUUUCAACAAGAAGUUUGAAGUGUUUGAAGGUUUCUAAGGCUUCUGACUUUGCUGUGAGAGGAAAAAUCCAAGAAUAUCGAGUGAAAUCAUCCACAAAAGAGAUAUAAUAUCUGUAUCCACUCAUUGAAUAUUCAGGAGCUGGUCCCCAUAAAUCUGUAUAUAGAAGCUCAAGUGGUGCUUUUGUUUUAAUGGUAGUGACAGAAAAAUGAAGCUGAUGCAUUUUGCCAUGUUGACAAGCAUCACAGAAGCUAAUGAAUUUAUUUGAAAAGCAAUGUGUGGGAAGACUUUUAAUAAUUGUUUGCAAAGCAUGUUUAUUGGGAUGACCAUAUCUAUUAUGUAACAACUGAACUGAUAUCUUUCCAGCUCUAGAAGAAUUUCCAGAAACAGAACAUGCAAAAGCUUCAGACAUAUUUACAUUAUCCAACUUUGACACAUGAUUAUUUGACUCUGGUAAAGAGUUUACAACUUUAUUAUCAAAACAAAAUGACAACAUGGAACUUGGUUUAAAAAGAUUUGGAUUGCAAUCUGCAGAGUAAGGAGAGAAGACAUCAAGUGACAGUAGCUUGUAAAGACCACCUUUAACAAUCCCCUGUGCCAGCAAAGUUCCCUCCUUCUUGUCCUUAAUAAAGCACAUGGUGGAACAAAAUUCAAUGAUUAUGUUAUUAUCCAAAAGAAGUUUAGAUAUACUGAUGAGGUUUUUGGUUAUUUUAGGAACACACAAAGUAUUGGUUAAGGAUAAACAUGUGCCAAAAGAAGUAGAAAGAUGAGUGCAGCCAAUAUGUGUGAUAGUAAGACCUUGUCCAUUUCCAACAAACAACAGUUGAGUACCAUUAUAAGGAUUACCUUCAACCAGGUUUUGCACAUUGUUGGUGAGAUGAUGAGUGGCUCCACUGUCCAGAUACCAUCCCUGAUCAGCAACUCCUUCUGAGGUAGCCAUAUAAGCUGUUCUUGGCCCUGGGUUCUGCAUUGGAGAAUUUGAAACAAAAUUUCUGUUAAAUCUGUUUCUACAAUCAACAGCUGAAUGGUUUGGUUUAAAACAUAUUUGGCAGGUAAUAUUUCCUCUGCCACCUCCUCUACCAAAGCCACCAGAGGACCCUGGAUUUCCACCAUUAAAACCACCAUUUCCACUAAAUCCACCAGUAUUUCCAUUAAAACCACCAGAGUUUGAACCUCUUCCUUGGUUUCCAAACCAGCCUCUCCCUGAGUUUUGAUCCAUAAAGCCACCUCUGCCAGAUCCAUAACCUCCUCUAUUGUUGAAAUUUCCAUUUCCAUUUCUAUUCACAAAAUUAACAUUCCAAUUACCCUGGUUAUUAGUAUUCCAAUUAGCAUUGCUUCCUGACUUCUUCUGAUUAUUACCAGUCUGAGCCACAUUAGCACUAAAAUUCACCUUAGUUUCCUUAGCUACACCAGAAUGAUUACUCUCAAGCCUAGCUUCAUGAGAUAGCAACAUAGAAUAAGCCUCAUUGAUGCUCAUUUUAAGAGCAUUUGCCUCAAUAUAAACUACAACAGGAUAGUAAGCCUGACCUAGCCCUGAGAUUAAAUGUGUAAUGAAGUCAAUAGAGCUAACUGAACUUCCAGCCAUUGCUAAUUCAUCAGUUACUGACCUUAGUUUACAAAAAUAUUCAGUAAUUGACAUGGAUCCUUUCUUAAGAUUGUUUAGCAGCAUCUUUAAAUGCACUUUCUUAGCUGCUGUUUCAAAUCCAAACUGUUCCUCUAAGCUUAUCCAAAGUUCUCGAGAGUUUUUAGAAUUUACCACAAUGCUUAAGAUCUCCACACUGAUUGAAGAUAGAAGCCAGCUCAAGAUCAUCUGAUCUUGCCUUUUCCAAGUAGUGUAGGCAGGAUUUUCUGAGAUGACUGCCGCAUCUGUGCUUGUUGAUUCACCAGUCAGCAGCUGGUUUGGACAGGUACGUGAUCCAUCAAGAAAACCUUCCAGAUCAUUUGCUCGAAUGGCUGAAAGGAUCUGAGAUUUCCAUAUAGUAUAAUUCGAUCUGUCAAGCUUGAUUGGUGUGGCGAAAGUAAAUGUUGAGAUUGCGGAAGAAACAUUUGUACUAAGACUUGAAGAAGCCAUGAUCAAGAAGUGAUUCAAGGCUCUGAUACCAAAUUAGAAUUUGAUCAACAGAUUUGGAGUGUUUGUUUACAGAGAAAAUCUAAGAGAAAAUGUAAGAAACUUUAGCUGAGAAUAUUCAUUUUGUUCAACUUAAUAACAGAUUGAGAUUACAAAGCUUAUAUACUGCUAUCAAGAAUCAUCUUAACACAUACAUCAUUUUCACGUGUAUUUAUCUUUGAGAGAAGCUAAAUAACCAGCUUAACAAACUCACAACUACUUUGCUGACUGGACUGCCACGUCACCAUAACUAACUUAACUAAUCCAAUCAGUUAAUCACAGUUAACACAUAUUCUUAUCAUGUAAUCUGUGUGAAGUACUUGAUUGUUUCCAUGUUACUUUCAAACAUUUAAAUUAAAAAGGAAAUUUUCAUAAUCUUGCCUUUUCUAUGAUUUUCAAAACCAAGGUUGAUCUACUGAAGAACAAGUUUGGGUUCGACGAGGCAUUUAACUAUAAAGAAGAAGCUGAUUUGAAUGCAGCAUUGAAAAGGUUAGCAUCAAUAAAUGCCUUAGCUUGAUGCAGCUUGAUGAAGUAUGAUACACAUUUCUGACCAAUAUACUGCGUUCCCUGAUCUCUUACUUGAAAUAUCUUGGUUUGAGAACCUCAUGCCAAUGCCUUUAACAUUUUGGCAGGUACUUUCCUGAAGGAAUUGAUAUAUAUUUUGAAAACGUUGGUGGAAAAACGCUUGAUGCAGUGCUACCCAACAUGAAAAUCCGUGGUCGAAUUGCUGCAUGCGGUAUGAUCUCACAGUACAAUCUUGACAAGCCUGAAGGUGUGCACAACUUGAUGUAUCUUGUUUUGAAACGGCUUCGAAUGGAAGGAUUCAUUGUUCUCGAUCACUAUCACCUUUAUCCAAAGUUUCUGGAAAUGAUCAUUCCUCACAUCAAAGAAGGGAAGCUUGUAUACGUCGAAGACAUGGCUGAAGGUCUGGAGAGUGCUCCGGCAGCUCUCAUCGGUCUAUUCUCUGGCCAGAAUGUUGGGAAACAGGUGGUUGCUGUUGCUCCUGAAUGAAGAACAAGUUAGUGUUGUAUGUUCUUUUACCCUUUGACACAAAACUUCAAUGUCAAAGAGAGAAUGCUGCUCAUACUGCUUUAUAAAAUAAUCAAAUGAGUGCAAGUUUCAUGAUAUUUGCUGAAUAAAAUAUUGGAAAUUAAGCAGCUAGCCUAGCUCCUUCUUGUAGUUGCAGUUUGAAUGAUGCUGCUGCACAACUGCUGCCGAAAAAAAUCCUUAAUAGAUGAUUAGCAAGGUUUCAAAAAUAAAAAUAAAUGUUUGUGCAAUGUGCCGAAUAUGACAGCCACAAAGAAAGAGCAUACAAAUUGAUUGGUUUUAUGUCUUCUCUAGGAGAAAGCUACAAUACAAGAAAUUGUAUUGAUGGAGCCUUGGACCAAAUUUCUUAUUUAAAUUUUUAAUUUUUUUUAUUAAAUUACUUAUGUUAUUAUGGUUUAUAUUUUUAGAAAUUCUUUAGAAAUUAAUACAGAACUAGUAGCAAGUUGAGAAAUCUACUGAAUGGUCAAGAUAUGAUAAUGUUUAUUGAAUUAAAUUAACAAUCAUCAUUUUCAUAAAUUAUUGUCAGGAUAUUUGAUUCAUGUCAGGUGUAAGUAACUAAGAGAGCGUUUGGGACAGACACCACAGUUGCUCCCGAUGCUUUAUUUUAGGGAAAUAUCCCCUGGAAUAAUGCAUAGGGCGCAGCCCCAAACGGACCCUAAAUGUGCUAAAAAAAAAUUAAUGAGUUGGGUGUGUUUGAUAUUCAUUUGUUGUAAUUCUUUUAAUAAUUAUUGUAGAAAAAAAUAUGAUAAAAAAUUUAUAAUUAUAAAUAAAAAUUAAUAAUAUAAUAAAUAAAAUUUUUAAACAAUAAUUUUAAUAAAAUAAUAAAUAUAUUAUCAAUUUUUCAUCGUUAAUAUUUAAGUCACAAUAAUAAAUAUUUAUUAAACACUUUAAUACUAUAACUAACACUACAACUUUUGAAUUAUAACAGUACAUUCUAAAGACCGUGGAACAAUAGUACAAAAGGUGCUCGUCGUGUAAACAACACAUGGGACCCAAGCAAUAAAUGUUUCUGAUCCUCAACUUUCCUCAUCACUGUCCCUGCAAACAAUUCUGAUUUUCUUGUCUGAUAAAAAAACUGAGAAACAAUGGCGGCCGAACAAGAAGCUGUGAGCAAUAAUGUAAAGCCACAAAUUUUCAUAAUAUUAAAUUAUGAAAAUUGGGCUUUCAUUGAGAAUUAUGGGUGGCCUAUAACCCUUAUUAAGAAAGGGAUACUAAUUAUAAAUACAAGUUAUUUAUGAGAUAGUUUUGAAAAAAUGUUAUUUUUCCUUAUUAAAUAAGGUUUCUUAAGACUCCCUAUAAAUUCAUACUUUUUCCCUUCCAUGACCCUAAGUCCAUGACGUUUAUUCUUCUUCUCUGCUGCUCUUUACGCUCCUACCCAAAUCAUAGGAUUCAAACCUUUGUUUAGGAGAGAAUCAAAGCGACGAGUAAGUUAUUCUCCCUAUUCUCAACAGAUUUCUAAUCACUCUAUCUAGGGUUUAUAUUGGCACGAUUCUAGAUGGUUAUAGAUCAUAAUGCAUGAUUUAGAAUGUAUUUAGGCUUUGUUUAGGGUUUUGAUUUAUUAUGAGUUUAGUUAAUCAAUCCUUGACGUAUUAAGCACAGGAUAAUUCUGGACAAUAUGAGUAUCUCGAAUUUAAACCUAUAUUUUCUGAACGAGUUUUAUUAUAAAAUUUAUAUUUCUGGAAACUAGACAUGUAGGGCUUCUUGAGUAAAUUUUAUUUCAUUAAAUUCGACUUCGUUUUCAAUUUUAUAUUUAUUUUCGAAAUAGAAACCACUGCACUGGAAAACUGCGAUUCCAGCAUUGCGAUCGGAUUCACAAGACUAUUUGUACCACCAAACGAACUCGGAAAAUUCUGAAAGUUUAUAUGUAGGUUAAUAUAUGUGUCUAGGAUUACCAGUUUUAAUUUCAUAAUUUUCUGAUUAGUAUUUUAUUUUAUAAAAAUCACAGAACCCGUUCUGUUUGGUUUAGAUUAUGUGAAAACAGUUUCGAAUUUGCUGAGAAAUAAAUAGUUUCGAAAAUGUUUUUGAUAUCGGAUCCUCUUGCAAAUUUUACAUAGGGUACUCAUGGAUGUCCAGAAUAGUCCCAUAGAAUAUUAUAUCAUUCUGAGUCUUAGAUUAAGAGUUAAAUUCUGAGAAUCAGACCUGUACGGGUAUGAAUUAGAAAAUCAGAUUCUUAGAAUAAGUUAUUAAUUGUCAUAUCUUGUAUUUGUUUAAGGUGUUGAAGGUGAUUGAGGUUCUUAGAAGCUUAAAGGUGUGUUAAUUCAAAUUCAUUUGUCGAGGUAAGUUACUUCAUUCCUACUAUAUUGGAUAUGUAUAAGUAUUUUGAUAUUAUCAUUAUAAGUAUAAAUGUUUUCAUACUAUUUAGAAGAUUAAUGGAUUUUCAUAACAAAAUUAGCUUAUGAAAAUGUUUUCAAAACCUAAUUUCUUUUUAACAAAGCAUUUUAUAAAUACUUUUUAAAUAUGUAAGUUAUUUUGUUACAUGCCUACUUUUAUGAUUUUAUUUAUAAAAUAUUUUGCAAGCCUAAAUUAUUGUUAUGGACUUUUAUGAAUCCGAUACGAAUGUUUUAUGCCUAUGCAUGAUUUCAAUUAUAUAUGAUUGUAUGGGGGCCACCUCUUGGGACUAUAUGGGGGCCACCUCUUGAAGGCCAAAGUGUCGCAAAGUGCCACAUAUAGUGCAAAGUGCCACGUAUAAGUCAUUAUGUUUUGGCUCAUUGUCCGUAGUCAUUUUGAUUCUGAUUCUGAUCAUAUAAUACGAUAUAUGUCUGUUUUGGACCAGUACUGGGUUUCUGUUCUGAGUGUGCACACGAUAUUUUGAUUCUGUUUCUGGCCGGGUCACUGGGACUAUAGGUGACACUAUGUGACAAGAGCUAACCUUUUGUUUUCUGUAUACGUAUUAUAUGAUUUACUUCAUAAGUAAAUAUGCUUUUGGAUAUUCGGAAUUAUUAAGAAUUUAUGUUAUGUUAUCGUGAUAUAUUGUUUUAUGAAAUUUAUGGAUUAUGAUAUAUGUUUUAAACAAAAGAAGGCUUGCAAUAUUUUUGUAUCGAUAGGCCCAGUAUGUUAGAAAUUGUUUUACUUACCGAGUUGACGGCUCACCCCUCGUCAUUACUUUUUGCAGAUUAAGUUUCUUUUGAGAGGUGCGCUUAGCUUUGGAGUUAGUAAUUUUCCGUUUCCAUUUGCCAUUUGAAUAAGAGGAGGAAUAAACUCGUGUUUCUAUUUAGUUAUUUCUAUUAUGAACGUGUAAUUUGGAGUUUGAGACUUUUGUUAUUAUUUUUAUGUCCUCGGGAGAGAUUAUUUAGUAUUAGACGUUAGAAUUUGUGGAUUUAUUUGAAUAAGAAUUGGAGGUAUUUCAGUUUGAAACUUAUGAGUAAAGAUUAUGAUUUGUGAGUAACCUCCUUCUUCACGUGCUCCGCACGUGUUAGAUUUGGGGUGUUACAAAUAAGCGGGUGAUUCUAAGCAACUAUGUGACAGGUUUUCCAAAAGAAUCAGACAUGAAGAUAACAAGUGGAUCAAUAAAGCUGAAGGUAGCAGACUGUUCAAAAGACACGGUGCUUUUGAAGAAUCUUUAUCUUUCUUGUGAUCCUUACAUGCGAGAGCGUAUGAGCAAGCUUGAUAGCCCUUCUUUUGUUGAUUCAUUCCAUCCUGGUGAGGUUAGUUCAUCACGGCCCAUCUCUUGAUUUUUUUUUUUCAUUUGCUUCAAGUUUUGAUGAGUUUCUGAGGUAAUUUGUACGGUUUUGGAAUUUGAACACAAUUUGUGAUUUUGGUGCUGUAACUGUCAUUAAUGAUAUGUAGUAAUUCAAUCGGAAUUUGGAUUUAGUGCUGAUAUGAUCUCUGCUCAUUUUUUUAAAUCUUGUGUCCACAUGCAUUUUUGAAAUCUGGUACGGUUGAGAUUGUAUGUAGAUUAACCUACGUACAGUAUUCUUGUCUAAUGACUACUAACCACAACCUUAUGAGACGAUCGAAACCAAGCUCGGAUCAAUAAUCCAAUCGAGAGAGGAUCAUAACUGAAGCUUAUCGUGUGUGGGAAUAUUUCGGUUAAAUUGUAAUCAUGAUCAUGAAUCAUGCAGGGAAAAGGGAAGUUGAGGUCAAUUUAUGCACUUGAUGGAAUUAAAGAACCAAUAUUUGAUUUUGGUUUACAUUAUUUCUCAGUAAUGGUGACUUUGUGAUGUUAAAUUUAUGCAGCCUAUAAACGGAUAUGGGGUGGCCAAAGUUUUGGAUUCUACACAUCCAAAUAAUGCAAAAGAUGACUUGGUUUGGGGCUUUACCGGGUGGGAGCAGUACAGUCUCGUUACAGCUCCGCAGCUUUUGAUUAAAAUUCAUCAUAAAGAUGUGCCACCUUCAUACUAUACCAGGAUCCUCGGUAAUGAUUUUUGUUACACAUUAAGCUUUGCUUAUAGUAAUAUCAAUACAUAUGCUGCUUAAAUGCUUUCUGAUUUUUUGCCGGCCAUUGUCCAUUUUGCCCGGGAGACUAUAAUUGAAGGAAUUUACUGAAGGAAUGCUGAUUGUUGGGAAUUUGAUUAUUCUAGGUAUGCCUGGUGUAACUGCAUACGCUGGUUUAUAUGAAGUUUGCUCUCCGAAGAAAGGAGAGUAUGUCUAUGUAUCUACAGCAUCUGGAGCUGUUGGUCAGCUUGUUGGACAGUUUGCAAAAUUAGCUGGUUGCUAUGUUGUUGGAAGUGCUGGAAGCAAAGAAAAGGUGCUGUUAUAUCAUUCUUAAGUAGUAAAUAUAGCACCGUGCCUUCUAGCAGAAUUUUACAUGCUUUAUGUUCCAACUAAGCAUCCAUAUUUGAUCGUGAUAAUUAGCAAGGUCAAUAAUUUUUUUUUGACUAUUUUUUCAACGUAAGGUCGAUUUGUUGAAGAACAAGUUUGGACGAUGCUUUUAACUACAAGGAAGAGCCAGACUUGGAUGCAGCGCUCAAAAGGUCAGCUGCAACAAACGUUUCAACUCUAAUAUUUCAUUUUAAUAUUACAGAGCUUUGGUUGAAGUGUGUGAGUUGAUCCCAGAAACGUAACUUCAUCAGUGUCUCUGUUUUCAAAAAACAGGACAAAUUAAAAUCUGAUUUUGCGUUAAAAUUUCCCAGAUGUUUCCCUCAAGGAAUCGACAUCUAUUUCGAAAAUGUUGGGGGAAAGAUGCUGGACGCAGUGCUACUCAACAUGAGGCUCCGGGGCCGCAUUGCGGUAAGCAGUAUGAUCUCACAGUACAACCUGGAAAAACCCGAAGGCAUACACAACUUAGAGCAACUGAUCGGGAAACGGAUUCGCCUGGAAGGAUUUCUAGCAGGUGAUUACUAUCACCUCUAUCUGAAAUUCUUGGAACUGGUCAUUCCUGCAAUCAGAGAAGGAAAGAUGGUGUAUGUGGAAGACAUAGCCGAAGGACUCGAGAAAAUUUCUCGUAACUGCUACACAUUAAACGCGUUUCACAUUUCCACUCUCUCUCUAUAAAUAAACACGCACAUAAAAUUUCUCACUAUCCAAAAACAAAAUCUACAUAAAAAAUGGCGGGUGAAGAAGGAGUGAGCAACAAGCAGGUGAUUCUGAGCAACUACGUGACAGGGUUUCCCAAAGAAUCAGACAUGAAGAUAAUAGCAGGCUCAAUAAACCUCAGGUGCCAGAGGGUUCAAAAGACACAGUGCUUUUGAAGAAUCUUUGUCUUUCCUGUGAUCCUUACAUGAGAGGACGUGUGAGCGAGCUUGAUAAGCCUUCGUUUGUUGCCUCGUUCGAGUCUGGCGAGGUCAGUUACUUCAAUUCCCAUCUCUUGGUUUCAUAAUCUUUUAUGGUUUUAGAAGGUGUUUUAGGGAAACAUUGUGGUUUUGGUUAGUGGGCAUGAGCCUUUGAAGAGAUUAUAAUGUGUAGGACUAUGUAUGCAAUAAUAAGUAUAGGGGAUCUUGUUAGGAGAAGAUUCUCUUAGCAAAAUAAAAACUUUUAUCUUAUCAAAACAUAUGCAGGGAACUUAGUUAUGAUGUCAUGUUAGCAUUGUCUCUGAGGAUUUGAUUUCUUGAUGGGGAAAGGGGAAUUUAAGGUUACAUUAUUCAGCAAUGGUUUUUUUUUUUUUUUUUUAAUUAUGUUCAAAUUAUGCAGCCUUUGAGCGGAUAUGGAGUGUCCAAAGUGUUGGAUUCCACGCAUCCAAAUUAUAAGAAAGAUGACUUGGUCUGGGGCUUAACCAGUUGGGAGGAGUUCAGUCUCAUCCAAUCACCACAACUUCUGAUUAAAAUUCUGGAUACAAGUGUGCCUCUGCCAUACUAUACUGGGAUUCUUGGUAAGUUGUUACUAAAUUUAUCAAUGUCCAGUUCGCAUGAGCUGAAAAUCAUGUUUUAUUUAAUGCAAUGAGAGAGGGAAAUAGUAUGCUGCUUGAACGUCUAGCAUUUUGAAUUUUCAAUGAUUGUACCCUACGUAUUGGCAUGUAACUGAAGGAUUUCUCUUGAGGAAUUUACUAUUUUUUCUGAUUGUCGGGUAUUUUUCUGUUGACUCUAGGUAUGCCUGGUUUGACUGCAUAUGGUGGUUUAUAUGAGCUUUGCUCUCCUAAGAAAGGAGAGUAUGUCUAUGUAUCUGCAGCAUCUGGAGCUGUUGGUCAGCUUGUUGGGCAAUUUGCGAAGCUGGUAGGUUGCGAUGUUGUUGGAAGUGCCGGAAGCAAAGAAAAGGUGAGUUUGCACCUUUAACCCUUACGCUCUAAAUAAAAACAUAACACCUUCUGAAAGAAUUUGCAUAGAGAAUUUUGCAUGUCACAGUAUUUGUGUUCUAACUAAUCAUGGAUAUUUGAUCAUUAGUCUAACUAAAACUGACUUAUUACCACCUAGUUGAUUGGUCUUUGAGAAAUGUUAGUUGAUAUAUGCUUGAAAUCAUACUUUGUUUUAUUAGAUGAUUAUAUUAACCUGCUUCUUUUUCUUUGUGCUGUUUCUCGUUUGAUUACAUUUUCAACAUUAGGUCGAUCUAUUGAAGCACAAGUUUGGGUUUGAUGAUGCUUUUAACUAUAACGAAGAGCCUGACUUGGAUGCAGCUCUUAAUAGGUUAUCACGAAUGAAUGCCUUAACCAUUUUUCUCACUUCAUUAUUACAAUGCGCUGAUUGAAGUAAUCAGUGUUGGCUCUGAAAAUGUAAUGUAUACUUCUCUGUUUUCAUAAAACAGGACAAACAGUGAUCAGUGAUCUCAUUCGUUACAUUGAUAUUUUCUACCAUUGCCAUAUGCCCAUACAUAGUAUAAACUAGGAAUUCAGUUGCUUAAUUGAUAUUCAUUUCAGAGGGAAAUUUUCACUUGCAGCUAACAGAAUCAUGUUUGUGAUGUAUGUUUAUUUGGGAAAUGAAAGGAUUUGCUGCAUUAUUUUAUUCCAAGUUUGCUGAAAUCAUAUUUGUUUUCCCAGCUGCUUUCCUGAAGGUAUCGACAUCUAUUUCGAAAAUGUUGGGGGUAAGAUGCUUGAUGCAGUGCUAUUCAACAUGAGAAUUUGUGGCCACAUCGCUGUAUGCGGAAUGAUCUCACAGUACAACAUUGAGAAGCCUGAAGGUGUACACAACUUGAUGCAAGUAGUUGGAAAACGAAUUCCCACGGAAGGAUUUCUUGCCGGUGAUUUCUACCACCAAUAUCCAAAAUUCUUGGAACUGGUUAGUGGUUAUGGCGGCAAUCAAAGAAGGAAAGUUAGUAUAUGUCGAGGACAUAGCUGAAGGCCUUGAGAAAGCUCCAUCAGCUCUAGUUGGGAUAUUCACUGAGCAGAAUGUUGGAAAACAACUGGUUGCAGUUGCUCGGGAAUGAUAUGAUUAUUAUAUGACCAUGGACUUUAAAAGCUUAGUGAAGAUGCCUCUGUCUUAUUUGUGAUCCAUGUUAUGUUUGUUUGAGAUACAUGUUAUGUUUGUUUGAUCAAGCUGUACUCAGAUAUAAAUCAAAGAUUCAGAACAUGUGUAUGAUACUGGUUUCUAAAUCAAUGAACGCUUUGAAAUGUUAGUGUUUUCACAGGAGAAUGCAAUUUAAUUCAUCAACAAUGUCCCAACAAGACCCUCAGAGCUGUAGCUUGUAAAGUUAAUUACCAUAUUUUUUUGUAAAGUUAAUUACCAUAUUUUUUUCUUUCCAAUAUAUUGCUUAUUUCAUAGAAAGUUUACAUUAAAGUCUCAUGUUUCUUUGAAAGGUAAGCAAGUGUGAACGUUUCAAUCUAGAGCUGGAAAAUGCAUUUCCGGGCAACUUACUUGAUAAAUGAAGUUUUCAUCUCUGACCAUGAUGUUUCCCACAGGUGCAUUCAUUUCAGCUGAUCUAUUUAAUUUUGUUUUCGAAGGAGUGACACAAAAUCUCCUUUGUUAAGGGGAGAAUUUAGAGCGGCUUUGACUGUUAUCAAAUAGCCUAAUGUAAGACUUAACCAACUUCCUGCCCUGUUGUAUUCUUAUGAAUUUUGAUAGAGCUAAGAGUUUGCAGAAGCUACUGUAUUAUAUGUCGUUAGAGGCUGUAAAAAUCAAACACAUUUAAAUUUCAAUGAAAAUUUACUGGAAGUAAAUUUCCUAUGAUCCUACAGGUGACUAAUUAAUGAGAACUUGACAAUGACAAAAGAAAGUGUAUGAACUUUGCAGGCUGGCAUGCCAAUAUUGACUGGGUGGCACCAUCCACCAUCUGCAAGUGAAUAUCAUUGUUGUUUAAUCAACAUGGUGGAGUCCACUGGGACCACACCACAUCAUCAGCCUUAUCUCUAUUCCUCAAUUUUCAGUAUUCCAUACAUCAAACCAAUUUCAGUUUUGUUAUCAAUUAUAACUUUAUUGUUGGUGACGAUUCUGAUUCCUUUCUGACAAAAGGGAACCAUGGCUGCUGCUGGAGAGAUCUUACUCAACGCCUUCUUUCAGGUACUGUUCGACAGGUUGGCUUCUCGUAAUUUGAUCAGCUUUGUGCGUCAACUCCAAGGCGGGGUUGAUUCGGAGCUCAAAAAGUGGGAGAAAAAGCUGAAGAUGAUUCAGGCUGUCCUCUGCGAUGCAGAGGAGAAGCAACUGACCAACGAGGCUGUGAAGAUGUGGCUGGACGAACUCCAAGACUUGGCUUAUGACGCUGAGGACAUUCUUGAUGAGUUUGCUACUCAAGCUUUGGAAAGCAAGUUGAUGGCGCAAAAUCACGAUAGUUCUGGCCAGGUUCUCAGUUUCAUCCCGGCUGGUUUGAAUCCGAAUGCUAUUAUGUUCAAUUAUAGCAUGGGGUCCAAGAUUAAAGAUAUUACUAGCCGGCUGGAUCAACUCUGCCAAGAAAGAAUUGAACUUGGACUGCAACGGAUUACCGGAGAGGCAUCAUCAACUGCUGCUGGUGCACACCAGAGGCCACCCAGUUCGAGUGUCCCAACAGAACUUGAAGUAUUUGGAAGAGAAGAAGAUAAGGCCAAAAUUCUUGAUAUGUUAUUAGCCGAUACCCUAAGUGAUCAUGCUAACUUUGUUGUAAUACCCAUUGUUGGCAUGGGUGGGAUAGGAAAAACAACUCUUGCUCGGGAGGUUUACAAUGACAAGGCCGUUGGAGAUUGCAAGUUUGAUGUAAAAGCAUGGGUUUGCGUAUCUGACGUCUUUGAUGUUUUGGGCAUCUCAAAGGCACUUCUCGAGUCAAUCACCCGCACGCCUUGUCUUCUAAACAGUUUAAAUGAAGUGCAGGUUGAAUUGAAAGUAGCUGUGGAUAAGAAAAGAUUCUUGCUGGUCUUAGAUGAUGUUUGGAACGAGGACUACAGCUUGUGGGUAGACUUAAAAGCUCCGUUCCUGGGUGCUGCACCAAACAGUAAGAUGAUCGUCACCACGCGCAAUUCAAAUGUUGCAUCAACAAUGGGACCAGUUGAACAUUACAAUCUCAAGAGUCUGUCAGAUGAUGAUUGCUGGUCCAUUUUCAUAAAGCAUGCAUUUGAAUCUAGAGAUCUUAACGAACAUCAAAUUUCAGAAUCAUUCCGCAAGAAAGUUGUUGCCAAGUGUGGAGGCUUGGCCCUGGCAGCAAAAACACUCGGAGGCCUUCUGCGUACGACGAGGCAUGAUGUGUGGGAUGAUAUAUUAGAGAGCAAAAUAUGGGAUUUACCUCGACAAAGUGGGGUUCUCCCAGUAUUAAGAUUGAGUUACCAUCAUCUUCCUUCUCAUUUGAAAAGAUGUUUCGCUUACUGUGCAAUCUUUCCAAAAGAUUAUGAAUUCAAUGAGAAGGAGGUGACUUUUUUAUGGAUGGCCGGAGGUAUUAUUCGACAGUCCAGAAGCAAAGAGAGGCUAGAAGAUUGGGGCAGCAAGUGCUUCUAUGAUCUGGUGUCAAGGUCAAUUUUUCAGCAAACAGCAAUCUCUGAUAGUUCUAAAUUUGUAAUGCAUGACCUUAUUCAUGAUCUUGCUGAAUUGGUCUCUGGAGAAACCAUAUUCAGGUUAGAGGAGGCCAAUACUCUGUCAAGAAGAUUUGAAAGGGUUCGCCAUUCUUCCUAUGCUUGUGGUGGACGUGAUGGUAAAAAUAUGUUCGAGGUUUUCAAUGAAAUUGAACAUCUACGAACAUUCUUGCCAUUACGCUUACGCAUAAGAGGUGGCUCUAAUACUAGUUUCAUAACUCGUACGGUUCUAUCUGAUUUGCUGCCGAAGUUCAAAAUGUUGAGAGUGCUAUCUUUACAAGGAUACCGUAUCGGUGAGUUACCAAUUCCAUUUGAAGAUUUGAGACUUCUAAGGUUCCUCAACCUUGCUGACACUGACAUAAGAAGUUUACCUGAGUCAACAUGCAAAUUGCUGAACUUGGAAAUUUUGAUAUUAAGAAAUUGUUCCCGUUUGAUAAAGCUUCCGCAGAAAAUGAGGAAUUUGAUCAAUUUACGUCAUCUCGAUAUAAGAGGUGCAAAGCUGCUAAAGGAGAUGCCAUUUGGAAUGAAAGAGUUGAAGAAGCUUCAAACAUUGUCCAAUUUUAUUGUAGGCAAGGGUGAAUCCGCAUCUGGUUUGGAAGAUUUAAAAAGUUUAAACCUUCUUUGUGAUGAACUCUGCAUUGCUGGAUUAGAGAAUGUAAAUAGUCCACAGAAUGCAAGAGAAGCCACAUUAUGUGAGAAGCACAAUCUUGAAGCAUUGACUCUAGAAUGGGGGUCUCAAUCUGACAGUCCUCGGGAUGCAGUACUAGAAGAGAAUGUACUUGACACUCUACAACCUCAUGAACGUAUAAAAGAGCUGGCAAUCAGGCACUAUGGUGGUGCAGGAUUUCCACUUUGGAUCGGACAUCCUUUGUUCUCCGAGAUGAAGGUCCUUAAAUUGGAGAACUGUGACAAGUGUGUAUCUCUGCCAUCGCUUGGCCUGAUGAAUUCACUUAAGCACCUUGCUGUUAAAGGGCUGAAGAAACUAAAAAGCAUAGAGUCUGCGGUCUUUCCAUCAUUGGAGACUCUAAGUUUUGAGAAUUUGCCAGAAUGGCAGCAUUGGAACACCAAUAUCAAAGGAAAUGAGCCUGUUGAAAUAUUUCCUCGUCUCCAAGAACUUUCCAUUGCAGAAUGUCCCCAACUCUCUGGAGAACUGCCUGAGCUCCUGCCUUCUUUGGAGACACUUGUUGUUAGUAAAUGUGGAAAGUUGGUAGUUCCAUUGUCAAGCUAUCCGAUGCUCUGCAGAUUAGAAGUUGAUGAGUGCAAAGAGCUAGUGUGCAGGACUCCAAUUAAUUUUGAGUUGAUAAAGUCUGUGACUAUUUCAAAUAAUUCAUUACUCAUGAAUGGAUGCAAGGAGAUGCUAUGCCAUGGUCAAGCUGGCUCUUCACUGCAGAAACCCAAGACUAUUAUGAAUGUUUUGGAGUUCGGAAAAUUAUUGAAGCCUGGAUUUCAGAUAUUAGAAACUUUGGUAAUUGGCAAUUCUGAACGGCUCAAGUCAUGGAGUACUUUUAUUGAACCAGGGCUACAUUUGCUCGCUUCCCCUGAAGAGGUAGCAAUUGAAGAAAGUUGUGUACGUCUUGUUUUGUUUCCAGAGAUCAAUUUCUUUCCCAGAAAUCUGCGCUCUCUUCGAAUUUGCAACAGCACUGCUUUCAAAUCCUUACCCGAGGAAAUGAUGGAAAACAAUUCACAACUCGAAAGGUUGUAUAUCAGAGAUUGCGACUCUCUAACAUUCAUCGCAAGACGGAGGCUACCAGCAUCUCUUAAAAGGCUUGAGAUAGAAAAUUGUGAGAAAUUGCAACGUCUGUUCGAUGAUGAAGAGGAUGCUUCUUCUUCUUCUCCUUCAUCCUUGUCUUCCCCAGUGAUGCUGCAACACCUGAGAAUAGAGAAUUGCCCAGAGCUCACCAGUUUAUCAUCGGGUGUCCAAUUCCUUGAGGCGCUUGAAUACCUCAAGAUAGAGCAUUGUCCAAAGCUGGAGUCAAUACCGGAUGGCCUGCCCAAUCUUAAAUGUUUACAGAGCAUUUAUAUACGGAAAUGUCCAAGUCUUGUUUCCUUCUUAGAAAGAGGGCUUCCCAACGCCAUUUCAAGUUUUUACAUUUGCAGAUGUGACAAGCUCGAAGCCUUGCCCAAUGAUAUGCACAAACUCAACUCUCUUCGAGAUUUAAGCAUACAUGGGUGUCCAAGUCUUGUUUCCUUCCCAGAAAGAGGGCUUCCCAACGCCAUUUCAAGGGUUUACGUUUGCAGAUGUGAGAAGCUCGAAGCCUUGCCCAAUGAUUUGCACAAACUCAACUCUCUUCGAGGUUUAAGCAUACAGAUGUGUCCAAAUCUUGUAUCGUUUCCAGAAGAAGGUUUUCCUACCAAUCUAACAUCACUUACAAUUAGAUAUUUCAAAAUGUAUAAGACACUCGUCCAGUGGGGGUUGCACAGGCUUACCUCUCUUAAACGCCUCUGGAUUGCUGUACGUGAUGAUGAAGCAGAGUGUUUUCCAGACGAGGAGAUAGGAAUGACGCUGCCCACCUCUCUCACCGCUCUGCACCUUACUGGAUUCGAAAAUUUGAUAUUUCUGUCUUCAAUGGGUUUUCAAAACCUCACCUCUCUUCAAUCUUUGAGGAUCGAGAAUUGCCCGAAUCUCACAUCAUUUCCAGAGGUGGGCCUUCCAUCCUCACUUUUGGAAUUACACAUUAGAGAUUGUCUAAAGCUUAAAAAAGCGUGCAAAAGAGAUCAAGGAAAAGAGUGGCCCAAAAUUGCUCACAUCCCUCGCGUUGAGAUAGACGAUAAAUUCAUAUACGAUCCAGAAGCAGAGUAGAUUCUAUUAUUAAGGUCAGUUGAUUUGUAUUAUCCGCUAUAACAAGCUCCUCCUUUUUUUUUCAAAUAAUAAUUUUGCAGUCACUCAUAUGAUUCCGUUUUCACAAGUCAGAUUGUAUGUUGAGGCUAUUUGCCUUUUAAUUAUAACACUUAUUGGAGUAUAAUAUUUUGGAGCAAGCAUACUUGAAAUUUCUGUCUUCAAUAUUUUGAUGCUUUUUUAAUUUUUGAUCUAGUAAAAAUACAUAGCCUUCACCGGCAGGAUUCUAGUCUUGGCUUUCACCUCUCUAACUCAUCGUCCCCACUGGGAUUCCAGAAAUUGAAAUUUCUGUCUUCAAUGGGUUUUCAAAGCCUCGCCUCUCUUCGAUUUUUAUGGAUCGCUUCGAUUUUUGCACAAAUCUCACAUCAUUUCCCGAGGUCGAGGAAAAGAGCGGCCCAAACUUGCUCGCAUCCCUUGGGUUAUGAUAGAUGGAAAAUUCAUAUACGAUCCAGAGUCAGAGGUGUUGAUUCUCUUAUUAAGGUCAACUGAUUUCUAUUAUCCACUCUGACAAUCUCCUAUUAGUGUUUUUCCUUUUCUUUUUCAAAAUUUUGCAGUUCUGUAUAAUUGAAAAUGCCACUCACUUGUUUCCUUUUUCGCAGGUCAAAUAGUGCGUUGAGGCUAUUUGCUUUCUAUCGGUGUUUGUUAAGGUAAUUAGUGCUCCAUCAUAGGUAUGACUGGAUUUUUUUCACUUCCGUAAAUAUUGCAUUUCUAUCGGUGUUUGACUGGAUUUUUUUCACUUCCGAAAAUAUUGCAUUUUAGACUGGCAAAUUUAGCAGUAAUUUUAAUACAAUUUUGUUGGUGCCUUUUGUUCCAGAAGCUAGAAAAAUGUGUAGUUUUCAGAUAAGGAGGCUUGUCAGUUCUCUAAUAAGAAUCCAAUAAUUUGCUUUUGCACGUCCAUCUAAUUUGUGGAUCCUUGCAUCAGAAUUUGAUCAAUCCAAAAGGAAUUGCUUUUAGACAGAGGAAGAAUAGCAGUACCUAGCCUAUGUCAUAGUGUAUGGAACCGCAAACCUGAAACUAUUAGAUUGAGGUAAAAAAAUCAUUGACCCCCUCACAUGUUAACUUCUUCUAGUUACUUUCGUUGGAAAAAAAAACAUUUAAGGAAUUUGCAAUUUGUUGUUGGUUAUGGUAUCUGAUGUUCUUUUCUGUUUUAGUGUUUGUAGAAUCUACUGUAUUAUGUGUUGGCAGUUGCCGUAUCUGAGGUAACUUGCCUUUAUUUGACAAAGAUUUAGAGAAGCAUCUCAAAACACUUAGUAAACUUGACAAACUUCAAGAUGCACUUGCCCCCACGCCUUAUUCUCCACAACGCAAAACUUGUGAGUACACCUAUGCCUGCAAUUAUUGUGAAGUGUUUUCAAUUUUGAUGCAGAGAAAUGGUUUCUUGAUGCAAAAUAUUAAACUGUUAAGAUUUAUCCUGCAGGCUUGUUAGAUGCUGUAUGCUCGAAAAGCCAACAACAUCCAGAACUAGAACUCCAAGACCAGCUUUGCGUUAAUUCAGUCAACUGUAAUAAUAAUGCAAAUGACACUAUAUCAAGCUGGACUUAGAGACUAGUCAGAUCAAUCAUCCAUUUCAUCAACGGUUAAUGUCAUGAUGGUGGCUAUCAGAGGAAACAAAAGAUGUGUCGGAAUCUAUACGAACAUUGAGAAGCAUGAGAGGAGCUUUGAUUUUGAGUAGGGUCAAUGAACUCAUGUUGGUAAGUGGUAAUUAAAGAAAUUUGUAAGCUUAGUAGAGUUUCAGUAUUUUCUGUUUGGAGUAUAGUUGAUAAGUUGACUCUGUUUAAUAAGCCCGAUUAUAGUAGCUGACUGUAUUAACCUUUUUUUUUUUGGUCUACUGUUGUUUUUGGUUUCGAUUAUUUUUUCAACAUUGGGUUGAUCUGUUGAAGAACAAGCUUGGGUUCGAUUCUGCUUUAACUACAAGGAAGAGCCAGACUUGGAUGCAGGCGUUAAGAUUUUAAUGGGUAAGAACAAAUGAAUGCUUUAACCAUGUUUCUCACUAAUUAAAAUGCACGGAUUGAAGGCAUCUGGGUUGAUCCUGACAAUGUGAUGGAAAUACUUCUCUAUUUUGUUCCUGUGUUCACAUAAUGUUUGUGGGAUAUGCUUCGACGAAGACCAGCAAUGAUGAGCAGACACCUGGUAAUAGGGUUCCUCGAGCAGGUAUAUCUUGUAAGAGUAUGGUAUUCAGGGGAGCAGGAGCAGGAAUAUCCUGCUCAUCCGCGAGCACGUCAUCCACGAGGCCAAUCUCCUGUUGGAAGCAUAAAGCCAUUCCUGCUACAUUCCUGCUAAGGGUUGAGUCGAGGAGACCCGGUCAACGACAGUUGGCGAGGCGUGCUCUCCAGUCCGAGAAUCAAGGCAUGAAGGCCACGCAACCACCCACGACUACGGAAAUGGGGCAUCCACUUUCGAGAGGUGGGAGGAUAACGAGCGCGAAUGGAAGAAGGCCCGAGUUCAGAGAUGGCCUAUAAAAAAGUAGCCAACAAAGGUAAAAGGGUUAGAAUUUUUGACAUUGUAACAGAAAAAAAGAAAGCUCUAAAGAACUGAGACUAAAAAAGAAAAGCCAUAAGAUUUGUGGCUAGUGUUCCCAGAACCUUCAUAUCUAACUUGAGCGUCGGAGGGUUUACGCCGGGAAAACAACCGGCGUACUCUGACCUAGUUCUGUGUACGCAGGAACUUCUGGAGAAGAAGCCUUACGAGGAGAGAUCCUAAUCGAGGUGGAGUUGAUCGAGCAAAGAUCCUGGUCGUAACAAGAGAGCAACCAGAAUCUCGCAUCAACAUUUUGGCGCCAUCUGUGGGGACUUGAUCAAAAAGCUUCUGUUGAUAGCAAGAAGAGGAGUGAAGCAAGUGGAAAAGCAAUGGAGGCAAGAAGAAAUAGUGCACAAUGGGGUGAUAUGAGGCUUAACGAUUCCGUGACGCUGAGGGAGAUAGCCAGUGAAGCACGGGAAAAAGCCAUGUUUGACCGGAUGGAACGGAUGGAAAAGCAGAUGCAGACCCUGACAACCAUCCUACAUGAGCUGCGGAGUGAACGAAGGGGAACCCAGGAGGAAAGGGUGAGAGGUGGUGGAGUGGCACCAGGUCAUGAUAGUACGAGGAGAAGUCAAACCACCGAGAGAUUUGGUGGUGAGAGAGGUAACCUAUCUCUACGGGGAGAAAUUCAUAGAGAGGAAGAGCAAUCCCCGGCAAGACAGAUUUUUGACGAGGACGACGGGGUGGCGAAUGCAGAGGAAACAGAGUUGAGGUAACACUUGCAUGAUGUAGAGCAAGAGCGGGAUCAAGUUGCAGCACGUGACCUUGGUCGUGUAGUGCAGCUGGAGGAGGAAGUGCGCAGACUAGCGCAGAUAAUUGAUGACAUGUAAGGAAGGAGCAGAGCUCCUGGUUGGAGGAUAAUGCUGGACGGAGAAUCACCGCUCGCAGCAGAGAUCAUGAGGGCAGUUAUUCCAAGAGAUUUCCGCCUCCCAGACCUUAGAUAUUCGGGACGAACUGAUCCGCUGGUGCACAUAGAGCGCUUCAACGACAUAACCGGGGUACAAGGAUUAUCUCAAUCCCAAAGGUGCAGGGUGUUCCCACUAUCCCUUGAGGGACGUGCACGCAAGUGGUACAGGAAACUUCCUCGGUGGAGCAUUAAAACCUUCGAGCAGAUGUGACAGGAAUUUGUAGAGCAGUUUCGUGGGGCAAUAGCACCAGAAGAUGACAUGAUGGAGUUGAAAAGCAUGAAGCAGGGGGAACAAGAAACCCUUCGGGAAUUCAUCAAGAGGUUUCAUCGUGCUGUCCUCGAUUUGGGAGCCUUCAACCAUUCUCAGGCAUUAAGGGGAUUGAAAGAAGGGGUGAAGAUAGGAAGGCUGUGGCACAACUUGAGAAGCCCAGUUAUUCAGAUGUAUACAGCCGCAUACGAGCAGGCUAAGAGGGACAUUGAGAUUGAAGAAGAAAAGGCAGCACGGAUUAAGACAGACCAGCUAGAAGGGUUGGGAAAGAAAGAGAAGAAAGCAUUACCAGGGAAUGGGCCGAUCAGGAGGAAGGACCACCAGGCCUCAGGUAGUGGUGCAAGAGGUCGAGUAACCGCUUACCAGCCUCAUCAGAGACCACCACAGUAUUAGCACAGCAGAGCACAACCUCCUCGUUCCCCAGUUAGAGAGCUUUGGAGAAGGCAUGACUCGACAUAUGGUGGUCUUCAUCAACACUCCCACGGUAGUAGAGGGAGCAGACCAGAAGCGCUGCCACCGCCUCUAACUCAGAAUGGAACAAAUAGAGAAAGGGUAGUGCACAUGAUCGACCAGAACCAGGACUAUGGGCAGUAUACUUCCUUGAAGAUGUCCCUGGACGAGGUGUACGAGGCCAUAAAGGACCGGGGAUUGAUGUACCUCCCUGCCCCAAUAACAAAGCUACCCAGCAGGACGGAUAGGGGACGCUAUUGUAAGUUCCAUGGCACUUAUGGCCAUACCACUGCAGAAUGCAGAGAUCUCAAGACCCAAGUUGAAGAUUUGGUGAGAAAUCGGUACCUGGAUGAGUUUAUAGAUGAGACUUUCCCGAUGGUGGCCUCGACAUGUGAAGGGGAGCAGAGUGAUAGAAACUUUAGGCGCGAGCAGCCUGCAGUAAGGGUAAUAGCUGGGGGCCCAACAUUGGCCGGAGAUUUCAACAGAUCGAGGAAGAAUUAUGCUAGAUACGCCAUAACUAGUAAAGAGUUACUCUUCAACACCCCAGCAGCCAAAUGAGUAAGAGUCAGACAAGUGCCAAUCAUGUGGACGGAUGAAGAUGAAGAAGAGAUUCUAUACCCCCACGAGGAUGCUUUAGUCAUCAAGGCUACUGUUGCAAGUAAGAAGUUUGACCGGAUACUGGUUGAUACAGGGAGCUCAGUUGAUGUGUUAUUUAAGUCAACUCUGGAGGAGAUGGGAAUAGCAGGCCGGAAGUUGGAGUACACCAAUACCUCCUUGAAAGGGUUUGGAGGAGGAAAGCUGGUCCCUCUGGGCGUGGUCGAGCUGCCUAUCACGAUUGGGAGCUCCCCGACAAAAAGGACUAUGAUACUGGACUUUGUGGUGGUGGAUGAAGAAUGUCCUUACCAGAUGAUCUUAGGUCGGCCAUUUCUGAGGAUGAGCAAAGCGGUACUGUCCAACCAUUAUCUGGCUCUCAAGUACCGAGUGAAUGUGGUAGUUGGAGUGGUACGAGGAGACCAGAGAAUAGCACGAAGCUGCUACUCCUUGGCAGCAAGGGAAGCAAUGCAAAUAACAUCCCUUGAUACCCGAGUGGAAAACAUGAAUGGCAGACAAGAACCUGUAGAGGAGCUGGAGACAGUAAGCCUGGGACCAGAGAAUCCGGGAAAAACGAUCAGAAUCGAGUCGAGACUUAAGGAAGAGCAGAAGCAGGAGUUGGUGAAAUGCUUACAGGCUCAUGCAGAUGUGUUUGCUUGGACACAUGAAGACAUGCCAGAGAUUGAUCCUGAGGUAGCAUGUCAUAAGCUGGCAAUAAAGAAAGGUGCUCGGGCAGUAAGGCAGAAAAGGAGGUGCUUCAACCAGGAGAGGUAUGAGGCUAUAAAUGGCGAGGUGGAGAAGCUCUUGAUAGCAGGGUUCAUUUGCGAAGUCGAUUAUCCUGAGUGGAUAUCGAAUGUGGUGUUGGUAAAGAAGGCAAAUGGCAAGUGGAGGAUGUGUGUAGAUUUCACAGAUCUCAAUAAGGCGUGCCCGAAAGACAGCUUUCCUUUAUCAAAGAUCGACCAGCUAGUAGAUUCAACGGCUGGACACGGCCUGCUUAGCUUCAUGGACGCGUUUUCGGGAUACAACCAAAUUCCCAUGUAUGAGCAGGAUGAGGAGAGCACGGCUUUUAUUACUAACCAGGGUUUAUUUUGUUACAGGGUAAUGCCAUUUGGUCUUAAAAAUACUGGGGCCACGUACCAGAGGCUGGUGAAUAAAGUCUUUAAGCCAUUGAUUAGGAGAACCAUGGAGGUGUACGUGGACGACAUGAUAACCAAGUUGAACAUCCCGAAGGAACAUGUCAGAUACCUCGAGGAGACAUUCGGGCUUUUGAGGAAGUAUAAGAUGAAGCUCAACCCGGAAAAGUGUGCUUUUGGGGUCGAGUCAGGGAAAUUCCUUGGAUUCAUGGUGAGCCAUAGGGGGAUCGAAGCAAAUCCCGAGAAGAUCCACGCGAUCGUGUAAAUGAGGUCACCUCGUAGCCUGAAGGAGAUGCAGAGCCUCACGGGGAGGUUGGCGGCAUUGAGCCGAUUCAUAUCCAAGGCUACUGAUAAGUGUCAGCCAUUCUUUCAAGUGAUAAGGAGGGGAAAGAAAAUAGAAUGGACCCCAGAAUGUGAAGAAGCCUUCCAGAACUUGAAGCAGUACUUGCAGCAAGCACCUCUACUGUCCACACCGAGGGAUGGGGACAAGUUAUUUUUGUAUUUGGCGGUAUUAGAUCGGGCCGCAAGUUUUGUUCUGGUGAGAGAGGAAGAAGGGGUUCAGUAUCCGAUAUACUACACCAGCAAGGCUCUGCUCGACCCUGAGACCAGAUACCCACCGUUGGAGAAAUGGGCAUUUGCCCUUGUGGUUGCUGCUCAGAAGCUGAGGCCAUACUUUCAAGCAUUCCCAGUCUCGGUAAUAACAAACCAGCCAUUGCGUCAAACUCUGCACAAGCCAGAUGCUUCUGGUCGGCUCGUCAAGUGGACUAUAGAGCUGAGCGAGUUCGACAUAGACUACAAACCCCGAGCAGCGAUAAAGGCUCAGGCGAUGGCCGAUUUCAUAGCAGAAUUCACAGAGCCCGAAAUAUGUUUGGACCAGCGAGAUGUAGCUACAGACAGCAACGAAGCCCGAGUAUGGCAGAUGUCUGUAGAUGGAUCAUCCGGGGAGUAGGGAUCAGGAGCAGGAAUUGUUUUGGAAGGCCCAGAAGGGGAGGAGAUCUCUUAUGCUGUAAAGUUAGAAUUCGCAGCCACAAAUAACCAAGCAGAGUACGAAGCCUUGAUAGCAGGUUUGGAAUUGGCUAAGGCAGUGAAAGCGGAUAGAGUGAAGAUCAGAACUGAUUCCCAGCUGGUCGCAAAUCAUGUCAGUGAAAGAUUUCAACCGAGAGAGGAGAAGAUGGAGCAGUACCUGAAGAUAGUCAGGCAUAUGAUGGGGAAAUUUGAAGCGGUUUAGGUGAUACAAAUCCCCAGGGAGCAGAAUAGUCGAGCAGAUAUUUUGACGAGGAUGGCAGCGGUAGCAGACCCAAAAAUGCCAAAGUCGAUCCCUCUGGAGGUGAAGUCCAGCCCGAGCAUCGAGCAUAAUUUGGGGGUGCUGCGGAUAGAACAAAAAUGCUCGUGGAUGGACCCGAUAAUUUCAUACCUUAGAGACGGGGUAUUACCACCAGAGAAGCUGCGAGCUCGGAAGAUUAGAGCCCAGGCCUCGAGAUACACGAUGAUUGACGGGGUAUUAUAUCGGCGAGGAUAUACGCUACCUUUCCUUCGGUGUUUGGAUGAGGACGACGCGGACUACGUACUGAGAGAAGUACAUGAAGGAAUUUGCGAAAAUCACUAUGGUGGGAGGUCCCUGGCUCACAAGGUUCUAAGGCAGGGAUAUUUCUGGCCGACAAUGCACCAGGAUGCGCAAGAGAAGACCAGGAGCUGUGUAAGCUGCCAGAGUUUUGUGAGUUUCUCUAACCAACCACCAGAGAAGCUCACCUCUAUGGCCCCCCCCUGGCCAUUUGCUCAAUGGGGAAUUGAUCUGAUCGGCCCGUUGCCAAAGGGAUGAGGAGCAGCAACACAUGCAAUAGUUGCGAUAGACUACUUCACGAAGUGGAUAGAGGUAGAAGCCCUUAGUAGGAUCACAGAGAAGAAAACAACAGACUUUGUAUGGAGAAACCUGGUCUGUCGAUACGGGAUCCCUUAUGCCUUGGUAACGGAUAAUGGCAGGCAGUUUGAUAAUCACAGCUUCAGGGAUUUCUGCCAGAACCUCGAGAUAGAGUUGAAGUAUUGCUCGCCUGCUCACCCUCAAUCUAAUGGACAAGUAGAAGCAGCCAACAAGACCAUCAAGAGGCUUUUGAAAACCAGGCUUGGAGCAAAAAAGGGUGCAUGGGUUGAUGAGCUGUCAGGUGUCCUAUGGGUAUACAAGACAACCCACAAAACAGCAACUGGGGAGACACCGUUCGCCUUGGCUUUCGAACAUGAAGCGGUCGUACCAGCCGAGAUAGGAACGACCACGCACCGGACAGAUCAUUUCAAUGAGCAGGAGAACGACGAGCAGAUGUGUUUGAAUCUAGAUCUGCUAAUGGAAAAGAGGGAGCAAGCAGCCGAGCGAUCAACCAUUUGCCAGCAGAGGGUUGCUCGGUAUUAUAACCAGAAGGUGAAUGUACGGCAGUUCAAGGUCGGAGAUUGGGUGUUAAGAAGAGUGAAUCAGAAUACGAAAGACUCGGCUCAGGGAGUACUUGGACCAAAUUGGGAGGGGCCAUAUAGGGUCAAGCAGCUAGUUGGACCCGGAGCUUACAAGCUGGUUCGCUCGGAUGGCCACGAGGUGAAACGCCCAUGGAACGCAACACACCUCAGGAAAUAUUUCCAGUAAGAAUUGUCCAUGUUUUCAAGUUAUUUCUGUUCGUGUUUGUUGUUAUUUAUUUUAUGUCAAAACAAUUUCAUGUAAGUUGAAUCCUGCAAUUAAUGAAACGUCGAGGAAUUUCAUUCACUUGAAACUGUGAAAAAUCUACUAAGGCAUGCUAAGGCUCACUGAGUCUCAAAGCCUGUUUAUGGAAAGACCAGAAGCCAAGUGUGCCAGGAUCUGCUCGACCACGCGAAGGCCAGCAGAAUCCCAAAUCAUUGAAGAAUCUACCAAGGCAUGCAAAGGCUCGUCAAGUCUCAAAGCCUGUUUAUGGCGAGACCAGAAGCCAAGUGUGCCAGGAUCUGCUCAACCACGCGAAGGCGAGCAGAAUCCCAAUCAUUGAAGAAUCUACCAAGGCAUGCAAAGGCUCGUCAAGUCUCAAAGCCUGUUUAUGGCGAGACCAGAAGCCAAGUGUGCUAGGAUCUGCUCAACCACGCGAAGGCGAGCAGAAUCCCAAUCAUUGAAGAAUCUACUAAGGCAUGCUAAGGCUCACCGAGUCUCAAAGUCUGUUUAUGGCGAGACCAGAAGCCAAGUGUGCUAGGAUCUGCUCGACCACACGAAGGCGAGCAGAAUCCUAAAUCAUUGAAGAAUCUACCAAGGCAUGCAAAGGCUCGUCAAGUCUCAAAGCCUGUUUAUGGCGAGACCAGAAGCCAAGCAUGCCGGGAUCUGCUCGGCCAAGUAAAGGCCAGCAGACUCCCCAACAUCAAAAAAUUAUCCAAGGCAUGCAAAGGCUCGUCAAGUCUCAAAGCCUGUUUAUGGCGAUACCGGAAGCCAAGCAUGCCGGGAUCUGCUCGACCAAGUGAAGGCUAGCAGACUCCCCAACACUGGGAAAAUUAUCUAAGGCAUGAGAAAGCUCGUCAACUCUCAAGGCCUCCUCUGUGACGAGGUCAGAAGCCAAAUGGAUAAAUAAAUUAAAAUUCCAAUGCGAGGAAGCAAAUAAGAACAAUUUUAUUAAGCUCUUAAAAGUCUGCAAUUCUGUUACAUACAACGCUAAAAAAGCAAUUACAACGCAAGACAAGUUCAGGAGGACGGCGGAUCAGUAAACCGAGUAGCUUCGGUUGGCUGGUCCACUUCAGGGGUCGAGGGGGUGUCACCAGUUGCGUCCGGGGGGGUACUCGCCUCACCAACGUUAGCAGGGACUGCAUGAGGAGGAGAGUUUUCCUCCUCAACCACGAUUGGCUCCACCCCUUCGGCAUCCUCCUUUGCCGCCUCCUCGUCCAUGUGUUGAACAAUACUAGCCGCAAGGUCAUCCAUCUUCAGAUCAGGAUGCUGCUUCCCGAGGACGGCCAUGAUGCAACGAUAGGAAUGCCGAAGUCCCUGGUCGUACUGGUUGUCGGCUUCCUUCUCCAAGUUCUUGACCUGAACUCGGUGGGAAUCGCGGAGAGAUUCGAGCUGAGCCUCGUACAUAAUUUUCUGCCUUUGCAGAUCCUCCUUGACCUUAGUCAGCUCUUCCUCGAGAGUAACGGCCUAUGCUUGAGCAAGAGAUUCUUGCUCUAUCAGCUUCAGAUUCUCGAGAUUCAAGUCUCCCGCUUUCUUCUCGGCAGCAUCGGCUCUGGUCGUCGCCGAUUGAAUGUCCUCCUUCAUCUUCCGGUCGUAACGGCCAACCUUGGCCUUAUAGUAAGUGGUCAUGCAGCUGAGGUGGAAAGCGCUAUACUGCAUGGCCCCCACCAGCUCACCUAGGGUGCAGCCAUCAAAGUCCUCCAGGUCCUUCUUGCUCACGAGUUUAAAUAGCUCAUUGAGAUAGGGGACCAAGUGUUCUGCUCGGUGGUCAGAUAAACGAGAUCUAGGCCCGACAGGAGGAGAAGAGAAAGCAGGAUCAGUGGCAGCUCCACUAGUCUCUCUGACUUUGGCAGGAGGAGGAGGAGGUAGAGUCUGCAAGGGAGCAACCUGUUGCACGAUGUUCACCUGCUUUGCAGUAGGAGCAUCUUUAUUCUGGUCCUGCUUGGUCGUUGGAGGUCGAGAACGUUUCCUAGUCAGAGCCCCAAUCACAGCAUCCUCCAUCUUAUGGCCGGGAGGCACCAAACAAGACUCGAGCAGGUUAUAAGUAGUUAUCAGCUCUCGGCUCGAGCAGGAAUUGGCUAGUACAGCCUCGACCCGUUUGAGCUGGUCAGGUUUGAGCGGGAAGUAAACACCCCAAGAACCUGCAACACAAAUAGACACUUGGUUAGAGACAAACCAGUAUAGCGAGAACAAUUAUGGAUACAAGACAUCUAAAGCGAGCAGGCAACCUGAGAUCACGAAACGGGGUGGGACGCAAGAAUCCUUCCCGUCAAUUUGUGCAACUUGACCCCAGGAACCCCCAGCAAAAAAGAAUUUUUUCUUCCAAUUCCCACCACCACCAGUAAGAAGAUCGGUUAUGGGUUUCCUGGUCUUGGUACUAGAUUGGAAGUAGUACCAGCCGGCAUCUUUGGGGCUGCUCUUUAGCUGGUACAGGUGCUUCACCUCAUCAACUGUGGGCUUGCUUUGGCAACAUCUGUCCCACAAUAUGAACAGACCAGAGAGUACUUUCCACCCGUUGGGGUUCAGCUGACCAGGAGCUAGAUUUAGCCCGUUAAGCAUCCGGGCAAAGUAGGGUUGCAAGGGACACCUCAGCCCAUACUUAAAGCUCUCUAGAAACAGGGUAACGUAUCCCCUAGGAGGCCGGCUAGGGGUAUCCUUCUUUCCUGGGAUCUUAAGAGGUAUUUCACCAGGAAUACUAUACUUAAGCCGGAGGUCAGUGAGCUCGUCAAACGUGGUCGUGCACGUCAUGUAAUCAAUAGCGUAAUCCCGCGAUAGGGCUCUACCUCCUACUGUACUCUGCCCUUCUGGUCGCGAUGUUCAUAAUGGGGACACCUCACCAGAAUCACCUCUUCGAUCCUCACUCAGGGUGUUUUCCGAGCCAGAAAACCCCUCCUCACCGCUAUUUCUGCUCGAGGAGGUUGUUUGGGGGGACAUCCUCCUAGCGCUAGUACCAACACUAGGUCUAAUGGGUUCUAAGGGGAUCCCGGGGUCAAAAGCAGGAUCGGUGAGCAGACUAGGCAGGAAGUCCAACUCAUUGUCAUCAACCUCAAUGACCUUCUCUUUACCUUUCGACAUUCCCUAAGCUAUAACUAGAACACCACCACCAACUACUACCCAAGCAAAGCAAAGAGAAAAGAAAUUAUCUACAGCUAUCCGAGACUGAGGAGAUAGAAGUAAUACCUGAAAUAGUGGUUCAGUCGGAGAAGGACAGGGAUGGAGGCCUUUAUGCCGGAACUUCUUUGCCAGGGAGACAGGGACAGAGACGGGGUAAAUGACGAAUUUUCCUUUGGAGAGGUUUUAGGUUUUCCUAAUGGAGAAUAAACUCUUGGGUUGCCAGCAUUUAACAGCACCAAAUCCCGAGGGUCUCGUAACCGUUGGUUUGAAAUUCAAAUAGAGAGGUAGAUUUCUGUCACAUCACCUCGUCCGCAAUUAAAUGCGACACAACUCUUGGCAGCCUUUUUCCUAUCCCGCGCAAGCAAGAGCUGUCAAGUUUCUACUAUCGGCUUACUACGUUACCCAACACCAGAAACUGGGGGAUCGGUGUUUGUGGGAUAUGCUUCGACGAAGACCAGCAAUGAUGAGCAGACAUCUGGUAAUAGGGUUCCUCGAGCAGGUAUAUCUUGUAAGAGUCUAGUAUCCGGGGGAGCAGGAGCAGGAAUAUCCUGCUCAUCCGCGAGCACGUCAUCCACGAGGCCAAUCUCCUGUUGGAAGCAUAAAGUCAUUCAUGCUACAUUCCUGCUAAGGGUUGAGUCGAGGAGACCCGGUCAACGACAGUUGGCGAGAUGUGCUCUCCAGUCCGAGAAUCAAGGCACGAAGGCCACGCAACCACCCACGACUACGGAAAUGGGGCAUCCACUUUCGAGAGGUGGGAGGAUAACAAGCGCGAAUGGAGGGAAGGCCCGAGUUUAGAGGUGGCCUAUAAAAAGGUAGCCAACGAAGGUAAAAGGGUUAGAAUUUUUGACAUUGUAACAGAAAAAAAGAAAGCUCUAAAGAACUGAGACUAAAAAAGAAAAGCCAUAAGAUUUGUGGUUAGCGUUCCCAGAACCUUCAUAUCUGACUAGAGCGUCGGAGGGUUUACGCCGGGAAAAGAACCGGCAUACUCUGACCUGCUUCUGUAUACGCAGGAACUUCUGGAGAAGAAGCCUUACAAGGAGAGAUCCUGAUCGAGGUGGAGUUGAUCGAGCAGAGAUCCUGGUCGUAACAAGAGAGCAACCAGAAUCUCACAUCAACACAUAAUAUAAUAUAUAUAUAUAUAUAUAGAAAGCUGAAUUUAUUUAUUUACGCGCAUGUGCUAGUGCCCACUGGCAUCCACUUGAUUUGUAUCGGUUAAAUGUAUCAUACAAUACAAUAUUAGCUUGACUGUAGAAAAGAGGAGAACGAGUUGGUGUUGGUCUGAACUCUUAUCUUUGAAUCUCACGUGACUCCACUACUUUUUACUUGUUCUGUAGUCCAUUGUCGGCAGCUCAUACAAGGUCUUUUAGCUUUUUAAAAAGUUUUAGCUUUUUGGAUAAAUUACUGAUAAUUGUAAUCUAUAAAUAAUGAAAGGAAUUAAUUAAAUAUUUGGUAAAUUUUAUUUUUUAAAGUGUUAUGAGUUUUAAAAACGGUUGUAUGUAUAUAAAUUUAUUUACACAUAUAUUUAUAAAUAUGACUAUAUAAUAAUAUUUUAUGUGUACAUAUAAUAAUUGAUAACUAAAAUAAAUAUUUUUAUUUUAUUAAUGGUUUUUUCGUCUCAAUGUAGUUGGUAAUAAUAAUCUCUUGAGAUGUAACGAUUUUAUUUCCUAACUGAAUAAGGAAAAUUUUAGAUUUUUAUAAUAAAUGUUAAGAUAUAUUUAGAAUUACAUUAAGUAUGAAAUAAUCCUCAAAAUUAGAUUUUGAAAAGCAAUUCUUUUCUUGCCUUUAAAAAUAUGUCAUAUGAUGAGAUGAUUUUACUAAAAGUGAUUUUUUUUUAAAAAAUUACUAAACAUCAAAAUUAACUCUUAACUUUUUAAAAUCAUUUCUAAUCUUCUCAUCCUAAGUUCUCUAUUAUUUUGUACAAAAUCCAAGGUUUUGACUUUAAUAAAAUGCCCACUCAAAAAGAAAUUAUUUUCUAAUUAAGAUUUGUUGUUAAUGUAUAACUCGAAGUAAUAUUAGAUAUUUGUAAUUUUAUUUCAAAAAAUUUAUUCAAAUGAUAUGGCAAGCAAUGAACAAUAGUUGAUAGCAAUUUUUUUUUCUUUAACAAUGUUCAAAUCAAUCAGUUGCAUUAUCUCACCAUUUUUAUGAUGCCAUGUUAUUUUAAACGAUUUUUUUUUUAUAUAAAACAUACGACGUGUUAACAUCAUUUGCAUAACUUGACCUUUUUUUUUUUCCCUACAAAUAGUAAGUCAAAUUUACUCACCCUAUUUCUACCUAAAAUCUACCUAAAACUCAUGCAUCACUGCAAAACAAAUCCAAAGAUUGCGGUGCGUUUUUCUUGGUCAGAAAUCAAUAAUUAGGUCAAGUACUACUACUAAGCGUGCACAAUUAAUUCUAAAAUACGGUGAUCAAAAUCAUACUUUACGCAAGAGGAUCAGGGCUAAACUUCAAUUAGGCAUUAUUCAUCCAAAAAUCAUUGACUCGGCAUUCUUUGCAAGUUGUAGCAUGGGACAGCUAAGAUAAUUAGCAAAUGAUAUGGACCAUAUGCACCAAUACAUUUGUGACAUGUGAAUCUUGGCAUUAAAGGAAAGGCAAUGUGUCAAAAUUUAAUAGAGCCCAACUCUUCAUUGAAUGAUUAUCAGAUCCAAUACGCAUCCUUUGAUUGGAUUAUUUUAAGUCAAUUAUUGGUGGAUUGGGGCCCACUUGACUCUACCAAAUCGGGCUCGACCAUAUCACCUAUUAACGGCCACCUGUCCUUAUCAUAAAUAGCAAAUGUCACUUGUUUUAUUUUCUAUUUUACCAAAGUAAAGUCACUACGAACGCAAAAGAAAGUGACCUCAAUUUUGGGGGUCAUGAACUUUGGAUUAUUAUGGACACAAGAGACAAGCGCAAUGUUUCUCAUUUAUCACUGGAUAAGAUUUAAGUUAUCAACCCAAUAUUAAUAAAUUCUGCUUGAAAAGUAAAGUUUGAAGCUUCAUUUUGCGAAUAUUCAAUGGUUAACAUUUAAGUAAUUAACCUGAUAUUAAUCCAAUUAAACUUUUUAUGUAAUCCAAGUCAAAAAUAUAUUGAUAAACCUAAACUAAUCUAAUUGGACAUAUUAUUUCAACUUGAAAAGGUGAAUUUAUCAUUUUUCAAUUAAUUUUGAAUCAAGCUAUGUAAAAUAUAAGCUUAUUAAAGACAUAUUUGAAAAUUUCAAAUUGAAUUAUUUGACAAUUACAUUUCAACUAAGUUGUACUGCUAAUUAACUUCCUCAACUUAAAAUGUAUUUUUCUCAAUUAAUUCGUAACAAAGAAUGUUAGAUGUUUUGUUCGAAUGAUAACAUUCAACAUCCUUAUUCUUUAUGAUUAUUGCAUAAAAACAUAUUUUAUCCAUUUACGUCACAUAUGUUCCUAAAUUGUAUAAGAAAAUCACCAAAUUUACUCUUGUAAGUUACUAUAUCAAUGAACAUGAAACUAACUAAUCAUUAAAGUCUCGGAAUGACAUCAUGAGGGGGAUUCCGUUACAUUUAUUGAUAGGAUUAGAUAUAUGUCUUCCCAAAUAUUAGUAGGAGUAAUUAAACAGAUGCAGCUAUUAAAAAUAUGGAAUUACUUAUCUCGUCAAUAACUAACGAUAUUUUUUAUCUAUGCUCGAUAGGCGUCUGAGCUAUAUUAUAAAUUGUAAUAUUUGUAGAUUGUAACAAUUAUAAAAAAAAAAAAAAAAAGCUCCCUAAGACUAAACGACAACAGGACUGUUUUGAAAUAGAUAGAUAAAGUAUGCCCUUAUUUGAGAAAAGGUAAAACACUAGGGAUCUAAAUGUUAUUAUAAUCCCAUGCACAAAAAUGCUAGAAAAAACUAAUAACAACUAACCGAAAAUCCCAGGCGUCAUAUUCCUUUUUACCGCGUUUUAAAAUGCACAACAAUGAUAUUCUCACAAAAGUGGGUACAAAGGUUUGUACAACCAGGGUCUCUUUGUAAAUUAUUUCAAAGUUUUGUGUUAUUUUUUAAAUUUAUGAUUUUUAUUAAUUUUGAUUCAUUGGAGCAUUUCUCCUUCCAUCUCUUCUACAUCUAUUUUUAAAGUUUUUUAAAAUUUUGACUAUAUCUUUAUAGAGUUCUAAAUGAUUAUCUUUUUUCAUAAAAAUCUAUACUUAAAUUAAUCCUUGAAUUUAUAAUCAUUUAUCUUCUUUGAGUCAUAGACCAAAUUUUUUCUUCUAACAUAUCUAUGUAUACUCCUAAGCUAUCUUCAUGGCUUAGAUACAUUCUAUCAAAGCUUUCACAUAUAAAUUGUGAUUUGAGAUCUGCAUCUUGAAUCAACAUCUCUAUAUUAUCCAUUGUUUUACGCUCGAGGGUAGUUAAAAUUGAUUCUAUUAAUGCUAUCGUGUUUCUCCUUCAAAAGAAUCAAAUAUUUCUGGAUUAUUAAUUUCUUUUAUUUCUUCAUACAAGCAUUCGUUUGCCGUUAAUCUUGUUUUAAUCAAGGAAGCUGUAUAAGCAACUUGAUAUUCUUGACAAAAGUCUAAAUGAUCUAUUGCAUCUAGAAAUUUAUUAAUAGAUCUUUCCAUUUUUAAGAAAUUGAGUUACUCUUAUCACUUCCAAUCUUUUAACAUCUCAGAAAACAAACAAGGCCCAGCAUGCUUCCGUUUGUAGCUCAAAUAAAAGAAGAGUUCAGAUCACUAACCAAUGUACUAUCUCUCGGAAGUCUGAGAUAGACUCACUAAUUGCCUCUAACCAUAGAGAGGUCCAUGGUCAGCACCACCAUAGCUCCACACAUCAUACAAGAUCACUUCAACGACUGUUCCACAUGGCCUAAUGCAACACACAGCAGACUGGCCUAAUAGGAUAUGUCUAAGUGAUUUUCUUGCAGUUGUCUCUGGAAGAGUGCUUAGUAAUAGAAAAUCUUCUUCGUUUAGUACAAGUAUUGGUAUGUAAGGUUCUUGAUUAAUUUUCAAAAGAUGUAUAAGUGUUAGAGUGCAAUUUAUGCACUAGUUUUGCAUUAUUUACUUCCCUUAAUAUCAAUGUUUUGCACUUAAUAAUAGUGAUUUACUUGUGUUUUACUUUUGUAGGUCCAAUUCUAUUGAUUGAUGAUAAAAUUGAGCUAUAAGAUGAUGUUUAAGGAUGAUUGUUCUCUUGGAGAAAUUAUGAGCGUCAGAAGAACUUUGUUGAUAAGGCGUGGGCGCGUGCUGUCAAUUGCGGACCUGCAGUUUUUAGUUUAACGUGUUUUGUAUUUUUGGUUAUUUUUGUAAUUACGAAUUUAAUAUUUCAGAUAUUAAGAUUUUAUUUUAAAUAGAAUUCUAAAAGAGAAGAGAGAGAGAGUAUUUAAGGGAGGAAUCUAUUGUGAAAAAGGGGGAUUUUGGAUUGGAGAAAGAAAGAAACCCUAGAUCUAAUUUUUCUCUUCUCUCUAUGAAGAACUAAACUUAUUUUUCUAGUUGAAGGUUAACGAAGCUUUGAUUCAUCACUACUGUGAGAUCUUUCUUAUGCUUUAAUUGUUUUAUUACUUUUUGGAUAUUUGUUUAUUCUCUGAAUUUUUUUCAUGAUUAUGUUUGUUAAUUAGGUAAUUGGCCACUAUUUAAUUAUCAACUUAAUCUAUUGUCAAUUAAAGGAUUCAUCGUAUGAAGAAUUUAAUAUUUGUGACAAAUAACAUAGCAGAGAGUUGUGUUGUGAGAAUAAACAAUCUAAUUUAAAUGAAUCAUCAUAUGUGUUGAUUAGGAUUUGGGUCUCUCUGGUUUUUCAGGCUGUCAAUGAAUUAAAUCCUAUGAUCGUAUCUAGGGUUGUCCAUUGAUUAGGGAAAUAACCAACGGUCGUACCUUGGUUAUCGACUAGUAAAGGAGAGAUUGGCUAUUAGAGGGUCUCAAUAGCUAUAACCGGUCUAUUCAUAAGUAAUAAUAAUCUAUAUUUGAAUCAAUGAUCAGUAGUAGAAUCAAGCUGAGUUAAUUCCUUCAACCAGAGCUUUCUCCAAUUUGAAUUACAACUUUAAUUUGCAUUCUUGUUAUUUUGAUUUGAUUUUUAUUAUUGUCAACAAUUCCCCCAUUUUACGUUUUACGUUUCAAAAGGAUUUAAAUAAUUACCGAUCUCUGUGGACACGACCCUGCUCAAUCACUAUACACAAUUUAUUUAGAGUAGGAAUUUAUUUUUGUUCGCUUCGACACCACUGCUGCCUCGCCAACUAUUCCUUCUACAUCCGCACCACCUUUGAGCAUUCAGUUAGAGAAAAUAGAGCACAAGCUGAACAAGAUGGAGCAGAAUUUGGCCGCAUACUUCGAGAGUGUGGGUUUUACCCCACCAUUUCCGCCAAGCCCAUAGACGUUAUGUGGAUCAAAGCUCACAAUUCAGGGAAGUUUCUUUUUGCCCUUAAUCUUUUAUCCUUACGCUUUAAUUUUUAUGUGAGCUUUAAUUAUCUUACAUUGGGGACAAUGUAAGUUCUUGGUGUGGGGGAGGGAUUUUUGCAUUAUUGAUGUCUGGAAGUAUUAUUUUCACUCUACUCAUCUAUUUUCAUUCUACUCGUCCUUAAAUGAUUUUGGAGUUAGUAUGCUUCAUAUAUUAUUAUUUUUCUUUUCUUUUCUUUCUCACUACUUUUUUCCCAUCUAUCUCAAAUUAUUUACAUCUAUUUUUAUUCUAUCAUACUCUUUCAUCACUCACAUUUUAUCUUUCACUUUUCAUAUUACUACAUACAUCUUUCUCACUUCUUAUCAUUUUUACCUUUCCUUCACUCAUACCUUCUUCUCAUUCUACACCACUAUUGAUGGUUGAUUCAUUUGAAGAGUGUACAUGAUUUGAUGGCAAAUUUACCAACUUUGUGAGGAUUUGAGCCUAUGAGCAACCACUUUGCUCUAAUUAUUUUUAUUAUGUGAAUAUCAAUCUUAGUUUGUUUAUUCUAGAACUUGCUUUGUUAUGCAUGUUGAAGCCACAUUACGGGAUUUUUUGCAUUAAAAUGAUAAGGGCAAACCAUUUACCAUUUUUCUAUUCUCGCAUUUUCUUUUUUUUUUCUCUACCCGAAGACCUUGAUUUACUAUCUUUGUUUGAGCCUUAACCAUUACCCAUCUAAUUCUCUCCGUCUACUUAACCAUUUUUCUUCUUUUUUAGCCUCAAUUUAAGGAGAUUUUUGGACUCAUUGUGUGGAUAUAUUUUGUAUAUAUUUUGUUGCUUUUUCUACCUUGUAUUAAAGUUUCUCAAUUAGAUCAACAAGCAUUAUGCUUGAAUUAAAUUGUGCAAGGUUCAUUUCUUUUGUUUGAUUCAAAAAAAAAAAAGAAAGAAAAAGAAAAGGAAAAAGAAAAAAAAAGAAAAAAAAAGAAAAAUCGAAAAAAAAAGAAAAAGAAGAAAAAAAAAUGUUUACAUUCUUGGUGACUUGAGUAGAAAUAAGCGUUUCGAUAUCAUAAAGUUCGUUCAAUGAGUUCAUUCUUCUCAUUUUGAUCUCUUUUUCUUUCAUAAACCUUUCUUUUUCAUUUAACCCAUUUAACCCCGUUACAACCUUUUAAGACCCUUAGAUUUUUGUAUUUAAUUCAUGUUUUGUGGAUUGAAAUGUGAUAUAUAAGCAAGCUUAUGGUAAUAGCAUUCUUUGAUUUGAUUUGAGUGAAUAAAUGACACCCUAAACACUUUGAGUGCAUGGAGUGAAGUCAAUGAGAGGGCUAUUAAAUCUUGUUGCACUUGAAUUUUGAAUGGAUCUUCUUGGUGGUUGAAUGUUCUUAUUCUAUCUUAUGAGAUUCUAUGCUUUAAAAUCCUUGUCUCUCGAAUGUUGAUCGACUUAAUUUCUUGAGGUAUACUUGCUUAAAAUUGUUUUUGGAUGAGUUGAGAUGAGAAUUGAGUGGAGAUUUGGGAUUAGUCUUGAGUUAUAUGCUUGAGGACAAGCAUCAUCUUGGUGUGGGGGAAUUUGUUAGAGUGCAAUUUAAGCACUAGUUUUGCAUUGUUUACUUCCCUUAAUAUCGAUGUUUUGCACUUAAUAAUAGUGAUUUACUUGUGUUUUACUUUUGUAGGUGCAAUUCUAUUGAUUGGUGAUAAAUUAAGCUACAAGAUGAUAUUUAAUGAUGAUUGUUCUCUUGGAGAAAUUAUGAGCGUCAGAAGAACUUUGUUGAUAAGGUGUGGGCGCGUGCUGUCAACUACGGACCUGCAGUUUUUAGUUUAACGUGUUUUGUAUUUUUGGUUAUUUUUGUAAUUACGAAUUUAAUAUUUCAGAUAUUAGUAUUUUAUUUUAAAUAGAACUCUAAAAGAGAAGAGAGAGAGAGUAUUUAAGGGAGGAAUCUAUUGUGAAAAAGGGGGAUUUUAGAUUGGAGAAAAAGAAAGAAACCCUAGAUCUAAAUUUUUCUCUUCUCUCUAUGAAGAACUAAACCUAUUUUUCUGGUUGAAGGUUAAUGAAGCUUUGAUUCAUCACUACUGUGAGAUCUUUCUUGUGCUUUAAUUGUUUUAUUACUUUUUGGGUAUUUGUUUAUUCUCUGAAUUAUUUUCAUGAUUAUGUUUGUUAAUGAGGUAAUUGGCCACUAUUUAAUUAUCAACUUAAUCUAUUGUCAAUUAAGGGAUUCAUCGUAUGAAGAUUUUAAUGUUUGUGACAAAUAACAUAGCAGUGAGUUGUGUUAUGAGAAUAAAUAAUCUAAUUUAAAUGAAUCAUCAUAUGUGUUGAUUAGGAUUUGGGUCUCUCUGGUUUUUCAUGUAUAAGAUAUCUAGAAGAUGAUAAUUUCACUCAAAAGAGUUUUAUUUAUUUCAUUAUUGAAAUUGUUUACAGAGGAAGGUUACAGAGAAUACAGAGGUAAUUGAAGGUUAGACAUAUGAUAUCUUUCCUUUCUUACAUGCUUUCAUUUAUAUAUCUCUCUAGAGAUAAGAUUAUCUCUUUUACAUAACACAUGUUCGAUCCUUGUGGUGGAAUCUCGAUUUCCUUUUGAUAAGGUGACCCCUUCUUCAUCAUUGAAGCCAGUAGUUGUCUUCUUUUCAUGUUGCCAGACAACCUUUAUCUUGUUCUGGUGAGCUUUUUCUUUUUUGGAAUCUCUCUUUUUGAAUUAUUGAUACUUUUUGGAUAACACCUUUUAUCUUUUUCAGUAGUCCCCGUCACAUGCCAAUUAUCAUAUCUUCAUCUAUAGACAUGUCUUCCCCACUAGAAUCUCCUUUUUUUUUUAAUCCUUCGUAGUAGUAGCCACAUGAUGACUGAUGCUUUAGCACCUUAUAUAUCUCGUGGUGUGUCAGCAAGGUGGAUUCCACGAGAUUUUCGAAUAUGCCCUUUUUCUUUUUUAAUAUGGUAUGUCUGGCUAAAAUAUUUUCUUUUCUACUCAUAGAAAAGAUUAUAUGCUCUUUUGUGGCUUCAUGGAGCCAUAUUUUCUCCUUGUUUAUCCUCUCAAGAGAUUCAUAGAGGACUUUCAUUUCUAUGGCCCUUUUGUUGGUGAGAGCUUUUGGCUCGAAUAAUUCAGGAUCAUAAUCAUUGUAGACUUGAUGUAAAUCAAUGGUUGGACUAACUUUUCUACUGCUAAUUCCAACUUGAAUCAAGUGCUGUGCUGGAUACCACUUGUUACCAUAGUAUUCAGGGCAAGCAGUGAGGAUCUUGACAAAAAUCACUUCUUUUGUUUUAGACAUGAUUUUGAGAUCAUUAAUAGCCUCUGCAACUUUUGUGGGAAGCUCUUUUAUUUCUCUGCAAUCAUCACUUACAUAAACAAGGUUAAGAAAACCAUAUUCAAACAUGUCUUUUAUUAGUUUUAGAUUAGCUCCUGGCACAACGUUUAUCAUUGGAUAUAACCCUAAAUGAUCUAGUAUAAUAGUCUGGCUAGGACGAAUCCCAUAGGCUAUUUUACCAAUUCUUUUAUAAUCAUAAGCGUAGUCGCUUCCUAUUGGUAUUUUAACCAUAGGGACAGAUUGUCUGCUUUUAUCAUAUUGGGGUCUUAGGCUUACUGAAGAUCCCUGAGAUUCUUUUUUCUUUGUACAUUGAUCUUUAAGAUCAUUGAUUGUGAGAUAUCUCUCUGAAUGUGUGACCAUUGAUCUUUAAAAUACCAAUAGGAAGAGUAGUCGCUUCCUAUUGGUAUUUUAACCAUAGGGACAGACUGUCCGCUUUUAUCAUAUUGGGGUCUUAGGCUUACUGAAGAUCCCUGAGAUUCGUCUUUCUUUGUACAUUGAUCUUUAAGAUCAUUGAUUGUGAGAUAUCUCUCUGGAUGUGUGACCUUUAAGCUCUGCGAAGAACUCGAGGCAUUUUGACCCUCAAUUUGAUCUUUAAAAUGGACAUUUUUUUAGCAUAUUGCUAAUAUAUUGUUAUGAAGUUUGGAGUUCUGGAUGAUCUUGCAAACUUUUGUUUGGGCAAAGUUUGCUCAAUUCUUCAUGGGCAUCAUCUAUCAUGGCAAGCCCAUCAUAAAUCAUACUAUUGCCUUUGAGAAGUUAUUCUUGACCUUCAGAGCACAUUAUUAUGCCCUUAAUUAUUUUGGAAAUGCUCUGCUCCAUUGUAUUCUUGGCAAAGAUUAGAUCCUUUAAUAUAUUCAAUUUCAAAAUCAUAUUCAGCAAAAAACUGCUGCCAUCUAAUUAAUGUUUUCUAUUGAGGAAGAUUAGGCAAUUUAUUGAAUAUAAAUCCUUUGACUUGAGUGUUAUCGGAUCUUACCUUAAAUUUCUUUGGUAACAAAAAGAAAGUAAAUUUAGCUAUUCCUUUUUUAAUAGCUAAUAAUUCAUUUUCAUUACUAUGAUAAUUCUUUUCUAUGGGUUUGAAGGUCCCGCUAGAAUAUCUACAAAUUUUUUCUUGAUAUGUUUUUAAGACUGCUCGCCAGUGAUUAUCUGAAGCAGUAGUUUCAAGAAUUAAAUUAUCACUAGAGGUAGGGAAUCCUAACCUUAAGUAAAAAGCCAAAAAAAUUGACUUAUUUUAUUAAGUCAAUUUUUGAAAAUAUAAAUAAUGCAAAAUAUAAGAAUAUCAUCUACAUGAUCUAUCUUAUUAUUUGAAAAUAUAAGAAUAUCAUCUACAUAAAUAAUGCAAAAUUCAUGAAAUUUUUUUAAGAUGCUAAAUAUCUUUUUAUUUAUUAUAGAAGUAAUUAAUGUAUCUUUAUGAGGUAAAAAGUAUCCAUCGAAUUUGGUAUAUUUAUUUAAUUCUUUGUAGUUAAUGACCAUAUGAGCUUUUCCUCGUUUAAUUUCAGCAUGAUUUCUAACUGAUUAGUAUUAAAAAUUGUUUAAUUAUCAAGCGAUAAUAUGUUAUUUUAUGCUUAUGUUAUAAUUUAUAUUUGUGUUUAUGUAAUAUAUUAUGAAUUAUGAAUUAUGUUUUAAAUAUAUUUAAUUUUGUGUAUUUUUAUGUGUUUAUUAGGAAAAUUAUUAAUUUCACGUACUUUGAGGCUCCAAACAGAUAAACGGAGGUCAAAUUUGGAUUCCGGAGGUCCGAAAACCUUAAGAUCAGUCAAGAUCGGCUUAAAAUUGGGCUUGUGUAAAAAAAGUUGACUUUUCCUGUUGACCGAGCACUGAUUGGAUGAUGAAAUGAGCUUACAAUAGAUAUGAGUGCAUGGGAUAACUGGCAAUCUUGACUAAAUCUCAACCGUUCAUGAUUCAAUGGCCAUGAUUGUGCCACGUGGCAAUGGUUGGUGAAGCAAGUUGGAGGAUCCGAAUCUUUGUAUUCGGGUCGACCCGAUCCACCCAUUAACCCGCCAAAUCUCAACCGUUCUUUGGGCAAAUCGGACGAGUCAAAUGAUGCCAUGUGUGAUGUUGACUUUUGAAGUUUGACCAGCCAUUGGAUCUUGAUCUAAGGGUUGUGAGGAGCACAUGCAUGAAGCCUAUGAUGGACCGCAAAGCACUGGAUUAUGAAUUUAUUUUUCUAUAAAUAGGGCCUCAUUUUUAUGUUUUAAUCAUCUCUCUACAACUCUCUUCUUCUCAAAUUCUCUCCAUCUCCUUGUAAUCUUGAUUUCCAUAUGUGUUUUUAAUAUUUUGUAUAAUUAUUUUCAUUAAUAAAAUUAGUUUUAUUUCCAAUUUUAGUUGUUUUUAUUUCUUUUAAUUAUAAGUAAUUCAAUUUUACUACUUCUUUUUAUUUUAAUUAUGCUUAACUAAAUAAUAUUAGUUAGGGGAAGGUGAAACUCUUAAGAAAUAAAUAUGAUUUAAUCAAAUUCUAUGUUUAAUUUUAUAAAUUAAAUUAUUUUCUAUUUAAUUUUAUACAUGUUUUAUAUUUUGAAAAUUUAAUUUAUUGUAGACAAACAAAUGAAUUUGGCACAAUAAAUUCUUAAGAUCUUAAUAUAAGGCAUGGUGAAAUGGUAUUUUGACUUAUUGUAGACAAAUUAAAUUUUGGCACAAUAAAUACUUAAUCCAUCAUAAAAUUAAAGGGAAAAUAAUAAUAAUUUGUAUAAUUAAUCUUUUGAGUAAUAAAUCUAAAACAAAUUGGCAAAAAGAAUUUAUUAAGUUUUAUUUAUUUCUAAGAGUGGAUCCAUAACCCUAACUAGUUCAAUUCCAUAGUUUCAUUUAAAUUAAGUUGUUUAUAUUCAAGUUUUAAUUUCAAUUUUUAGAUAAAAUAAAAUAAACUAAUUAAAUCUUUUCUCUGUGGAUCGACCUCGGACUCACCGAGUUAUAAUACAACAAGACACUCUUAUACUUGGGAGUUAAAAUUUACUUUUAAGUUGUGUCAAGUUUUUGGCGCCGUUGCCGGGGAAAAGUUUUUUAUUUGGUUUGUUUUUCCGUUUUUUAUUUUUCUCUUAUAUGUAAAACUUCGUUUGCCCCCUUUUCCUUUUCUUAAAUUCUCCUUAGUCCCCAUGUCUUUCAUAUUUCUCGUUUCACCCCAACAAUUUCCUUUUCUAGCCCAAUCUUCUGGUAAUUACGUUCGGACCCCAACAUCUUUCAACUGUUUCACUUUCAUCCCAAAUUACUAAUUCUAAACUUCUAAAAAUUACAUUUUGACCAUAAAAUUAAAAAUAAUUUGCAAUAGAAUCCCUAGACGAAAUUCCUCAACAUAAUCAAGACUUGGACAUAUUUGGACAUACUUUGGACAUAUUUGGACAUAUUUGGACUUAUUUUGGACCAAACUAACUUUAACUACUAACUCUAAUUACUAACUCUUAACUUACUAACUGCUAACUGCUAACUGCUAACUUUUAUUUAAUUUCAGUUAUUUAAUUUUCUGCAUUUAUUUUAUUUCGUAUUUAUUUAUUUGUUUUUGCUUUAUUGGUGGGUUUAACCACCAAACUAACUACUAACUCUUAACUUUUAUUUUCAGUUAUUUAAUUUUCAGUAUUUAUUUAAUUUUGUAUUUUUUAUUUUUUUUAAUUGGUGGGUUCAACCACCAUUUUUUUUUAUUUUGCAUUUAUUUAUUUAUUUAUUUUUUACUUUGUUGGUGGGUUCAACCAUCAAAAUUGUUAUUUAAUUUUCUUUUGUAUACUUAUAUUAUUUAUUUAUUUAUUUUUUUAUUUUAUUUUGUUAUCAAUUUGUGUAAAUAUUAUCUUUAUAACAUAACCAUUGCAUGAGACGUUGGUCUCGAUCUUCAAGUGGCAGGUUAAUUCGUAGAUCUCAAUCUCCACCACCAAUCAUGGAUGAGAAUGAAGGCGAAAACGUUUUGGGCGAACUUAAUCCUCAAAUUGAUCAGGGAGACAACCAAUCUCAACAUGGGCAUGAUCAGAAUCAACCAAGGACUCUGAGAGACUACAUGAAUCCAACCAGAACCGGAGCACCGUCGUGUAUAGUAUUUCCUCCAGAAGCAUCUCGAUUCAACUUUAAACCAGGUAUUAUCCAACUUUUACCAACAUUUCAUGGUUUAGAAUCUGAGAAUCCGUACUUGCAUCUAAGAGAUUUUGAGGAAGUUUGUAAUACAUACACGGACCAAAAUUGUAGCAUGAACAUAAUUAGAUUAAAGCUUUUUCCUUUUUCAUUAAAAGAUAAAGCUAAAACUUGGCUACAAAACCUUAGAUCUGGAUCAGUAAGAACUUGGAAUAACAUGCAAGAACAGUUUUUUGAAAAAAUUCUUUCCACCUCAUAGAACAAAUUCUUUUAAAAGGCAAAUCACUUCUUUCACUCAAAAAAAUGGAGAAACAUUAUACCAAUGUUGGGAUAGGUUUACAGAGUUGCUUAACAUAUGCCCACAUCAUGGUUUUGAAACUUGGCGAUUGGUCACUUAUUUCUACGAGGGCUUAAUACCCCAAAGUAGACAGGUUGUUGAAAUGAUGUGUAAUGGUGAAUUUAGGGAUAAAAAUCCUGAAGAUGCACUAGAUUACCUUGACCAAUUAGCUGAAAAUGCACAACAUUGGGAUACUGUUGGAACUUUUGAAUUGACAAAUAAGCAACAAUCAUCUCCAUCUAGUGGAGGAAUCCAUAACCUUAGGGAAGAUCAUGAUUUACAAGCAAAAUUUGCAUCCCUAGUUAGGAAAGUUGAAGCUUUGGAGCAUAAAAAGAGUGAUCAAGUAAAAUCUGUUCAAGAAAUUGCAUGUAACAUAUGUAAUUCGAAUGAUCAUUUCACUCAAGAGUGUCCCACUUUGCCUGCACUUAAAGAAUGUCUAAAUGAUCAAGCUAAUGUCAUUAACACUUUCAAUAAACCAAACCCAUAUUCACAGACUUAUAAUCCUGGUUGGAGAAAUCAUCCGAAUUUCAGUUGGAGGAAUAAUAAUAAUGCACAAUCUUCACAAGCACCACCUCCACAAAAUUUUCAAAAUCCUCAGCCUUAUGCACCAUAUGUUCCACCACCCUGGAAAAAUCUGGAAGACACAAUGCAUUCAUUCAUCAGAAAGCAAGAUGUUAUUAACAAUCAAAAUGCACAAAAUUUUUCUGAUUUGAAAGAUACUCUUGCUAAAAUUGCUUCUGCACUCACCAUUCAAGAAAAAGGAAAAUUUCCAGCCCAACCACAACCAAAUCCUAAAAUUCAACAAAAUCCACCCACAGACCAAGUCAAGUCAGUUAUAACUCUUCGUAGUGGUAAGGUUGUUGAUAGACCUAUGCCUGAACCUUAUGAAAAUGAUGAAAAUUCAAAGGGUAAGGAAGGACUAAAUGAACUUACACCUAGUGAAGAAAUAACUAGUGUUCCACCUGAACCACCAUUUCCGCAUGCAUUGAAUAAACCAAAGAAAUCAAACCACUCUUCUGAAAUUUAUGAAAUCUUUAAGCAAGUGAAAGUUAACAUUCCUCUAUUAGAUGCAAUCAAGCAGGUUCCUUUAUAUGCCAAAUUUUUAAAGGACUUGUGCACUGUUAAGAGGAAAUUGAAGGUAAGAAAGAGUGCUUUCAUGGCCGAACAGGUAAGUACAAUUCUGUCUACUAAUAAUAAGUUGAAAUAUAAAGAUCCUGGUUGUCCUACCAUUUCUUGUAUUAUUGGUAACCACAGAAUUGAGCAUGCUUUACUAGAUCUUGGUGCUAGUGUUAAUUUGCUUCCAUAUUCAGUUUAUCUUCAACUUAAUCUUGGUGAGUUAAAAUCAACUUCAACUACACUUUUGCUUGUCGAUAGAUCAGUUAAAGUACCAAAAGGAAUAGUGGAAGAUGUUUUAGUACAAGUUGAUAAAUUUAUUUAUCCUGUGGAUUUUAUUGUCUUGGAAACUGAACCUGUUGUGAAUAAUUACAAACCAAUUCCUGUAAUUUUAGGUCGACCAUUUUUAGCAACUGCUAAUGCUUUGAUUAAUUGUAGGAAUGGUUUAAUGAAUUUAUCCUUUGGGAAUAUGACUUUGGAAUUGAAUGUUUUCAACAUGUGCAGGCAACCUAAUGAAGAAAAUGAGAAUGAAGAUGAUACUGAUGAACAAAAGGAAUUGUUUGAAUCUUGUAUCGAGGAAAAUAUUCAAAAAGGGGAUUUUUCUGAACUUUCAAAUGUUUGUUUAGUUAAUUCAAUUGAGUCAAAUAAGCAACUUGAACUUGAUAUUUCUAAUAUAAAUUCGUUGCUUGAUUCUGUGCAGACUUCACAAAAUUAUGAUGACGAGCCAAAAUUUGAGGAGCUUGGAAGUAUUGAAAAGACAGAACAACAAGAAGCACCUAAAAUGGAAUUGAAACCUUUGCCUGAAGGAUUGAAAUAUGCUUUUCUUGGAGAAGAACAAACUUAUCCUGUUGUGAUUUCUUCUACUUUAACAAGCGACCAAGAAGGUAAGUUACUUACUGUUCUUAAAAAGCAUAAAAAUGCAAUAGGAUGGACUUUAAAUGACAUUAAAGGCAUUAAUCCCUUAAUCUGCACACAUAGAAUUAAUUUGGAAGAAAAUGCUAAAAUAUGUCAACAACCUCAAAGAAGAUUAAACCCACACAUGAAAGAGGUAGUCAAAACAGAAGUCCUUAAAUUACUUGAUGUGGGAAUUAUCUACCCUGUUUCUGAUAGUAAGUGGGUAAGUCCUACACAAGUAGUGCCUAAAAAAUCUGAAAUCACUGUUGUUAAAAAUGAAAAAGGUGAAUUAAUUCCAACACGAAUUACAUCUAGUUGACGCAUGUGCAUUGAUUAUAGAAAAUUAAAUGAAGCCACUAGAAAAGAUCAUUUUCCAUUACCAUUCCUUGACCAAAUCUUAGAAAGAGUAGCAGGACAUCCCUACUACUGUUUUUUAGAUGGAUAUUCAGGUUAUUAUCAAAUUCCUAUAGCACUUGAGGACCAAGAAAAGACCACAUUCACAUGUCCUUUUGGAACAUUUGCAUUUAAAAGAAUGCCAUUCGGGCUUUGUAAUGCUCCUGCAACAUUUCAAAGAUGUAUGUUAAGCAUUUUUUGUGAUAUGGUUGAACAUUGUUUAGAGGUCUUUAUGGAUGAUUUGACUGUGUUUGGGAAUUCUUUUGAUGAUUGCCUUGAUAAUUUGGAGAAAGUUUUAAAAAGAUGUGUUGAAAAAGAACUCGUGUUGAAUUGGGAAAAAUGUCACUACAUGGUUACUUCUGGAAUUGUUUUGGGUCAUGUUGUUUCUAUUAAAGGAAUUGAAGUUGACAAAGCAAAAAUCGAAGUCAUAUCUAAAUUGCCACAACCAAAAACAGUUAGAGAUGUGCGAUCCUUUUUAGGACAUGCAGGAUUUUAUAGGAGGUUUAUAAAAAACUUUAGUGCCAUAUCUAAACCACUUUGUAACCUCUUAUUAAAAGAUGCACCGUUUGAAUGGAAUGAUGAUUGCCAAAAAUCUUUUGAAAAAAUAAUUUGUCUUUUAACAUCUGCACCUAUUAUGCAAUCUCCUGAUUGGUCUUUGCCAUUUGAAUUAAUGUGUGAUGCAAGUGAUUUUGCUGUUGGUGCUGUUUUAGGACAAAGAAGGGAUGGUAAGCCUUUUGUGAUUUAUUAUGCGAGUAAGACUUUAGAUAGUGCUCAAAUGAAUUAUUCUACAACUGAAAAAGAAUUACUUGCUGUGGUAUUUGCAUUAAACAAAUUCCGUUCAUAUUUGCUUGGCUCCAAAUCUGUUGUGUUUACUGACCACGCUGCUGUGAGAUAUUUGAUGAGUAAACAGGAUGCCAAACCGAGGAUAAUUCGUUGGAUUUUGUUACUACAAGAAUUUGACCUUACCAUCAAAGAUAAAAAGGGUGCUGAAAAUGUUGUUGCGGAUCAUCUAUCAAGACUCACAUCCGAAUUCUGCAAUGAUAUAACACCCAUAAAUGAUUCUUUCCCUGAUGAAUUUUUAUUUUCUGUUACUUCAAUGCCAUGGUAUGCUAACAUUGUUAAUUUCCUUGUUACAGGUAAAAUGCCUUUGCAAUGGAAUGCUCAAGAGAAGAAGAAAUUUUUUGUUGAAGUAAAGAAAUUUUAUUGGGAUGACCCUUAUUUGUUCAAAUAUUGCCCAGAUCAAAUUUUUCGGCGAUGUAUUCCUCAUAAUGAGGUAAGUAGUGUCAUUAAUUUUUGUCAUUCUGAAGCAUGUGGUGGUCAUUUUUCUUCAAGAAAAACUAUUGCUAAAAUUUUACAGUGUGGAUUUUAUUGGCCUACCAUGUUUAAAGACACAUAUGAAUUCUGCAAAAGUUGUGAAAAAUGUCAAAAAUUGGGAUCAAUUACAAAAAGAAACAUGAUGCCCUUAAAUCCCAUACUUGAAAUUGAAAUAUUUGACUGUUGGGGAAUUGAUUUCAUGGGUCCAUUUCCAUCAUCUUUUGGAUUUGUGUAUAUAUUAGUUGCAGUUGAUUAUGUCUCAAAAUGGAUUGAAGCAAUUUCUUGUCGAAAUAAUGACAGUAAAACUGUGAUUAAAUUUUUAAGAGAAAACAUUUUAAGUCGAUUUGGAAUCCCUCGAGCCAUUAUCAGUGAUGGAGGUAAGCAUUUUUGUAAUAAGUCAUUUGAGUCUUUAAUGAAGAAAUAUGGAAUUACACAUAAAAUUGCUACCCCUUAUCAUCCUCAAACAAAUGGUCAAGUUGAAUUAGCAAAUAGGGAGAUAAAACAAAUUUUGGAAAAAACGGUUAACCCAAACCGAAAAGAUUGGUCUCUUAGACUUAAUGAUGCACUUUGGGCUUACCGCACUGCAUUUAAAACAUCAUUAGGAAUGUCACCCUAUCGGUUAAUUUAUGGUAAACCUUGUCAUUUACCUGUUGAACUUGAACAUAAAUCACUUUGGGCUAUUAAAGCUUUUAAUUCAAAUUUGGAUGAUGCUGGUAAUGUGCGAAAAUUGCAAUUGAAUGAACUUGAGGAAUUAAGGAAUGAUGCAUAUGAAAAUUCAAGAAUUAUUAAGGCAAGAACAAAAGAAGAUUAAACCCACACAUGAAAGAGGUAGUCAAAACAGAAGUCCUUAAAUUACUUGAUGUGGGAAUUAUCUACCCUAUUUCUGAUAGUAAGUGGGUAAGUCCUACACAAGUAGUGCCUAAAAAAUCUGAAAUCACUGUUGUUAAAAAUGAAAAAGGUGAAUUAAUUCCAACACGAAUUACAUCUAGUUGACGCAUGUGCAUUGAUUAUAGAAAAUUAAAUGAAGCCACUAGAAAAGAUCAUUUUCCAUUACCAUUCCUUGACCAAAUCUUAGAAAGAGUAGCAGGACAUCCCUACUACUGUUUUUUAGAUGGAUAUUCAGGUUAUUAUCAAAUUCCUAUAGCACUUGAGGACCAAGAAAAGACCACAUUCACAUGUCCUUUUGGAACAUUUGCAUUUAAAAGAAUGCCAUUCGGGCUUUGUAAUGCUCCUGCAACAUUUCAAAGAUGUAUGUUAAGCAUUUUUUGUGAUAUGGUUGAACAUUGUUUAGAGGUCUUUAUGGAUGAUUUGACUGUGUUUGGGAAUUCUUUUGAUGAUUGCCUUGAUAAUUUGGAGAAAGUUUUAAAAAGAUGUGUUGAAAAAGAACUCGUGUUGAAUUGGGAAAAAUGUCACUACAUGGUUACUUCUGGAAUUGUUUUGGGUCAUGUUGUUUCUAUUAAAGGAAUUGAAGUUGACAAAGCAAAAAUCGAAGUCAUAUCUAAAUUGCCACAACCAAAAACGGUUAGAGAUGUGCGAUCCUUUUUAGGACAUGCAGGAUUUUAUAGGAGGUUUAUAAAAAACUUUAGUGCCAUAUCUAAACCACUUUGUAACCUCUUAUUAAAAGAUGCACCGUUUGAAUGGAAUGAUGAUUGCCAAAAAUCUUUUGAAAAAAUAAUUUGUCUUUUAACAUCUGCACCUAUUAUGCAAUCUCCUGAUUGGUCUUUGCCAUUUGAAUUAAUGUGUGAUGCAAGUGAUUUUGCUGUUGGUGCUGUUUUAGGACAAAGAAGGGAUGGUAAGCCUUUUGUGAUUUAUUAUGCGAGUAAGACUUUAGAUAGUGCUCAAAUGAAUUAUUCUACAACUGAAAAAGAAUUACUUGCUGUGGUAUUUGCAUUAAACAAAUUCCGUUCAUAUUUGCUUGGCUCCAAAUCUGUUGUGUUUACUGACCACGCUGCUGUGAGAUAUUUGAUGAGUAAACAGGAUGCCAAACCGAGGAUAAUUCGUUGGAUUUUGUUACUACAAGAAUUUGACCUUACCAUCAAAGAUAAAAAGGGUGCUGAAAAUGUUGUUGCGGAUCAUCUAUCAAGACUCACAUCCGAAUUCUGCAAUGAUAUAACACCCAUAAAUGAUUCUUUCCCUGAUGAAUUUUUAUUUUCUGUUACUUCAAUGCCAUGGUAUGCUAACAUUGUUAAUUUCCUUGUUACAGGUAAAAUGCCUUUGCAAUGGAAUGCUCAAGAGAAGAAGAAAUUUUUUGUUGAAGUAAAGAAAUUUUAUUGGGAUGACCCUUAUUUGUUCAAAUAUUGCCCAGAUCAAAUUUUUCGGCGAUGUAUUCCUCAUAAUGAGGUAAGUAGUGUCAUUAAUUUUUGUCAUUCUGAAGCAUGUGGUGGUCAUUUUUCUUCAAGAAAAACUAUUGCUAAAAUUUUACAGUGUGGAUUUUAUUGGCCUACCAUGUUUAAAGACACAUAUGAAUUCUGCAAAAGUUGUGAAAAAUGUCAAAAAUUGGGAUCAAUUACAAAAAGAAACAUGAUGCCCUUAAAUCCCAUACUUGAAAUUGAAAUAUUUGACUGUUGGGGAAUUGAUUUCAUGGGUCCAUUUCCAUCAUCUUUUGGAUUUGUGUAUAUAUUAGUUGCAGUUGAUUAUGUCUCAAAAUGGAUUGAAGCAAUUUCUUGUCGAAAUAAUGACAGUAAAACUGUGAUUAAAUUUUUAAGAGAAAACAUUUUAAGUCGAUUUGGAAUCCCUCGAGCCAUUAUCAGUGAUGGAGGUAAGCAUUUUUGUAAUAAGUCAUUUGAGUCUUUAAUGAAGAAAUAUGGAAUUACACAUAAAAUUGCUACCCCUUAUCAUCCUCAAACAAAUGGUCAAGUUGAAUUAGCAAAUAGGGAGAUAAAACAAAUUUUGGAAAAAACGGUUAACCCAAACCGAAAAGAUUGGUCUCUUAGACUUAAUGAUGCACUUUGGGCUUACCGCACUGCAUUUAAAACAUCAUUAGGAAUGUCACCCUAUCGGUUAAUUUAUGGUAAACCUUGUCAUUUACCUGUUGAACUUGAACAUAAAUCACUUUGGGCUAUUAAAGCUUUUAAUUCAAAUUUGGAUGAUGCUGGUAAUGUGCGAAAAUUGCAAUUGAAUGAACUUGAGGAAUUAAGGAAUGAUGCAUAUGAAAAUUCAAGAAUUAUUAAGGCAAGAACAAAAGCAUUUCAUGAUAAAAGAAUUUUUCGAAAAACAUUUGAGAUUGGUCAAAAAGUGUUGCUUUAUAAUUCUCGUCUUCAUUUAUUUCCAGGAAAGUUAAAGUCAAAAUAGAGUGGCCCAUUUGUUGUAAAAAAUGUAUAUUCAUAUGGGGCCAUAGAAAUUGAGAAUCCAAAUAACGGUGUCACAUUUAAAGUUAAUGGUCAAAGAUUAAAACCAUAUCUGGAACAUCACCCACGUGACGAGGACACCGAAAUUAAUUUGGAUGACCCACCAGUUCUUGAUUAAGUCUUUAAUGAUUUUUUUUUUUUUUACUAUUAUUUUACCGUUUCAUUGUUUGAUUUUUUUUCUUUAGAUUGAUGCACUGUACAUAGUUUUUUUUUAACAUUGUUUUUCUUGUGUAAGCGUGUUUGUUUGACAGUUGUACAUUCUCUCAUCAAUUUUCAUUUUACAUCAUGAGCACCUCAAUGAGAAAAUACCUAUUCGCACAUCUUAAAAGAUUUCGGCGUAUAAAAUUUCACUUAAGAGGCCUAAUACAAAGCUGUAAAUCACAUCCACUUUGGGAUCUGCAACCACCAGAAUUCGUGUCCUAUGUUGAGGAUCUAGAAGGACAACUCAGAACAGUAGAGAGUGGCAUAUAUGAAUUUCAAAUAGAGCUUGAGGUUAACUCAAUGAGAGGACGAAUGUAAGUUCAUUUUCCUUUUAUAUUGUGUGCUUUUUUUUUGCUCGCUUUCACGCUUGAUUUGAUUUUGCAGAUUUGAUUUUGGUGUGUUUUGAUUUAUUUUCCCGUAUAAAUGGCGGAUAACGGUACUCCGUGACUUCUUAAGUCGGUAUCUUCAGUUUCCCACAAUAACUGAAACCCCAAAAUCAAACAUGGAAGAAAUACAACAUAAACUCCAUAAGCAUUUUCCCUCUCUCCCUCAGAAUGCCCUCAGGAAAAUUUACAAAGCUCGUUGUGAACGACUGCGUUUGUUAAUGAUCAAUGGCAUUCUUUCUGACAUUCGUUGGUUAAUUGAAGCAAAGGUCUGAUUAGCAGGUGAGUUUUCUAGUCAAUUUGUUUCUUACAUGCCUGGUUUUGGUAAAAGUACGUUUGCUAAGAAAAGGAGAGCUAAACGACUUGGCUCAAAAUGUCAUAACUGUGUAAGACUUGGUUGCAAACGACCGGAUUGUAAAUCUUUAGGAAUGGUUUCUGAUACUCGUGAAGAUAAAAUUAAAUUCGUUAAAGAUGGCAUGAGUAAAGAAUCGUUGGAUGAUAUCUUACGAUCUCUUGAGACGCAUCGAAGCGGAAUUGUGCAAUGUGAGAUUUACAAUUUGUGGAUACUAUUCCAAAAACAAAGUGCACAGUUAAGUCUUGGGAAUCUGACUCAAAAAGACCCUGUUUGCCAGUUUAUAAGAAAACUGGAUGGGAAGCCGAUCCUCGACCCAUAGAGGGCGUUCAAGCCGUUACUGGACGUAAAACCAGAGGAAGAUGUGAGCCACAAUCACAACUACUAGUAAAUAUCCUUUCACUUCACUGUUAUUUUACUUUACUGUUAUUUUAUCAUUUGAAUUAUUGCAUUUAGCGAUGUGAUUUUGUAUUUAUUUGGUUUCUUUUACUGUUUGCUUUUUCUAAUCAUUACUUUUUUUUUUACUAUUUGUUUUUGAAUUAUUGAGCCACGAGCUUUCCUCGUCAUUUGACAAAUAUGCCAACCCAUUUACAGCUGUUUCUCUUUAUUUAUGUCACCAAGAUCUUUAAAUAUGAGCUCGUUUUUCAAACACUCACAACUUGUUUUUGAAAAAUUAGUCCAAUGGCAGCAUCUUCAAGUAAACAAUUCAAAAAUAUUUGUGUGCUUUCUGGGUUUCACUAUGGAAAGUACAAAGAGUUCGUUCAGGUAGCUGUAGAUCUUGGUCGUGUCAUAGCAGAGAGGAAACUGCAUCUUGUAUAUGGAGGAGGUGAACGAGGGUUAUCAAGACUUGUCUCAGAAGCUGUUUUUACCAGAGGAAGCCAAGUACUCGGCAUUAUCCCAAAACCCAUGAAACCGCUAGUGUGCAUGUCUGGCCCACCAAUUGGAGAAGAAUUAGUGGUAUCAAGUAUGCAAGAGAGAAUAUCUGAAAUGAUGAAUCAUGCUGAUGCUUUUAUUUUCUUGCCAGGAGAUCUUGCAACUUUUGAGGCACUAAUUACAUUUGCAUCUUGGGCCCACUUGAACAUUCAUCAAAAGCCCAUCGGUUUGUUAAAUGUUAAUAAUUUUUAUGACGGCUUGCUAACUUUUAUUAAUCAUGCAAUAAAGAAUCAUUUUGUUCCACAUUCUGUAAAAAAACUCUUUAUCUCUGCUUCUACUGCUAAUGAGUUACUUGAUCUUUUACAAGCUUAUACACCAGAGCCAGAUCCACAGACUGUUGCACUGAAUUGGUCGACUAAUGAUGGUAACGGUAACAGUAGCAGUAAUAAGAAGUGCGAUUUAGAUUUAACUCUCCGUUUGUAAAUAUUUGCUGUUGUAGUGUUCAUGUGAUGUCUUCUACACUCUUUCUAUUUCCUUUUAAAACAUUGAGGACAAUGUCUUUUUCAGGUUGGGGGGAGGGAAUAGUUGAUAAUUGUGGAAUGUCUUAGUCCUGGUUAUGUGUUUACAAAAAAAAAAAAAAAAAAAACAAUAACAAAAUUUUUUUUUUCUGUAAAGACUAACUUAGGACAAAUUUGAGUCGAAGAUGGCAGGAUAUAGAGAAUGUAGUCUCUCUAGAAACGCAUCUUCUUAAUCUUAAGGGUGUUGUUAAAAAAAAAAAAAAAUUGACUUUUUCUUCAUCUUUGUUAUCUACUUUUAAGCUUCUGCAUCAAGUUAAGGUGAGAUCUCCUAUUCUUCUUCUUUUAUUAUUCUCUUUUAUUUUUAUUUAUUAUUAUUAUUAUUUUUUUGCAUAUCUGUAAAAUUAUAAAAUGUUAGGAUAAUGUUUAGAUUAGGUUGUGGGGUGGGGAUAAUUGACGUAUGUUUUAAAUAUGUAUGUUGUUUUUUUCUCUUUUCUCUUUUCUUUUCUUUUCUUUGCCAAAAAAAAAAAAAAAUUGUUUUUUGUCUAGGAUGGCCGUGUAAAGAGUCACGACUUUUGAGACGCAUCCUAAUAGUCUUGUUGUAUUAUAUUUUGAUUUUGAGAUUCAUGGUAAGUUGUUUUUGUUCCCUUUUCUUUGAAUUACUCAAAUUUGUGAACUCUCCACUUGGUUAUUAAGUUAUUUAAUUGUUUACUCAUUUAACAGGUAUUAUUGAAUCAUUCUUCACACACACAUUAUGACACAUACUAGUGGGUUGUAAGUUAAAAUUUUACAGCAUUUAGUUCUUUUGAUUUAUUAGGAAAAGUAUCUAAGGUAGUAGAAAGUGUAUAGUUCCAAAAAAAAAAAAAAAAGUAGAAAAAAAAUUGUUUUUAAUUUUUCUAUAUCUAGAACCCGAGUAAUUAAGUCCGUAGGGGUGUUUCAACACCUAGUGCCCUAAGGUCAACUGGUCUGGGAGUCACUGGCCUAAAGCUCACUACAUGGGUAAUAGAUAUAUUGUUUGUUUAUUAGAAACCCGAGUAAUUAAGUCCGUAGGGGUGCUUUAACACCUAGUGCCCUAAGGGCAACUGGUCUGGGAGUCACUGACCCAAAGCUCGCUACACGGGUUAGAAAUGUAAUAUAUAAAAAAAAAAUGUGUGAAUAAUCUAUUGCCUAAAGAUAUAAUUUCUAAUGAAUUUUAGAACGAAAAUGUUGUUUUUCUUUUAAUGAAGCCCCAUAAGUAUUGUGUUAAUUACUUGAGCACAAAAGAAGGUUUGAUGAUAUUCUGGAUAAUGAGUGAACAUCAAUGUGGUAAAGGAAUUUGGGAGAGUUCAUUUAUUUGGUAAUUUAGAGGAUAGAUGAACAACUAUUAACUUGCAUGUGAAUUUUAUAAAUCUUAAUAUAACGCUUUAAUUGCUAGAGGGCUAGCAAUAAGCUGGUUGGGGGGUGUGAUUAGUAUUAAAAAUUGUUUAAUUAUCAAGCGAUAAUAUGUUAUUUUAUGCUUAUGUUAUAAUUUAUAUUUGUGUUUAUGUAAUAUAUUAUGAAUUAUUAAUUAUGUUUUAAAUAUAUUUAAUUUUGUGUAUUUUUAUGUGUUUAUUAGGAAAAUUAUUAAUUUCACGUACUUCGAGGCUCCAAACAGAUAAACGGAGGUCAAAUUUGGAUUCCGGAGGUCCGAAAACCUUAAGAUCAGUCAAGAUCGGCUUAAAAUUGGGCUUGUGUAAAAAAAGUUGACUUUUCCUGUUGACCGAGCACUGAUUGGAUGAUGAAAUGAGCUUACAAUAGAUAUGAGUGCAUGGGAUAACUGGCAAUCUUGACUAAAUCUCAACCGUUCAUGAUUCAAUGGCCAUGAUUGUGCCACGUGGCAAUGGUUGGUGAAGCAAGUUGGAGGAUCCGAAUCUUUGUAUUCGGGUCGACCCGAUCCACCCAUUAACCCGCCAAAUCUCAACCGUUCUUUGGGCAAAUCGGACGAGUCAAAUGAUGCCAUGUGUGAUGUUGACUUUUGAAGUUUGACCAGCCAUUGGAUCUUGAUCUAAGGGUUGUGAGGAGCACAUGCAUGAAGCCUAUGAUGGACCGCAAAGCACUGGAUUAUGAAUUUAUUUUUCUAUAAAUAGGGCCUCAUUUUUAUGUUUUAAUCAUCUCUCUACAACUCUCUUCUUCUCAAAUUCUCUCCAUCUCCUUGUAAUCUUGAUUUCCAGGUGUGUUUUUAAUAUUUUGUAUAAUUAUUUUCAUUAAUAAAAUUAGUUUUAUUUCCAAUUUUAGUUGUUUUUAUUUCUUUUAAUUAUAAGUAAUUCAAUUUUACUACUUCUUUUUAUUUUAAUUAUGCUUAACUAAAUAAUAUUAGUUAGGGGAAGGUGAAACUCUUAAGAAAUAAAUAUGAUUUAAUCAAAUUCUAUGUUUAAUUUUAUAAAUUAAUUUAUUUUCUAUUUAAUUUUAUACAUGUUUUAUAUUUUGAAAAUUUGAUUUAUUGUAGACAAACAAAUGAAUUUGGCACAAUAAAUUCUUAAGAUCUUAAUAUAAGGCAUGGUGAAAUGGUAUUUUGACUUAUUGUAGACAAAUUAAAUUUUGGCACAAUAAAUACUUAAUCCAUCAUAAAAUUAAAGGGAAAAUAAUAAUAAUUUGUAUAAUUAAUCUUUUGAGUAAUAAAUCUAAAACAAAUUGGCAAAAAGAAUUUAUUAAGUUUUAUUUAUUUCUAAGAGUGGAUCCAUAACCCUAACUAGUUCAAUUCCAUAGUUUCAUUUAAAUUAAGUUGUUUAUAUUCAAGUUUUAAUUUCAAUUUUUAGAUAAAAUAAAAUAAACUAAUUAAAUCUUUUCUCUGUGGAUCGACCUCGGACUCACCGAGUUAUAAUACAACAAGACACUCUUAUACUUGGGAGUUAAAAUUUACUUUUAAGUUGUGUCACUAACUAUAAAGGCUGGGUUACUUUGAGGACUUUUAGAUUCUCCAAAAUUUUUAUCAAGUUUUUCUAUUUUUUUUUUCAUAAUCUGAUAUAAUUUGAUUGAUUUUUAUAUUGUAUUCACCACGCUGGCUGCUUCGAAAAUGUAAUUUUCGAGUUGUUUACCUAAUAAGAUUAUAAAUUCUUGGUGUGGUGAUGGAAUGAUUACAUGGUGUUGUAAGAGUAAUUCUUUCGUUAGUCAUUAUAUAAAUGAACUGACAAAGGAAAUUGACUUCUAAAAGUAUAUAUGCUCCUAUAUGAUUAUAAGACCAUAAUAUAUGGAUACUUAAAAUGUAAUCUUCGAUUUGGAUUAAAGUUUUUAUCCUACAUGUUCCUAAAAUGAUUUGUUCACCAUUUAUUCCUUGUCCUGUUAAGGGUUUAUAAUCUUUCGAAUAUGAUUUUGGAUAAAUCCUUAAAUUAGGUAAGCUAACUCCUGAACCAGUGUCUAUUAAAGCAUGAAACCAUUCUGGCUUAUGCUUAUAAUAUGGUUUAAUCACUUUUAUAUAAACUAUAAAAAGAUUAGACAUAUCUUGAUAUGGUUUGCUUAAUUCCUUCAACUGUUAAGCUUAUUUUUCUAUCUCCUAUAGAAUAAGGAGUAAAAUUCUCAAGAAAGUUCAUCCCUAAUAAUAAAGGACUUAUUUAUGUUUCAUAAUCUGGUUCUAUGAAAAAAGAAAAGAUGAAUUCUAUCCCUUUUAUUCUUAAUAGUAUUUCACUAUAUUGACUUAAUGUCUUUCUUUCUCCAUUAAAUCCUACAUAAGUAUGAGGCUCAAUUAAAAUUUUUCUUUCUAAAUAUUUAAUAAUUUUAGAAUCUACAUAAGAUUUUGCAGCUCCUGUAUCAAGGAUAGCAAAAGUCUCGUGCCAUGAUUUUCCAUUAUUAUAUUCAAUCUUAAUUUUUAGAUUUUGAUUAUCCAGUAUUGCUAAAUUUACUGGACUAUUUGUCCUUUCUCGAAAAUGAGCUCUUAUCAUGACUUGAAUUCCUCCGAUAUGAACAUAUCCAAUUUUAAGUCUAUCACUAGAUUUUAUCUCAUUUAUCUUAUCUUUUAUAUCAGUUUUUAAUAAUAAUGGUAUAUUUGUAUUUCCUCUAGCAUACCUAAUUUCAAUAGGUUCUUCUCUUACAGUAGCACUAAGAUACAUUAUAUUUUUUCUUUUAAUCAUGUUAGCAAUGCCUUGUGCUAACUUAUUAACCGAAGUCAUAGAUGAUUCCAAUCCUUUUUUAUUAUUCUUGAGAUAUUGCUUUUUAUCAAAGAUUAAUUCUCUAUUAAAAGAACCUUGUUCUUCUAACUCUUCAUCUUGAUAUAAAUCUUUAUUUUCUAAUUCUUCUAUACUCAUUCUGAAUCAGAUUCUAAAUCAGAACUUCUCAAAGUUUCAUUAGAAAGAUAAUAUAUGCUAUCAUUUUCACUAAUAUCUUUGCUAUCGGUGAUUAAUUCUAAAUCAUUGAAAUCUUCAAAUAUUUUUAUAUUUGCUUUCUUCGUUUUAGGACAUUCAUUUGCAUAAUGUUCUUCUUCAUUACAUAACUAGCACUUGCAUUUUUUAGGUGCAUUGGUUUUGGAUCUUCUUUUAAAUUUAUUUUUCUUGUAGAAUUUCUUUUUAUAUUUAUUUUUCUUGUAAUAUUUCCUGUUGGCUUUAAAGAAUUUCUUCUUUUUGAAUUUUUUUUCUUGUGUUUAUAGAUUUUAUCUGAACAUCCAAAUCUUGGCGGAUCUUCUAAUUUAGAACAACAUAAUUCUCGAUUUUGCCUUUUCAUAAGUCUUCUAUCUCUUAUUUCAGAACACUAUUCAUUUAUUCUAUUUUGAGCAAAUCUAAUCCUAUUUCGUAAUGUAUAAGUUUCUGUAGUAUCUUUGUAUUCUUUGUUAUAUUCCAACAUAAUCCUUCUACCCCAUGGGUCUGGUAUCUUUACAAAAUAUAGAUCAUGGUAAUAGCAUAUGUUAUCCUCAUCUUUAUCAAAUUCACAUUUAUAAUAUAAUUCUUCGAAGCUACAUGUAUAUUCUUCUAAAUAACAUAUAUUACAUAUUUCAAGCCUUGUUAGCUUCAUUAAAUUUUCUAUCUGUUUUCUUUUUAUUUCUUGUUGAAAAUCAGUUUCCCAAUCUUCUCCCAAGAAUUUUUUUCUUAUUUCAUUUUCGAAUCUAUUUAAAACCUGAUCAACACUUUCGUUUCGAUUAUUAUUUUCUCCAUACAAUAUUCUAUUUUUAUGAUUAUCAUUUAAUCCCAUAAACCAAUGAGAAACAAUUCCUAUAAACGAAAUUUUAAGGAAUUCUAUACUAUUAUCCCUAUCAAUUUUGUGAAAUGCAAAAGCCAUUUUCAUAGAUUUAACCCAAGCGGUAAUCGUUUUAUCUCUAUCUUUGAUACAGUCUAAACCUAACCAUACACCAUCAUGGUUGAUUGGUCUUUCUCUAUAUUCUCCUGGAGUUUUAUGAUCUUUUUUAGGUUUGUUAAUCCUAAAAUAUUGACCUUGUGCUCUUUCCUGAGUUGGUAUUUCUUCCCUAACAUAGGAAGCUCUAUUACUAGUUUCUCCUUGUUAAAAACCGUUUAACUUUGGUUCAUUCAUUUUUAGAUGUUCUAUUCUAUUUUCAAUAUCCUGCAAAUUAAUGACUAUAUCAUCUUCUUCUUCGGAUUCAGAUUCUUUAUCAGAUAUCUCUUGAUUAGGUAAUUCUAUGUUUUCACUUAGCAUUCUUAGACUUAUUAAUUUUUUGUCUUUGUUUAUUUUGUUAAAUAUCGGUUUAGAUGUUGUUAUCAUUUCUUUAUCUUUAAGUUCAUUAUAGUAAAUUAUGGUAUCUUGUAAAAUUUUAUUUUGUUUAUUGAUCUUCUGUACUUCAAUCCUUUUGUAAUUUUCCAUUUAUGCUUAUAGCGAAUUUAUUACCAAUUUUUUCAUCGAUUUUUUCAAUUUUUUGUAGUUGAUUUCAAUCUUGUUGAAUUUAUUUUCAAUUGAACUUUUGUUCACAAUAUUAAAGAUUUCUUGUUUUAAUCUAUCUUGAUCUUCAAUAUUAAAGUCUUUUAUUAAUAGCUUAACAAAAUCAAAUUCUUCACUCAUUCGCUAUCCUAUCAUUUUGACUUGUCUUAUAUUUUCGGCAUCAAAGCUUUUAAUCUCAAGUAUCUUAUUUACACUUUCUAUAUCAUCUAUGGUUAAAUUAGGGUUUCCUAAUUUAUUUAAUAAAUAUAAUGAGAUCCAAUUUAAUUGAUUAUUUCCCCACAUAUCAGAAUCAUUUACUAAAUCAAAUGGUUGAAAUCUUCCAUAAGUAAAUCCUCUAUGCCUAUAGCUAGAAGGUGGUAAUAUGUUGGUUUCAAUAUUUCUAUAUACUUCUCUCCUGAUCCUAAAGAGAAGAAUAGGAUCAAUAUUUAAAUUUCUAAUUUUUAUUAUGAUGAGUUCUCCAAUUUUAAAUUCAUGAACUCUAACUAAAUAAAAUUGUAUUAAUUGUUUAUCAUCCAAUAUAUUAACUUCUGAAUAAUAAUAUUGUUUAUGUUUUGUUAUAUUAUCUUUAACUCCACACUUGUUUAAAAUUCAACACACAGAUGUGCCUCUUUCUUACUAUACUGGAAUCCUCGGUAAACUUUUUGUUUGCGCAAUUUAUGUGAGCAAAUUGUGUCUUCUUUUUCAUAUGUAAAUGUUUUUGAUAUCUUGAUGUGAAGGUAGAAAAUUGCAUGUUUUGAGUUUUUGCAUAUUUGAUGGAAACACAGAACUGUACCUGAAUCUUUCAGAACCCCCUUUUCUUUGAAGUUUGAACACUUUUCUUGAAUGUAUCAACUUUAUUUAUGGGAUAUGUUGCCAAAUUGGCAAAUCUAUUCGUUAUAAAACUUUCCUUUGACAGUUUAAUCUAAGCAGAUGUUAAUUAUGCAAAUAGAGUGUGCCUAAGAUUAGUUUCAUAGAUUUGUCUCCUUCUGUACAGUAAAAACUUUGAGCAUUUUCGCCAUAUUCUGAUCAAUACACUCCAACUAGUUAGUUCUUGAGGCGUUUUAUGGUUUCGUGGAGUGAGGCAAGAUGUAUACGUUUGCAAAUUGGCAAUGUCUUUUGCUUGAUGGGUUGAGAGUUGUGAGUGUCAACAGGAAACAAGACCUCUGUUUUAUGAACUCCAAAAAGUUAUUCUGUUAAAAAGAUCGAGACAGAGGCCAUACUAUAUUUAUUAUUGCUAUAAAAGUGUGAAAAAAUAUUCUUUGUUUAAUAUUCUAAACGAUUGAGCCAUUUAGUUAUGAUACUCUGCUGUAUUGGGGCUAAUAAUCUAAGUCGGUUCAAAGUGGUAAAUUUAUAAAUUGAUAGGUAUGCCUGGUAUGACCGCUUACGUUGGAUUUUAUGAGGUCUGCUCUCCUAAGCAAGGAGAGUGUGUCUUCAUAUCCGCAGCAUCUGGUGCAGUUGGACAGCUUGUGGGGCAGUUUGCAAAGUUAUUGGAUUGCUAUGUCGUCGGAAGUGCUGGAAGCAAAGACAAGGUAUGUAAUCUGUGUGAAGUACUUGAUUGUUUCCAUGUUACUUUCAAACAUUUAAAUUAAAAAGGAAAUUUUCAUAAUCUUGCCUUUUCUAUGAUUUUCAAAACCAAGGUUGAUCUACUGAAGAACAAGUUUGGGUUCGACGAGGCAUUUAACUAUAAAGAAGAAGCUGAUUUGAAUGCAGCAUUGAAAAGGUUAGCAUCAAUAAAUGCCUUAGCUUGAUGCAGCUUGAUGAAGUAUGAUACACAUUUCUGACCAAUAUACUGCGUUCCCUGAUCUCUUACUUGAAAUAUCUUGGUUUGAGAAUCUCAUGCCAAUGCCUUUAACAUUUUGGCAGGUACUUUCCUGAAGGAAUUGAUAUAUAUUUUGAAAACGUUGGUGGAAAAUUGCUUGACGCAGUGCUACCCAACAUGAAAAUCCGUGGUCGAAUUGAUGCAUGCGGUAUGAUCUCACAGUACAAUCUUGACAAGCCUGAAGGUGUGCACAACUUGAUGUAUCUUGUUUCGAAACGGCUUCGAAUGGAAGGAUUCAUUGUUCUCGAUCACUAUCACCUCUAUCCAAAGUUUCUGGAAAUGAUCAUUCCUCACAUCAAAGAAGGGAAGCUUGUAUACGUCGAAGACAUGGCUGAAGGUCUUGAGAGUGCUCCGGCAGCUCUCAUCGGUCUAUUCUCUGGCCAGAAUAUUGGGAAACAAGUGGUUGCUGUUGCUCCUUAAUGAAGAACAAGUUAGUGUUGUCUGUCCUUUUACCCUUUGACACAAAACUUCAAUGUUAAAGAGAGAAUGCUGUUCAUAUAUACUGCUUUAUAAAAUAAUCAAGUGAGUGCAAGUUUCAUGAUAUUUGCUGAAUAAAAUAUUGGAAAUUAAGCAGCUAGCCUAGCUCCUUCUUGUAGUUGCAGUUUGAAUGAUGCUGCUGCACAACUGCUGCCGAAAAAAUCCUUAAUAGAUGAUUAGCAAGGUUUCAAAAAUAAAAAUAAAUGUUUGUGCAAUGUGUCGAAUAUGACAGCCACAAAGAAAGAGCACACAAAUUGAUUGGUUUUAUGUCUUCUCUAGGAGAAAGCUACAAUACAAGAAAUUGUACUGAUGGAGCCAUGGACCAAAUUUCUUAUUUAAACUUUUAAUUUUUUUAUUAAAUUACUUAUGUUAUUAUGGUUUAUAAUUUUAGAAAUUCUUUAGAAAUUAAUACAGAACUAGUAGCAAGUUGAGAAAUCUAUUGAAUGGUCAAGAUAUGAUCAUGUUUAUUGAAUUAAAUUGACAAUCAUCAUUUUGAUAAAUUAUUGUCAGGAUGUUUGAUUCAUGACACGUGUAAGCAACUAAAUGUGCUAAAAAAAAGUUAAUGAGUUGGGCGUGUUUGAGUUAAUGAGUUGGGCUUGUUUGAUAUUCAUUUGUUGUAAUUCUUUUAAUAAUUAUUGGGGAAAAAAAGUUAUAAUAAAAAAAAUUAUAAUUAUAAAAUAAAAAUUAAUAAUAUAUAAUAAAUAAGAUUUUAAAUAAUAAUUUUAAUAAAAUAAUAAAUAUAUUAUAAAUUUUUUAUGAUUAAUUUUUAAAUUACAACAAUAAAUAUUUAACAAACACCUUAAUACCACAACUAACACCACAACUUUUGAAUUAUGAUAGUACAAUCUAAAUGCCACAGGCCUUAAAAAAUAAAAUUACAGUCAAGUUUUAAAACUGUUAAUGAUAUUCACAAAGACUCUGGAACAAUAUUACAGAAGGUGCUCGUCGUGUAAGCAACACAUGGGACCCAACCAAUAAAUGUUUCUGAUCCUCAACUUUCCUCAUCACUGUCCCUGGAAACAAUUCUGAUUUUCUUGUCUGAUUAAACAACUGAGAAACAAUGGCGGCCGACCAAGAAGCUGGGAGCAAUAAGCGGGUGAUUCUAAGCAACUAUGUGACAGGUUUUCCAAAAGAAUCAGACAUGAAGAUAACAAGUUGAUCAAUAAAGCUGAAGGUAGCAGAGGGUGUUUGGGAGAAAUACGUCGACGAGACCAGGCAUGGUGAGCAGAUAUCUGAUGGCAGAGUUCUGCGAACCGGUGUGUUCCGUAAAAGCCUGGUGCGCGGGGGAACAGGAGCAGAAGUAUCCUGCUCGUCCACGAGCACGUCAUCCGCGAGGCCAAUUUCCUGUAAGAGGCAUAAGGUCAUUCCGGCUAGAGGUCGAGAGGCGAGGAGACCCGGUCGACGGCAGUUGGCAAGACAUGCUCCCCAGCCCGAGAAUCUAGGCACGACAGCCACGCUUUCCCCAGAACCGUGGCGUAACACGCAAGAUCUCACAGAACCACGACAGCCACGCUUUCCCCAGAACCGUGGCGUAACACGCAAGAUCUCACAGAACCACGACAGCCACGCUUUCCCCAGAACCGUGGCGUAACACGCAAGAUCCCACGUUUGCCCAUAACGCAGCAGUCAGAGUCCCAUACCGUCUCGAAAAAAGCGGAAAACUGGGAUUCAGGGGAAGCCUAUAAAAAGGUAGCCAACGAAGGUAAAAGGGUUAGCAUUUUUGAGAUUAGAAAAGAAAUGAAAAAAGAAGAGAAAACCACGAAAAAGCCAUAAGAUAUGUGGCAAGCGUUCCCCGAACCUUCAUAUCUGACUUGAGCGUCGGAGGGUUUGCGCCGGGAAAACAACCGGCGUACUCUGACUUGUCUGUGUGCGCAGGAACCUCUGGAGAAGAAGCCUCACGUGGAGACCUCCUGGUCGUGAAGAAGUUGAUCGGGCAGAGAUCCUGGUCGUAGAACGAGGAGAACCGGAAUCCCGCAUCAACAUUUUGGCGCCGUCUGUGGGGACCGGAGCAAAAAGCUUCUGUUGAUAGCAAGAAGAGGGGUGAAGCAAGUGAAAAACAAUGGAGACAGGAGGAAGUAGUGCACAAGGGGGUGAUAGGAAGCUUAACGAUUCCGUGACGCUGAGGGAGAUAGUCAGUGAAGCACGGGAAAAAGUCAUGUUCGACCGGAUGGAACGGAUGGAAAAGCAGAUGGAGACCUUGACAACCAUCCUGCAUGAGCUGCGGAGCGAGCGAAGUAUAAUCCAAGAGGGAAGGGUGAGAGGCGGUGGAGUGGCACCAGGUCCCGAUAGUGCGGGGAGAAGUCAAACCACCGGGAGAUUUGGUGGUGAGAGAGGUAACGUACCUCUGCGGGGAGAAUUUCAUAGAGAAAGAGAGCAGUCCCCGGCAAGACAGACUGGCGACGAGGACGACGGGGUGGUGAAUGCAGAGGAAACAGAGUUGAGGCAACACUUGCAUGAUGUAGAGCAAGAGCGGGAUCAAGUUGCAGCACGUGACCCUGGUUGUGCAGUGCAGCUGGAGGAGGAAGUGCGCAGACUAGCACAGAUAAUCGACGACAUGCAAGGAAGGAACAGAGCCCCUGGUUGGAGGAUAAUGCUGGACGGAGAAUCACCGCUCGCAGCAGAGAUCAUGAGGGCAGUUAUUCCGAGAGAUUUCCGCCUCCCAGACCUCAGAUACUCGGGAAGAACUGAUCCGUUGGUGCACAUAGAGCGCUUCAACGACAUAACUGGGGUACAAGGAUUAUCUCAAUCCCAAAGGUGCAGAGUGUUCCCACUAUCCCUUGAGGGACGUGCACGAGAAUGGUACAGGAAACUUCCUCGGGGCAGCAUUAAAACCUUCGAGCAGAUGUGCCAGGAAUUCGCGGAGCAGUUUAGUGGGGCAAUGGCGCCGGAAGAUGACAUGAUGGAGCUGAAAAGCAUGAAACAGGGGGAGCAAGAAACCCUUCGGGAAUUCAUCAAGAGGUUUCAUCGGGCUGUCCUUGACUUGGGAGCCUUCAACCACCCUCAGGCGUUAAGGGGAUUGAAAGAAGGGGUGAAGAUAGGAAGGCUGUGGUACAAUUUGAGAAGCCCAGCUAUUCAAACGUAUGCAGCCGCAUACGAACAGGCUAAGAGAGACAUCGAGAUUGAAGAGGAGAAGGCUGCACGGAUUAAGACAGACCAGUUAGAAGGGUUGGGGAGGAAAGAGAAGAAAGCAUUACCGGGGAAUGGGCCGAUCAGGAGGAGGGACCACCAGGCCUCCGGUAGUGGAGCAGGAGGUCGGGUAGCCGCUUACCAGCCUCAUCAAAGGCCACCACAGUAUCAGCGCAGCAGGGCGCAACCUCCUCGUUCCCCAGCUAGGGAGCCUUGGAGAAGGCAUGAGUCGGCAUCUGGUGGUCUCCAACAACACCCCCACGGUAUCAGAGCGAGCAGACCAGAAGUACUUCCACCGCCCCCAACUCAGAGCGGGGCAAACAGAGAAAGAGCAGUGCACCUGAUCGACCAGAACCCGGACUAUGGGCGGUACACUUCCUUGAAGAUGUCCCUGGAUGAGGUGUACGAGGCCAUAAAGGAUCGAGGGCUGCUGCACCUCCCUACACCAAUAACAAAGCUACCCAACAGGAGGGAUAGAGGACGUUAUUGUAAGUUCCAUGGCACCCAUGGCCAUACCACAGCAGAGUGUAGAGAUCUCAAGACCCAAGUCGAAGAUUUGGUGAGAAAUCGGUACCUGGACGAGUUUAUGGAUGGGACUUUCCCGAUGGGGGCCACAACAGGUGAAGGGGAGCAGAGUGGCGGAAACGUUAGGCGCGAGCAGCCCGCAGUAAGGGUGAUAGCUGGGGGCCCGACAUUGGCCGGAGAUUCCAACAGAUCGAGAAAAAAUUAUGCUAGGUACGCCAUGACCAGUAAAGAGGUACUCCUCAACACCCCAGCAGCCAAACGAGCAAGGGUCAGGCAAGUGCCAAUCAUGUGGACGGAUGAGGAUGAGGAAGGGAUUCUAUACCCCCACGAGGAUGCUUUAGUCAUCAAGGCUACUGUCGCUAGCAAGAAGUUUGACCGGAUACUGAUUGAUACAGGGAGCUCAGUUGAUGUGUUAUUUAAGUCAACCCUGGAAGAGAUGGGAAUAGCCGACCGGAAGUUGGAAUACACCAAUACCUCCUUGAAGGGGUUCGGAGGAGGGAAGCUGGUCCCUCUGGGCGUGGUCGAGCUGCCUAUCACAAUUGGGAGCUCUCCGACAGAAAGAACAAUGAUACUGGACUUUGUCGUAGUGGAUGAGGAAGGUCCUUACCAGAUGAUCCUAGGUCGGCCAUUUUUAAGGAUGAGCAAAGCGGUGUUGUCCAACCAUUAUCUGGCUCUGAAGUACCGGGUGAACGGGGUAGUAGGAGUGGUACGAGGAGACCAGAGGAUCGCAAGAAGCUGCUACUCCUCGGCAGCAAGGGAAGCAAUGCAGAUAACAUCCCUCGAUACCCGAGUGGAAAACAAGAAGGGCAGACAAGAACCUGUAGAGGAUCUGGAAACAGUAAGCCUGGGACCAGAGAACCCGGGAAAGACGAUCAGAAUCGGGUCGAGACUUAAGGGAGAGCAAAAGCAGGAGUUGGUGAAAUGCUUACAGGCUCAUGCUGAUGUGUUUGCUUGGACACAUGAAGACAUGCCAGGAAUUGACCCUGAGGUAGCAUGUCAUAAGCUGGCAAUAAAGAAAAGUGCUCGGGCAGUAAGGCAGAAGAGGAGGUGCUUCAACCAGGAGAGGUAUGAGGCUAUAAAUGGCGAGGUGGAGAAGCUCUUGAGAGCAGGGUUCAUUCGGGAAGUCAGUUACCCUGAGUGGAUAUCGAAUGUGGUGUUGGUAAAGAAGGCAAACGGCAAGUGGAGGAUGUGUGUGGAUUUCACAGACCUCAAUAAGGCGUGCCCAAAAGACAGCUUCCCUUUACCAAAGAUCGAUCAGCUAGUAGAUUCAACGGCUGGACAUGGUCUGCUUAGCUUCAUGGACGCGUUCUCGGGAUACAACCAGAUCCCCAUGUACGAGCAGGAUGAGGAGAGCACGGCUUUCAUCACUAACCAAGGUUUGUUCUGUUACAGGGUAAUGCCAUUCGGUCUCAAAAAUGCCGGGGCCACCUAUCAAAGGCUGGUGAACAAAGUCUUUAAGCCGUUGAUUGGGAAAACCAUGGAGGUGUACGUGGAUGACAUGAUCACCAAGUCCAAAAUCCCGGAGGAACAUGUCAGACACCUCGAGGAGACAUUCGAGCUUUUGAGGAAGUAUAAGAUGAAGCUCAACCCGGAGAAGUGUGCUUUUGGGGUCGAGUCAGGGAAAUUCCUUGGAUUCAUGGUGAGCCAUAGGGGGAUUGAAGCACAUCCCGAGAAAAUCCAGGCGAUUGUGCAAAUGACGUCUCCCCAUAACCUGAAGGAGAUGCAAAGCCUCACGGGGAGGUUGGCGGCGUUGAGCAGAUUCAUAUCCAAGGCUACAGAUAAGUGUAAGCCAUUCUUUCAAGUGAUGAGGAGGGGAAAGAAAACAGAAUGGACCUCAGAAUGCGAGGAAGCCUUCCGGAACUUGAAGCAAUACUUGCAGCAAGCUCCGCUGCUGUCCACACCGAGGGAUGGGGACAAGUUAUAUCUGUAUUUGGCGGUAUCGGAUCGGGCCGUCAGUUCUGUUCUGGUGAGAGAGGAAGAAGGAGUUCAGUAUCCGAUAUAUUACACCAGCAAGGCCCUGCUCGACGCUGAGACCAGAUACCCACCGUUGGAGAAAUGGGCACUUGCCCUUGUGGUUGCUGCUCGGAAGUUGAGGCCAUAUUUUCAAGCAUUCCCGGUCUUGGUAAUAACAAACCAGCCAUUGCGUCAAACUCUGCACAAGCCAGAUGCCUCUGGUCGGCUCGUCAAGUGGGCUGUAGAGCUGAGCGAGUUCGACAUAGACUAUAAACCCCGCGCAGCGAUAAAAGCCCAGGCAAUGGCCGAUUUCGUAGCUGAAUUCACAGAGCCCGAAGUAUGCUUAGAUCAACAAGAUGCAGAUAUAGGCAAUGACGAAACUCAAGUAUGGCAGAUGUCUGUGGAUGGGUCAUCAGGGGAGCGGGGUUCAGGAGCAGGGAUUGUCUUGGAAGGCCCAGAGGGGGAGGAGAUCUCUUAUACUGUAAAAUUGGAAUUUGCAGCCACGAAUAACCAGGCAGAGUAUGAAGCCUUGAUAGCAGGUCUGGAAUUGGCUAAGGCCGUGAAAGCAGACAGAGUUAAGAUCAGAACUGAUUCCCAGCUGGUUGCGAAUCAUGUCAGUGAAAGAUUCCAACCAAGAGAGGAGAAGAUGGGGCAGUACCUGAAGAUAGUCAGGCAGAUGAUGGGGAAGUUCGAAGCAGUGGAGGUGAUACAAAUCCCCAGGGAGCAGAAUAGUCGAGCAGACAUUUUGGCUAGGAUGGCAGCAGUAGCCGACCCAAAAAUGCCAAAGUCGGUCCCUCUGGAGGUGAAGUCCAGCCCAAGUAUCGAUCAGAAUUUGGGGGUGUUGCAGAUAGAACAAAAAUGCUCGUGGAGGGACCCGAUAAUUUCAUACCUUAGAGACGGGGUAUUACCACCAGAUAAGAUGCGAGCUCGCAAGCUUAGAGCCCAGGCCUCGAGAUACACGAUGAUUGAUGGGGUACUGUAUCGGCGAGGAUAUACACUACCGUUCCUUCAGUGUUUGGAUGAGGACGACGCGGAUUACGUACUGAGAGAAGUACACGAAGGAAUUUGCGGAAAUCAUUCUGGCGGGAGGUCCCUGGCCCAUAAGGUUCUAAGGCAGGGAUAUUUCUGGCCGACAAUGCACCAGGAUGCGCAAGAGAAGACCAGGAGUUGUGUAAGCUGCCAGAGUUUUGUAAAUUUCUCUAACCAACCACCAGAGAAGCUCACCUCCAUGACCUCCCCCUGGCCAUUUGCUCAAUGGGGAAUUGAUCUGAUCGGCCCAUUGCCAAAGGCACGGGGAGCAGCAACAUAUGCAAUAGUUGCUAUAGAUUACUUCACGAAGUGGAUAGAGGUAAAAGCCCUUAGCAGGAUCACAGAGAAGAAAACAACAGACUUCGUAUGGAGAAACCUGGUCUGUCGAUACGGGAUCCCUUAUGCCUUGGUAACGGAUAAUGGCAGGCAGUUCGAUAAUCACAGCUUCAGGGAUUUCUGCCAGAACCUCGGGAUAGAGCUGAAGUAUUGCUCGCCUGCUCACCCUCAAUCGAAUGGACAAGUAGAAGCAGCCAACAAGACCAUCAAGAGGCUUUUGAAAACCAGGCUUGGAGCAAAAAAGGGUGCGUGGGUUGACGAGCUGGCAGGUGUGCUAUGGGCAUCCAGAACAACAAAACCGCAACUGGGGAGACACCGUUCGCUUUGGCUUUCGGACAUGAAGCGGUCGUGCCGGCUGAGAUAGGAACGACCACACACCGGACAAAUCAUUUCAAUGAGCAGGAGAACGACGAGCAGAUAUGUUUGAAUCUUGAUCUGCUAACGGAAAGGAGGGAGCAAGCAGCCGAGCGAUCAGUCAUUUACCAAUAGAGGGUUGCUCGGUAUUAUAACCAGAAGGUGAACAUACGGCAAUUCAGGGUCGGAGACUGGGUACUGAGAAGAGUGAAUCAGAGCACCAAAGAUUCGACUCAAGGAGUGCUGGGACCGAAUUGGGAAGGGCCAUAUAGAGUCAAGCAGAUAGCGGGACCCGGAGCUUACAGGCUGGUUCGCACGGACGGCCACGAGGUGAAACGCCCAUGGAACGCAGCACACCUCCGAAAAUACUUCCAGUAAGACUUGUUCACAUGUGAAAACUAUUUUUGCUCAUGUUCAUUACCGUUUAUCUUUCACGCUUAUUGUCCAAACAAUUUCAUGUAAGUCGAAUCCUGCCAUUAAUGGAACGUCGAGGAAUUUCUUUCACUUGAAACCGAGAAAAUUUCCCAAGGCAUGCAAAGGCUCACCAAGUCUCAAAGCCUGUCUUAUGGUGAGACAGAAGCCAAGCAUGCCAGGAUCUGCUCGGCCACGAGAAGGCAAGCAGAAUCCCAAUCCUCGAAGAAUCCAAGGCACGCAAAGGCUCACUAAGUCUCAAAGCCUGUCUUAUGGCGAGACAGAAGCCAAGCAUGCCAGGAUCUGCUCGGCCACGAGAAGGCAAGCAGAAUCCCAAUCCUCGAAGAAUCCAAGGCAUGCAAAGGCUCACCAAGUCUCAAAGCCUGUCUUAUGGCGAGACAGAAGCCAAGCAUGCCAGGAUCUGCUCGGCCACGAGAAGGCAAGCAGAAUCCCAAUCCUCGAAGAAUCCAAGGCACGCAAAGGCUCACCAAGUCUCAAAGCCUGUCUUAUGGCGAGACAGAAGCCAAGCAUGCCAGGAUCUGCUCGGCCACGAGAAGGCAAGCAGAAUCCCAAUCCUCGAAGAAUCCAAGGCAUGCAAAGGCUCACCAAGUCUCAAAGCCUGUCUUAUGGCGAGGCAGAAGCCAAGCAUGCCAGGAUCUGCUCGGCCACGAGAAGGCAAGCAGAAUCCCAAUCCUCGAAGAAUCCAAGGCAUGCAAAGGCUCGACAAAGUCUCAAAGCCUGUUUUAUGGCGAGACAGAAGCCAAGCAUGCCAGGAUCUGCUCGACCACUAGAAGGCGAGCAGACUCCAAAGCAUUCGAAGAAAUGCCCAAGGCAUGCAAAGGCUCGACAAAGUCUCAAAGCCUGUUUUAUGGCAAGGCAGAAGCCAAGCAUACCAGGAUCUGCUCGACCACGAGAAGGCGAGCAGACUCCAAAGCAUUCGAAGAAAUGCCCAAGGCAUGCAAAGGCUCGACAAAGUUUCAAAGCCUGUUUUAUGGCGAGACAGAAGCCAAGCAUGCCAGGAUCUGCUCGACCACGAGAAGGCGAGCAGACUCCAAAGCAUUCGAAGAAAUGCCCAAGGCAUGCAAAGGCUCGACAAAGUCUCAAAGCCUGUUUUAUGGCGAGACAGAAGCCAAGCAUGCCAGGAUCUGCUCGACCACUAGAAGGCGAGCAGACUCCAAAGCAUUCGAAGAAAUGCCCAAGGCAUGCAAAGGCUCGACAAAGUCUCAAAGCCUAUUUUAUGGCGAGGCAGAAGCCAAGCAUGCCAGGAUCUGCUCGACCACUAGAAGGCGAGCAGACUCCAAAGCAUUCGAAGAAAUGCCCAAGGCAUGCAAAGGCUCGACAAAGUCUCAAAGCCUGUUUUAUGGCGAGACAGAAGCCAAGCAUGCCAGGAUCUGCUCGACCACUAGAAGGCGAGCAGACUCCAAAGCAUUCGAAGAAAUGCCCAAGGCAUGCAAAGGCUCGACAAAGUCUCAAAGCCUGUUUUAUGGCGAGGCAGAAGCCAAGCAUGCCAGGAUCUGCUCGACCACUAGAAGGCGAGCAGACUCCAAAGCAUUCGAAGAAAUGCCUAAGGCAUGCAAAGACUCACCAAGUCUCAAAGCCUGUUUUAUGGCGAGACAGAAGCCAAGCGUGCUAGGAUCUGCUCGACCGCGCGAAGGUGAGUCGAAUCCCAGGCAUUGAAGAAUCUCCAAAGGCAUGUGGCAAAACCAUGAGCCAAGCCGGAACCUGCUCGUCUAGACAGAGACAAGCAGAUUCUCAACCGAAAAUUAAUUCAUAAUUACAACACAAGAAAGUAAUCAAAAACCAUUUUUAUUAAUUUGUUAAUAAUUAACAGAGGGGAUAAUCUUUAUGAACAUUGUUCAUUACAAUACAAGAAAUAUAUCAGGAAGAUGGUGGACCAGUAAGCCCGGCAGCAUCGGUUGGCUGGACCUCCUCAGGUGCAGGAGGGGUAUCACCAGUUGCGUCCGGGGGGGUGCUCGCCUCGCCAACAUCAGCAGGGACUGCAUGAGCAGGAGAGUCUUCCUCCUCAAUCACGAUCGGCUCUACCCCAUCGGCAUCUUCCUUGGCCGCCUCCUCGUCCAUAUGUUGAGCAACACCAGCUGCAAGGUCAUCCAUCUUCAGAUCAGGGUGUUGCUUCCCGAGGACGGCCAUGAUGCAACGAUAGGAAUGCCGAAGUCCCUGGUCGUACUGGUUGUCAGCCUCCCUCUCUAAGUUCUCGACCUGAGCUCGGUGGGAGUCGCGGAGAGAUUCGAGCUGAGCCUCAUACAUAGCCUUCUGCCUUUGCAGAUCCUCCUUGACCGUGGUAAGCUCCUCCUCGAGGGAAAUGGCUUUUGCUUGAGCAAGUGAUUCUUGCUCUAUUAGCUUCAGAUUCUCGAGAUUCAGGUCCUUCUUGCUCACGAGUUUAGUUAACUCAUUGAGGUAGGGGACCAGGUGUUCUGCUCGGCUGUCAGGUAAGCGAGAUCGAGGCCCGACAGGAGGAAAAGAGGAAGCAGGAUCUGUGGCUGCUCCACUAGCUUCCCCGACUUUUACAGGAGCAGGAGGUAAAAUCUUCAAGGGUGGGACCUGCUGCAUGAUGUUGGCCCGCUUUGCAGCAGGGGCAUCCUUACUCUGGUCCCUCUUCGUGGUUGGAGGUCGGGAACGUUUUCGGGUCAGAGCCCCAAUCACAGCGUCCUCCAUCCUAUGGCCAGGAAGUAUCAAGCGAGACUCGAGCAAGUUGUAUGUAGUUAGCAGUUCUCGGCUCGAGCAGGAAUUGGCUAGUACAGCCUCGACCCGUUUGAGCUGGUCAGGUUCAAGCGGGAAGUGGACACCCCAAGAAACUACAACACAAACAGACACUUGGUUAGAGACAAGCCAAUAAAGCAAGAACAAUUAUGGAUGCAAGACAUCUAGAGUGAGCAGGCAACCUGGGACCGUGAAACGGGGUGGGACGUGACAAUCCUUCCCGCCUAUUUGUGCAACUUGACCCCAAGGACCCCCAGCAAAAAAGAAUUUCCUCUUCCAAGCCCCACCACCACCGGUUGGAAGAUCGGUUAUGGGUUUCCGGCUCUUGGUGCUAGAUUGGAAGUAGUACCAGCCGGCAUCUUUGGGGCUGCUCUUUAGCUGGUACAAGUGCUUCACCUCAUCAACCGUGGGCUCGCUUUGGCAACAUUUGUCCCACAAUAUGAACAGACCAGAGAGCACUCUCCACCCAUUGGGAUUCAGCUGACCAGGAGCUAGAUUUAGCCCGUUAAGUAUCUGGGCAAAGUAGGGUUGCAAGGGACACCUCAGCCCGUACUUAAAGCUCUCUAGAAACAGGGUAACGUAUCCCCUAGGAGGCCGGCUGGGAGCAUCCUUCUUUCCUGGGACCUUGAGAGGUAUCUCACCAGGAAUGCUAUACCUAAGCCGGAGGUCAUUGAGCUCGUCAAACAAGGUCGUGCACGUCAUGUAAUCAAUGGCAUAAUCGCGCGACAAGGCUCUGCCUCCUACUGUACCCCGUUCCUCUGGUCGUGAUGUUCCAGAUGGAGACACCUCACCAGAGUCACCUUCCCCAUUCUCACUUAAGGUGUCCUCAGAGCCAGAAGGUCUCUCUUCACCAUUGCUUCCACUCGUGGAGGUUGUUUGGGGGGACAUCCUCCUAGCACUAGUCCCGACACUAAACCUAAUGGGUUCUAAGGGGAUCCCGGGGUCAAAAGCAGAAUCAGUGAGCAGACCAGGCAGGAAACUUAGUUCGUCGUCAUCAAUCUCAACGACUUUCUCCUUACCUUUCGACAUUCCCUAAGCCCUAACCACAACACCACCAACUACUACCCAAACAGAAGAGAAGAGAAAUUAUCUACAACUAUCCGAGACCAAGGAGAUAGAAGAAAUACCUGAAGUAAUGGUUCAGUCGGUGAAAGUCAGAGAUGGAGGCCUUUUAUGCCGGAACUUCUUUGCCGGAGAAACAGAGACGGAGACGGAGUGAAUGAUGAAUAUGCCGUUCGAGAGGAUUUGGUUUUCCUAAUGAGGACGGACUCUUGGGUUGCCAGCAUUUAACGGCGCCGAAUCCCGAGGGUCUCAUAACCGUCGGUUUGAAAUUCAAAUGGAGGGGGGGAUUUCUGCCACGUCACCUCGUCCGCAAUUAAAUGCGACAUGACUCUUGGCAGCCUUUUCCAAUCCCACGCGGGCGAGUACUAACGAGUUUCUACUGCUGGUCCACUACAUUACCCAACACCAGAAACUGGGGGACCGGUGUUUGGGAGAAAUACGUCGACGAGACCAGGCAUGGUGAGCAGAUAUCUGAUGGCAGAGUUCUGCGAACCGGUGUGUUCCGUAAAAGCCUGGUGCGCGGGGGAACAGGAGCAGAAGUAUCCUGCUCGUCCACGAGCACGUCAUCCGCGAGGCCAAUUUCCUGUAAGAGGCAUAAGGUCAUUCCGGCUAGAGGUCGAGAGGCGAGGAGACCCGGUCGACGGCAGUUGGCAAGACAUGCUCCCCAGCCCGAGAAUCUAGGCACGACAGCCACGCUUUCCCCAGAACCGUGGCGUAACACGCAAGAUCUCACAGAACCACGACAGCCACGCUUUCCCCAGAACCGUGGCGUAACACGCAAGAUCUCACAGAACCACGACAGCCACGCUUUCCCCAGAACCGUGGCGUAACACGCAAGAUUCCACAUUUGCCCAUAACGCAGCAGUCAGAGUCCCAUACCGUCUCGAAAAAAGUGGAAAACUGGGAUUCAGGGGAAGCCUAUAAAAAGGUAGCCAACGAAGGUAAAAGGGUUAGCAUUUUUGAGAUUAGAAAAGAAAUGAAAAAAGAAGAGAAAACCACGAAAAAGCCAUAAGAUCUGUGGCAAGCGUUCCCCGAACCUUCAUAUCUGACUUGAGCGUCGGAGGGUUUGCGCCGGGAAAACAACCGGCGUACUCUGACUUGUCUGUGUGCGCAGGAACCUCUGGAGAAGAAGCCUCACUUGGAGACCUCCUGGUCGUGAAGAAGUUGAUCGGGCAGAGAUCCUGGUCGUAGAACGAGGAGAACCGGAAUCCCGCAUCAACAGAGGGUUCAAAAGACACGGUGCUUUUGAAGAAUCUUUAUCUUUAUUGUGAUCCUUACAUGCGAGAGCGUAUGAGCAAGCUUGAUAGACCUUCUUUUGUUGAUUCAUUCCAUUCUGGUGAGGUUAGUUCAUCACGACCUCAACUUAGAUUUUGGGAUGGUUUACGAUUCACUCUCAGUUUAUGCAGAAAAACAAUCUAGUUUUAAUUUGGCAGGGUUUUUCCUUCUCUCUCCUUUUCUUCCUUUUCUUCAUUGGUUUCUUCCUCUUUUAUAGCCGCUAUCCCACGUUUUCGUUCAUCCUUCAUCCCCAUUUUUCGGGUAGUGGCAGCCCCUCAUGGGACUCCAACUGCUACAUUAUGGGUAAAUGUGGGACACCGUAUCUCCCUCAAUGGUUUUAGAAAAAGCGCAACUGUCGUGAUUUCGUGAGAUUGUGUUCCCGUUCUUUGGGGAAUGGAUAUCUGCUCGGUAUAUGUCUCUGGUCGGCCUAUAUUUAUAGAAGGCUCAUUAUCAGUAUUCUACUUAUACCAUUCAGCUGAGGUGAUCUACCUCGAAAUGAGAAUGAUAACAUGACUGACCUGAUGCUCUUAUUUACUUAACAGUAAAUUUUCUAUGACCCUACAGGUGACUAAUUAAUGAGAACUUGACAAUGACAAAAGAAAGUGUAUGAGCUUUGCAGGCUGGCAUGCCAAUAUUGACUGUGUGGCACCAUCCACCAUCUGCAAUUGAAUAUCAUUAUUGUUUAAUCAAUGUGGUGGAGUCCACUGGAACCACACCACAUGGUCAGUCUUAUCUCUAUUCCUCAAUUUUCAGUAUUCCAUACAUCAAACCAAUUUCAUGUUUGUUAGCAAUUAUAAUUUCAUUGUUGGUGACGAUUCUGAUUCCUUUUGUUGAGAAUCAAAUAAAACGGCAUUGAAUGAAGCUUUCAAAGACAGAAUCUGCACUUGUCAAAGGGGUAAUCUGCACUUGUCAAAGACAAGAUCCGCGCCGAACGGAUUGACACAUUUCCUUCCGUAUUCACAUAUGUAAUCUUUGAAAAAAUGUAGCCUCUGCAUCUAUAAAUAACUCUCAAUGUAUAAUGCUUUAUUUAAGAAAUGAAAACACGUUUCUUCAUGGUAUCAGAGCCAUGAAUACGCUCAAGUUUCUUCAAGUUCCGCUGCUCUGUUUGUAACAAAAAUAGAGGAAACCAAAUUCCUCCCACAACCAUUUUUCCCACCAUUUUCUUUCUUAAACCCAUUCCUACCAUUACAGAUAUCCAUGCCGAUCAAGAAACAAGCCACCCAUACGUAAAAAACUUGAGUUUACAAAUUUAUCAACAAUCCCAUCAAUUUUCUGAGAGUGUGUUCCUAAAAAACCAAGAACACCAUCAAAUUUCUCAGUUUUCAGUGAGGAAACUGUAAAAAUUUCGCAUUUAAACACAUUCCCACGCGCUCCCACGCGCCACCCGAAGCCACGGCCAGUCAACCACGCGCCUCUGUCAUCAUUCACGCGCUCUCACGCGCUCCAGAGGUUGAAGAAGACGCCAGCCGACAUGUCGUUCUUAUCUCAGAAGUUCAGCAGUCACAAAACGACGUGUCGUUUUUUGUUAUAUUAAAAUCGACAUGUCGUUUUGUAAAUUAGAGAUAAAACGACGUGAUGCUUAGUCUCCAGAAGUGCAGCAGGAUUAAAACGACAUGUCGUUUAUAUUCCACCAUAAUCGACAUGUCGGUUUGGCAAGCAGUGGCCAAACGACCUGGCGUUUUGUUACCUAAAAAGGUUAUUUUUUUUCUUCUUCCAAUCUAGAUGGAAAAAAAAAAAACAAACAAAAAAAAGAAAAAAAAGAAAAAAAAGAAAAAAAAGAGAAAAAAAAAAAAACAAAAAAAAAUGGAGAAAACUCCAACUGAAUCUAGUCCUGUUGUCAUUCAAUCUGUUCAAUCUGAUGGAGUAUUUAAUGCUGGAAUUAUCCUCACUGAGACAAACUACGAUGUUUGGUCUCAAAUAAUGGAGAUGCAUCUUGUAGAAAGAGAAAAACUCUCAUAUAUUCGUAGCAGCACAAAGCCAUUUGAGGAAUCUUCAAAGGAAUAUGAGAAAUGGUAUAGUGAGAACCAAAAAGUAAAAAGAUGGUUACUCAUAUCCAUGUCUCCGGAGAUCAUGAAGCGAUAUUUACGAAUUCCUACAGCCUACGAAAUCUGGGAUGCAUUAUCAAAAGCCUUCUAUGAUGGAAGCGAUGAAUUACAAGUUUUCACUCUAAACCAGAAGGCAUUCUCUACCAAGCAAAAUGGACAACCACUCUCUAAAUUCUAUGGAGAAUUGGUCGAAAUAUUUCGAGAACUUGAUCACCGAGAUAAAGUGGUCAUGAAGGAUCCAGAAGAUAUUGUAAUAUACAGAAGGUCUGUUGAAAGAUUGAGAGUGCACAUUUUUCUUGCUGGGCUAGAUGAAGAAUUUGACCAAGUUCGUGGAGAAAUUCUACGAAAAGACAUUAUCCCAGACUUAGAAGAAUGUUAUUCUUUGAUCCGAAGAGAAGAUAUACGGCAAAGCAAACUAAACAAGAAGGUCGACUCAGAAACGUUUGCAAUGAUAGCACGACAGCAGCCUCAAAGGAAGUUUGUUGACAAGUCAUCACUCCAUUGCACUCAUUGUAGAAAGAAGGGUCAUACGAAAGAACAAUGUUUUGAAAUCAUUGGAUAUCCUGACUGGUGGGAUACUCGAAAGAAGAACACCAAGCAUGGAUCAAAAACUGCAGUAGCUGAAUCCACAUCCACUACAGAUCUUAGAAAAGAAUCUUCAGUGCAAAUCGCAACCUCUGUCAGUCCAGGUAAGGCCCUUAAAACUCUUACACCUGUUAUUAAUAGUACAUGGAUAAUUGAUUCUGGGGCAACUGAUCAUAUGACUUUUGAUUCUCGACAAGUUUCUCAAUUGAAACCAUCUUCACAAAAAUAUAUUUCCACUGCAAAUGGAACCACAACCUCAGUUAUUGGGGAAUGAUCUUUACGACUCACAAAUGAAUUAAAUUUAGACGCUGUGUUAAUUGUUCCAUCUUUAGAUUAUAAUCUUUUAUCUGUGUCUCAAUUAACCACUUACUUAUCAUGUGUUGUAAUUUUUUGGCCUGAUCAUUGUGUGUUUAAGGACAUCCAAACGAAGCAAACGAUUGGUUAUGGUAUUAGACGAGGCAGCUUGUACUACUUGGAGAUGUCAUCAACAAACACUGGAAAGCUAAGCCCCGCACUAGUUGCAGAUAGUUCCAUAAAAAAAGGGAAAUCAGAAAUUUGGUUAUGGCAUAGACGUUUAGGGCAUGUGUCAUUUAGUUACUUAAAAAAAUUAUUUCCUAGUUUGUUUCUGAAAUUUGAUGUUUGUAACUUUAAAUGUGAUGUUUGUGAACUUUCAAAAAGCCAUCGAACUACUUUUCCAUUGUCCUUAAAUAAAAAUCCAGUUCCUUUUAUGGUAGUACAUUCUGAUGUAUGGGGGCCAUCUAAAGUUUCUACAAUUGGAGGUGCUCGUUGGUUUGUUACAUUUAUUGAUGAUUGUAGCAGAAUGACAUGGAUUUUUCUGAUGAAAUCGAAAGACGAAGUAAACUCUUUAUUUCAAAGAUUUCAUAAGAUGGUGACAACUCAAUUUCAGACACAAAUUCGAGUUCUACAUACUGAUAAUGGAGGUGAGUAUAUGAGCACAGCAAUUCAACAGUUUCUGAAAUCACAAGGAUCUGUCCAUCAAACCACUUGUGUGGGGACACCCCAACAAAAUGGCGUUGCUGAACGAAAGAACAGACAUUUACUAGAAGUUGUUCGAGCAUCACUAAUCCAAGCCCACAUGCCAUUAUCUUAUUGGGGAGAAGCAUUGACAUCCGCAGCAUACUUGAUCAAUCGAACACCUUCAAGCUCCCUUGGAUUCCAGACUCCUUUCCAAGUUCUGAAUGAUGCAAUUAUGUCACCAAAUGUGCCGAAUCUGCCCCCACAUGUGUUUGGCUGUGUUGCCUUCGUUCAUUUGCCGCAACAAGACAAAUUAUCUCCUCGAGCACUACGUUGUGUGUUUGUAGGGUAUGCCUUACAUCAAAAGGGAUACCGAUGCUAUCAUCCACCAUCAAGAAAAAUAUACAUCACCAUGGAUGUCGUUUUUCAUGAAGAUAUCAUGUACUACUUGUCAGAGUCUGAAUUUCAGGGGGAGUAUAAUGAAGAGGAAAUUCAUACUCUUACAUAUCUUCCACCUGAAGAAAGUCAAUCUUCCAUUGAGAUAGUAAACCUUCAAGAUACUGGAAAAGCAAAUGGUGAUGAUUCGCAAGCUGAGAUAUGUGAAAACACAUUUGGGGAGCACAAUACUCAGACACAACUGCAAUCGAGAAUGAGUCACAUGAAGAAAUACCUAACCAAUCGUCUGCAGAGGAUGUUCCUACCACAAGUCCAAUCAGAAGAAUUCUUCCCCAGCGUCAAAAUAGAGGUAUCCCUAAACCCACAUAUGAGCCUGACUUCUCUAGUAGAGUCAAAUACCCUAUGAGUCAUUUUGUGUCUAACCAUCGCUUGUCAGAAUCAAAUCAGUCAUUUGUGAAUCAAUUAUCUGCUGUAUCUAUUCCUAACAGUGUGCAGGAAGCUUUAAAAGAUCCAAAGUGGAAAGCGGCUAUGAAUGAUGAAAUGAGAUCUCUUCAGAAAAAUCAAACAUGGGAACUAGUUGAUCUUCCACCAGGAAAGAAACCAAUGGGUUGUCGAUGGAUCUACACUAUAAAAUACAAAGCAGAUGGCUCUAUUGAACGAUACAAAGCAAGACUCGUAGCUAAGGGUUACACCCAAACCUACGGGAUUGAUUAUACUGAUACGUUUGCACCGGUAGCAAAAAUUAAUACUAUUCGUAUCUUAUUAUCAUUAGCAGUCAACUUGGAUUGGCCAGUGCAACAGUUCGAUGUAAAGAAUGCUUUCCUCCAUGGAGACCUGUCUGAAGAAAUUUAUAUGGAUCUGCCACCAGGAUGCAGUGGACCAGAACGACUCAAUCAGAAAGUAUGCAAAUUGAAGAAAUCAUUGUAUGGGUUGAAGCAAUCCCCAAGAGCAUGGUUCGGGAAAUUCACGAAGGCUAUGGUUCGUUUUGGGUAUAACCAAAGCAAUUCAGAUCAUACCUUAUUCAUUAAAAAACGACAAGGUAAAAUCACUGCCCUUAUUGUCUAUGUGGAUGAUAUGGUAGUUACAGGCAACGACGAGGAAGAAACAAAGGCUCUUCAGAAGUACUUGUCAAGAGAGUUUGAGAUGAAGGAUUUAGGUGCCUUAAAAUACUUUCUUGGAAUUGAGGUUUCUCGAUCUAAGGGAGGAAUCUUUCUGUCUCAAAGGAAAUAUGCCUUAGAUCUAUUGCACGAAACGGGAAUGACAGCUUGUCAGCCUAUUGACACCCCAAUAGAAGAAGGACUGAAGUUUUGUAUUACUUCAGACCAAGUUCCAGUAGACAAAGGAAGAUAUCAAAGGCUGAUUGGAAGAUUGAUGUACUUGUCCCACACAAGGCCAGAUCUUGCUUAUGCAUUGAGUGUUGUAAGCCAGUUUAUGCAUAAUCUCGGAGAACAACACAUGAAAGCAGUAAUGCGGAUCCUGAGGUACCUGAAGACAAAUCUAGGAAAAGGAAUCUUAUUUUCCAAAAAUGAAGAUUACAGCAACAUAGAAGUUUAUACUGAUGCAGAUUGGGCCGGGUCAGUUAGUGAUAGACGCUCUACUUCAGGAUACUUUACCUUUGUGGGAGGAAACCUUGUCACAUGGAGAAGCAAGAAACAACAUGUCGUUGCCCGUUCGAGCGCUGAAGCAGAAUAUCGAGGCAUGGCCCUUGGGAUAUGUGAAGGGCUAUGGAUAAGUUUUAUCUUAAACGAUUUGGGCUAUCCAUCACAACAACCAAUACAACUAUACUGUGACAACAAAGCUGCACGAGAUAUUGCUCAUAACCCAGUUCAACACGAUCGAACAAAACAUGUGGAGGUAGAUAGAUUUUUCAUCAAGGAGAAAUUAGAUGAAAAAAUCUUAGAAUUGCCGAAAAUUCGAUCAGAAGAUCAACUUGCAGAUAUUUUAACGAAGGCCAUUUCAAGCAGGGCAUUUACAAAAUUCCUAGACAAGUUGGGUAUGCAAGACAUCUAUGCACCAGCUUGAGGGGGAGUGUUGAGAAUCAAAUAAAACGGCAUUGAAUGAAGCUUUCAAAGACAGAAUCUGCACUUGUCAAAGGGGUAAUCUGCACUUGUCAAAGACAAGAUCCGCGCCGAACGGAUUGACACAUUUCCUUCCGUAUUCACAUAUGUAAUCUUUGAAAAAAUGUAGCUUCUGCAUCUAUAAAUAACUCUCAAUGUAUAAUGCUUUAUUUAAGAAAUGAAAACACGUUUCUUCACCUUUCUUUCUCACAAAACGGAACCAUGGUUGCUAUUGGAGAGAUCUUACUCAACGCCUUCUUUCAGGUGUUGUUUGAUAGGUUGGCUUCUUGUAAUUUUCUCAGCUUUGUGCGUCAACUCCAAGGCGGGGUUGAUUUGGAACUCAAAAAGUGGGAGAAAAAGCUGAAGAUGAUUCAGGCUGUGCUCUACGAUGCAGAGGAGAAGCAACUGAUCGACGAGGCUGUGAAGACGUGGCUGGACGAACUCCAAGACUUGGCUUAUGACGCUGAGGACAUUCUUGAUGAGUUUGCUACUCAAGCUUUGGAAAGCGAGUUGAUGGAGCAAAAUCAGGAUAGCUCUGGCCAGCUUCUUAGUUUCAUCCCAGCUAGUUUGAGUCCGAAUGCUAUUAUGUUCAAUUAUAGCAUGGGGUCCAAGAUUAAAGAUAUUACUAGCCGGUUGGAGCACCUCGGCCAAGAAAGAAUUGAACUUGGUCUGCAACGGAUUACUGGAGGGGCAUCAUCAUCUACUGCUGCCGCACACCAGAGGCCACCCAGUUCGAGUGUCCCAACAGAACGUGAAGUAUUUGGAAGAGAAGAAGAUAAGGCCAAAAUUCUUGAUAUGGUUUUGGCCGAUACCCCAAGUGAUCAUGCCAAAUUUGUUGUAAUACCCAUUGUUGGCAUGGGCGGAAUAGGAAAAACAACUCUUGCUCGGGAGGUCUACAAUGACAAGGCGUUGAAGAUUCCAAGUUUGAUGUAAAAGCAUGGGUUUGUGUCUCUGAUGUCUUUGAUGUUUUGGUCAUCUCAAAGGCACUUCUGGAGUCAAUCACCCGCAGGCCUUGUGUUCUAAGCAAUUUAAAUGAAGUGCAGGUUGAGCUGAAAAUAGUUGUGGAUAAAAAAAGAUUUCUACUGGUCUUAGAUGAUGUUUGGAACGAGGACUACAGCUUGUGGGUAGACUUAAAAGCUCCUUUCAUGGCUGCUGCACCAAACGGUAAAAUGAUCAUCACCACACGCAAUUCAAAUGUUGCAUCAAUAAUGGGACCAAUUGAACAUUACAAUCUCAAGAGUCUGUUAGAUGAUGAUUGCUGGUCCAUUUUCAUACAACAUGCACUUGAAUCUAGAGAUCUUAACGCAAAUCAAAUUUCAGAAUCAUUCCGCAAGAAAGUUGUUGGCAAGUGUGGGGGCUUGCCCCUGGCAGCAAAAACACUAGGGGGCCUUCUGCGUACUACGAGGCAUGAUGCAUGGGACGAUAUAUUAGAUAGCAAAAUAUGGGAUUUACCUCAACAAAGUGGCGUUCUCCCUGUGUUAAGAUUGAGUUACCACCAUCUUCCGUCUCAUUUGAAAAGAUGUUUCGCUUAUUGUGCAAUCUUUCCAAAAGAUUAUGAAUUCAAUGAGAAGGAGCUGACUUUCUUAUGGAUGGCUGGAGGAAUUAUUCGACAGUCAAGAAAGAAUGAGCAGCUGGAAGAUUUGGGCGGCAAGUGCUUUCAUGAUCUAGUGUCAAGGUCAAUUUUUCCACAAACCAGCUCGGGUAGUUCUAAAUUUGUAAUGCAUGACCUUAUCCAUGAUCUUGCUGAACUGGUUUCUAGAGAAACCAUUUUCAGAUUAGAGGAGGCCAACUUGUCAUCAAGAAGAUUUGAAAGGAUCCGCCAUGCUUCCUAUACCCGUGGUUGGUAUGAUGGUAAAAAUAAGUUCAAGGUUUUCAAUGAAAUUGAACAUCUACGAACAUUCCUACCAUUACACGAAAGACGAGGAUAUUACAUACCUCGAACGGUUCUAUCUGAUUUGCUGCCAAAGUUCAGAAGGUUGAGAACGCUAUCUUUACAAGGAUACUGUAUUGGUGAGUUACCAAUGUCAUUUGAAGAUCUGAGACUUUUAAGGCUCCUCAACCUUGCUGACACUGACAUAAGAAGUUUACCUGAGUCAACAUGCACAUUGUUGAACUUGGAAAUUUUGAUAUUAAGAAAUUGUUCCCGUUUGAUAAAGCUUCCGCCCAAAAUGAGGAAUUUGAUCAAUUUACGCCAUCUCGAUAUAAGAGGUGCGAAGUUGCUGAAGGAGAUGCCGUUCGGAAUGAAGGAGUUGAAGAAUCUUUUACAAGUUUGGAAGAUUUAAAAUGUUUAAACUUUCUUUGUGAUGAACUCUGCAUGAGUGGAUUAGAGAAUGUGAAUAAUCCACAGAAUGCAAGAGAAGCCACAGUAUGCGAGAAGCACAAUCUUGAAGCAUUGACUCUAGAUUGGGGGUCUCAAUUUGACAAUUCUCGAGAUGGAGUAGUAGAAGAGCAUGUACUGGAAAUUCUACAGCCCCAUAAAUGUAUAAAAAAGGUGGCAAUCAGGAACUAUGGUGGUGCAAGAUUUCCGCAUUGGAUCGGAGAUCCUUCGUUCUCCAAGAUGAAGGUCCUUAAAUUGGAGAACUGUCACAAUUGUGUAUCGUUGCCGUCGCUUGGCCUGUUGAGUUCACUUAAGCACCUUGCUGUUAAAGGGCUGAAGAAACUAAAAAGCAUAGAGUCUGAGGUUUAUGGGGAGGGUUUCUCAAUGCCUUUUCCAUCACUGGAGAUUCUAAGUUGCGAGAAUUUGCCAGAAUGGGAGCAUUGGGAUACCGAGAUCAAAGGAAAUGUGCCUGUUGAUAUAUUUCCUCGUCUCCAAGAACUUUCCAUUGCAGAAUGUCCCAAACUCUCUGGACAACUGCCUGAGCUCCUGCCUUCCUUGGAGACACUUGUUGUUAGUAAAUGUAAAAAGUUGGUAGUUCCAUUGUCUUGCUAUCCGAUGCUCUGCAGAUUAGAAGUUGAUGAGUGCAAAGAACUAGUCUGCCGGACUCCGAUUGAUGUUAAGUUGAUAAAGUCCAUGACUAUUUCAAAUAGUUCAUUAGACCUGAAUGGAUGUAAGGGGAUGCUAUACGAUGGUCCAGCUGGCUCUUCACUGCCAAAGCCCAUGACUACUACAAAUGUUUUGGAGUUUGGAAAAUUAUUGAAGCCUGGAUUUCAGAUAUUCGAAACUUUGGUAAUUGGCAAUUCUGAACAGCUCAAGUCAUGGAGGCAGCAUGGGGAUUUUCCUAAAAAAUACAUGGUCACUGACCAUAGGUUUAAGAAACCAGUACCAGGGCUGAAUAUGCUCGCUUCCCCUGAAGAGGUAAAAAUUGAAGAAAGCUGCGUAAGUCUUGUUUUGUUUCCAGAGAUCAAUUUUUUUCCCAGAAAUCUACGCUCUCUUCUAAUUAAAAACAGCACAACUUUAAAAUCCUUACCCGAGGAAAUGAUGGCAACAAUUCACAACUCGAAAGGUUGUAUAUCAGAGAUCGCGACUGUCUAACAUUCAUCGCAAGACGGAGGCUACCGGCAUCUCUUAAAAGGCUUGAGAUAGAAAAUUGUGAGAAAUUGCAACGUCUGUUCGAUGAUGAAGAGGAUGCUUCUUCUUCUUCUCCUGCAUCCUCGUCGUCCCCAGUGAUGCUGCAACACCUGAGUAUAGAGAACUGCCCAGAGCUCACCAGUUUAUCAUCGGGUGUCCAAUUCCUUGAGGCGCUUGAAUUCCUCGAGAUACGGGAUUGCCCAAAGCUGGAGUCAAUACCGGAUGGCCUGCCCAAUCUUAAAUGUUUACAGAGCAUUUAUAUAUGGAAAUGUCCAAGUCUUGUUCCUUCCCAGAAAGAGGGCUUCCCAACACGAUUUCAAGGGUUGGCAUUGGCGAAUGUGACAAGCUCGAAGCCUUGCCCAAUGAUUUGCACAAAAUCAACUCUCUUCGAUAUUUAAGCAUACAGCUGUGUCGAAAUCUUGUAUCGUUUCCAGAAGAAGGUUUUCCUACCAGUCUAACAUCACUUAGAAUUGGAGAUUUCAAAAUGUAUAAGACCCUCGUCCAGUGGGGGUUGCACAGGCUUACCUCUCUUAGACGCCUCUAUAUCGUUGAUUGUGAUGACGAAGCAGAGUGUUUUCCAGACGAGGAGAUAGGAAUGACGCUGCCCACCUCUCUCACUGAUCUGUACUUAUCGGGAUUCCAAAAAUUGAUAUCCCUGUCUUCGACGGGUUUUCAGAGCCUCAACUCUCUUCAAUAUUUGUUGAUCGCGGGUUGCCCAAAUCUCACAUCAUUUCCAGAGGUGGGCCUUCCAUCCUCACUUUUGGGAUUAUUCAUUUUCAAAUGUCCAAAGCUUAAAAGAGCGUGCAAAAGAGAUCAAGGAAAAGAGUGGCCCAAAAUUGCUCACAUCCCUUGCGUUGAGAUAGACGAAAAAUUCAUAUACGAUCCCGAAUCAGAGGAGUAGAUUUCUGUUAUCCAUUAAAAACGAUCUCCUAUUAGUUUUAUUUUUUAAAUAAUAAUUUUGCAGUUCUGUUUUCUGUAUAAUUAUAAAUCCUCUGCCGUUAAUUAUUGACAAUGUCACUCACGUGAUUCCGUCUUCACUAAUCAGACUGUAUGUUGAGGCUAUUUGCUUUUUAAUCAAAGAUUAAAU